GAACUCGCAUGAGAUUGGCACGGUGGAGGUUGUUCAGUCGCCGACGUUUGAGAUCCUCGAGGUCGCGGCGGUGGAGGAGCUUGUCGCACCAGAUCUGAAGCUGCUGGAGGUUGGGCCGUCGACGUCUGAAACAGCUGCGCAGGAGGUGGGUAAUCACUCACAGACGGUCCAGAUCGGCGGUUGGGAAGAGGCGGAGGCGCUGUAGACCUCGGAAAGGGGUGAUGGUGUCUUCGCCGCUGACUCCCCGGUUUUCUUUCGUCGCUUCGUUCCAGCCAUCAUCGAUACUGGCGGUGGUUUCAGAGAGAUGAAAUUGAGAGGUCUAGGGUUUGAGAGGAACAAGAGGAGAGAGUCCCGGCACUUGAUGAUUUUUUUUUAUCCAGUCCCGACACUUGACGAUAUUUAGUAAAUAAGAGAAGAUUUUCGGCUUUUGCGGGUUAGUUUUGGUUGGGGGGUAAUAAUUGGGCUUAGGCGGGUGUUUUUGGUUUUAGUUUAGGGUUUAGGGUAAUGACUUAGAAUGGGUGGGUUUAGGGGUUUAUGAGAUUUAAUUUUACUUUGUUUAUGAGUUGAUUAUAUAUUAAUUUUAUAGAAAAAUAUAUUACAAUACACAUUAGAUUUACAAAACUAUUUUACAUUACACUAAAACAAAGUUUACAAAUUUAUAUUACAAUACAUUUUAAAACAAAGUUUAGACCAAAGUUUACAAAUUUAUAUUACAAUACAUUUUAAAACAAAAUUUAAAAAAUUAUACUACAUUUUAGUAGGGUAUUUCACCAUCUUCAUCAUCAUCAGAAGACGAUGAUAUAUUACACUGAAGUUCAUCUUCUGGUUCAACAUCUUCCACAUCGCUAUCAAGAUUUAUAGGUUGUACCCGAGCACGAACCAAAUGGUCGACUGCUAUAUCUUCAAUUGUAGUCAUUAAAACAACAUCAUCAUUUUCUUGUUGCAACAAUGUUGGUUCUUUAUCUUUAUAUUCUCCUGAAAUGAUUCUCUUUGGAUUCACCAUUGCUCCGCCUUGUGCCUCUACCAAUUAACGGAUCAAACCACUUACAUUUAAAAAGUGUGAUUUUCAAAUUGAUCGACCCCUCAUAUUGAAUUUGUAUGAUAUCAGUCAAGACACUGUAGUAAUCAGCUUCGUCAGAUGCAUUUAUGUAACUCUCUCCUUUAACACUCAGCACCAUAGUUACAUGCCUUUUUUCCCUCGCCAUGCUUCUGCGUAUGGAACAAAAAGCUUCUUGUGAAAUAGAUAGGCUAUAUUAUGGCCUUAUUCACGGAUCCAUUCGCAAUAUCUUUAACCCACAGAGGAAAAGGAUGUGUGUUGCUCCAAAAUCUAACAUGUAACAUAUGUAGAUAUUUACGUAAAUAUAUAAUCAAAAACACUUAGUUAGAUAAUAGUAUUAGGUACACCGAACAAAAAUGUAAACCACGUGUUUGUACCAGUUUUUAGCAACUGAUUCGCGACUGAGUUAUAAAAAACAAAUCAGUCGCAAUACAGUCGCAAAUUCGGCGACUGAUGUACGACCGCCUAACAAAAAAUUAGGCACAUCCACCAAAAAAUGUAAACCACGUGUUUGUACCGGUUUUUACCAACGAUUCGCGGCUGACUUAUGAAAACAUACAUCAGUCACCAAAAUAGUUGCAAAACUUGGCGACUGAAGUGCGACUAACCUAUACCGACUUGGUAUUAGUCACACUUCAGUCGUUAUAUUACGAUUGUUUGGCGACUAAACAUAGCGGUCUCAACGUAGCGACCGAUUUACGACGAAAUUCUCGAAGUCGCAGCGUAGUCGCUAACUAAUCGGUAUGUAGUCGUUAUAUUUUGCAACUAAACAAUUAGUCGCAACCUGCAGCCAUACACAGGUUUUCUUGUAGUGAACGACACUUAAUAUGAAACGGAAAGCAACUAAAAAUUAUAAUUAAUAUAUAUAUUAAAUACAGAUUAUUCUUUUUUUAAUGACUGCAUUGAUAAAAAAUCAACCACCAUAGAGGUUUCAGCUACAAUAUGAUAAACAAGAAACACUUAUACGCUCAAUCAAAAAGAAGAUCUAUGAACAAGUAAGAGCUGCCUCCUAAUGCCAGGUAGGAUUGAAAUCUACCUUCCCGAAGCACACUUUUUGCAAUUUCUCGAGUUACUUGAUUUGAGGUAGCAGAUUAUUUUUCGAAAGCUAUCGAACAGAAGGAUGAUCAUAACACAUUAAUCCUCUAUAGUAGAAUCCGGAAACUUGGCCAAUUCGAUGGUUUCAUUACAGACUCAGUUAACUCAUGGAGGUCAGACACCAUUACCACUUCUUGGUAUCCAAGGUCUUUCAUACUCUCUAACUCCCACUCCAAACAUCUUAAUUCAGCCGUCAACCUGUUAGGGGAGAAGGUGAGGGCAUCUAUCGCAUGAUGGAGCACAUUGCCUCUAUAGUCUUUGAAUAAUAAGCCCAGCACCACUAUGAAGUUUGGUAUUCCUCCAGUUAGCAUGGAUAUUACAUUUGGCAUAGCCUGAAAGCGGAGGUUCCCAUUUCUUGUUUUCUUCACAAAGCCCGCUUCUCAACUCAAGGUUCUGCUGAUUAUUCUUUUAAAUUUCAAAAACAUUAUAACGUUCUUUUCUACUUGAAAAACAUAUGUUGAUACUUAACAAACUUAAAUUCUAAACUAUUUUUUUCUAAGUUGGUUAAUUAUGUUAUCACAAAUUAUGAGAAAUAUGACAUAUACAAUAUUAUAGCCGAUAAUUUUACAUGUUUUUAUGAAAUUUCACAUCUGAUUUCACCACCGUAAGCCGCUUACGAGAUCUACACCUGACUGCAUUCAUGUUUCAUGUAGAUUUUUUUCAUUAAUCUGCAUAAUCACCUGUUUUGAGAUUUGAAAUUCAGAUUUUUUUAGUCUAAAAGUACUAACGAACGCGCAAUUAAACCAUGCACUAAAUGAGUUUCUCUGAAUGCACAAAACCCAAAACCCAAAACCAAACCCAGUUUAAAUGGAGUUGGGUAUAUAUCACUAUUCAGAUCCAACAGUCCUAGACCUGUAAAACAGAUUGUAUCAUAUUUCAAAACAGACUGUAUCAUGUUAAAAAUUAUGUGCUAAUUUUUUUUAAUUAAAACCAUUGGUACUUGUAUAUAAAUAAAUAUCACUUGAAUUAGGUAGCACAGAAGCAUCGUCAGACGUCCGCUUCCCGCUUCGAAACCAAAAUCGGAAUCGGAAGCUUGGAAAAGCUCUCGGAAUCUCGCUUUCAAUACGCUUCUAAAAAUACUUCUUUAAAAACACGUUGGAAGCUUACGGUUCCGUUUAGGAAUCACGCUUCCAUUUUAAAAAUUCAAUGUCAUGAUUAAGUAAAAAAUAUAAACUAUAUUUUUAUUUUAUAUAAAAUUCAAAAUUAAUAGUAUUAAAAUAGAGAGAAUACAAAAUGUACAAAUAUCAAAAUUAUACUAUAAAUUAUCUUUGUGCAUAAUAUUUUUUUGUAAUAGAUCUUGUAUAUAAAUUCAAAUAUAUUGUGACAGAUAUUUGUGAACUAUUAAAAAUAAUCAAUUUGAUAAUAUUUUUUAUAAGCUUAAUCGGUUAGUAAAAAUUAACAAGUGAUUUUUCAUUUUGAAUCAUAUACUUUUAGUCAUAAGUUUUAUUAAACCAUUUUUAUGUUUAUAUAUAUAUUGGAUAUAGGAUUCUAACACGUACUCGGUUCCUAAUUUUUUUGAAAAUUUUCAAUUUUACAUUUCCAUACGAUUCUGGUUCCAUAGAUUCAAGUCAACAAAGCUAAACAGGGGCAUAUAGGUAAAUUAACAAAGAUCAACUUGCCUUUUUGUUUUUCGUUAUCACCACUCACAUACUCACAUGAACUCUGCAUUAAAAACUGUCUCUCUCAAAUCGAAAGACACAACCCAACUUUUCUCGCAAGUCGCUGUAAAGUUGAUCUCCUUCCUCCUUUUUUAUAUACACACAUCUUCUUCUCCCUUUAACAUCUUUCGCUUCAAACCUCCACUUCCUCUUAACCCUAAAUAAAGAUAUCAAAAGACCGACCUAUAUCAAGAUUUUAUAAAACAAGAACGUCGUCAACGUAACUCACAUAAACAUGCUCGCCGUACACCGCCCUUCCUCCGCUGUGACCGACGGAGACUCCGUCCAGGUCCCGAUGAUGAUAGCUUCUUUUCAAAAACGUUUCCCUUCUCUCUCACGCGACACAACCGCAGCUAGUUUCCACACGCACGAGGUUGGUCCUAACCAGUGCUGCUCCGCCGUGAUCCAAGAGAUCUCCGCCCCUAUUUCUGCCGUAUGGUCCGUCGUCCGACGCUUCGACAACCCGCAAGCUUACAAACACUUCCUCAAAAGCUGCAACGUCAUAGGCGGAGACGGUGGAAACGUUGGUAGCCUCCGUCAAGUCCACGUCGUUUCUGGCCUCCCCGCCGCGAGCUCCACCGAACGUCUCGAUAUCCUAGACGACGAACGUCAUGUUAUUAGUUUCAGCGUCGUUGGUGGAGACCACCGGCUGUCUAACUACCGGUCCGUCACGACUCUUCACUCUUCUCCGAUCUGUGGAACCGUGGUUGUUGAGUCUUACGUCGUUGACGUGCCUCUCGGGAACACUAAAGAAGAGACUUGCGACUUCGUUGACGUUAUAGUACGGUGCAAUCUUCAGUCUCUUGCUAAAAUAGCUGAGAGUUCUGCGGUGGAAGGGAAGAAGAAGACGUCCAUGUAAUGAGUGUUUUGUUGUCUGAGUAGUAUCGUUUUGAUCCGGCGUCGUUUUCUUGUUUUUAAGCCGUCGUGUGAUCUAUGUUUUCCGGCUUAUUGUGUGAAAAAGAGGAGAAUGCCUUAGUAAAUUAAUUUCUUAUGAUAAUAAUCUUAUGUUAUUUUUGUAUUUUAUAUCCAUAAAUAACCGAUUCUUAUAACCCUAUUCCAGCUUUCUCCACCCAAGUUUUGUUCUUUAUGCUUAAAGUUCAAGGGUAAAAAAUUAAAAUGAGCAUAAUAAAUACAUGCACACAUUUUUAUAUUGAAGAUGAACAUGUUGAUGAAAUAAAAUAUGUUUUGAACAUGGUGAUGAAAUAAAAAAAUUUGCAAGUGGACAGUGAAUUGAAGGAGAUAGCCACACAAGCCAAGCUGUUCUUCUUUUCCACUUAAUAAAAAGGAAUGCAAGUUGCAGAUUGUUUAUUUCCACCUCCUUGCUUUCUGAUUCUUCCCAACUGAGCGAUACAAUAUUAUAUUUAUAAUAAUAGAAACAAUCUAGAAUAGAGAAGCGAGCAAGUUGCAUGUCCUGUUACAUCACGAGAGUCACGAUAUGUUUCGUUGGGGUUCCAAGUGAUCUCUACGUACGAUUAUAAAUAAUUAAAACUGAUUUCAUUUGUUUUAUAUAUGAAUUUUUAGAACUCCAAUGGGUAGAACCCCCAUUGGAGGUGCUCUUAGUUAUAUCAAAGUUAAAUCGAUAUUGUAAAUAACACAAACAAACAGCUAGCGAAACGAAUACGUCAUUGCAAAGCACCGAUAUAAUGGAUACGUUGCAGCAUAUGUGGUUUCAUACUUUCAUUUACUGUUUCUUGUGGUCGUCGAAUAUCGACAAAUAUAGCAUAGCUUACAAAUCAUAAGAUGUGUACUUAAUGUGGCCGCGAAAGGUGUAAAAGUAUAAUGAAUGGGAAAGAAUUGGCAGUGCAAGUGGGAGUGGGGUAGAUGAAUGUUUUGUUUUUUUCAAAUAUAUAAAUUGUGCUUUUGGGAUCCUUCGCGCUACCGUUUCCUCUACAUUGAUUGGACCUCUCCCCAAGUUUCCUAUCGGUCAAGAGAAGGAAAACACGUAACAAAAAAGGAAUCGAAUACGAAUAAAUGAAUAUAAUUCACAAGGGUUUACCAAAGGAAUAUAAUUAACAAGUUGCAAAAAGAUCGGUACUUUCCAGCAUUUUACUAUACGGGUGAUGUUCUUAAAGCGAGACACCAAUAUGGACGUACGGCAUUGACACUGUUUCUGGGUCGGGUUAGUAUCUUUAUCCCUAAACCCCAUUAAGGGUUUUUUAAUUUUUUAUUUAUUUUUCUUCUGAUUAGAAAAAAAAAAUUAAAAAGCACACCAAUCGCGGACCGCCAUGUGUCGGUGGAGCCCGCAAACAAUGCAAAAACCACACAACACACGUCUCUUAUUCUGCAACAUUAACCAACCAUUUUUCCAAAAUCGUGCCCCCCCUUAGAGACGCUCAAAAGUGAGCGAUAAAGAUGCUCUAAGGUUGGGGGCUCAUUCGCACUUAAUUCCCUUUUUAAUUUAGCUCUGGUACCAUUUUCAACCAGUAUUUUUUUUUGAGACAAAACAUAAAAAAAUGAGAGAAAUCAUUAACAAAUGGUGCAUCAUUUUCAGAGAAAAAAAUGAGUUUAUGAAUAAUAUUGGCACAAAUUUGAGGAAACAAUAUUCACAGCCUCAUUUUAAUGUUAUACAUUUUAUUUAAAAAUUGAUCCUUAAACUUUUAUAGUUUCGUUUUGUAACUUAAAAAAAUUGAUAUUUGUGUUUUAUGCUUUAAAAUUAUUAAAACUUUCAUAAUACAAUUAUAAUUUUAUAUAAAUCAUUUUAUAUUCUUUUAGAAACUAAAUUUGUGUCUAUAAUGAAUAUAUAGUUAAAAUAAAAAAAAUUCUGGAUAAAUUUGUAUUUUAAAGUGAAAAAUGAGAAGACCAUUGAAGUAAAACACAAACUAUUUUUAGUUGAUAUCAUUUGAGAGAGAAAAAUGAUGCAAACCAUUGGAGAUGUCCUAAACAUUAUGUAGAAAUCCUAAGGAAUUUUGAAGAUUUUAAACCAAAAUUUCAAGAUUAUUCGUGGCAGAAAAAAUAGAUUAUUUGCUUUGUUAGACUAUUUCCAAUGUAUUUUUUUUUGUUUUUAUUCUAAAAUAGAGUGCAUAACUCUAUGAUUGAAUUUAAGUUUACACUAAAUGUAAAAUAGUUUUUUUUCUAAAGUUAGAGUGAAAAUAAAAAAUGCUAUUUCUUUUUCUAUUUAUAGAAUAAACUAAUAAUGUAUAUUUUACAAGAUUAAAUAGAGAUGUAUUGGAGUAGAUUUACUUCUAAUAUUAUCUCUAACCUAUUUCAAUAUUAAAAAAGAAAAGAAAUUCUGUUAUAAUGUUUGCCUGUAUAAUAGAUUUAUUAUAAUUUUAGACGAAAAUAUUAAAAAAAUUAUUUUUGCUUCUAUACUUAAAGUUAAAAUUAACAUUCAUCUAUAUUUCUUUCUAAAAAUAGAAUAACUCUAUUAUAGAUGCAUAUAUUAGUACAAAUCAAUGACUAUAAUAAAAAUCUUCUAUUUUAGCUGAAAUAUAAAAAAUAUAAAAAAGGGUUGGAAAUGUUCUAAACCCCAUUGUCGAAAUAUAUAUAUAUAUAUAUAUAUAUAUAUAUAUAUGUAUGUAUGUAUAUGUAUGUAUGUAUGUAUUUUGAGUAUAUCAUGUUGAGAAUUCUCCAUUGGGAAUGUUUUUAGGCAGAUAUCCAUUAAAUGCCAACGUAUGUAUCUAAUUGUAUAAAAUAGGCUUUGAAUCCCUCUAAAGGGGUCCACAUCAGAUGCCAGCACAUCAAUUCAAAAGCUGGCGAGUCGACACAUGUCCCCCUGUGCUAGACGCUGCGUUUCAUUUAAAUGGAAAUCGUAGUGGGCUUUCGUUGGUUGCAUUAGAGCACGUCACAUGUCUGUCUAUAAAAGAUUGUUCCUUUCGCUUCUUAAUACACAUGAUUUUACGUAAUUAUUUUUGGGCUUUGCAGUUUGCUAUUUUAGGUUUAAAAACCUAUCUCGAUGUCCAAUACAUCCAUCUCCGAGAAGGAAAACCAUCGGGGUUCACCGUCUUCUUCGAUCUCUGCAUAUUUCAUCCGCCAAUGGAGGCCAGUAUGGUUCUGUGAGACGACCCUUCGUUAAGAAUCUCUAAAAUCGAGCUUGAUCCGGGUCGUGUCGUUUCGUUUGAGAUUCUUCCCCUCAGAACCCGUUACGGGAUGCAUUAAUUCAUUGCAAUUAACGACGUUCGUAGCUCCUUCAACCUACUCCAAGGACGAUUCCUCAUUCAAUGCAUCUUUCCUCUACAAGCUAUAAAAAGAUGAGCCUUAAUCCCGUUAACAGAUCACUCUGGCUCAACGUAAACAAUGAAUGGAAAAAGUCUUCGCUUUGCAUGUUUACAGUCCGAUUCCAUCUCACUACUUCUCCAAGAAGGCUCCAGUGAGAUCUCCGGUGACUAAUGAGAAUUCCAUGUCGAAGAGAUUCUUCAAACGGCUGUUUCCUCCUCCUCCGGCUCGACGCAUCAUCAUGAGGCGGCAUGGCUCCGUGAAGCGGAAGGGGGCGGCGUGGGUUUGGAUAAGAUUCGGCGAUUCUCCAAGAGUUUCUCUAGAAAGUACGAGCUUGGUUAUGAAGUUUGCCGUGGCCAUUAACCAGCUGCUAAUGUUAUUCACAAAGCAAAUGUUAAACUUGACGUUUUAGGGUUGUCGACGCGGAAAAGACACGCCUCGCGUGUUUCUCCUCAUUUCCUCUUCUAUGAGAUCUGUUAGAUUGUUUGUAAUUUGUUGUUUAGAUUACGACGGCAAUUGCCACUGAGGAUGUGAAGAGAGAAGUGAAGAUAUUGAAAACUUUGUCUGGUCAUGAUAAUCUACUCAUUUCUAUGAAGCAUAUGAGGAUCAUAAUGAUGUCUAUACUGCGAUGGAGUAAGCUCUCUUUUAGUUCAAACUUCCUUGGAGAGUCUUAUACAAGUGAUUUGUUGUUUUAAGCUAUGUCAAAAAGUAGAGAUUUUGGAUAGAAUACUUUCAAGUUUCAAGGUAAGGGGACACUAGACAGUACACUUCAGACGUAGGAUUGUUUGUUAUAUACUGAACUUGGUAGUGUGUUUUAUGUGCAGAGGCGAAAGGACACAGAGGAGGAUGCAAAGACUGUUAUCAUACAAAUAUUGAAUGUGGUUGCAUUUUGUUAUCUCCUCAGUGUUGUACAUCGAUAAGUCUAACCUCAGGUGAUUAUAAGAAUCUUUUAAGACAGUAAACACUUGGUAAAAAUGCAACCAAGUUUUUUUUUUUUAAAAAAAUAGAAGCUUAAAGCUUCAUAGAAAUGACGAUUCGAAUUUAUCCGUAGUGUGUUUUUCCGGUUUUGGUGGGAAAAAUCUGUUUCCGGUUUUGGCGGGAAAAUUCUGUUUUUCCGGUUUUGGCGGGAAAAUUGUGUUUUUAAGUUUUGGCGGGAAAAUUGUGUUUUCGGUUUUGGCGAAAAAAUUAUGUUUUCCGGUUUUGGCGGGAAAAUUGCGUUUUCCGGUUUUGGCGGAAAAAUUCUGUUUUCUGGUUUUGGCGGGAAAAUUCUGUUUUCCGGUUUUGGCGGGAAAAUUGCAUUUUCUGGUUUUGGCGGGAAAAUUGCGUUUUUCUGGUUUUGGCGGAAAAAUUGUGUUUUUCCGGUUUUGGCGAGAAAAUGCUUUUUGCGGUUUUGGCCGAAAAUAUUUUUUGGAGUUUUGGCGGGAAUAUGCAUUUUUUGGGUUUUGGCGGGAAAUGCGUUUUUUGGGGUUUGGCGGGAAAAUGUGUUUUUUCGGUUUUGACGAGAAAAUGCGUUUUUUUCGAUUUUGGUCGAAAAGUGCGAUUUUACUGGUUUGACCGAAAAAUGUGUUUUUAUAGAAAUGUGUGUUUUACAUUUUUUUUGCGGAAAAACGCAUAUUGCGGUUUUAGCGGGAAUGUGUUUUUCAGUUUUUGCGAGAAAAUGUAUUUUUUGGUUAUAACGGAAAAAUGUAUAUGCAAGAAAAUAGAAUUUACGGUUUGAAAAUAAUAUUUUGAUUUUAAAAAGUCAUUUUUGUCAUUAAUCAUUUUGGACUGAACUAGAUGCAUCUGCAUCCAGAUGCACCAUCAAGACUCACCUUCAUUUGGGUGACAAUUUGAGAUGAGUUUUUAAAAAUUCAGCUGGGUGAUCCAUCUGGAUGUAGCAUUAUAAUGCACAAAACGAACAUCGAUUUGCAUCUUCACCCAGAUGGAUCACCUGGGUGAGCAAACGAACAGGCCCUAUUUACUAAUUUACGUCAUUUACUUUACUAUAAGUUUCUCUUUCUAUUUGCUUCAGAUUCGGAGUUAACAUCUGGGACAAACAGCCAUAGAAAUCUGAAAAAGGCAGCGUUAAUAUUGACCUCUAUGUUACCAACUUAUGCUCUUUUAUUUUUGAACAACAAAGAGCUUGAAGCCUUAUAAAAAGGUAAAUAUCAAAGCCAUGUGAUGCAGGUUGGUAUUUCAACGAGGACAAGGUUUUGGACAGCUUAGUAUGGCUUGGAUGUGUAAUUUAGAUGUUGGCCAAUUAAGUAAACAGUAUGUUUAUAUCAAGGUCACUCUACACAAGUAUAUAUUUCUUUGCAUUUGAAAAUAUGGUUUUUGCAUAUUGUUAUUGCUAUAUAAGCAUUUUGGACAGCUUAGUAUAGCUUGUAUAUUAAAUUUAGCUGUUAGCCAAUUAAGUAAACGAUAUGUAUAUAUAUCAAGGUCACUAUACACAAGUAUAUAUUUUUGGCAUUUGAAAAUAUUCAUUACUAUAUAAGAAAUAUAUUGUUAACAAUAGUUAUAGUCUUUCAAUAAGUGCAAGUCAGAGCAUUGAAAGAACUUAGAAGCUCAAAUGUAGUAUUUGCAUUCAUUAUUUUUAUUCCAUCCUAAACAAAUGUUCUCAACGUCAAGGUAUAAAACAUGACCAGACUGUCUACUUGAAAGGUGUUAGCAACCUUCUUGAUACCAAGUUCAUAUUGUUCUUUUCUUUUGAUAUUUUCUGCUUGAUAACAUUUUAUUUGCUGCAAUAAAUAUGUCGCAUUUUUCAGUUUUGUUCGUUUACUAAUACUUUGUUUAAACUAUAUGCUAGCUUUGAGCGAAAGCUGCUUCCAAGAACUUGAGAGUGGUUGGAACAGAUAGAGGAAACAAGCUACUCUUGAAGAUUCAUCGACAAGUGUAAUUUUUUCAAAUUACAUUUCAUCGAGCCAUGAGAAAUGCAAAGAAGUCACAGAUUUCGUCAAAUUACAUUGGAUGUCUCCAAGUUAGCUAUAUAUAUACACGAACAGGAGAUGAAAAUAUAUUGAUGAUUGUAGUUAUUUCUCUAUCUUUUUCUAGCUUCAAAGAAUUUUUUUUUGUUGAAAACUCAAAGAAUUGUUUUUUUCUCAACAAAUAAUAGGAAUCCUAAAUAAUAUUUUAAAAAAUAAUAGUUAUUAUUAUUUACAAAAUGUAUAGUGGAGAAGAUAUACAUGCAUAUGUGAGACAAAUAUCAUAAUUAGAUCCCAUAAAUUUUCAACCAAAAAAAUGAAAAAUCUUAAAUAAAAUUUACAACACGCACAAAACACAAGACUAUACCGCAACUUAUAUUAAAAUUUACAAGUAUCUAACCAACAUGGCCAGGCUCAAACCCUCAAAAAGCUGCGAUCUCCACAAAAAGAAACAUAUGUGCAAGCAAUGUUUAUUAUACAUAUACUUUAGUUGUUGAAACUAUUUUAUAAUUCACAUUCCGCCCGUAGGGCGGACCGACCCUAGUAUGUAUAUAUAAUAUUUAUUUGUUUCAGUACCAUUACUUCAUUCAAUUAGUAAUUUUAAAACUGAAUAAGUAAUUGGAAUUCUUGGUUCCAAAAUAUGUUUAGACAACUAAACAAUCAAAUCCAAAGCACUGAAUGCCACAAAUUUGAUCAAGAAUAACAAAUCUAUACUAUUAAAACAGAAUCACUAAAAAUCUACCUACAAAAAUCAUAGUUUGACUAAUUUAAUUUCCUAUUAUUUUACCUACACUAACUUACUUAUUAUUAAAUAUAAAAUUUAGCCUAAUACUACAUUAUAUAAAUAUUUUCAAAGUAAAGAUAUCAAAAAGAUAUUCUUAAAUAUAUUUUCUAAGAUUUCAUCUUAAUACAUAUUAUAAUAUUUUUAUUUAAAAUGUAAGUAUAUAUAUAUAAUAUUAACUUUUAAAUAAUAAAAUUCGUAAUUAAUAUUAACUAGUAUUAACCCUGUUCGGAACUACGCUAGGCGCUAGUCUGACGGCGAUCCCGGGCCUAGCGAGUUAUAAAAAAAUCGGGGAUUAAUCGGGGUAUACGCGGGGCCUAGUUUUUAUAUAUUUUAAUUAUAAAUAUACAUAUAUAUAUAUAUAUAUUAAAACAUGUGAAAUCUUAACGUAGAACCGAGAUAGUCUAGCGGUUCGGGAAGCAUUUGCUGCUGUAACAGGUAGAGUGUUCGACGCUCAGGUGAAGCAUCAUUUCUUUUUUAUUAAAUAAGCGCGAAUUAGGAAAAAAAAAUAAAACUGACUUAUAUUUGUCCCAAAUCGACUACUUAUGUCAGUGAGGAGUCUUGGAGUCUCCUAUAUAUUCAUAGAGAAGGAUUCUUAUUUUUACAGACAAUUGGACCUAUUUUAUGGGCCACAUUAUGUCUUAAAAGUCCAAUAGUUGCUGGUUUAAAAUUGGGUUUUAAAUUAUUAAUCGGGUUCCCGAUUAGUUCAGCCGAUUUGACUAAAUCAUGGCGGUGAACAUCCGUCAAGCGCCUAACCAGGUGCCUAGUCGGCUAGGCGUCCGCGUUUUAGAACAUGGAGUACUACUAAAGAAUGUUAAUUUAUUUUCGAUUUAUAUAAUAUGAAAUAACAUUUCUAUAAUAUUUAUAUAUACAUAAUUUAAAUUCAUAAUUAAAUUACUACACUAAUUAAUAAAUAUAAAAUAACUUAAUUCAUUUAUUAAGUAUUUUUAUAAAUAUAAAAUUAAAAUAACUACAUAUACAGAAUAACUAAUAUUCAUAAAAUUUUACAACACACUCAUGCUUAUUAAAAAAAAUAUGAAAGUAAGAUAUUUAAAAUAAUCGAUAAUUUUAUAUUUUAAUACACUUUUUACUUUAGAAUAUUCAAAGAUAAUUUAAUAUAUUUGAAUGUGAUAAAAUACAAUAGUUAUUAAUAGUAUUUGAUUAUAUGGUACAUUGAACUAUAGGUUAUGUUUUACUCUUUUCAAAUUAUUUCUUAAACAUGUAAAAAGUUAUCAAGUAUGAGAGAAUGACAUAUAUUUCAUUUAUAUCAUAAUAAAAUAAAUUUUGACAAAUAUAAGAAGUUAAAAAUAAAUUCAUAUUAUAAUUUUAAAGAUUGAAAAUAUAAGCCAAAUUAAUACGAUUUAUAUAAAUUAAUUCUUUCAUUUUCUUAAAAUUAUAUUUAUAGAAAUUUUAAUUUAAUUAUAUAUACUUUAAAAAAUUGUUUUUAUAAAAACACAUGUCUAAAAUUUCUAGUUUGCAUUAAAUAAUUUUCCAAAUUUUUAAAUAACCCGCGUUUUCAAUUUUUUAUUAAUUCUGCGUUUUGAAAGCGCAUGUCAAAAUCUAGUAGUGUAUUAAAUAUGAUAAGAUAAUUCUAUGUAUAAUUCUACGUAAUUUUCAAGAACAUGCGAUAAUUCUAUGUAUAAUAUUGGUAUAUACUAAUGUAAUGGCCAAUUAACAGUUCUCGAUAAGGAGGAAGCUAAGGCUUUUAAAAAUUUGAGGCGAAAAACAGAAAUUCAAAAUAAUGCAGCAAUAUGUGUUGUAAACCUUGUUCUAAAACGCGGCGCGGAUGACCGAUUAUCCGGCGAGUAAACGUGAUGCGGCUUCAGUCCGUGGCGAUUUGCUAUCAAUCGGAUAGUUAAGCGGUAUAAUACAAAAAAAUCUUUGUUUUUUGCGAUUUUGAACCUCAAAAUCGAUUACUAUUGGCAAAUAUAUAGUCUUGAUGUGUAAACAACAACUAGAACGCACAAAAAAAAAAGAAUUGAUGAAGAAAAUCCAUGGCGGCCGUGAAAAAAAUGUUGCAGAAUUGUCAAAACUUUAAUAUGAAGACGAAGAGGUAAUUACGAAACUGCCACUCAUUAAAUAAUAUAUAAAAAAAGCAAAACUGACCACGGUGCUGGUCGAACCCGGAGCCAACGACCAACAAUCAAUGACUAUACCACCAGACCACUUGUAAUCUUUACAUAUGUUUUCAUAAACUCGUCUUUGUACAUACAUUUAUUUUAAAAAUAAAAUAAAGCUUCAAAAUUAAUCCCCGAUUACUCCCCGAUUAAAGUCCGAUUUUUUCGUUAGGUGCUAGGCUCAACCCGAGCGCACGCGUAACGCCUAGCGAGUUUCCGAACAAGGGUUGUAAAUGAGUUGAGUCGGUGGUUUAGAGAUAGAAAGAGAAAGACGAUUGAAAGUGCGAUUUCGAGAUCUGAAAAUACCGGCUUUGCAGAUUCGUGGAUAAGCGACGGUGUUGAAGAUCGAAUCUUGUAUCCCUGUGGAGGGCUUCAGCAUCUUCUUCUCCAAAAGUGGUAAGAGGUCUUUUAGGAGAAAGGCAAGGAUAAGUCACCUGGUCUGAUAAAGAGUUUAGUGUUGCGAAGAUGUCGUCAGCGAUGGACAAGGCCCUCAUGGCCAUGUCGCUUGAAGAUGAUGAAGAUACGCCUUUUGUUAUGCCGGAUCUGCCGGAGUUCAGAUCAGCGGAAAGAAACAGUAGAAGCGUAAUUGGUCGGCUACUCAAUCCAGAUUGUCAGAAGAUGGCAAGACUCAUCUUAGAGAUGCCUCGCAAAUGGCAAAAGUAUGGAAGAGUUAGAUGAAUAGCUCUGUCGAAGGAAAGAUUUCAAUUCAUCUUUGAUCAUGAACAUGAUCUAAUAGGUGUCUUAGAAAAAAGGGGUUCAUACUCACAAUGAAUGCCCCAUAGUGAUUGAGAGAUGGUCUGAAAACCCCUCUCCUGAUUCCCUACAAUAUGUUCCAAUUUGGGUUUGUAUCCGUAAUAUCCCGGUGAUCUACUACAACGAGCUUGCGAUUGAAGCCUUGGGGGAUUUUGGUGGGGCAUGUAGUAGAAGUUGCGUUUGAUUCUUCCAAAGCGCAGUGCCAGGAUUAUGUGAGGGUCAAGGUGAUGUUUGAUGUAUCAAGACCUCUUAGAAAAGAAAAAGUUCUUAACAUUCCAAAUGGUGAAAAGACAAAGAUAUUCUUCUACUAUGAAAGAAUUCAGAAGAGAUGUUAUACCUGUCAGAGAAUGACGCAUGAUCAAUAUGUGUGUCCCAUUAAUAUCCAGAGAAGACAAGCUGAAGCGGACCUAAGAAGAGCAUGGAUUGUGGUAACGAAAAAGAAGCCAUCUUUAGUCUUGACGGAAUCUGAUCCGUUAUAUGGAGUCCUGGAGGAAAGUCAAGUUGGAAUUAAUCCAAACACUGGAAGACCUAGGAUUGCUGCAGAAGUAAUAGAGGGUAUGAGGCAAUAUCUUAUGCUGGCUACAGAGGAAGAUAGACAUAUCAGGGAAGAAAGAGUGAAGAGGUCGGUUAAAGAAGCUGAGAAGGAUCCGAUUUUGAAAAAAACUGCCUUAAGCUUGGAACCAGUUCCUUUGAUUACUAAAUAUCUGUCUAGGGGCAAAGGAAUUAUGUUUGAUUACACAUCGAAUGAGCCUGCUCCUCAGAUGGAAACGAAAAGACCAAAAGAACAAAAGUUGAUGGCAGCUGCGAUUAAGGCUAACUCGGGUACAGUGUGGAGAGCUGAGUCCACAGCCUUGAUUGAGGGAUACUCUUCAGAAGAGAAGUCUACAAGCUCCUCUUCAUCCUUUAGUAGCUCUACGGGUUGUAGAUUGGACAAGCGUGAGUCCAAUCUUCCCGAGACUUCCUCUAAUAAAUUAAGGAUUAGGAAGAGACCGGGUAAAAAUAAAAGGAACUCGAAAGCAUCUUCUGCUGCUGGAGAUAACAUCCAAAUCUCUUUGAAGGAUGGAAUGCUUAUUGGAUGCCUGGAAAAACGGAAAGCGAAAGAUCAGAUGGGAGGAGUUUCCAAAGCUGCAAAGCAAACAACUCAAGUGGUUGUCCCGCGUGAGGGACGGCCCAAAGCGUAAUUAGUCUACUCUCUUGGAAUUGUCGAGGACUGGGACGGUCCCAGGACUUGACAAUGAAUAGACUCAUGGAAAUACGUAAAAAAUAUUUCCUUGAGUUGUUAUUUCUAAUGGAAACAAUGCAUACGAGGAAUGAUCUUGUAGAUAUUCAAGUUUGGUUAGGGUAUGAUCAUGUACAUAAUGUAAACUCAGUGGGUAGAAGCGGCAGUCUGGCAGUUUUUUGGAAGAACUCGGGGAUUGUAAAUAUUCUAUCUUCGAAUAAGAACUUAGUUGAUCUGAAUGUUCAGUUUGGGGAUAAGAAGUUUUUUUGUUUCUUGUAUAUAUGGUGAUCCCAAUGAAAGCAAAAGACAGUGGGUGUGGGAGAAGAUUUCUAGAAUUGGAGUUAGUAGGAAGCUUCCUUGGUGUUAACUAGGAGAUUUUAAUGCCAUCUGCGACAACGGUGAAAAGCUAGGAGGCCCUAUGAGGACUGAUGAUGUCUUUACAGACUCCAACAACAUGCUAAGUGUUUUUGGGAUGAAGGAGCUUACUGGUCAUGGAGAUCCAUUCACUUGGGCAGGUCGAAGAGGAAAUUUGUGGAUUCGCUCCAAAUUGGAUAGAUGCUUCGGUAACAAAGAAUGGUUGAAUCUAUUUCCUGCUGCGAAUCAAGUUUUUCUGGAAAAACGAGGCUCUGAUCAUAGACCCGUUUUAGUAAAUCUAUUGAGAGCUAAUGAAAAGAGGAAAGGAAGAUUCAGAUUUGAUAAAUUCUUGCUGAGAAUUUUUAAUAUCAAGAGGGUGGUUAUUAAUGCAUGGAAAGGCCAGAGGAGUAAUGAAAAUAAUAAAGUUGGGGUGAGAAUCAAAAGAUGUCGAACAUAUGUCUGAAGAUUCAAAAGGAGAAAUUGCUGCUUCCUAUUUCCAAGAUCUAUUCUCUUCCUCUAAUCCAAUGGAAUUUGGAAGUAUAUUUCAAGACUUCAUACCGAGAGUCACAGAUCAGAUGAACUGUGAUUUGCUAUCUCCAGUAACAGAUGGUGAAAUUAGAGAAGCGGUUUUCUCAAUAAAGAAAUCGAGUGCGCAAGGACCUGAUGGUAUGACCGCCCUAUUCUUCCAAAGAUUUUGGGGAGACAUCGGAGAGAAUGUAUCUUUGGAAGUAAAGGAAUUUUUCAGGGAGGGUCAUUUUGCAAAGGAAUGGAACCUAACUCAUCUGUGUCUCAUUCCCAAGAUUGUGAAGCCUCAGAAGAUGAUAGAUCUCCGUCCCAUCAGCCUUUGUUCUGUUUUCUACAAAAUAAUUUCGAAGAUAAUGGUCAGGAGGUUGCAACCAUUACUCCCUCAGAUUGUCUCGCCUACUCAAUCAGCCUUCGUCCCUGAGAGAAAUAUAGCUGACAACAUUUUGGUGGUCCAUGAAGUGGUUCAUGGUUUGAGAACCUUUGAACCGAUUGCUUCUCAGUUUAUGGCAUUGAAGUCUGAUAUGUCUAAGGCUUACGAUAGGGUGGAAUGGAAAUACUCAGGAAGUUUUCUGACGGCAUUGGGAUUUCAUCCAAAAUGGGUUGAUCUGACGAUGUUUUGUGUUUCAACUGUCUCCUACGCGGUUUUGAUUAACAAUCAAGAACAUGGUUUGAUUAGCCGUCACAGAGGUCUGAGAUAGGGUGAUCCGAUGUCACCAGCUCUCUUUGCUCUGUGCACUGAAGGAUUUUCUCACCUCUUAGCCAAAGCCGAAAUGGAAGGAAGCAUCAGUGGAGUCAGGUUUUCAACUCAAGGCCCUUCUAUAAGUCAUUUGCUCUUCGCAGAUGAUAGCUUGUUUAUGUGCAAACCGGAUAUCAGGCAAGUUAUUGCUCUUCAAGGUAUCCUUAAGACAUACGGUGAAGGUACAGGUCAGGUUAUCAACCUCCAAAAGCCAUCCCUAACUUUUGGUAAGGGUAUACCUGAGGAGAUUAGAACUAGUAUUAGAGAAAGCUUUGGAAUCUUCAAUGAAGGAGGAGCAGGAACCUACUUAGGAUUACCUGAAUGCUUCAGUGGUUCAAAGAUCGAAAUGUUUAACUACAUCAAGAUUAAGCUGAAGAAGAGGCUGCCAGGCUGGUUUGCGAGAUACCUAUCAUUAGGCGGAAAAGAAGUUCUUCUCAAAGCCGCCGCCUUAGCCUUUCAUGUGUACGCAAUGAGCUGCUUCAAGCUUCCAAAAACAACUAUAGUAAAUCUCACAAGUGCUAUGGCUACUUUUUGGUGGCACACAGUGGAUCAUAAGAGGAAGAUUCAUUGGGUGCGAUGGGAGAAGAUGUGCCUUCCAAAAGAUUUGGGCGGUUUGGGUUUCAAAAGUUUAGAAAGCUUCAACCAGGCACUCUUGGCGAAACAAGCUUGGAAACAACUACAAAACCCAAACUCUCUUAUCACCAGACUGUUGAAAAGUAGAUACUUUGAUUCAAAUGCUUUCUUAGAAGCUAAGAUGAGCAAGAGGCUUUCCUUCGGUUGGAGAAGUUUGAUGUAUGGAAGAGAUCUUUUAGUAAAAGGCCUUAGGAAAGAAAUUGGAAAUGGUAAAUCGCUCUAUGUUUGGACGGAUCCUUGGUGUGAUUUUGGUGGCAGAUGGAACCCAUGGAUGAUGAAUCCAAUCAUUAAUCUGGAUAUGAAGGUUAGUGAGCUUAUAAACCAAGAGACAUGUGAUUGGAGAAGAGAUGUUCUGGAGGCGAAUUUCUUCCCUGGAGACGUGGACAUAAUCCUUAAAAAGAAAACGGUGGUCUCGGUGGAGGACUUUGGUGUUGGAAACAUAAUCGUAGUGGGGAGUACACUGUCAGAUCAGGGAAUUGGCUGGCAUCUCAAUCUCUUUUGAAAGAAGAGUUUCAAGAAGCAAGAAUGCAACCUUCAAUCAAUUGUCUUAAAGAAGCAACCUGGCAUGCUGCAACUUCGCCAAAGAUUUAAAUGUUUUUGUGGAGAGCUUUAUCAGGUAUUAUCCCAGUGGCUAAGUUCACUGAGGAGUCGAGGAAUGAAGGUUGAUUCUGUAUGUCAGCACUGUGGAGUACAAACAGAAACUCCGAAUCAUGUGCUAUUCACCUGUGAUGUGGCCAGACAAGUGUGGGCUCUAUCCAACUUUCCAUCUCCUUUAAACGGGUUUCACUCUGAUUCUAUCUUUGUGAAUUUCCACUACCUAUUCCAAAUGAGCAAGAAUAUAAGGAUACCUCGAGAGAUCAGAAGUUGUUACCCUUGGAUUAUGUGGUUCCUUUGGAAGAAUAGAAACAAACUAUUGUUUGAAGGAUCUGAGUUUAAGGUUGUGGAGAUUGUCGACAAAGAUUAUGAUGAAGCCGCUGUUUGGUUUAAAGCGCAAAAAUUAGACAGAGAAGGAGAAAAAUGUGACAUGGAGCUAGAACUGUCUCUGAAAAGAACCUGGAGUAAACCCGCUAGGAACUGGAAGAAAUGUAACUAUGGAUUCUCGUGGUCUAAGCGGAAGAAGCUGUUGGGAGCGGCUUGGAUUGUUAGAGACUACAGGGGUGAGUCUCUUCUGCAUAGUAGAAGAUCUUUUGCGAAUGUGUUGGAUUUACAAGAGGCAAAGAUGAUUGUUCUAUGCUGGACCUUGGAAUCUAUGGCUGCUCAUCGACUAGAUAAUGUCAUAAUAGCUGGGGAGGAUGCUACACUACUCAAAGUGAUCGAAUGACCAAGAGCUUGGCCUUCCUUUACUUUUGAGUUUCAGACUCUUAAUAUACUUUUGAAUAGAUUCAGUGGCUCUAAUAGAUGUGCCUUUUCCAUGGCCGAAAGUGCCCAGCAAGUGCAGUGGGGUCAAUCCUAUGUAGCCAUAGGUGCUCCUAGGUGGUUAGCCGAUGUUCUUUUGGAUGACAAAGGUUAAAUCUGUUAUGAGCUUAUUCCCUGUUUCUUAGCAGGUUGUACUUUUUUGGUUAGUACUUGUUUGUGGUCCUUGUAUAUUUUUUAUUACUUCUGGUCCUUAGUACCAUGUUGUAGUGUGGUAAUACUUGUAUGUACUUAGUUCUCUUGGCUGGUAAGCCUUAAUGGAAUGAUCUUUUGAGGAAAAAAAAUAUAUGUGUUGUAAAUGAUGGAUAAUAACUAUUUAUGCCAUGUAAAAAUCAUGCAACGUGAAAUAUACUAACAUACGAAUGGUUGUGUGCAGAAAAAAAAUUAAGAAGCGAUAAAAAGUUUUAGAAGAAAAUACUCGAAUUGUGUUCACUCAGAACUCAUUUAAAAAAAACAAGGAGGUGAUGAUAAUAUAUCAAAUUCCAACGAGAGAUAACAAUAGUUUUUUUUUUUGAGAUAACAAUAGUUAUUACAUUAUCCUUCCUCUAUUUCUGGAUAAGUAUCACUUUAGCAUUUUUUUUUUGUUACAUAAAAAAUGCCAUUCUACAAUUCCAAUGCAAUUUAUAAUCAAUUUCAAUCAAAUAUUAAUUGUAAAAUACAUUGAUCUUAUAAAUAAAUAUGUUUAUCUCAAAUACUAAGGUUAACUAGUUGUAAUUAAUAAAAACAUAAAUACAUUUUAAUUAUUUUUAACGUGUAAAAAGUGUCUAAGUGAUAUUCUUUAUGAAACGGAGAGAGUAUAACCAAAAUCAGUCAAAAGAAACUACCAUAAAAAUUUCCUAGGGAGGUUUUCUCCAUCUCUAUUGCUUACUUUGUUUCAUAUUUUACCUCACGAUAAGUUUCUGAUCUAUUUUCAAAAAAGGAAAAGUUUCUGAUCUAAAAUCAACAUCUCGGAUAUUAAUAUAACUGGGCUAAAUUUCCUCAGCUAUUAUUUAAGACCCACUGUGGGCUAUAUAACAUAUUUCUUAUGAAACAAUGAGUUGGGUCGGUUGAUGCAUCAUACCAUCUGAGUGGCACUACUACAUCGCCAAAGAUAUUUGGAUAUUAUUGGAUUGGAUCCUACUACUGCUCCAGGCCUUUAACAAAUUACCCACGAAAAUUGGUGAAGUUCAUUGUUGAGGAUUCAUCCUAUAAUUUUGGCUCAAUUCAAUAAUCACCUUAAGCCUAACCGGAUCAAAUCAAUCACAGAAUCAAGCAAGAAAGAAAUAAGAACACACGAGAUUUUGUUUACCCGGUGUUCACCGCACUUUUCCGAUGUGGAGAAGCCGCUAUACAUCACCGGGGAGAGAAACGGUCUCUCAACCAAUCCACUAUAACCAAUGUGAUUACAUAUACGGACACACACGGAUGUCCUGUGUGUGCUGACAGACAACCACAAACAGCCACGGAUGUUCUGUGUGUGCUGGCGUGUCACGCCCCCAAUCCUGGAAAGGAUUGUCGGGACGGCCAUGGUUCGAGGAAACGUACAAGCCAGUCUUAGGACAUCAAGGCAAGCGUUCCAUGGUCGAGAAAGAAGGUUAAGGACAUAAGGAAACUUAGACUUAACCUUAUACAAGCUAAGAGACAACUAGGACGAGUAAGACGGUAACUUGACGAAGUGGAAGAGUAGCUCGGCCAGCUCAAUGAAGCUAGGUUUAGUUCACUCCAGCUCAGUCCCUACUAAGUCAGCUCCACUAGCUGGACUACUAUCUCACCCAGCUGAGGCAGCUGAGAGUCAGCUCACCUCAGCUAGACGGACUGUUCGGGAUUUAGGCCGAUGGUCCGGGUCCGGGUCAGUGACAGGCUGUGAGGUCCGGCCAUGAGGCCAUGGGUUGUUUCUUGUAUAUAUGGUGAUCCCAAUGAAAGCAAAAGACAGUGGGUGUGGGAGAAGAUUUCUAGAAUUGGAGUUAGUAGGAAGCUUCCUUGGUGUUAACUAGGAGAUUUUAAUGCCAUCUGCGACAACGGUGAAAAGCUAGGAGGCCCUAUGAGGACUGAUGAUGUCUUUACAGACUCCAACAACAUGCUAAGUGUUUUUGGGAUGAAGGAGCUUACUGGUCAUGGAGAUCCAUUCACUUGGGCAGGUCGAAGAGGAAAUUUGUGGAUUCGCUCCAAAUUGGAUAGAUGCUUCGGUAACAAAGAAUGGUUGAAUCUAUUUCCUGCUGCGAAUCAAGUUUUUCUGGAAAAACGAGGCUCUGAUCAUAGACCCGUUUUAGUAAAUCUAUUGAGAGCUAAUGAAAAGAGGAAAGGAAGAUUCAGAUUUGAUAAAUUCUUGCUGAGAAUUUUUAAUAUCAAGAGGGUGGUUAUUAAUGCAUGGAAAGGCCAGAGGAGUAAUGAAAAUAAUAAAGUUGGGGUGAGAAUCAAAAGAUGUCGAACAUAUGUCUGAAGAUUCAAAAGGAGAAAUUGCUGCUUCCUAUUUCCAAGAUCUAUUCUCUUCCUCUAAUCCAAUGGAAUUUGGAAGUAUAUUUCAAGACUUCAUACCGAGAGUCACAGAUCAGAUGAACUGUGAUUUGCUAUCUCCAGUAACAGAUGGUGAAAUUAGAGAAGCGGUUUUCUCAAUAAAGAAAUCGAGUGCGCAAGGACCUGAUGGUAUGACCGCCCUAUUCUUCCAAAGAUUUUGGGGAGACAUCGGAGAGAAUGUAUCUUUGGAAGUAAAGGAAUUUUUCAGGGAGGGUCAUUUUGCAAAGGAAUGGAACCUAACUCAUCUGUGUCUCAUUCCCAAGAUUGUGAAGCCUCAGAAGAUGAUAGAUCUCCGUCCCAUCAGCCUUUGUUCUGUUUUCUACAAAAUAAUUUCGAAGAUAAUGGUCAGGAGGUUGCAACCAUUACUCCCUCAGAUUGUCUCGCCUACUCAAUCAGCCUUCGUCCCUGAGAGAAAUAUAGCUGACAACAUUUUGGUGGUCCAUGAAGUGGUUCAUGGUUUGAGAACCUUUGAACCGAUUGCUUCUCAGUUUAUGGCAUUGAAGUCUGAUAUGUCUAAGGCUUACGAUAGGGUGGAAUGGAAAUACUCAGGAAGUUUUCUGACGGCAUUGGGAUUUCAUCCAAAAUGGGUUGAUCUGACGAUGUUUUGUGUUUCAACUGUCUCCUACGCGGUUUUGAUUAACAAUCAAGAACAUGGUUUGAUUAGCCGUCACAGAGGUCUGAGAUAGGGUGAUCCGAUGUCACCAGCUCUCUUUGCUCUGUGCACUGAAGGAUUUUCUCACCUCUUAGCCAAAGCCGAAAUGGAAGGAAGCAUCAGUGGAGUCAGGUUUUCAACUCAAGGCCCUUCUAUAAGUCAUUUGCUCUUCGCAGAUGAUAGCUUGUUUAUGUGCAAACCGGAUAUCAGGCAAGUUAUUGCUCUUCAAGGUAUCCUUAAGACAUACGGUGAAGGUACAGGUCAGGUUAUCAACCUCCAAAAGCCAUCCCUAACUUUUGGUAAGGGUAUACCUGAGGAGAUUAGAACUAGUAUUAGAGAAAGCUUUGGAAUCUUCAAUGAAGGAGGAGCAGGAACCUACUUAGGAUUACCUGAAUGCUUCAGUGGUUCAAAGAUCGAAAUGUUUAACUACAUCAAGAUUAAGCUGAAGAAGAGGCUGCCAGGCUGGUUUGCGAGAUACCUAUCAUUAGGCGGAAAAGAAGUUCUUCUCAAAGCCGCCGCCUUAGCCUUUCAUGUGUACGCAAUGAGCUGCUUCAAGCUUCCAAAAACAACUAUAGUAAAUCUCACAAGUGCUAUGGCUACUUUUUGGUGGCACACAGUGGAUCAUAAGAGGAAGAUUCAUUGGGUGCGAUGGGAGAAGAUGUGCCUUCCAAAAGAUUUGGGCGGUUUGGGUUUCAAAAGUUUAGAAAGCUUCAACCAGGCACUCUUGGCGAAACAAGCUUGGAAACAACUACAAAACCCAAACUCUCUUAUCACCAGACUGUUGAAAAGUAGAUACUUUGAUUCAAAUGCUUUCUUAGAAGCUAAGAUGAGCAAGAGGCUUUCCUUCGGUUGGAGAAGUUUGAUGUAUGGAAGAGAUCUUUUAGUAAAAGGCCUUAGGAAAGAAAUUGGAAAUGGUAAAUCGCUCUAUGUUUGGACGGAUCCUUGGUGUGAUUUUGGUGGCAGAUGGAACCCAUGGAUGAUGAAUCCAAUCAUUAAUCUGGAUAUGAAGGUUAGUGAGCUUAUAAACCAAGAGACAUGUGAUUGGAGAAGAGAUGUUCUGGAGGCGAAUUUCUUCCCUGGAGACGUGGACAUAAUCCUUAAAAAGAAAACGGUGGUCUCGGUGGAGGACUUUGGUGUUGGAAACAUAAUCGUAGUGGGGAGUACACUGUCAGAUCAGGGAAUUGGCUGGCAUCUCAAUCUCUUUUGAAAGAAGAGUUUCAAGAAGCAAGAAUGCAACCUUCAAUCAAUUGUCUUAAAGAAGCAACCUGGCAUGCUGCAACUUCGCCAAAGAUUUAAAUGUUUUUGUGGAGAGCUUUAUCAGGUAUUAUCCCAGUGGCUAAGUUCACUGAGGAGUCGAGGAAUGAAGGUUGAUUCUGUAUGUCAGCACUGUGGAGUACAAACAGAAACUCCGAAUCAUGUGCUAUUCACCUGUGAUGUGGCCAGACAAGUGUGGGCUCUAUCCAACUUUCCAUCUCCUUUAAACGGGUUUCACUCUGAUUCUAUCUUUGUGAAUUUCCACUACCUAUUCCAAAUGAGCAAGAAUAUAAGGAUACCUCGAGAGAUCAGAAGUUGUUACCCUUGGAUUAUGUGGUUCCUUUGGAAGAAUAGAAACAAACUAUUGUUUGAAGGAUCUGAGUUUAAGGUUGUGGAGAUUGUCGACAAAGAUUAUGAUGAAGCCGCUGUUUGGUUUAAAGCGCAAAAAUUAGACAGAGAAGGAGAAAAAUGUGACAUGGAGCUAGAACUGUCUCUGAAAAGAACCUGGAGUAAACCCGCUAGGAACUGGAAGAAAUGUAACUAUGGAUUCUCGUGGUCUAAGCGGAAGAAGCUGUUGGGAGCGGCUUGGAUUGUUAGAGACUACAGGGGUGAGUCUCUUCUGCAUAGUAGAAGAUCUUUUGCGAAUGUGUUGGAUUUACAAGAGGCAAAGAUGAUUGUUCUAUGCUGGACCUUGGAAUCUAUGGCUGCUCAUCGACUAGAUAAUGUCAUAAUAGCUGGGGAGGAUGCUACACUACUCAAAGUGAUCGAAUGACCAAGAGCUUGGCCUUCCUUUACUUUUGAGUUUCAGACUCUUAAUAUACUUUUGAAUAGAUUCAGUGGCUCUAAUAGAUGUGCCUUUUCCAUGGCCGAAAGUGCCCAGCAAGUGCAGUGGGGUCAAUCCUAUGUAGCCAUAGGUGCUCCUAGGUGGUUAGCCGAUGUUCUUUUGGAUGACAAAGGUUAAAUCUGUUAUGAGCUUAUUCCCUGUUUCUUAGCAGGUUGUACUUUUUUGGUUAGUACUUGUUUGUGGUCCUUGUAUAUUUUUUAUUACUUCUGGUCCUUAGUACCAUGUUGUAGUGUGGUAAUACUUGUAUGUACUUAGUUCUCUUGGCUGGUAAGCCUUAAUGGAAUGAUCUUUUGAGGAAAAAAAAUAUAUGUGUUGUAAAUGAUGGAUAAUAACUAUUUAUGCCAUGUAAAAAUCAUGCAACGUGAAAUAUACUAACAUACGAAUGGUUGUGUGCAGAAAAAAAAUUAAGAAGCGAUAAAAAGUUUUAGAAGAAAAUACUCGAAUUGUGUUCACUCAGAACUCAUUUAAAAAAAACAAGGAGGUGAUGAUAAUAUAUCAAAUUCCAACGAGAGAUAACAAUAGUUUUUUUUUUUGAGAUAACAAUAGUUAUUACAUUAUCCUUCCUCUAUUUCUGGAUAAGUAUCACUUUAGCAUUUUUUUUUUGUUACAUAAAAAAUGCCAUUCUACAAUUCCAAUGCAAUUUAUAAUCAAUUUCAAUCAAAUAUUAAUUGUAAAAUACAUUGAUCUUAUAAAUAAAUAUGUUUAUCUCAAAUACUAAGGUUAACUAGUUGUAAUUAAUAAAAACAUAAAUACAUUUUAAUUAUUUUUAACGUGUAAAAAGUGUCUAAGUGAUAUUCUUUAUGAAACGGAGAGAGUAUAACCAAAAUCAGUCAAAAGAAACUACCAUAAAAAUUUCCUAGGGAGGUUUUCUCCAUCUCUAUUGCUUACUUUGUUUCAUAUUUUACCUCACGAUAAGUUUCUGAUCUAUUUUCAAAAAAGGAAAAGUUUCUGAUCUAAAAUCAACAUCUCGGAUAUUAAUAUAACUGGGCUAAAUUUCCUCAGCUAUUAUUUAAGACCCACUGUGGGCUAUAUAACAUAUUUCUUAUGAAACAAUGAGUUGGGUCGGUUGAUGCAUCAUACCAUCUGAGUGGCACUACUACAUCGCCAAAGAUAUUUGGAUAUUAUUGGAUUGGAUCCUACUACUGCUCCAGGCCUUUAACAAAUUACCCACGAAAAUUGGUGAAGUUCAUUGUUGAGGAUUCAUCCUAUAAUUUUGGCUCAAUUCAAUAAUCACCUUAAGCCUAACCGGAUCAAAUCAAUCACAGAAUCAAGCAAGAAAGAAAUAAGAACACACGAGAUUUUGUUUACCCGGUGUUCACCGCACUUUUCCGAUGUGGAGAAGCCGCUAUACAUCACCGGGGAGAGAAACGGUCUCUCAACCAAUCCACUAUAACCAAUGUGAUUACAUAGUACGUCAUCAGAGGUUUCACUCGUCUUCUUCCUCUCUCGAUUACACCUAAUCCGAGUUACAAGAUUGAGGAAAAAGAACAAGACUAUGAGACUAGAUACACCUGAGAACCUCCUCUCUCUCUCUAGCUCUAUCUCUCACCAACUCAACCUCUCUCUCUCAUCUCGAGCUCUCGCAUCUUCCAUCUCGAGCUCUCGGUCUCUGUUUCUGUUACGAUGGUCACGAUGAAGAAGAUGAUCUUGAUACCCAGAAAAUAUCCAGCUGAGAUAAUAACAACUCACGUGCUCCUCAUGUGCAUAUCAUUAACUUUAGUAAAACCUUCUGCUGGACCAAGAGUCUUUCCUUCACUCAGCAUAUUCGAACCUUCUGUUUGGCUUAGAAGGUUAGGAGAUUGAUCACAUAAUCCCACAAUUCUCCACCUUGGCGUCAAUCUUCUAUAGCCCCAAACUCCUCUUGAGCUUUCCUCCGGUGAUUGAGUAGACUUGCUCAUCUUCUGUAUCUCCCUGCAUCUCCUUGCAGUCUCCUGAGAAAAUAUAUUCCUCAGCUUCAUACUUCUCUGAAUAAAACCCAUUCAGCUUCAUCUUACUUUGAGCUUCAGCGCUCAGCUUCAACGCUUCCUGAAACUUGUUUCCUCCAACAUCUAUCUUGAUAAACCUGAAGACUUCCUUGCCACUGCUCCAUGGAAACUUUAAACCCAGCUCCAGCCUUGAUAACUCCCAAUCUUCAAUCACUGAAUCAGCAUCAAUGAACCAGACAUGUAAUUUGUUGUGAUGUGAAUCACAAUCUCAUUCCUGUGUCAAUAACACACACACGCCUUCUUAAGUUUCUUUUCCCAGCACUCCACACACUUGUGUCACGCCAAACUUCUUCAUUGAUCUUCCUUUGGCUCUUUCCAUAACCUGGAAACUUGAGAAAACCACACACCAGUAACUCAACGUACACUCCAUAAGCUUUUCCUUUGACUAGUAUAGAUCAGCCUAUGAUGCUUGACUUGUUACUGCAACUUAGGUCUUCAAAUAGUCUGCCAAAACCUGAAACGAUACUUUCUUGAAACUCUCGUAGAAACUGAAUCACCACUGCCGCACACCAGAAGCACUUUGACUCAAGAAACCUUGUAGACAACCUCAACAGCUAGUAGAAACUCACUGCUUAUCCUGAAGUUUUCCUCUACACCAAUCUGUCUGAACUUUAAACCUGAACAUCACUCUGCACUGCUGCUUUGACCAGCAGAACACGCCACCUAACUCAACCCGGUUAAGAAGACUUUCGAUGUAGAGAUCUCUGCUCAAACCCUGCUCAAACAAAUCUGCCUCAACAGAACUUCAGACAACAAAUCUGACCACCUGCUGACUUCUUUAUCCCUGCCUCAUACUCACAAAACCUGUGAAAAUUCGUGAGACACCUUUGCGGUAGCAAAGAACCUGUGCUUCGCUGACCUGCGAACCUUACCAGAACUUGGUAUACAAACGUCCCUGCCUGUUUCAGACUUUACCGAGAACUCCAUUUUCCAGUAGCUCAAUCCUUCUUGUACUCUUUUGUGACAGUACCAGCAACACUUGCUCUUUGUCUCCUUGUAGCUACUCUUAGACAACUCCCUGAGCUUGUUCAGCUUGGCUAUUGACUCAAACAGCUCCACCUUGAACUGUUUUUCCGGUCCCUGUGAAUACCUGCAAAAAAUAAACCUCACAAGUAUUUUAUAUAUCGAUUAAUCAUACCAGUUUUGACUCUGCCUUGAUGUCCUUGAACUCCAUGCUUUCUGUGGAGAACCCAUACGGACACUGCCAACAUCCUCUUCACAUCUCGGACCACAAGCUGAACCCCUUUACUCCAUUUGCUUAUACCCUGUUGAGAUUUGAACCGGCUGACACUGACUUGGCUCUCUUUUACUCUUCUUACUGCACAAAACCCAACCUGAAUCUCUGUAGCUCUUGAAAGCUUAUCCGCAGAACCUUUGAAACCUUUUCAAACUGAAGUAGACCUAAGAACACUGUCUGAAACAUAACACUGCUCCACCUGAAACAAUAAACUUUCAAAACCACGAUGUGUUUCUUCACACAUAACUUCACUUCUCACACCUAUAACCAUCCUGCACUUUCUUCUUUGAUUCCUUUAACUGCUUUGUGUAGCUGACUGUAAACAUGGCUUCUUGCUUCUGAAAACUAUUCCAGACCUUAUCAAAAAAUAUCUUCAUUAUGCAGCCAUUCAACUUUAGUCACUAGUACCAGAACCACCAAGUGUCGCAACUUCUUCCAAGCUUCCCAAUCUGAUUUUAGUACCACCAAACUGACUGUGCUCCAACCUAUUAUAGUCUCUGCCAACAACACAUCUUCACAGAACACUUUAAACCCUGUGAAACUCUUCUGAAUUUAACCCAUCAGAACCUGUGGCCUCUGCACUUGUCUCAUAUUCUCCAACAAUCUUAUCACUGAAGAAACCUCAAUAUGUCUUUAAUAAAAAAUUUCUAAAACUUCCCUAAAACAGAACCUUAGCAAAAAACUGAGACGUUUUACACAGUCUUGAACUUGUAGCCUCCGUGUCCAGACCAUAACCAGCAUAACCAGGUGUUUAGAUUUAUUUUCCUUGAGCCAUGACCAGAAACUUGUUUCUUCUCUUUGGCUCCUUGUAACUGAUAUUCUAUCAGUCUCUCUCUUUAAGAAAUCAUUACUUCUAACCGUCUGCAGAAACGCCUUGAGAGAGACAAUUAAAAACCUCUACCACGAGUGUGAGAGACAAGGUUUCACUUCUUAGAUUUAGGUUAGGUCAAGAGAGAUGAAUGAGAAUCGUNNNNNNNNNNNNNNNNNNNNNNNNNNNNNNNNNNNNNNNNNNNNNNNNNNNNNNNNNNNNNNNNNNNNNNNNNNNNNNNNNNNNNNNNNNNNNNNNNNNNNNNNNNNNNNNNNNNNNNNNNNNNNNNNNNNNNNNNNNNNNNNNNNNNNNNNNNNNNNNNNNNNNNNNNNNNNNNNNNNNNNNNNNNNNNNNNNNNNNNNNNNNNNNNNNNNNNNNNNNNNNNNNNNNNNNNNNNNNNNNNNNNNNNNNNNNCCCACAUGCUAGCUCACGCUUAUCGGUACCUCACCUGAGAGUCAUAUUCGGGUCCAACAGUUGCCCCCAGCUUCCGAAUAAAAUCCUUUGUCUCGGAAGCUAGAAUCUAGCUAUCGAUCUUAUCUUUUCGUUGAGAUAAUGAUUAGUUCUUAUCCUAUUUAGAUUCGGCUUACCCGAUCUAACGGUCUUUAUUACGUUUGGCAGAAUCUACGGUUCAGAUGGAGAGGGUUUGAAAUGACUUUUCCAAUUCUCGAGAGGUGAUGGGAUAUAAAGCUGUGAACAUUAACUGCUAGCCUCCCACUUUCUCCACGCCUCCGUUCGGUUUCCAAGGUAACUUCUCUCCUCUCUCUUUAUUUUACUGCGAUUUCUAUUCUUUUUUUUUAUCUUCCUCGUUACUUUUCUCUGCAAAUUCUCUCCCAAACCUUGCAAUCGAUUUUCUCCUUAACCUUCCCGUACUAUGGAUCAUCCGAAAGAAGGUUCCGGGGAAUCCGGGAUGCCUCCCUCUGCUUCUGGAGCUAAACUACUGAAAGUUAAGCAAGAAGUCGGAGCCAAGAUGAGGAAGGGGAAAAAGACAGCCAGGGAGGCAAUCGCGACCAGAAUUUCUAAACGGAAGAAGAAAGACGAUUCUAGCGGGAGCAGUCCUCACUCGCCUUCGUUGCUGAAAAAUCAAGACGUGGUUAACCUCAUGGUUCAAGCUCUCGGCCAAAAGGAGCUUGGCCGUGCCUGUAAUUCCGACGAAACCCCCGAGACCGCUCCGGAGGGUUGGUUCUGUUGCCAUGAGAAGUACAUCUCCAAGUCUCACUUGAGAUUUCCUCUUCCGACCCUACUGCUUGAUCUACUAGAUCAUUAUCAGUUAGCCCUUUCCCACUCUGUCCCUCGGUUAUCCGGGUGAUAAACGGCUUUAUCACUAGGUCCAAAGAGGAGGGGGUUAGCGUCGGUCUUACCGAACUUAUGAGCCUCUUUUCCCUGAAGGAAAGCGCCUCUAAGGAGGGUGGUACCGGGACCUACUACCUCCCUAGUCGUCCCAAUCAUGUUAUCUUCAGAUUCUCUAGUAGUGAUGAUGACUGGAGGAAGAAGUACUUUUACGUUAAAGUUGAUCCUUCGACGGUUCCUGUGGGUCGGAACCUUAGGGUCACUUGGACUAAUCCAUCUGGUUAGGAAUUCUAGGGAUAUGCUUUUUCCGUUUUAUUCAUUUAUGGCCGAGUAACCUUUUUGCUCUGAUUUACUUGCAGAAAUCGAAGAUCCUCCGAAGCUCUCUACCAAGCUCACCAGAGCUCUAUACCGCAAGUUGCAGCAGAGUCCCUGUACCUGGGUAGCCUACACCACUUCUCGAAUAAGUGCAGCCAGAUUCCCAGAUACCUACAACGCCUCUUUCCAAGAUCCCAUUCCUACUGAGAACCUUGAGAGUAAGUUCUUGUUCGAACCUUUUUAAUGAUUUUAUCGCCUUGAAGUUUUCAAACUUAAGGAUUUCCAUUGUUCCAGUUUCGGCAGGCGAUUCAGUUGUAUCGAUCUCAACUGGUGCUAGUGCUUCGGGAACUGAAAAGUCUCAGCCAGGUGACAUGACUCUGCGACCAUCAUUCCGUUCUAGGGGUAACCCCUCUAAAGCUGCCAGUGCUUCUCGUGGAAGCGACAGGAACCAAGGAGGAUCGUUCCUUAUCUCAAUGAAGGAAGUUUUGGACGACGGAGGAUCCAAACCUGUUGUCGAGACUACUCCAACUGAGGUUAUAGCUCAGGAUGCUGCUCCUCUCCCUGAGGUCCAGGUGCCGGAGGCUGACUACCAGGCUCCGAAGGGUACCUCUGAGGUCGAGCCGUCGAGACACAAGAGGCCCAGGACCGAUCAGGGCGGAGCUCCCACCCGUUCUUCUUCCUCGUCCUCUAGAGGAGGGACUGUUGGGUGGAGCUUUACCCAUUCGAAGCCUGGGUCGAUCCUGGACGACUCUUGGGGCCUAGCUGCGAUAAUGAGGCACCUGAAGAGCGUGGGAUGUCCCCUUCCAGCGCUCAAUGACCUGACUAACCGAGAUGAGUAUCUCGAUAUUGCUCACUGUAUGGGUCAGGUACGUGAUCUCUAUCUGUUCUUUGUUUACAUUCUUUGGAGACGAUGAUAUAUAUUUUUUUUGGAUUUAUUGCAGUUGGCUGGGGCUGUUAACAGGGCCCAGCUCAGGUUUGAGAAUGCUCUGUAUGCUGCCCCCAAUGCUGGUGAACUUGCUGAGGUUACCGAGAUGGUUAAGGCAGCCAAAGCCGAUCUUGACCAAGCCCGGGUUCGAAUUUCUGAACUCGAAGCCGAAGUGACGAGGCUAGGCUCGAAGGCCGAUGCUCAGCAAGGAGAGAUCGAGAGUCAAAAGCUCGAUAUCCAGGUGAAGAGCAGGAGGAUCAAUGAUUUGGAGGCUGCUCGAAAGAUAGCUGAGCAUCAAGUACGUGAGCUCAUUGCCUCAUCCCAGGAUAGCCAGAAGAACAAGGAAGCUGAAGUCAAGCUGGCUGUCAGGGAAGGGAAGAAAGAAGUCGCCGAAGCUUACGGCAAGAUCCUGGUCUGUGUUAAGGAGAAGUUUGCUAGGAAGAAAGAUGAGGUCAACGCCUUGGUGUACGCUCAGGAGCUCCAAGCUAAUGCCGACCUCUUGAAGGAUAUGCUGAACAACAAGAUCCAAAGCGUUGAAGAGGAGUACAACCAAUUGGUGGCCUUAUUACCAGAAGCGACAACUGCGUAUGAGAAGGCUCAAGUUUCUGACUUCUCGGUCAGCAAGCUUCCUCUUCCCCAGAUCUCGGAGAGUUCAAGUACUUUCGAGAUUAACAUGUUUAAUCCAUCUUUUUCUGGGGAGUAUGGCUCUAAUUUGGGUUUGAUGGCUCCUGACUUAGCUCCAGUCGAGGCAGCUAUAGGAAGUGAUGGCAAUGUGGUCGAUGAGGGAGUUCCUGCCGGUGCUGGUGAUCCGAUUCAGGAAGAGAAGGAAGAUUGAGAGCUACGGCUCUUUUAGCUUUAUGUUUUGUGUUUUUAAGACUUCAGCCUAAGGGCUUUGUUUCGUUAUGCAUUAUGACUUAGUGCCUGAGGAGGCCUUUAAACCUUAACACUUGCUGGAUUUCAAUAGCCUGGGGAGGCUUUUAAACCCUUUCUUAUGUUUAAAUCGUGGCUAUUAUUUCUGUUUUAAGUUUUUGAACUUAACCUCGUUUCAUUUAAUCAUAGUGAUUGCGAGUCUCGGAUGAGUUGUGUGCUGUCAUCGUCGAGUCGGAUUAGGACCUUUAGUCUUAAUUUAUGAUAAGCAUUUAGCUUAAUGGAUAUUCGGUCGUGAUAACCUUAAAGAGAAGUUCUUGAUUUUAGCUCGGGGACCUGAGUCCGAUUCGAAAGGUUCUGGGACCUGGUUAUUCAGGUUCGUAGGAACCUGGAUUUAGAUUCAUAGGGACCUGAGUUAAUUCGAAGGACUUCGAGGCCUUUGGAGUUUAACGGAUGGAAUUGAGGAAUUUCGGGAUUUUCCUGAUUCUUUAGGAUUUUAAGACCUUUCGAUUUUGAUUAGGAUUUUAGGACCUGGUUGAUUGUUAAGGAUUUUGCGGCCUUAGCAGUUGUCAAGGAUUUUAGGACCUUGUUGAUUGUUAAGGAUUUUGAGACCUUAGUUUAUGUUAAGGAUUUUAGGACCUUGCUGAUUGUUAAGGAUUUUAAGACCUUAGUUUAUGUUAAGGAUUUUAAGACCUUUGGGUGUAUUAAGGAUUUUAAGACCUUUGGGUGUAUUAAGGAUUUUAAGACCUUAGGUUCAGGUUUUCAGGGACCUGAAUGUAUUCGAGAUUGUUGAGCUUAGGUCCCGAUUUAGGGGGACCUGAAUUUUCUUGGAGGGUUUUAAGACCUUUGAUGUUUAUGAAACUGAAUCAAUCGUUUUAUUAAUAUCAGAUAUCAGAGAAUACAUGAUUCAGAUUAUUUACACAGUAACUAUUUUUAGGCUAAGUGUUCUUGGUAACACCUGCCCCUUUGGCUUAGGUGAGGAGGUUGGUGAGAAGAGGUUGGGGCUGCACUCAUGACGGAGUUGCCUACGUACCCAGUCAAGGGAUCAAGCCAAACGUAGUUCAGGGGUUUUAGGUACCUAAUGAUAGUAUCUUUUGAGGUUCGUGGCAUUCCACGAUCGGAUUUCGGGUACCCCGGUUCGUACCUUCUGGAGUUUGUAAACUCCGGGUCGUACUAUGUGGAUAAUUCGGUAGGGUCCUUCCCAGUUGGUUCCUAACUUUCCAGCUCCCGGUUCCUUUGUUCCUUCGAACACUUUCCUAAGCACUAGGUCCCCUACGGCGAACUGUCGGGGCCUUACUUUGGAAUUGUAGUGUCGUGCCAUUGCUUGCUGAUAAUUUUGAAUGCGAAGCAAGGCUUGGUCUCGUCUUUCCUCGAUCAAGUCGAGGCUAUCCAUCAGGAGCAGGUUAUUAGCUGCGGGAUUUGAGGUGCAGAGCUCCCGUCUGAGGCUACCUGCGGUGGUUUCUGCUGGGACGACAGCUUCCAUCCCAUAAGCUAAGGAGAAGGGAGUUUCCUCUGUAGCUUUUCGUGGGGUGGUUCGGCAGGCCCAUAGUACUUCGGGUAGUUUUUCCGACCAAAGCUCCUUUUGGGCUCCUAGGCGUUUCUUGAGGUUUGCUAAAACUGAUUUGUUGGCAGCCUCCGCAUGUCCGUUCCCUUGAGGUCGCCGAGGUGAUGAGAAGGUGAGGCGGAUGUUCCAUUUAUCGCAGAAACUUUUGAAGUCGUGGGAUAUGAACUGUCCUCCAUUGUCGGUUACGAUUUCGUAUGGGACGCCAUGCCUGCAUACGAUGUUUUUCCAAACAAAUCCUUCGACCUCGAAUCUGUUUAUUUGUUGGAAAGCUUCAGCUUCAAUCCAUUUCGUGAAGUAGUCGGUUAGGACCAGGAGGUUUAGUAACUUCUUUCCUUUCCCUGAAGGUACUAAUGGACCUAUAAUGUCCAUAGACCACCUCAUGAACGGAUAGGGAGCUGAUAUGUUAGACAGCUUUUCCGCUGGUUGGUGUAUGAUCGGUGCAUGCCUUUGGCAUUUGUCGCACGAUGAGGAGUAGAUCUCACAAUCUGCGAUAAUGGUAGGCCAGAAGUAGCCUUGUCUUUUUAUUCGGAUGGCUAAGGCUCUGCCUCCGGAAUGGUUUCCACAGGAACCGUCGUGCAUUUCCUUCAUGAGUUUCAUACCUACUAGGCCGUGAACGCAUUUUAGGUAAGGUCCGGAGACACUUCGUUUGUGGAGGGCUGACUCGAUUAUACAGUAUCUUGCUGCUAAAGCUUUGAGUUUUCGAGCCUCCCACUUGUUGGGUGGAAUUUUUCCCUCUAGGAUGUAAUCCAUGAUCGGUAUUCUCCAGUCUUCUCUCCCUACAACUUUGUUGUGAAGAGGGGAGGGAGAUUCCUGUUCGGGACCUGGUGCCGUGGUGCCCCCGGAGAUAUUCGUUGGAGUAGGUUAUAGGUUCUGAGGAAUAUCUCCAAUUUCCUCGUUAUCCCCUGUGGUUUGUGUAGCGUUCCUAGAUGCGUUUUUAAGAGCGGUGUGGCUUCUUGUUUGGACUUUAUAGACAAGUGGCUCCGAGGUCUGGAUGGUGCCCCCGGAGGUACUCGUGGAGUUAGGCUCUAGGGAGUCUGAACUUUGGUGAGUACCUUCACUUUUGUCGUUGUUUUCCGGGUUCUGGGUUGCUUUCCUGGAGGUGUGCUUUCUAAAGCUGCGUGUUCUAGUUUUCGGGAACCAGUAUGUCGUGAAAACUUGGGUAGCUACCGUCGGGAGGCUGUUAUCCUCUAUUUUUUCCUUUGGUUUGCUAUCCAUCUCAGCCUUGGUAGCUAUGUCGAUACUUGGCUUCUCGAUUCCUUCCACGGGUAUAAUUCGUUUUACGAGAGGGUCGGAUGUGGAAGCUAACGCGGCGAGCGCGUCUGCUGAGGAGUUCUCCCCUCGUGGGAUCCUCGUUAGCUCGAACUUGUCAAACUGCUUUGUGAGGUUUAGGACGACCUCGAGGUAUGCCCCCAUUCUUUCGUCCCUUGUUUCGUAUUCCCCGUGAAACUGGCUAGCUACCAGCUGCGAGUCGCUAUAGGCGUUUAGCUCCCGAAUUCCGAGGCUCAGGGCGAGCUUUAAUCCAGCGAUUAGUGCUUCGUACUCGGCCUCGUUGUUGGAAGCGUUAAAUCCAAGUCUAUAGGAUUGUUCGAUGGUUUCUCCGGCUGAGGAGGUUAGUCUUAAACCGACACCGGAGCCUUGCCUUGACGAGGCUCCGUCCACGUAUAGGCUCCAUUUCGGAACCUCUGUUUCCUGGUCUAGAUGUUCGGAUGCUAGCUCAAUAACGAAAUCGGCGAGGACCUGAGCUUUUGCUGCUGCUCGGGGUCUGUACUCGAUGUCGUAUUCGCUGAGCUCUAUAGCCCAUUUGGCUAAUCGUCCGGAUUGGCUAGGGCUAUGCAGAAUCGUCCGUAAUGGUUGUGAGGUCAUUACGAUGAUCGAGUGCGAUUGGAAAUAAGGUCGCAGCUUCCUGGCAGCUGUCACGACUGCUAGGGCUAGUUUUUCCAUGGUGGGGUAUCUCGUCUCGGCGUCUAUUAAGCUUUUGCUAGUAUAAUAGACAGGUCUCUGUUCGUUUUGUUCCUCUCGUACUAGCACUCCGCUGACUGCAGCUGCCGACACGGCGAGGUACAGGUACAGUGGUUCUCCUACUACAGGUUUGGAUAGUAUCGGAGGUUCCGAGAGGUAAGCCUUCAGCUGUUUGAAGGCUUCUUCGCACUUUUCAUCCCAUAAGAACUUCUUAUUAUUUUUCAGAAGUUUAUAGAAUGGAAGGCAUUUAUCGGUGGAUCUAGAGAUGAAUCGAUUUAGUGCUGCGAUCCGUCCGGUCAAUCUUUGUACCUCUCUGGUCGUUUUAGGUGAUGGAAUUUCCAGGAAUGUCACUAUUUGUUUCGGGUUGGCUUCAAUGCCUCUUUCGGUUACGAGGUACCCUAGGAAUUCGCCGGAAGGUACUCCGAAGGUACACUUAGCUGGGUUUAGCUUCAUGUCGUAUUUGUUGAGGAUUUCGAAACAUUCUCUUAGAUGGGAGAUGUGGUCCUCCCCCUUUGAGGAUUUGACUAACAUGUCGUCGAUGUAGACUUCCAUGGUUUUUCCGAGUUGUCCAGCGAACAUUUUAUUUACUAACCUUUGAUAGGUAGCUCCCGCGUUUUUCAAACCAAACGGCAUGACCUUGUAACAAUAGGUUCCUCGUUCAGUUAUGAAUGCGGUUUUCUCUUGAUCCUCAGGAUCCAUCAUAAUCUGGUUAUAUCCUGAAAAGGCAUCCAUAAAGGACAAGAGCUGGUGUCCAGCCGUUGCUUCGACCAAACGAUCGAUAUGAGGUAACGGGAAGCUGUCUUUAGGACAGGCUUUGUUUAGAUCGGUGAAGUCUACGCAGAUUCUCCAUUUCCCAUUCUUCUUUUUUACUACCACUGGGUUAGCUAGCCAAUCGGGGUAUUGUACCUCUUGGAUGGACCCGGCCUUUGUUAGUCGAUCGACCUCGUCGUUGACAGCUUGGGCUUUUUCUAGACCUAGCUUACGACGUUUUUGUUUGAUCGGUUUAAAAGUAGGGUCUACAUUGAGCUUAUGAGUGGUGACAUUUGCAUCUAUGCCUUUCAUGUCGCUGGUGGUCCAUGCAAAGGUUUUGAUAUUCUGUUUUAGGAAUUCGACGAGCUCCUUUUUGGUUUCGAGAGGUAGCUCGGAUCCGAUGCUCACCUGUUUCUCAGGGUUUGAGUCGUCGAUGCUAACUUUUUCGGUGAGGUUCUUAGGGGGACCUUGGAUAUUUCGUUGCAUUUCGCGACUCAACUGGAUCUGUAAUUGCUAUUGGGGGGAUUCUUUUAUGAUCUCGAAUCCUCCCAGGUAACAGAUCCUUGAAAUCUUUUGGCUACCGUGUAUGGUAGCUAUUCCGUUGGUUGUUGGAAAUUUCACGCAUUGGUGAUAAGUUGAAGCUACUGCUUUCAUCUUAUGAAUCCAAGGCCUUCCGAGGAUUGCGUGGAAAGGGGAUGGUUUGUCGACAACUAUGAAGUUGGUCAUUUUCAUGACUCCGCCAGCUAUAAUUGGGAGCUUAAUCGUUCCCAAUGAGGUGGCUGUUUCACCUGAGAAACCUACGAGGUUGCAUUUGUGGUCGACAAUUUCGUAGUCGUCUAUUUCCAUUCCCUUUAGUGCGUUGUAGAAAAUAAGAUCGACGGAGCUUCCGGUGUCGAUCAUGAGCUUAGGUACCUCGUACCCUGCUAUAUUUAAUGUUAUGACAAGGGCAUCAUCAUGAGGUCUAUCGAGGUCUAAUGUCUCACUCUCCCAGAAAGAGAUCUUAGUGUUAGACUCAGGCUUGGUCGGUUUGGACUGAGUGUUUGACACAGCUUUCCGUACGUGACUUUUAAUAGAGUUAACAGAGUCUCGACACACAUCGGACCCUCCAAGGAUGUAAUCGACCCUUGAGCCAGGGCUCGAUUGGGGAGGUGGUUUACUCAAGAGGGCCUCGAUUUGUAGGCUUUUUCCUUGUGGAAACUUUCCAAGGAUCAUAUCGACUCUCUUUUUGGGAGCUGGGGGUGGUGAGUCUGUUUCUUUUUCAGGUGACCUCUCGCGUUUCGGAGAGCUAUCUCUGGGACCUCUCUUCUGAUAAGGUUGUGGCUUUUUGAGGUCCACAUCUUUUAUUUCUCCGGCUGCGAAUUUAGCAGCCAGUUGUCGUUGGAGGUCCCAACGUUCUUCGGUUGAAUGUCCCUUUCGAUCGUGGUAAGAGCAAUGUUUGCUCUCGUCAUAACCUUUGGACCAGGGGGCUUUAGCUGUCGCGGCGACAGGUUUUUCUUCCUUGUCUUCCUCGACUACGUAAGAAUGUUCUCCCUGGGUCUGAUUAUUUCGGGAGCUACCUCUUUUGUGAGGUCCCUUUCCAUCGGAGGCUUCGCCUUUCGGGUGACUCUGGGGUUUUCUGUGGAGCUUAUCUAAUGCUGCCAUUUCCUCCUCCAAGGUAAUGUAUCUAGAGGCCUUAUGGAGGGCGUCGUCGAUAGUUGGAGGGGGAUUUAGCGUUAGCUCCGAGAAGAAACCUGAUUUAUACCAGAGACCUCUCCUAAGAGCCUCAAUGGCUACCUGAUCGUUGGGAUUCGAGAGUUUAGUUCUUACUGCUCUGAACUUUUCGAUGUAGACUCGCAGUGAGUCUCCCAGUCCUUGUCUGAUCUUCCAGAGGUCAGCCUCAGACGCUUGUUUCAGGAUGUGAGUUGAAUAUUGCUUCAUAAAGGCGUUAGCCAAUUGAUCGAAACUGUCUAUAGAGUUCGGCUCGAGGCUGGAGAACCAUUCGAGAGCUGUUCCGAUCAGGUUUUCGGCAAAUGUUCUGCAAUAUCCUGCAUCACACUCUUCCUUUGUGAAGUGAGCUUUAACGAUAGCUAAUCGGAAGGCUCUUAAAUAGGCCUUUGGGUCUGCGUUCCCAUCAUACUCAGGAAUCUUAAUUUUUUGAGUAUCUCUUAUGUAAGAGUUGGCAAUUCUAUCGGUGAACGGAGUUCCACGAGUCUCCUCAAUUAAGCUCUCGAUUUCGGGAGCUGAGCUUGUUACCUUGUGAACUUGAGCUCCCAAUUUCUGGAGAGCUGUGUGGGUUCGCUCCAUGUACCUGCGAAUUGCGUCAGGUCCCUCGAAGGGAAGGACAUUUGGGUCAUUAUUAGAUACUCGGCGAGCAGGUUCCUGGUGAGACCGAACUCGGUCGUCUUCCCAGCUAGCUGGCGAAAUAGGUCGCUCAUUGGUCCUUAGGCUCCGAGCGAGGUUAGUGCGGAGAGCUGCAGGAUCAGCAUCCGUCCUUUGGUAUUCGUCUGUGCUUGGGGUUGAAACCCUAGCUUGAAACACCGAAGCUGAUGUUCUGCCCCCGGACGGUAUGUUGGUUCCUGCUCCAGACCCGGAAGGAGGUGGCGGUGGAGGCAAACGGGUGCUCCCACUGGUGUUUCGAUCAGGCAUGGAGCUAGUUGUAGCUACAUUGCUCCCCAUGGUGCUGGUGAUAGGAGGGGUAAACGCAGGAGCUGUCCUAGCGCGAGGCGUUUGGAAAGCAGGUUCCUGCCCUUCUGCACCUGGGCUAUCAGGGGAGAAGUUCAGGCGCUCUCUAGGGAAGGAAGGGUCAGCUAACCGUUCAUGGAAAGUGACUCCUCUUCCCUGGUGGACGGACGGUUGGGUCGUUGCGGANNNNNNNNNNNNNNNNNNNNNNNNNNNNNNNNNNNNNNNNNNNNNNNNNNNNNNNNNNNNNNNNNNNNNNNNNNNNUGAGAUCUGGUUAUCUCUUCGAACUGUUGCUGCCGUUCGGCUAACUGUUGCACCGUUCGCUCGGUCUCUUGAGCUUUGUCUACUAACUGGAGCAUCAUCCGACGGAUCUCAGAAAGCCGAUCUUCCGUUUGGUUCGGAGCGGAUUGAUGCGAUGGGUUAUUGAGGGCUGAGGACCCAGAGUUGGUCCCUCCGGAGGCUCUCGGGUUAUUUGCCCCCGGAGCAGUGCGAUUCGGUGAGCUAUUGCUCUGGUUCGAUUGAUCGGGGUUAGAUGGAUUCGUUCCGUCUAAUGGAUUCAUCCUUUAAGCUUUAGAGAAAGGGAUUCGAUUAUUUGUCCCCACAGACGGCGCCAAUUGUGAGAGACAAGGUUUCACUUCUUAGAUUUAGGUUAGGUCAAGAGAGAUGAAUGAGAAUCGUGGGCUGAAUCCCGUAAAUAAACUUGAAGAAUGAAUAUGAUUUUAUUGAUGAGUUGAAAGAUGAUGAAUACAAAGGAAUGUAUCUUGAGAUGAUUACUAAAGAAUACGUAAUGCUUUUAAUCUAGUACAAAAGUUGAUAUAUGGAAAAGGGAUGGAUUGUCUUUUAUCUUCUCCGUCUUUAUAUAGUCUAGGUUUCGUUGGCAGCUCUUCAACUGUUCUCCGAGAUAUUCGGCUUCAAUUACGGAACUCGCUUUAGGCUCCUCUUGACCGAGUCUCUGAAGGUGUUAGCUCACUUUCUGUCGUGACCUCUGCUAUGAUGUCUCCCAGGUCCAGUCGUCAGCUCGGCUUUCAGCUCCCUUUGUUAUGAUGGGCUUAUCGCAACCCACAUGCUAGCUCACGCUUAUCGGUACCUCACCUGAGAGUCAUAUUCGGGUCCAACAUUUAUAUCCACAUUCACGUCUACAACCACUUUUAUGUUCAUUUUUUUUAACAAUACUAUUUGUGUAGAUUUUCUUUCCCAAUAUAAAUGUCAUAUUCUCUUUAAGAGAAGGGAUCAUAAUCAACUAUACGUGAUUUAUAAUCUUACAUCAAUAGUUCAUUGGUUUUCUGAGUCUCAAGGACACAAGUAUAAACUUCUUUAAUCUAUUUUCUCAAUCAUGUGUCUGCUGGACAACAUUAUUUGUGUGAAAAAUAUAUAUUUUUCCAUAUCUAUGCAUCAUUAAAAAAAAUUCUGAAAUUUUAUUUUUUAAACUUAAAAACCAACAUAGUUGGGAUUUAUUUACAGACUUCAGGUCUUAUAAUCUUUAGAUUUACAGACUUCAGGUCUUAUAAUCUUUAGAUGCAAGAUACACAAUGAGCUUUAGAUAAUCACUUCCGGUGAUUAUACCUUUUUUUUGGAUUAUUUUCUAAAACUUAUAGAUCUUUUAAAAAGUAAAUAAGCUAUAUAUGUAUAUAUUUGCGUACAAAAUGUAAAAUACAAUAUCAAUAUUUUAUGUUCAAUGCAUAAACAUUUCUCACAAGUCAUAAUAUAAACCGACGAACAAUUGAAUUACUAAUCAUUCUUAUCAAAAUUUUCGAAGGUCAACCAUAUAAUCUUUAAGCAUUGAACAAUGCACAGCUGUAAAACUAAGUCUAUAUGCAGCCGUAAAUUAUAUGCUUUAAGAACAUCAAUUACUAUGCUUUUACAUUAAAUUAUAUGCAUCCGUAAAUAACAAUAUGCAACUGUAAACAAGAGCAACAUUAAUAGUAUCAACGCGUGUAGUAAUCUCAUGCCUAUAUGAUGCCUUUUCAAACAAAGAUAAUAUAUUCUUACUAAUUAUCAUAUAUCAACAACAGUUAUAUAUGUGCAGCCGUAAAACCAAUAUUAAUGAGAGUAAGGGAUGCAGCAGUAAAGUUAAAUACGAAUGCUAAACUUAUCAAUACAAUUAUGCAGCCGUAAUGAUAAUAUGCAGCCGUAGUGAUAAUAUGCAGCUGAAUACACAUCUAUAUGUAACAUGCGUAUAAAAGAUGCGACAGAUCUUAGCUAAACAUGCAUACAUAGCUAAGCAAGGAGAAAAUUUAACUAAAAUCUAAUCAGUUUCACUUGAGUUUAGAAGCGUAUUCAAUCAAUUGUGAUAUUAGUAAUAUAAAACAUGUUAAUAUGCUAAGUGACUACUGGAGCAGCUGCUCUACGGACUCUUGUUCUCCUUGUGAUAAAUCCAAUACCUCAAGACAGAAAACAAAAAAAAAAAGACGUGUAAACAGUAUAAUCCACGUACACAAUGCAAAGAAGAAAAUUAUAAGCGGCUGGUUAUCAAAGUGAUUCGACAAGCAGGGACAAAAUAAAGUAAGACCAUACAUGUUCAGUUGGGUCUUGUAUCUUCUUCUCUUAAACAAGGAUUAACAACAUGCAGAUGCUGUCUCCCUGUCAUGAAAUCACCAACUGUGUAACCUCCGUUUUUAGCCUGAAACAAAUCUCACACGAUCAAACAAGCAAAGUUUCAAACUUUAAAGAUAAAAAGGGUGAACAAGCGCACUAACCGGAACAGAGUUAUUAACAUCAGAAGGAGCUGCGAAGACUGCAGAGACAGUGAUGACCAAUGGUGAAAAAUUGGAGCGACGACGAGGAUUAGAGAGAGGAGGAGGAGGAAGUGAAAAUGAUGAAGAAGAAGUCGGGUUGAGUAGUGGAAGUCUCGUUAUGGGCAGAGUGAUGGAACCCAUAAUCACUAAUAUCCUCUGUUUCUCAUGGAUUCCAACUAUAAAAAAAACAAGUCUUUUUGAUGAUGAAAUCUGAGAGAAACAAAAGGUUGAAACUUGAGAGAAAGAGAAGAAGACGUACAUGCAUGGACCGCAGGAGAGCCCAUGAGCACCGUCGAUGAAGAAACCAUGGCCGGAGCUGGAUCUUUUUCUUCGAUGGAGAGUUACUUUGCAAACUUCUUGUUAUGUUUCCAAGAAGCUUCACUGGAGGAGAUAGAAGGCGAAGGGUAGACAGAAAGCAUCAUCGAUGAAGAAACCAUGGCCGGAGCUCCAUUUCUUGUGGCGGCGACUCCUCUUUCACUCUCGCUCUCUCUCUCUCACUUUCUCUCUCUCUUUUGUUUUUCAGGUGGCGGAUGAAAUGAAGAGAGAAGAAGCUGCAGGACAUUAGGGUUAACCGCGGUCUUCUUCGGCCCAUCCCGCACAAAGCCCACCCCGCACAGGUCUAUUCCCGCGAGGCCCGCGACAUUGCGGGAUAACAGAUCUUAGGCCCAAGCCCGCCCCGCCACAAGUUUAAACGGGCCUACCCCGCGGGUCAAGCCUUCCUUUGACAUUCCUAUAUGCAGCCGUACGAAACAUGUUAAUAUGCUAAGUGAAACAAAAAUGAACAAAUUUUCAAAACUCAAAUAAGCAUUAGCUUGUCGACAAGAUUUCAUUUCGAUCGAGUGAUUUUAUUUCCUUGAAACAAGGAUAAAUCAAUAUUGUCGACUAAAGCUCUUAAGCUCAUAGUAUGUAUGAGUCCAUUCUUACAAACCAUGAAUUGAUAAUAAACAUUAUUUGAAGAAGGAUUGAAUAUAGACCAAAAAUAUAACAUAAUAAAAAUCUAUACCUUCUCAAGGUCGCUAAAGAUUCGUGCUGAUAACGUGUUAUAAGUAAGAAGAGAAAAAUAAGAAUUAGUGUGUUUUAUUCCAUGAGUAAUGAGUUCUUUACAUAGGAUUACAAUAGCUUGUGGACAAAGCCACUUGGAAAACAAGUAAAGCUUGGAGAACAAGUAUAUUUAAGACUUGUCAUAAUGGCAUCACCAUAAUAUUCAUAACAGAUUUCACUGAGCUAAACAAAAUACAAAGCAAAACAUUCCAUAUUAAUUCUAUUUAUCUAUUACAUUCCAUUCAUUUGAUUAUAUUCCUAUUAAUUCCAUUUAUUUAUUUUUAAAGUGUACCAGUUACAAGUUAUACAGCUAUAACUUUGUAAUUUGAGUAAUGAAUUAUUUAUGUCAUAUGAUGUCUCUCUCUAGUCUCUACUGUCUUUAAAAUCUCCUCUUGCUAAUUUUGGUUCACAUUGUUAAUCCAACACAAGCAGUCCUAAACUGUAAUUAUGGAGAAGUAUAGGGUUAUUAUCAGUUGAUUUUAAAGCUAAAAGCCUAAAACCCUACACUUAAGUUUAGUUUCAGCUUCACUGUCUUUUUUAACGACUCUGUUCCUUCUCCGACCAAAAGCGAGAAAAAAAAUGGCGUCUCUUGGCCAAAUCACCCUCCCGCGAGCGCCAUCGUUGCAGAAAGGCCUCCUACGCCGUCCGAUCAGAACCCCAAUCAGAUUCAACGGCCGGAUCGCGAGUGUAUUGACUAACGCGGGUUCGGUGAAAGCAAGUGUGAGCCAGAAGGUGAUUGAAGAGGAGGCGAAAGUUCUGGUGGGUACCUACGCGCGUGCUCCAGUGGUGCUCUCGAGUGGGAAAGGUUGUAAAUUGAUGGACGCAGAAGGGUAAGAGUAUCUUGAUUGUGCAUCUGGAAUCGCUGUGAAUGCUCUGGGCCAUGGAGAUCCUGAUUGGCUUCAAGCUGUCACUGACCAAGCUUCUGUUCUUUCCCACGUCAGCAAUGUCUAUUACACCAUUCCUCAGGUCUGAAUUUGACUUAUCCUUUAUUGAGCACUAGUCACAUUGGUAUCGUUUAGUAACAUUAGUCCUAAGGUUGGAGGAUUCAACUUCGUAUACUGUUUACUUCUUUGCAGAUAGAACUAGCGAAACGCCUUGUGGCAAGUUCUUUCGCAGACCGUGUAUUCUUCUGUAACUCUGGAACAGAAGCCAACGAAGCAGCCAUCAAGUUUUCUAGAAAGUUCCAGAGAUUCACCCAUCCUGAAGACAAGGAAGUCGCCACAAGCUUCAUCGCCUUUACGAAUAGUUUCCAUGGUAGAACCUUAGGAGCUCUUGCAUUAACAAGCAAAGAACAGUACAGAACUCCUUUCGAACCUAUCAUGCCAGGCGUUACGUUCUUGGAAUAUGGUAACACUCAAGCAGCCACUGAUCUUAUCCGCUCCGGUAAAAUAGCUGCUGUGUUUGUGGAGCCUAUUCAAGGAGAAGGUGGGGUUUACUCUGCUACAAAAGAGUUUCUCCAGUCUCUUCGCUCAGCUUGUGAUGCUGCAGGAUCUCUUCUCGUCUUCGAUGAGGUACAUAUCAUAGUGUAAUAGCUUGAAAGUUCCUGACUAGUGCUGCGCAUUUGGAUUUUCGGUUCGUGCUAUUUGGGUUGGGGUGUUUAGGACCCGUUUAGGAACCAGACAUUUUUUUUGGAUCGGAUCAGGUAAUGUUAGGUUCCACUCGGGUUUCUAGUAUAAAACCCGAAGUGAACCGAAUUAGAAAUAGUUCGAGUUUGAUUUUGGUUUAAAGCUAAAAACCAAAAACUCCCGGCAAAAACGAAAACCCAAAAAAUAUACAGGUAAUUUAGGUAAUUCGGGGGGGGGGAGUGGUUGGAUAUUUUCAUUUAUAAAUUAUAAUAUAUAUAAAUUAAAAUAAUAAUUAUUUUUAUUAUUUAUAAAUUAUAUUAUAUAUAUAAUUAAAUAAUUAAUAUUUUUAUUAUAUUUCAAAUAUUAGGUACCCGUUUAGUUAUUUGUUUGAUUCCGGUUUGGUUUUGUUUUUUUUUCGGGUUUAGAGAAAUAAGAAUCGUUUGGGUUUUCGUAAAUUUUGGUCCAUUUCGGUUUCAGUUGUUUCAGUUAGGUUUUUGGGUUUCAGAGAAUAUGCCCAGGACUAUUCUUGACUUUGAUCUUGUUCUUUUGGUCUCCCUACGUCUCCAGGUUCAGUGUGGUUUGGGUCGAACCGGUAACCUAUGGGCAUAUGAAGCAUUUGGUGUAACACCUGACAUAAUGACAGUUGCAAAGCCUUUAGCAGGUGGUUUACCAAUUGGAGCGGUGCUUGUAACUGAAAAAGUUGCUGAGACCAUCAAAUAUGGAGAUCAUGGAAGCACAUUUGCAGGGAACCCUCUUGUGUGUAGUGCAGCCAUCGCUGUUUUUGAUAAAGUAUCUAAAUCCUCUUUCUUGGCCAGUGUCUCGAGCAAAGGUUUAUACUUUAAGGAUCUGUUGGUGAAGAAACUAGGAGGAAACUUGCACGUGAAGGAAGUGAGAGGAGAAGGGCUUAUUAUUGGAGUGGAGCUGGACGUGCCCGCAGGUCCGUUGGUCGAUGCUUGUCGUGAUUCUGGUCUUCUGAUCUUGACGGCAGGGAAAGGGAAUGUCGUCAGGAUUGUUCCGCCGUUGAUUAUAUCGGAGGAGGAAAUCGAACGUGCCGUUGAGAUUAUUUUCCAUGAUUUAACUGCGCUUGACUGAAUAUUGUUGUUGAACAUAAAUGUUCAUCGACUAUGAACUGUGUUUUUAAAAUUCUGUACUUUACUUAAAUAAGCUCAAGUAUAACAGUAAAUGUGCCUGUUACAGUUCAUAACUGCUGUUUCUUGGUUCUGUUUUUUUGAAACAUUUUUCUUGGUUCUGUUUUUUUGAAACACUUUUCUUGGUUCUUUCAUGAUAAAAUGUGUAUAAUUCUUUUUGAUAGGGUAUUAAUAAUAUUCAAACAAACAAAAAUUAUAGUGUUUUGGAAUACGCUAACAGCCAGUGAUAAGCUACUAGAGGUGAGCCAUCCCAUUUUUAGUCUUGAAGAUUUAAGAGAAGGGAUUUCGUGCAUGCCAAGUUUGUCUUAAAAUGAAGACAACAUGUGAGAUGUUGUUGACAUGAUUUGCAGACGAUAGAAUCAGAGCUGGAAGAAUAAAAAGAAUUGUUCUUUCUGUAUGCGGAGCUCGACAAAAGGGACUUGACUCAAAAACAACAGAGGGUAAUUCGUGUAAGUUAGUGAUCAGUUACUUUGUGUUGUGACUCAGAGAAGAUGCGGAGCCGGAGCCACUUGAGCUGUGAAAGAUAAAUUGUGCAGAACAGAGAAGAUGUGGAGCCGGAGAACGUAAAUUUCUUUAUCUGAGAAUGGACUUUGUUUCCCUUUUUGGAAUGUUUUUUUUUUGAGGAAAACCUUUUUUUGGAAUGUUUACUUCAUUUUUUUCAGUACUUUAAAAAAAAAAACUAAUCUUGACCCGCAUGGAUGUGCGGAUUUUGUUCUUUCUAUACUAAAUUACUAGAUAAUAAUUUGCGCCUUGCGCGGAAUAUAAUUAUUAGUUUUGUUAUUUUUAAUAAGGAGACAUUAAAUCUGUUUAAUCUGGAUAUCAGUUUGGUUUUAUAUUAUUUUUUUGGUUUUUAAUCUCCUAAAAUAUAGCUAUAAUUCUAAAUCAAUAUUUAUUUUGGUUUGUUCAAUGCAAAUUGUUGAUGUUUUUAGUUUUUCCGGUGAUAACCAAAAAUUAAUAUCAUUUGUUUGGUUUAAGGUUAUAUGAAUUUUAGAUAGUUCUAAUGUCGAACCAAUGGUUUCAUAUUAUAUUUUCUAAACAUAUAAUAGUUAAAGAAAAGGAAAAUAAAAUUAUUAAGACAAAUCAUUUCACUACAAUUUGGUCGAUAGUGAAAGAAACAUUAAAAAAAAAAUAUUUCAACUUCCAAGAGAAUUAGAUAUUUUAGUUGUGGUGAAUAUUUAGUUAUAUAAGUGUUUACGUCAAUGUCCAAAUGUAUGUGUAUGUAAAAUAUAUAAAAGUGGUUGGUAAAUAUAUAAAGAUACUGUUAAUCAAAAUUAAAUGACAUUUUAAUUCAAAAUAACACAUAGAAGAUAAAAUUCUUAAAAUAAAAUUAAUUAAAAAUAAAAUAAGCCUAAACAUUAGUAAAUUUUAUUUCAUAUAAAGAAAAUCAAAUUGUAUCCGUAAAUAGAGUUGAGAACGGAUCGAAUAUCCUGGUAUUUGGAGGUAUUAGUGUCGCUUCAAUCCGUAGCCACUCGGAUUUUCUGUGUUUCGGAUAUCUGAAAUUUUUUAGAAUUUUCACGGAUAUCCGAUUUGAUCCGUAAAUAAAAUUAAAAAUUAAAAAUAAAUGAAAAAUCAAAAAAUAAUAUAAAUAAUAAUAUUUCAUUACAAAAGUAAAUUAUUAUUUAACUUUUUAAAUUCUAAUACCUAAUAUAUUAAAUUUAAUACAUAAAAAUAUUGUAAAAAUUAUAUAAACUAUAUUAUACAUAUAACUUAUAUAUAUAAUUAUUUAAAUAUAUGUAUAUAUAUAUAUAUAUAUGCAUAUAACAGAUCGAAUCGGAUAUACGUUCCUAAAAAUAUUAGUAUUUUUGAUUUGGUUUUUUUUAUAGAUAUUAUAUUUUAGUAUUUGAUUUGCUUCGUAGUGUUACGAAUAUCCGAUUUUUUCGUUUCGAAUCAAAAUGGAUAACAAAUAGAAAAAAAAAAUUACGAAUAUUUUGUCCAACUUAUCCGUAAAUAAUAAAAAUAAUAUAUGUAUAAUUGGACUGUCGAUUCAUUAUCCGUUUUGAUUCGAAUCAAAAAAUAUGAAUAGUGUGAGUUUUAUUAGAACCUUACAUGAGAGUUUUAUAUUUAAAAACAAAACGUAAAGUACAUAGUGUGAACACAUUUAUGUAGAGUUUAGGUGAGAAGUUCUCUACAAGUGACACAUUAGUGUGCUCUCAAAUCGCUGUGAGGCUGCCACAUGUCUAUUAUAGUGUGAACGCAUUUAUUAUAAUGUUUCUCUUUUAAUAUAUAAGGGAUUCUAAUUUAUAUAACAUUAUUAUGUAACAGUACUAUUUUCAUAUUUUUUUUUGUAUUUUGUAAAAACAAAUAAUUUUGUAAACAUUAUUAUGUAAUAAUACUAUUUUACAUAAUUUUAGGUUUAAUUUCUAAAAUUUAGAAUUUAUAUGGAAAUUGAAUUAAAAUGAACCUAGAUAGUCAAGAAGAUUUUUUUGGGAUACUACUGAAAAUAACAAAACUUAUUUAAAAAAAAAAACUAUGAUAUUUUGUACUUGCAAAAUGAUUUUGUAGUAAAUAUCCUAUUUUAGAAAUUGCUUGAAAUACACCAACUUGGAUAGCAUUAAAAAAUUAAUUAAAGAUGUCCUAACAUUUAAGCUUAGCGUUUAACGAUUAUUGUUUAAGAUUUAUUAUUUAUGUGGUGAAAGUGAAUUUAUAAACUUCUAUAAAUAAUUCUUAUAUAGUUAUAAUUUUUUUGGAAUGGUUAAUUUUGUCUUUUAAUAAUAAAUUUAAGAUAUUUAUAAAAAUAAAAUAAUUUAAAGGUAAAUUUGAAAAAUAGUAUCAAAUUUGAAGUAAAGUUAAAAUUUGUUGGAAUUAUGUUAUAUAUUGUAACAUUAAACAAGUUUGAUAAAUGUGUGUUCUCUUCAUAUAGAAUAGUGUUGGAAUAUUAAUCUUUUUGACAUAUAUAUGUCAUUCAUGCUAUGACAUUAGUAUGCAUAUGGAUGAUAAAAGCGUGUUCAUUGUUUAAUGUAUUCGUUAACAUAUAUAUUCAUUUCGUAUAUAUAUUGUUCGUCUAUUUAUGGUUGGAGUAGGAGAUGUAAAACUUUAUAUAUAGUGAUUCAUAAACAAUUUUGGUAUAGUAUUUAAAUAUUAAAAUAGAAUAUUUUUUUAGCUCAAUGGAAUAUAUAAACAGUAAUAGUAGUUGACUAAAGUUUUAUAUGUACGAUAUGUAAAGAGGUUAAAUGUUUCAUCUACGAUGGGGUUGUAAAUUGAAAUUUAACCACUAAUAAGAAUUAGAUUUGUGCUAAAAAUUAUUGAUAUAAAUUGUAAUGUUACAUGAUAUAAGCAUUUAAAGUUGUGACCUCUAAGAGAUGGUGUAAAUUAAAAAAUCACACUUGUAAUAAAUCAUGAUUCAUCUGUUUAAUAAAUAAUAUAUUUUUAAUUUAAAAUUUUAAUAGAAAUGGAUAUUGCUUUCCAACAAAAUAUUUUUAAAAUCUUUGUAAAAUGUAUUUUUGAAAAGUAAUAAAUUUAAGUUGUUAUUAUCAUUAAAAUAUUUUUUUUAUAAUUUAUAAUUUUUGUUUAUAAAUCGAAACUAAAUUAAAUUUAAAUUUUUGAUUAUAUUUUAUGAUAACUAAAAUUAAAAUUAAUCAAUUUUUGGAAUUAAAAUUUAAUAUGAUUCUGAAAAGAGUUUUAAAAGAUAUUGUUAAAAUUUUCUUAAAUAAAUAUUAAUUUUAUUUAAAUAAAAGUAAAGAUAUCAUAAAUAAGUUAUGUACAUUUGAUAAACUUUCUAAAUAAUGGUCCAAUUUAAAAUAUCACACAUCAAAUAAAGUUGUGAAUUCUAUUUAAUAGAAUAGAUGUUUCUCGGGUUAAGAUUUUGAUGUCGUAGACUGUAUGACAUAAUUUGUGGUAAUGAUAUCUUGCAUAUUUCCAUUGUGUUAUCCAUUCACCCAUGUGCAUUUUGAUCAUAUAGACUAGGAUUUAGCCAUGUUUAGGUUGCAUUUUGCAUACAUGAGUCUUUAUUAGGUAUUGGAGUACCACAUGGAGUUCUUGGAGACAUUUGGGUGCAUUUGGAGCUCAAAAGAGGUGAUAAAGGUGAUCGUUGGACGAGCAGUGCAUGGGAGCGACCCUACCGGAGCGACGCCAUGAACUCGCUGUGCCUUACCUCUCAGAGCGACCUUACCAGAGCUGCCUCACGAGGUCGCUCGCCAUUUCAUCGUUUUGGAGUGCAAAAAUAGACCCGAAGCGACCUCCUAGAGCGACGACACGAAGUCGCUCCAGCUCCAGAGCGAGGUCAGCACAAUGACACCCCGAGGUCGCUCGGGUUUGUGUCAAUUUGAGACACGAAGAACAAGCUGGGAGCUACCUCCCGGAGCGACGUGCCGAGGUCGCUCCCAACACCCAGAGCGACCUCCCGGAGCGACGUGCCGAGGUCGCUGCGCUUCAAUUAUUUGGUCGAACUUAUGAUUAAUCAAGGGCCUUUUGGUCAUUUGUUAUGCACGUUUUACACUUUCUAAACCUAGGUUUAAGUACCCUUUGUAAGCCAUUGGAGACAUAUUAUCUUUUAUCCUAAGAAAACCACCAAAAACCUCUUGGAAAGUUCAUCUAUUUGAUUCAAUUGAUCAUUUUUGUUAUCGCAAACCUGUUGUUUUCAUAUUGAUUCUCUGUAUUUCUCUACAUGAUUAAUCUGAAAUCCAAUAUGGGUUUAAGAGGAAUCAUGGAGAUUAGUGAGUAAUCACGUUUUGAAUUCAUGGGUUAGGGAGAUUAAGAGUGAUUAGGUUAGAGCUAGGAUGUUUUAGUGUAGAUCAUUCUUAGUCCUUGCUAGUAGAGUAUUCAUAAUGCAUCUUCUGAGUUGACCUCUCAAAAGUUGAUCUUUAGGCAUUUUCCACCCAAAAGGUGUUUGAUGAAAUGCCUGAGACAACUCUUCUAAGCUUUUAGCAUACUUUGCCAAAGAUAUUUGUUGUUAGAAGUGCUAAGAUAGCCAUUAGACUUGUUAGUAAUGAUUGCUUUCGUAUUAUUCAACCAAAGACAUUUGAUGUUUGAAAUGUGUUAGUAAAUGAACAUUCAUCUAGACAUAGAGCUUGUUUAGAACUGUGUCUAAGCUUAAGGUUGAUAGUUUGAUUGAUCGUUUGCCAUCCUUAGUUCGAAACUUGAUCACCCAAGGUCUAAUCCCUAUGCCCAUGAGUUCUCUUUUCCCUUAGUCAAGAAAGUUAUUUCAUUUAUCACUUUUAUUAUUCUGCAACUGUAUUAGCAUUAAUCAUUAGUUUAGAAAUCUUUUAAAUCACCGCUUGCACUUAGAUUAAGUGAGUACUUGCAUUCUCAGUGCUUUGAAAUCCCUUAAAAUUGGUUCGACAAUCUUUUAUACUACAUCAUUUGUCUUAGGAGCUUUGAAAACUCUUAACAUUAGGUAAUUAAUAUAUAUGUGUAGUGAAUGUACAUUCUCUCUAAAUGUAUAAAAAUGUGUUAUAGUUAGCAAUAAUGUACUACUAUAUAUGUAUUUCAUAAUAGUCACUAAAUUUUAAUUGAGUAUUAAGCGCUAAAUCUUAUAAAUCGUGGUAAUUAUCUUCUAAAUCGCUGAAAUAAUUAUAAUAUUGUAUAAUAAAUAAUUUAUAGUUUAUUAUUCAUAAAUUAUAAUAAUUAAUAUUUUACAAUAAAAAUCUUACAAAACUAAAAUAAUAUAAACUUUAUCAUUUAUAAAUAAUGAUAUUUAAUAUAAAACAUUAUAUGUAUUUAGUAUAUUGUUAUUAUUUAUAAGCAUUUAAAUCGCCUAACUAAUAAUCUAAGUGUUCUUUUAGUCAUUCUAGAAAUUAGGCGUUGAGGUAUUGUCCGCUUAGCACCCAUCUGUCACGGCCCGUUUUAACCCAAAACGUCCAUGAAGACAACCAAAGAUCGGGUCGGGCCAAAGGUGAAUCAAGCCCACUCCACUAAGUAUUUUCUUAAGCUUUAAGUCUUUUGUAAAAUAUCUUAGUUAUGGAGAAGUGUAGAAAAGUGUAGAGAAGUGUAGAAACUUGUAGAACACUUGAGAAGAACCCUCACAACCGUUAGAUCAAUUUGAUCUGAACCGUCCGUUGAGGAGGAGAAAGUGUAUAUAAAGGGGAUCACCCCUCACUUGUAAAACCACCAAGUUUUAAUAAGAAAACUCUUCUACAAACUCUCUCUCUCUCUCUAAAUCGUCCACACACUCUCUCUAAGUACUGGGCGAGUUGUCCGAAAGGCUGACUUAGCAAACCAUAAGGAGGAAAGUUGCUAAGGCCGCACGUCCUGAUUGCUGUGAAGAAAUCAGUCCGUGACAGUUGGUAUCAGAGCCGAGUUACGAUCCAAACAAGAGGAGACUCUGGCCGAACGGAGAAAAUGGCUAAGGGAGAUAAACAAAAAGAAACGAGCUCACAGUCCGGCGUGGAGGAGCGUGGAAGGGAGUCCACGGCCACACGUGCUGGCACCCAGCGGGAAAAGAGUGUUUCUCGUGAGGCUUUGGGGGUGGCUGUGGGCGAGAUGGGUGAUAAGCUCGAGAGGGUCGAGCAUACCGUCACUGAGCUGGAGAGUGUUGUGUUCGGUGGGCUUGAGGAAGUCAAGCAAAAUGCUGCCGACUUGGACUCUCGGUUCAUUCGGCUCGAGGAGCUGGUGACGGGAUCCAUGCAGGCUUUGCGUGAUGACAUCGAGGGGAUGAAGGCACGCUUUACUGCGAUGGAGGAAGACAUCACGCUGGUCAAGAGGGCAAGCGCAAACGCUGGAGCCGUUAGCGGAACCAGUUUUGGUAAGGUUGAGCUUCCGAAACCAAACCGGUUCAACGGUGUGCGUGAUGCCAAGGAGGUCGAGAAUUUCCUUUGGCAGAUGGAGAUAUACUUCGACAAUCUCAGCGUGGUGGCUGAGAAUGCGAAGGUGAAGGCUGCGACCUCCUACCUGUCGGACACAGCCAUGUUAUGGUGGCGAAGGAAGCAUUCCGAGAUCGAGCAAGGAACCUGCCGGAUCGAUACUUGGGAUGACUUCAAGAAGGAACUGAAGCGGCAGUUCUACACAGAGAACGUCAUAUAUGAGGCCCGCAAGAAGUUGAGGGAACUUCGACAGCGCGGCUCGAUCCGGGUCUAUGUGAAGGAGUUCACAACGCUCAUGCUUCAGAUUCCGAAUAUGACCGCAGAGGAUCUGGUGUUCUACUUCACCGAUGGACUACAAUCUUGGGCCAAGCAAGAGUUGCAGCGUCGGGGAGUUAAGACGGUAGACGAAGCCAUCGCGGUGGCCGAGUCGCUAAUUGACUUCCGUACCUCUGGUCCGUCCGAGUCCUCGGAGAAGAAGGAGCAGGUCGUGGCCAAAGGUGGGGGAGCAAAACGGGACACUGGCCGACCAUCCAACUCAAGGAGUUUUGAGAAGGGUGUUCGUCGGGAAGACUUCGAGGCAAGAAAAAAGUCCUUUGUUCCUAAGGGAGGAUGCUUUGUGUGCAAGGGGCCACAUGCAAUGAAGGACUGCCCAAAGAUGGGGUCUUUAUCGGCUAUUAUGGAGAGUCGGGACCCCGAGACUCCAGAAGGGGAACCAAGAAAGAUGGGGUCGUUGCAACUUCUCAACGCCCUAAAGGCUAACCCGGUAGUGAAACCGACGAGCAAAGGGCUCAUGUACGUGGAAGCUUGGAUAAACGAUAAGCCGACCCGAGUGAUGGUGGACACGGGCGCCACUCACAACUUCAUGGCGACAGACGAAGCUGUGAGACUUGGCGUCAAGUGGUCCAAGAAGGAUGGUUGGAUGAAGACGGUGAACGCAAGGGCUCAGCCUGUCAAUGGUAUAGCUCGAGGCGUCGGGAUGAAGCUGGGAAGCUGGAGCGGCCCGGUGAACUUCUCAGUCAUUCCCAUGGACGAUUUCAAGGUAGUCUUGGGUAUGGACUUCAUAUGACAAGUCUCGGCCAUACCCAUGCCUGCAUUGAGCUCGGUCUGCAUCCUCGAGAAGGGUUCACCGUGCAUGAUUCCGACCUUGGAAGAGAAAAGUGAAGGGACGAGACAACUAUCGGCGAUGCAGCUCACCAAGGGGGUGAAGAAGGGUGAACCCACGUUUUUGGCCAUGAUGAAGGUGGAGGAUGAGCCCAAUAAAGUGGAGGACAUCCCUCAAAUCAUCAAAACGGUCCUUGAGGAGAACAAGGACGUUAUGCCGGCAAAGUUGCCAGAGAAGCUACCACCAAGGAGGGCGGUGGACCACCAGAUCGAGUUGGAGCCAGGAGCCAAACCACCAUCUAUGGCACCAUAUAGAAUGGCUCCAUCCGAACUAGAGGAGUUACGGAAACAACUCGAUGAGUUAUUAUCGAUGGGGAAGCUGAGACCGUCGAAGGCACCUUAUGGGGCCCCGGUUCUGUUCCAAAAGAAGCAUGAUGGCUCAUUGAGGAUGUGCGUGGACUACCGGGCCCUUAACAAGGUAACGAUCAAGAACCGUUAUCCCAUUCCGCUGAUUGCUGAUCUAUUCGAUAGACUUGGUGGGGCGAAAGUCUAUACGAAGAUGGACUUGCAGAAGGGUUACUACCAAGUCCGGAUAGCGGAAGGGGACGAGCCGAAGACUGCGUGCAUAACACGGUAUGGGUCGUUCGAGUGGAUGGUAAUGCCAUUCGGUCUUACGAACGCCCCCGCCACGUUUUGUACUCUAAUGAACCAGAUCCUACAGCCCUACUUGGAUCGGUUUGUGGUGGCAUACUUGGAUGAUAUCGUUAUCUACAGCAACUCGAUGGAGGAGCAUGUGGAACACUUGCGGACAGUAUUCCGGGUUCUCCGCGAGAAUGAGUUGUUUGUGAAGCGAGAGAAGUGUACUUUUGCCACCAAGGAAGUUCAGUUCCUUGGCCAUGUUAUCGGCCCUGGAAAGCUGAAGAUGGAUGAACCGAAGGUCAAAGCAAUUAUGGAGUGGGAGGCCCCGACCAAGGUAACGGAGUUGCGAUCUUUUCUUGGUCUGGUCAACUAUUAUCGUCGGUUCAUCGAGGGAUACUCAAAGAAAGCAGCACCACUGACGGAUCUUCUCAAGAAAGGGAAGACAUGGGACUGGUCCGGACCUUGUCAGGAGGCUUUCGAGGAACUGAAGACUGCGGUAAGCCAGGAACCCGUCCUUGCCUUACCCGACUUCAGUCUCCCUUUCGAGUUACACACGGAUACCUCCGACUUUGCUAUUGGGGGAGUGCUGAUGCAAAAUGGACAUCCAGUUGCCUUUGAAAGCCGUAAGCUCAAUGAGACUGAACGGCGGUACACGGUUCAAGAGAAAGAAAUGACCGCGAUAGUCCAUUGCUUGCGAGUUUGGAGACACUACCUUCUCGGGGCGCAUUUCUCGGUCAAGACGGACAAUGUGGCAACGAGUUACUUCCAAACACAGAAGAAGUUGUCCCCGAAACAAGCGAGAUGGCAAGACUUCCUGGCUGAGUUCGAUUACACUUUGGAGUACAAGCCAGGAAAGGUGAAUGUAGUUGCCGAUGCACUAAGUCGGAAGGCGGAGCUGGCAGCGAUGAGCCAAGUCAAGGGGACUAUUAUGGCUCGAAUUAGAGAGGGACUAGAACGUGAUCCAGUCGCUAAGGAGCUGGUGAAGCUAUCCAACGAGGGGAAGGUGCAUCGAUUUUGGGUAGAGGACGGGUUACUCUACACCAAAGGUCGAAGGCUUUAUGUGCCUAAGUGGGAGAGUCUUCGACGUGAUAUCAUCCGGGAGUGCCACGAUACGCGAUGGGCGGGCCAUCCGGGACAGAAAAGAACCAUGGCACUCGUCGAAGCUGGAUACUAUUGGCCACGGAUGAGGGAUACCGUGGAGCUUUAUGUGAAAACUUGUCUAGUCUGCCAACAAGACAAGUCGGAAAACAUGCAGCCCGCGGGAUUGUUACAACCACUACCCAUCCCGGAGCGACCAUGGGACUCGGUCUCGCUUGAUUUCAUCAGUGCGUUACCCAAGUCCGAAGGGUUUGGAUCCAUCCUUGUGAUUGUGGAUCGAUUCUCUAAAUAUGGGACGUUCGUGGCUUGUGAUCGGGACUGCACUGCGGAAGAGGCAGCAAAGGCGUUCUUCAAGAACGUGGUGAAGCUUUGGGGACUGCCUCGGAAUAUUGUAAGUGACCGGGAUCCCCGGUUCACUGGGCGUUUAUGGACAGAGCUGUUCAAAAUACUUGGGACGGAACUGAGCUUCUCAACCAGCUUUCACCCGCAAUCUGAUGGACAGACUGAAAGGGUGAAUGCCUUGCUUGAAAGUUAUCUCCGUCACUUUGUAAGCGCUAACCAACGGGACUGGGCGAAGUUGUUGGACAUAGCCCAGUUUUCAUACAACCUUCAACGCAGCGAGGCGACGGGACGGAGUCCGUUCGAGCUUGCAACGGGACAACAGCCAUUGACUCCGCACACCUUGGCCACACCAAGGACUGAAGGGAAGAGUCCUGGAGCGUUCAUAAUGGCUAAGCAGUGGGAAGAACAUGCUGACCUUGCCCGAGCAUGUUUGGAGAAAUCCCGAAAACGGAUGAAGAAAUGGGCAGAUGAGAAGAGACGGCCUUCGGAAUACUCAGUGGGCGACCUUGUACUUGUGAAAUUACUUCCACAACAGUUCAAGGCAUUCCGGAGCCUACACAAAGGAUUGAUCCGGAAGUACGAAGGACCGUUUGAGAUAGCUGGAAAGGUGGGAAAGGUUUCCUACCGGAUCGACCUACCGGAUACACUUAAGAUCCAUCCGGUCUUUCAUGUUAGCAUGCUGAAACCGUACCAUGCUGAUGAGGACGACCAAACCCGAAGGGUUUCGACUCGAGCACCACCUGUGGUGACUAAGUCGUAUGACAAAGAGGUCGAAGAGGUUCUGGCGUCCAAGGAAGUAAGGAAGCGAGGAGUCCCGAGACAGACCCAUUUCCUCAUUAAGUGGAAAGGACUGCCAGAGGCAGAAGCAACAUGGGAAUCGGAGGAAGACUUGUGGCAAUUCCGGGACAUACUGAAGGCAUACACGGCGACGAGGGCGUCACCGGCUUAGGUGGGGGAGGAUGUCACGGCCCGUUUUAACCCAAAACGUCCAUGAAGACAACCAAAGAUCGGGUCGGGCCAAAGGUGAAUCAAGCCCACUCCACUAAGUAUUUUCUUAAGCUUUAAGUCUUUUGUAAAAUAUCUUAGUUAUGGAGAAGUGUAGAAAAGUGUAGAGAAGUGUAGAAACUUGUAGAACACUUGAGAAGAACCCUCACAACCGUUAGAUCAAUUUGAUCUGAACCGUCCGUUGAGGAGGAGAAAGUGUAUAUAAAGGGGAUCACCCCUCACUUGUAAAACCACCAAGUUUUAAUAAGAAAACUCUUCUACAAACUCUCUCUCUCUCUCUCUAAAUCGUCCACACUCUCUCUCUAAGUACUGGGCGAGUUGUCCGAAAGGCUGACUUAGCAAACCAUAAGGAGGAAAGUUGCUAAGGCCGCACGUCCUGAUUGCUGUGAAGAAAUCAGCCCGUGACACAUCGCUUUCUUAAACACAGCUUAAUUCGAAGUUUAAAGCUGAUGACUAUGCGGUAGUAGUCCGAGCAAUUUACACGUCUCAAAUCUAAAACGUGCGGAUACAUGUAUCUAUUAUAAUAUACCAAUAGAAUCUACUAUUUUUCUAAGCAAAAGGAUAAAACAUAGUUUGAAAAAAGCAAAUAUAUACACAUACACCAAUAGAAUACCAUAUACCAUGGACCAUAUAUAAAGCUUGACUAACCGAUUGAAGUCGGUCAGUGUAAGUGUAAGCACGUGAGCCAGUUUUAUGUAAUAGAAGCCAGCAUGUUAGACUUUAAUACCGUCAAAAGUUUACGAAAGGAAUUUAAGGUUCUGUGGUUUUGUCUCGUUUAAUUAACUAGGGGUACAGCCGCGGAGCCGGAUAAGUUAUUGAUCGUUGUGUAGUUUUAUGUACGGAAUUUUGUCGUUUAUUUUUUUCCACUUUUGUUUUUCCGUGUUGUAUAUAAUGGUGAUGAAUAUAACAUUUGGAAGUCACACAGUUUGAUUAAGUUGAUAUAAGAAUGACCGGCGAAUUCAUAUGCAUUAUUUUCGUAAUGAUUUGAUCGACCAUUACCGUUAUUAGUGCUUUCAUGUUCAAAAGAUAAAGUUUAUGAAGUUGUUUAGUUACUUAGUAGUUGUUAGUAUAUAAAACAAAUAGUGUAAGGAACAAAAUAUAAAAUUUGAAUUCAAAAAAUUAAACAAUUUAUCGAACAAUAAAUUAAAUUAUUUUUUAUUUUACCUAUAUUAAUUUUAAAAUAUAGAAUUGUAACAAACUAUUUUUUUAAAAAAAAAAUUAAUAACUCUAGAAAAAUUUAUAAAAUUAUACGGUUGCAAAAUUAUUUAUUUUUAGAGUUUUACUCGACUUUGUUAAAAAUAGUUUAUGGUGGACAAAAAAAAUGUCAGAAAUAGGUAAACAAAAAAAAAUACACCACUGAUAAAUCUUGUAUGAGUUAGAACUCGUUGACGUUUCAUUAAUAAUCCAAAAUAGAAAUAAAAUCUCCGAACAGAGAAAACAUGCAAGGGAAAAAAUAUCCAAAGUUUAUGAUGGAAAACAAAGAUAAUAGCAGUUUUUAAAAUGCAUUGAAAAGACGUUGACGGGCUGAUAGGAAUAUAAUAUAUAUUUCCAAUCACUCACGGCAGCGCUUGCAGUUGUUCUGAGCGUCUGAAAUCUCUGGAGGAUCUACUGCAGCACAUUCCUCAUCGACCUUGUCUCCCAAAACAGACGGGCCCGAUGAUGCUGCCAAUCCUACGUCACUUUCACUGCUUGGAAGAAUGUUCUUACUGUGCUCCUGAAAUACAUGAACGUGAUGACAAGUAAAACUAGACAACCUUGCCAUGGUUCUCUAUGAUGGUAUCUUCAGUGAUGGUGGAGAUAGUGAAGGUACGGUGAUUGCUAUUAAUGGCUUCAAUCAAUUUGAGAGCUCUCCAUGUUUUGGGCUGGAUCUUGGCAAGUAGCUAUGAAUACAUCAAACACUAUGUUGUUGGCAUGAGAUUUGAAUCGGCCUAGAGAGCCUGCAACAACAUAGACGGUGAGGUUCUUGAGUAUAUUGAGCUCCACCAAGCCAGACACACUCUUUUUCAACACCUUGUUCCCUAUCUCUCUUCUAAUUAGUGCCAUGUCCCUCGAUGCAGUUCACCGCAGCAGGUUUGUUAAUGUCGGAGAAGAAGUUAUCUGACCAAUAAAUUUCAAGUUUUUAAGUCUCAAGAUGACACUAAGCUAAAAGACAUUGUUUUAAAAUCAAACCAAUAACAUACAAAAGGAACUCACCAGAGAUUUCGAUCACAUCCAUGUAAGGGUAAUCAUCGCUGAGGAACUCAAUAACAUUAUGCACACCUUUGGUUACCAUGUCCAUCCCCAUUGCACCACACCGGUGUUACAACUGAACCAUAUAUAGCCAUUUUUUCCCUGCCAAUGUACAGUAAACAGUUUGUAGCCUCGUAAAUCUAAUUGAUAUGCAUCCACAAAAUCAUUAUUUCAUCAGCAAAAGUUUCAAUCUUGAGUCGAACCACACCACAAACAUAAAAAAAAUUACAUCGUGGUGGUACCUAUUGAAAAUGACAGCCGACGUUUCGAAGUGAUCUGGAUUCUCCUAGGAAGGCUUAAGUUCCAUAGCACGUUGGCACGACAAAAACCGGACACUCUAGUUGUACCGUCCUUCAGCUCCGCCUGAGACGUACCCAGCCUUGCAGCCUCUGUUAGUCCUAGCAACCAAAUAACUUUCCGUUAUAGCCCAUCAGAACAGAGUUUACAUCAUAUUAGUUAAUCGGACAACUUCAAAGCGAUCAAUCAACUUUCACGAUCGACCCCCUAUCGUAGCGAUGGAUGGUAGUGAUUCACACGAACUGGGAUAUAACCGUGGAUCUCGAAAUUCUGCCCAGAGAAAAAUACGCUUAAAGUAUUAAAACUGAUAGCUUGAAUAUUGAUUAAACAAAUAUGGUAUAUAGUAUUCCAUAGAAAGUCAAAUUGUCAAUACCUUUUCCUGGGUACUAUGUUCUAGGCGGAGAAAGGUGGCGUGGACAACGACCGAUUAAACAACAACAACACUGGAGGCUGGCAUCUUCGAAGGUUGGCUAAAAGCUGCGACAGUUCAAUUUAGGAGUAAUUUAACAAGAGAUAUGGGUCUCAAGGUUUGUUUGAGGAAUUAUAUAUACUGAGACGGAUCGUUUCAGUGGUGAAACAGUACCAUAACUAAUCGUUGGAGAUAUAGAGAGUUGGAGAUAUAGAGAGGUGAAGAUGAAAAGUUUCAGAAUUUUUUUUGAUAAGCUAAAAGGGUAACGCUUCGGUUUAUCGGUGGAGACAGAGUACUAUAAAAAUCCUAGAUACAUACAAAAGAGAUUUAACCCACUUAUAAGUUUUAUUGGACCAGAAUGCGGAUUUUACUAAAUAGGUUUCGAUGAUCAAAGUUACACGUGAGUAUUGAAACAUUACAGUUAUGUGUGGGAUCCACUAUAAGAAAUCCUUCAUAAAUAUAUAUUAGUUUCGGUAAUCAAUGUACAAAGUAUCCUUUAGUUUAGUGGUAUAAAUGUUGGUGUUUACAUCACAGUAAGCCGGGUUCAAGCCACAUAUUUGACAUUUUUUCACAUUUUUUAAAAGUGGGACCCACUUACCUGCUGACGUGUUGCAUCAGGAAUGAUGAAACUGACUCAUUAUAAUGUAGAUUUUUCUUUUACAAGUCGGUAUUUAGGUUGAGGAUAUCAUAAUAUAAGGGAAAUUGGAAGGUAUAUAAAAUGUAGGGCAGAGGUCCGCGUGUAAAUAAAGAAACAUUCAAAAAUAGUUUAAUUUUAUAGCACUAAUGAAACGCAACCCGAGUCUUGUAAAAUCUAUAAAUAACGUACCCAACAUUCGAAAAGGCAUAGCUACAACUUUAGAAACAUACCUCUUCUUGCUCUCUGUGUCCUAAACUCUCAUCCACAACUCUAAACGAACAUGUUUCAUGGCGCUGACAAGGCAGUUGAGGCGCUGCUUCGUGGCCAAGAAAGCGCCAAUCUCUUGAAGAUGGUGCUCGAACACCAGAGGGCUAGCUCAGUUUCAAUCGAGGCCAAUGCAUUAACUUUGACAAAUCUUCCUUAUUCUUUGGUAAGAGGAUUAAUGCAGCUACUAGGAAAGAGAUUAAAGAUGCACUUGGAAUACAUAAUGAUGGAGGGAUAGUAAAGUACUUGGGAAUCCCAAAGGAUAUUAGUGGUUCUAAAUGCAAACUCUUUGCAUUUCUAAAGGACAACCUAAUGCAUAGAGUAAAUGGAUGGACUGGUAGAUGGCUCUCAAAAGGGGGGAAGGAGGUAAUGAUCAAAUCCAUUUUACUCGCUCUUCUCUCUUCCGACAUACGUUAUGUCGACGUUUCUGCUCCCAUUGGAGAUUUGUGAAAACCUCGCUAGUGCCAUUGCACAAUUUUGGUGGAGCUCGAAUCCACCAAAAAGAGGAAUACACUGGGCGAAAUGGGAAAAGGUUUGUCUACCAAAAGAAGAGGGCGGGAUUGGUUUCCGUUUAAUUCAUGAGUUCAAUCUAGCACUACUGGCAAAGCAAUUAUGGAGAUUGGUUCAGUACCCCGAUUCACUGGUUGCCCGGGUCUUGAGGAGAAGAUAUUUUAGGAUGACCUCGCCAUUAAGAGCAAUCUCUGCAAGUAGCCCAUCAUAUGUGUGGACAAGCAUCUCCGCCGCAAGGAAGCUCUUAAUUCUGGGGAUCAGACAGAAGAUUCAUUCUGGUUAUGAAGUCAAGGUGUGGGAGGAUCUGUGGAUUCCAACGACACCUGCUAGACCGCCUACACCUGUAGCGCCUGUGAUGCACCCAAAUAUGAGAGUUAGUGACCUCAUUAAUCAGGAAUCGAAUGAAUGGGACGUAGGACUACUAGAGGAUUAUGUUCAUCCUGAUGACAUACCACUCAUUCGCAGUAUGACCAUAAGCUCUACUCAUCGCCGUGAUACUUUCUGCUGGAACUAACACGAGGACUGGCCAAUACACAGUUAAAUCUGGAUACUGGGUUGCUCAAAAUCUGUUGAACCCAGAAGAGGAAAAGGAAAUACUGGAACCAAGUAUCACUAAACUUCAAGCCUUUGCUUGGAAGUUGAAAGCGCCAAGGAAGAUGUGCCAUCUUAUAUGGCAAUUGAUAACGGGUCAGGUGGCAGUAACGAGGAAUCUAGUAAGGCGGAAUAUGAGGUGCGAUAAUUAUUGCCCAAGGUGUGGGGAAACAGAGGAAUCUGUAACUCAUGCAAUAUUUGAAUGCCCUCCAGCUCUGCAAGUAUGGUCCUUAUCGGCAACUCCUACAAGCUCAGGUACAUUUCCAGUGGCAAGCGUCUACACAAACAUGGACUAUCUAUUCUGGAGGAAGAAUAAUAUCCUAGAACCAGACCAAGACAGGGAUCCUUAUCCCUGGAUAAUAUGGUAUAUUUGGAAGGCUCGCAAUGAUAAACUUUUCAGGGGAAUAGACAGAGACCCUUUGGAGCUAGGUCGAUACGCAGAAAGUGAAUGUCAAGCCUGGUUUAAUGCAAAUGAGAUGAUACCACCAGUAGUACAGACCAGCAAUAAUGAUGAAAACCAAGUCUUAAGCUUGGUAAUAUUUGCCUAUUAGAUGGAUCUUGGACAGCUUCUGAUUGUUUUAGUGGAUGUGGAUGGGUCUGGAUGAAUAGUGGGGAGAACAUACAACUUAUGGGAACACGGAACUUCACUCGAUGUGAAUCAGUAUUACAUUCGGAGGUAGAAGCACUGCGAUGGGCGAUGGAGAAUAUGCUUCAACACUGGCCAUGCCAGAGCUUUGGAACAGACUGCAAGGAGCUGAUUGCAAUGAUAAAGGAACCUCAGGAGUGGCCAAGAGUCGCGACAAAAUUGGAGAAGAUAGAGACGCUGCAGAUUUGUUUCCCGGACUUCAAAAUCACCCAUGUGCCACGAGUGCGCAAUCAAUUUUCUGAUUUUUUAGCUAAGACUGCUAGGACCUUUCGUAGGGAGUUACUUUUCAUUGGUUGUUCUAUUCCGGUCUGGUUACCCAGACCACCUCAAGCUUGAGUAAUAGAAUGGCCGUUUGACGUAAAAAAAAAGUAACAAAAACAUAUAUAUAUAUAUAUAUAUCUAUAUAUAUAUAUAUAUAUUUGUUAUUAUUAACUGCGGUGAGGUGUGGUGCGGUUUGUAAUAUUCGUACUCUUGGUCUAAAAAAUAACAUAAUUAAGAAAAAGAGUUUUGAAGAGGAUAAAUAAAAUGAAACUUAAUUCACUUAAAAUGAUUCAGUUUGAUAUCCAUAAAAAGAUACGUCCAAAACGUUAUUACAUUUAUACUGUAAUUCUCAGCAAAUGCCACAGCCUAUAUAAGCUCUUAGAUAGACCAUUGUAAUAUUCACCCUCAGUCAUAAAGUAAUAUAUAGAAUUUUGUUUAUGUUUCUCAAAGAACUUAUCUUUCAAAACCGAUUGUCUUUAGGAUUCAAGUGUGCAAAGUGCUUCAGUCCUACUGAUUCGUGGAUCCUGCUUGUUUGUGUGAUUCAAACACUCCUGGUUCACAGAUUGAGAGAGUCAAUCAUCUAUCCAUCACCAUCCAUUACCAAUCAUCUAUCUUCAUUCCAUUAACUAUCCUAUCUUAUCUCUUUUAUUUUCUCUGUUCUUAUUUGUUUGGGUCACUUAUCAUACCGUUCUUCCUUUGUUUUCAGGUUAUCUUGGACCUAAAGGAGUAACAAGUAGGCCACCUUCACCAUCCUCCCAUCCUAUUAGAUUCAGAAACGGAGCUCGAUAAGUAGAGAUAAAAGGAGAAAUACGGUUUGAUGUUUACACUAAACUAGGUGUUUUCCUGCACCAUGUGCAGAGAUAAAAUUUUAAAUUUAAAUUGUAUUUAAAAAUAAAAAUUUGUUAAUAUUUUAGAUUUUAUUAAGCCAAUAUUUUAAUAAAAUACUAAAUACUAAUUUAAUUAAACAUAAACUAAGAUAAAAUAAAUAAUUUGAUUUAUUUAAAAUUACAUUUAAGUUAUAUUUAAAAUUAUAAUUUAGAUAGACUUUCAUUUAUUUAUUUUGUUUAAGAUAUAUUAAAUUAACUUGUGUAAAGUAAAAUUGAUAUAAUUUUUUUUAUAAUUAUUAAAAUAUAAAACUAAAAAGAAUUUCUAAAAUUUGUAGAUAUCAAAAAUAAACAAAUGAUACUGCAUUAAAAAAAUUCAUUUUUUUAGAAAAAAGAUUGUAUAAAAUUUUGAAAAUAUUGUUUAAUAAAAAAAAAUUAUGAUUAUAAAAAUAUAUUUAAAUAAUAUUUCUAAAUUUAAAAAUAUUUUAUAUUUCCUUUAUCGUAUUAUUUAAUGAUAUAUUUGAAUUGAUUUAUUUUAAUGAUGAUUUAUGAGUUAUUACCAUAUUAUCAAAAAUUACAAAAAAUUGAAAUUAACAUUAAAUGUAGUUGUCCAUGUCACUUUUAACCAUAUGCCGUGUCAUCAAUUUUAGUAUGUCAUAUCAUAUUUUUUUGAUGAAAAUAAUUGUGGAGAUGACAUGUGUGAAAUCGCUUCACAAAUAAUGUCUAGGGGAAGUCUCGGUUUAACUAACAAUGUUAACAGGAUGGUUUGUAUAGUCUAAUGCUUCUGAUCACCAUUUCCAUCAAUAAGAUCGACCCAUCAACCAUCCAUCUCAUCUGCCCAUAAUCUGUGCCCCUAACAGGAUCGAGGUAAAGGAGAUAAAAUCAAAAGAGGCAGAAAUCGCAGUAAUAUCUGAAAGAGUCCCAUGUAUCUCAGCAUUGGUUCCUUAUCAUUAAUAUCUUUGAUUAGUUGAGCUGAAUCCGAUUCACAUCGAAGAGUUGCAAUUUCCAAAGAUUUGCAGCAGAGGAGAGCUUCCCGAACGGCUAGACUCUCUGCCAAGAGGGUGGAUCGCACAGCUUGAGUAAAUACCUUAGAGGAGGUGUUAUGCUUUGAACCCGCUAUAGUCCAUCCAAGGCUCACGGCAGCCUUGUCGUAGCUUCUCCAUGCCGCAUCAGAACGGACGCAGACAGUACACGAGAAGAUCGUAGAAUAGGAGACCAUAUUUUUGAAGAAAAAUCCUUCUCACUGAAGUGAUUGAUUGACCACUCUCUCGUGCUGUGAUGGCUAACAAGGUUUCCACCGAUGGAACAUAGUGUCCAGAGAAAUAUAGCUUGUUUCGGUCUUUCCACAAUGACCACAAGAUUUAGGGAAAUAGGUGACUUGUCACAAUUCCAGUUGGGGAGCGCUUUGCAUAGACCAUAAGGACGACCAGCUGUUCCCUAAAUCUACCAUUCCUCUAGGAUCCAAUUCUGCAACGAAGGGAGCUAGAUCCCAUACUUGUUGUGCGUGAAGAAAAUGAAAGAGAAGAUGAGUGAUAGACUCAGGGUUCCUGCAGGGUUUGCACAAAGGGUCUACAGUAAGGUGUUGCCACACCAGACGUACUCCCACCGGUAAUGCCCUCUUCAAUACUUUCCACGCAAACAUUUAACUUUUGGAGCAACAAUUAAGUUCCAGACAUUUUUAUACCAUUGUGUUGAAUCUGAGUUCGGUCGGGACUCGGUAUAGACACAGACUGAACUCGACGGUGGGCUUAGUUCAAAGGUGUCUGUAUUGAUUGGGAAAAUGUAACGGCUUACAAUAAGAAGAUAAACGGAAGAGUAAGCCGGUGCUCGGUGAGCUAGCUGGAAAAGUACGAAUCGGCAAAAAAUACAACAAGUAAAAUCCUAAUUUAUAGCCGCCAAGUGUGUGUAAAAUGUUCUCUUCCUUUUUCCGUGGUGUUGUCCUUCUUUUAUAGAUUAACCUUCCUCCCAUUUUUCUAGGUCAUCUUUGACCUACUGGGCUGAAUUCCGUCUUUUGGGCCGAGCAACUAGAAAUCAAACUUUCAAGCCAAGCUGGUGCAAAUAGCGAGCAAUCGCCAAGUAAAGCCGGUUUUCAACCGAGCGUGAGCAUGGAGUCGUAGACCGUUGAGCUAAGCUUAUCUGAGCCGACCGAGUGGUCCAAAUAUUUUAUCUGAUAGGCUUUUUGUAGGGAUAUCAUCCAUCUCCUACACAUUGAGGGCUCGCCUCACUCUCGAGACUUUGCUGAUCACUCAGCAGCUUAUAGAGAAAUCUUUGGCGUUAAAAAAUACAGGGUACAAGCAUGGUGAUGAGCUGGUCAGAUUAUUGUCCUUCCAUUAAUGUCUCUCCACUUCUCCCGUGUUUAAAUUCCUGUUUGUUUCCUUUUUCUUAUCUUCCCCUGUUUUCGUUAUAAUUCAGGUGGCUAUUCCCCUAUUCUGUGUUUUUGUUACUCUUGUAUGUUUUAGUGUUUUAUUAAUAAGAAAGCCUUUAAAAAAUAAAAAGUAUUACUAUUUUUAGGAAUAAAUUGAAGUGAAAUUAUAAGCUCUAUUAAGUUCAUAAUUUUUUUACCGUUUUAAUUUGAACUGGAAAAGUAUUUAUCUCAUCAAUUCUGUACACAAAAUCAUAAAAUAUGAAAAUCAUUAUGUAAUGAAUUUAAUAAUCUAUACUAACAAAAGAGACUUUUUGAAACUUCGUAGAACGUCCGCCUCAACGAAAAAAACUUCUCCCAGAAAAUACCCCAUGACAUUACAAUAUAAGAAAAAAAUAAAUAAUAAGUCUCUAUACAAUAAAAAAUAGAUAAUAAGUACAUAUACAAUAUAAGAAAUAUAAAUAUUAUAUUUAACAGCUAUCAUAAUAUUACCAUUUAAUAUAAAAACAAAAAAUUAGAAUAAAUAAAUAUAUAAAAUAAAAAUAAAUAAAUACUAAGUAAAUAUAUCAAGAUACUAAAAAUGAAACAACAAACCCCGAGCAUGCCUACUCCGACUGUUCCACUUCGUCUUCACGGUUUUGGUUCUCAUGAAUAAUCGAUGUUAACGCAACCAUUCAAUGAUGUCUUUACUCCAUCUUUGAUGGUUGAUUCUCCUCUUAUAUAAAUUGUUUAGUUAAAACCUAAAAUCCCACCAAAUUCGAAAACCCCGCUGAAGAAGCUAAAGCUAUGGCAAGUCACAACAGAGAAUCUAAGAUGUCCUGAACAAAAAAAACGAAACAACAAAGAGAGUGCCUUUCCUUAAGCUUAUGGCGGGAUGGUGAAUCGUUAUAAGGUUCUAAAUUCACUCUAGGAAGUAACUGGUGACAUUGAUUUUAGGCUCUUGGUCGGGUAAAUAUUAUCUUCAAAUCAGAACACAAGGUUCAUUCUUCCCCAAUCCUUAAAUUAUUUUUAUCAGAAAAAGCAUGUUGAGGAUCGACAACAAAAAGAUCACGAGUUUGCAGUUCCCAAGGUGAGUCUUUUCUUGAUGCAUCUUCAAUUUUUUGCGAGAAUAUUGAUGUUCUUUGCUGCGUUUGUGAGAAGAAGAAACAUAUAUAACUGUAGUGAAAUAUAAUCUCAUGACCCCAUCGCUAUUAGAUUAUUCUUUCGAUCAUUUUGGUGUUGACUUUUCAAUACGGUGGCUUUCUAAAAGGUUGCUGAAUCCACGCUAAUCUCAAGGAUACGUCAACUUAGACUUCAUAUUCAUACGAUUUAUGAUCAUUUGUAUCUUGUUAUUACCAAAAAAAAAGUUAAACUAUUGAUCACAAAAUUUUAGUAUGAGACAUUUAACGUUUUUAGUAAUUUAAAGUCGUUUUAAAAAUUCAAAAUAUAACAUAUAAGAAAAAAAUUAAUUUUGUUUAUUAUAUGGUUAAUGUGGUUGUUUAAUAUCUUUUAAUAAUAUAAAAUUAAACAAAAAAGAGCUAAGAUACAACAAUUAUUUUCAAAUAUUUAUUAUUCAUAAUCAUUAAUUGUCAUAUAUAUGUUAACUAUAUUAGGCAAUUCCGUAUCUUUUAUUUAAAGAAAAUGCGAUAGUAUUUUUUUGUAGACUAUUUAUUAAUUUAAUAGUUAUUUUAAUAAAAAGUAUAAUAUAAGUAAAGAAGAACCAACCUAUUUCUCUAAGAAUUCAUAAUUUCAUUCUCAUGGUGACACGUGGCUACAAAACAAACUUGUAAUAUUUUUUAAUUAAUAUAUAAGAGAUAUUAUGAACAGUUUAAAUACUUCACUAGAUCUCGAUCCGCGCAACCGCGCGGAUUUUUGUUUUCAUUUAUUUUUAUAUAAAUAUUUUGUUUAUAAUUCUAAAUUGGUAUAUAUGAUAAUAAUAUGUCUAUCAAUUUUUAAAACAUAAUAAGUUUACGGUAUAUUUUUUCAUUGAAUAGAUUGUUUCAAACUUUAACAUGUAUUUGUAUCUUCUUCUAUAUAUAUAUUUCUGGAUUAUUAUUUUAUUAUUAAAAUCGUAACUAUAUAUAUAAAGAUUAAUAAAAUAUUGUUUUAUUGUCAUAUUCAUAGAUAUUGUAACAUUUCACAAAUUUAGAAUGUUUUUUAAAAAAUAAACUUUUCGCUUCAUAGAUUUAUAUUAUCGAGAAAUAAUUAAACAUUUAGUUUCUGUUUAAUUUUUAAAAUAAACUAUAUAGUUUAAAAUUUUCUUUCAUUGUGUAAUAAAGAUUAAUCAUUGUUAGAUAAUAUAAUUUUUGUUAUUUAAAAAAAAAAUCUUUAUAAUUUUAAAAGUUAACAUCGACAAAUAUUUAAAUAUUUAACAUAUGGAGAUAUAGUAUUACAACAUUAAAUUAUAUCUAUUUAAUUUAUACUAUCUAUAAAUUCAAUGGAUCAUCUAUUGUUUAAAUCCAAUUAUUGUAGCCCAAUAAAAAUUUCUGGUAUGUCUAAAAUUUAAAUGAUAAGAUUAGAGAUUAAAUGUAACAUGACUUUUUAGAAAUAUGUUCAUUAGAUUCAUUUUUAAAAAAAUCACACAUGAAUUAAAGCUGUCACUUCUGUUUUAUUAUAUAAGAUUUAUUUAUUCUUCCUAGCUUUAUAUAAAAGAAAAAGACAAGUUGAAAAGUCUGCUUAUGGGUAAAGUAAUUUAAUGGUAUUCGCUUUUUUGAACAAACUUACUGGUGUUCACUUAAUUAUAUUUAUCCUGCUUUAUACUAAUGUUAUCGUAAACUUAUACCAUGUACAACAAGCAUAUGGAUACAUCAACCAGGAGCAAUGAUGAGUACUUUUAAGUGAUUUUCGAAUUUCUCUUUAUCAAUUUAUUUGUUAAUUAGAUGAAAUUAUUGUCUGGGAGAAAUUGACUAAAUAUUCUGUAGACUCUUUUUUUGGUAGUGAUAUAUUAUUGUUAAAUUAUAACGGCGUAUACUAAUACUAGUUCUUCUGACCGCCCAACGGCAAAGGCAUAAGAGUUUUGUUUUUUUUAUAGAUACCAACUUAACACGAAAGUAACGCCAACAAAAAACCUAUCCCACCCAAUAGAAAUAUAGGCAGGUAGAUUCCUCGCAAUGGUUCGCCCUCCACAUUUUCCCCCGUCUAUAAAAAUGCAACGAACCUUCAAAAUAACAGAAAAAUUGAAACAAAACUCUUCUUGCUCUUCAAGUCUGGGGACUUCUCCACAGCUCUAAACUAAAAAAUGUCUCACGGUAUUGACAAGGCGGUUGAGGCGCUGCUUCGUGGCCAAGAAAGCGCUUACCGCUUGAAGACCGUGCUCGAGCACGCAAGCUCAGUUCCAACCGAGCCUCUCUUCGAUACCGUUCUUGAUUCCUUCUCCUUUGCUCUCUCUCUUUUUGCAUCUUCUAACCCUCAACCACACCGUGAGUCUUCUCAGAACAAGGCAACCCCCGUGGUGGCUCAAAAAUCGCCCAAGAAGUAAUUGACUAAACAAAAAUCAAUACGUGUUUUCGAUUAAGGGAUGUUUGAUUUGAUCGGUUCGUAUAUUCCAUGUUGCAGAAAUAGCCACGGAGAAGAAUGUUUAGAGCAAUACAUCCAAGAUUCACCAACUCCUUUCUGCAAUGACGGUUUUUCUUGGAGGAAGUACGGCCAAAAGAAAAUCAAAACGUCUUCCCACCAAAGGUUAGAGAGUAUAAAAAAAAGAGUAUUUCUCUGUUUUUGCUCUGUUUUAUUAACGGAGUUUAUCUUUACAGGUGUUACUAUCGUUGCGCCUAUGCCAAAGACAGAAACUGCAACGCUACAAAGAGGGUGCAACAGAUCCAAAACAGUCCUUCUGUGUACAGAACAACUUAUGUCGGAAAACACAUCUGUGAGGUUAAUGCUUUUUUGCAGCCUAAUGAAGAUAUUAUUAACGGUUCCAAGAUGAUUCGGUUCGACAAGAUCGACCAAGUCAUGCCUGACUCGGUUAUGCCUCAACUCGUUCCAGUAGAACAACAAGAAGCAAUUAUCAUCGAAGGCACGGACCAAAUCAUGAACCUAGAAUGUGGUAGUAACGAGUUUUUGGUGGAUGAUGAACAGUUAUGGGAGUAUCAGUUUCCUCCAUGUUCACCUGGAAAUUUUAUGUUCCUGGACGAUCUUUCUGAGUUCGAUUACAAUCCUUUCCACGUUUGAACAAGCAAUUUUUCAAGCUUCUUCUUAUGUUCACAUAGAGGGUAGACUAUGUCAUACUAUGGUACUUGCUAUAUUUUGUAAUAGUUUAUAUUUUGGUGUGUUAGAUUCAUAAUUCGUGACAUCGUUUUUGUGUCAUUAGUUUACGUCAUCGUUCAUGACGUAUAUGUGUAAGUUCGAUUCAAAUAUUGAGGACAACUACUGUUUAUCUUUUGAAUGAUAUAACGGGUGUUUAUAUAGCACUUCAAACGCGUCAUUUGACUCUAUUUUAGUAGAGUAUUUUCGUCGAAAAUUGGUCUAUAAAAUAAUAUAAUUAAGAAAAAGAGUUUUCAGGAUGAUAAAUGAAAAUACUAAAAAUUGAUUGUUUAUGUAUUUUAAUUGAUAUAAAUAUAUAAAAGAUUUAUAAAUAAAAAUAAGUUAUUAGUUUCUAAAUCUAACAUGUUAAUUUUAAUUAGUAUUUACAAAUCUGGAAUUUUUCUAUCGGGUUUAACUAUUUAUAUUUCUUAAAAAAGAAAUCCUUCAAAACCCAUUCAAAAUCCAUUCUGAAAUCAAGUAUAACAGUAAAAAUAUAUUGUGAAUAUAUUGUGAAAUAACGUUUGAUUUGAAUUAAGAUUUAUAAAUCAUAUAACCAAUAACACAUGAUUUAAAUUAUGAUUUAUAAAUUACAGAACCAAUAACACAUAACUUUAACAUGAAAAAAUUAUAUAUUGAAUAACACUAGAUUUUUUUGAUUUCCAAAUCCAUUAAAAUGCAUAAAUCAAUAACUCCUAAACUAUUCUAAUUUUAGCUUUAUACCAUAAAAAUGAUAAAAAGAUCACUCCACAAGAUGAUUACAUUUAAAUUUAAUCAGAAAUGAAAAGCUCCCAAGUCUUUCCGUAGGUGCUUGCUUACUUCUGUCAUAAGGUCAAAUAAACUAAUGGAUGAUAACUAAUAUGGACUAGUUGGAAUUUUGACAACGAGUAAAGAGUCAACAUGCAGACUACCGUACUCAUAAUACUAUGGAGCUGCCUGUUCCUGUGCGAGUCAUGACUUUGCGAAUGACCUUCUCGCUAGAUCUCGAAGACAAUUAUAAAAGAGACACUUGAAUUAGAUUAUUGAAUUCUUCCCAGUUUUGUCAAGUUUCGACAGCUUAGGAAAUUAACAAAUUAGUUUUAUUUGCUUGAUCAUGGACCCGUCACCUAAUCUAUCUGAGUAAACAAGAAAAAAAAAACAUAGCAUUAUCUUUCUUUUUUCGCCAAUACUUUUCCUACCAAGUUUAUGUUUUUAUACAUGAUAUUAUGAAUAUCAAAAUACAUCAUACAUGUAUAUAGGAUAUCUCAUAGAUUUUAAGCAUCAUCAUGUCAAUUAACGCAUACUUUGCAUACUAUACAAACACAAUAUAUAUAUAUAUAUAUAUAUAUNNNNNNNNNNNNNNNNNNNNNNNNNNNNNNNNNNNNNNNNNNNNNNNNNNNNNNNNNNNNNNNNNNNNNNNNNNNNNNNNNNNUAUUUUUCAUUGUUUUAAUAGUUUCACCUCAUUUUGAUAUAUAAAUGGCAGUAAAUCUUAUAUACAUAUGAAUACUGAAAAACUUUUAAAGAUAAAUUAAGGAUACUUUUCAAAAUAACUUUCCUAUUUCACCCAGGUUUCAUGGAGACUGGAGAGGACUUUCUUAUUAUCCAAUACAAAUGCAGAACUAAACAAAAUUUUCAAUGGGUUGACGAAACAAAAUGUUCAAUGGUUCACACACUAUGCACACGUAUAUAACCGUAUACAGGUAGAGAGAAGUUCACUACUAGUCUUUACUUGCUCAGCUUUUGUGGAUUUUAGUCUCAGCUAGGCUAAAAGCAUCUGAAAUGGGAGUUUUUAAAUGGGAGUUUUUAAGAAAAAAAUAAUUAAAUAAUCAGUGGAUUCCAUUAAAGUUAAAGAUUCAAUCAUUAAAAUUCUUAAAUAAAAAUUCUUUCUUAGUGAAUCCUUGCACUAUUUACAGGUCUCCACGACAUGUGACGAUCCGCGAUUGGUUGGUAUAUUUUUUUUUAUAUCUGAAAAAAAAAUAAUACUUAAAAAAUCAAAAUACAUUUUUUUUUUUAAGAAUUCCUCUUUUGGGUAACACUAUCGCGGGUGCUUUGUACCCAAAGUUCCCCCCAGUUCCUCUGCAGAAGAAACAAGAUCUAUAUUCAACUAUUCACAAAAAAAGCUACACUGAUCCCAUGAUUUAUGCGCCCAGCAUCUAUAUCCUAUGUUAAUUACUACCUCUAUCUGACCCAACAAUUCAUAUUUUAUAUUGUCACUGGAACUGUAGUGCCAGUUUCAUUUAAUUCUUCACUAAUGUAUAGUCAUAUCCCCAAAAGUAAAACAAACGGAUAAUGUAUUAAGACAACUACAUGUUAAAAGAAUUAUGUCCAACCGACCUUUCACAAACAAUCAAAAGAAAAUAGUUCAUUCAUAUUCAUGCACACAAAAUAACCCAACAAAAGAAGACAUUAAAGAACGUAACUAUUAAGCAAUAAGUGAUUAACAGUUUCUAAAUAAACCUAAACCCAACUUCAAAUCAACCUCUAAGCCCAUUUUCUCAAGAUUGUUAAAGGGAUUAAUCACGUUUCCAUCAUUACUAGAAGAAGUUAAGUUCCUAGUGGUAUCACUGAACAAUUGUUCAACCGAUGUGACUUUAACACACUUCCUCACGUUCACCCUCUUCUUCUUCCUCCUCCUAUCCUCCUCCGUCGUUGACGACUGAGUCUCAGCUAUCUCCUCCGGAAAGACCGGAUGAACCACGAAAUUGGUCUUGGCUUUGGUCCCUCUAAGCCUCAUCGCCGCCGCGUCAUACGCACGUGCCGCCUCUUCCGCCGUGUCGAACGUUCCUAACCAGUGUCUGCAACGCCCUAUCUUGUCUCUUAUCUCCGCCGACCACCUCCCCCACGGACGUUUUCUCACACCUCUGAACCCUCCGUUCUUCUGCGGCGUCUUCCUCCACCGCUUCACGCCGUCUCCGGUCUCAGUCGCCGUGAAGUGCUCGGAGACUUUUAUGUUGUUAUUCCCGAACAGUACGUUUUCACCAACUAUUGCCGCGAUGGAAUCAUCCAUAACCCGACGCUGACUUACGGGUACGGGUUUUGGGUCAGGAGAGAAUAGAGAUGAGAUAUCAAACGUGUCAGGUCCGUUAAAGGGCUCCGUCACCGUGAGAUCAGAAAACGGAGUUUUAGCUCCUGAAAGGGGCAUGCAGACUAACGGCGUCUCUUUGUGUAGCCCAUACAUUUCUAAGCUUUGAUGAGUUUCGACGCCGAAGCUUUGCGGAUAUGGAAGUUGGAGACGGUGACCAUCAACGGUGUUUUCCAUUUUAAGGCGAAAGAUAAAAUAUAAAUAUAUUGAGUUUUGUAUAGAAAUUGUGUGUUUGGAAGCAUUUUAUAGGCACAACAACAACUACUACUACAUGAUUAGUGGAGUAAUAAAGUUCCUCGAAUAAAGAUUUUACUAUUUUCCUAUUUUGUUUCUUCUGAUGUUUACAUAUAUACACUAAUUAAUGGUCGGGAGGUAAGUAAAAUCAUGAAAAAUUUAUUGUAAAAGUAUAUUUGUAAAGUGAGAUAAUCAAAAGAUACUGCUGUCAAUUUUGAUAGAUAAGACCGUAAAAUCUUUCACAUUUAUGCUCCUGUCUUUCACAGUUCAAUAGUUCCAUAGAAGAAGUUUUGUACCUUUUGUUUCUUUAAAUUCAAUCUUUUUUUUCCCGUGAUUAAUAUCAUCAAACAAACUUAAGGGUGGGAAAAAUAAACCGAACACAAAAAUUUGAAUUGAAUUCGAUCCGAUUAAAUACCGAAUGAGUUUUGUUCUACGAUAUAUCAGAUUGUGGAUUUUAUCGGAACCGAAUUUGAAACCAUAUGGAUAUCCAAAAAUUCAAAAAAUUCAAAAUUGCAAAAACUCAUAACAAAACCAAGUACCAGUAGUACUAUAACAUGACUAAUUAAUUUAAAUACUUAACUUAAUAUAUAUUUUUAGUAUUUGGCCAAAUAUUAAAGCUUUUAUGACAAUUGCAGAUGAAGUUCAAUUACGAAUAUGUUUGCCUUUGAAGUUGAGAAGAUGUUAUUUCAGUUCUAAGUUUAAAUAAUAUUUUAUGUGUAUGGAGUUGUUAGUCAGUAAUUUUAAUUUGUUUUUAUUUUUUUGUCUCUUAAACACCAUUUCUACAUCAUUUCACCAAACUUUUGUUAGUGAAAAUUGUUUAAAUUUUCCAAGUUUGCGGACUAACAUGUGUAUUUUUGAAUUCCAAACAAGUAUUUGGUUAACCGAAAGCCAAUGUAGGAAAAAACCCAAAAUUAAAACGGUUUCAACUGAAUUUACGAUGUGUUACUAUGUCUGAACCGAAUCUGAAGAAACUAGAAUUGAAUAUCCGAAGAUUUGAUCUUAUGGUAAACUGGUCACCAUACAACUUAGACUCAUGCAUAUAAACUGAAACUCGAAAAUUGAACUGAAAAAACGAAUUCAAAACCAAGCUGAUGUUCACAAAUAUCUAAACGGUUUUAUAUUUUUUGGAACCGAAAAACAAAACCAAACUCGAACCAAAAACCAAAUAUCCAAAGUACGGUUUAUAUAUGUAUAAAUAUUAAUUACAUUUACUUUUAAAAUUAUCAAAUAUUCUAAUAAUAGUAGUUAUAAACAUAACUACCAAAGAAAAAUUAGAUUACCCAGAUAUUUCAAACUUAUAUAUUUGAAAUAAUCUGAAUUAUCUAAAAGAACAUAAUUACUCUAAUAGUUUUAUCCAUAAUAUUUAAAUCUAUCUCUAAUAUUUAAUCCAGAAAAUAAAAAUAUAAAUUGAAUUUUAAAUUCAAAAUUUUUAUCAGAUAUUUGACGGAUUCCAACAUCGUUAUCUAAAUUAAACCAAAACCAAACCAAAAUACAUAAUAACCAAAGGGUUUCUAUAUCUCAGACAAUAAAAAGAAAACUGAACACCCAAACCUAAUACAACGGUUGAUUAAUAAUUAAUACUUUUGACAAUUUGCAUCAAAACUAUAGGGGUGGCGUCCAGAUAUCCAAAAAAUAAGGUAUCUGGAUCCAGAAUUGGAUCUGUUGAUUUAAUACUCGGAUUUGUGUCUUCCUAAUAUCUAGAUUUCAUAUAUCUUUUUAGAUAUUAUACUACUGCGGAUAUUUAGAUCCGUAAAAAAAAAUUCUAGACUUUUUAAAAUAAUACAUAAAUUAAUUAUUUAUACAAGAUUUAUAAAUAUAUUUAUAUAUGUAUAUAAUAUUAUAAAAUAUAAUAUUAUACAACUAAUUAUAUAUUUAAAUAUUAAUAUAUCAAAUAUAGUUAUUAAUAAAAUCAAAUAUUUAAUAUAUUUUAAAAAUACAUAUUCGGAUCCAAAUAUCAUAUUUGGAUCUGAAUUCGAUUUUAAUGGAUCUGAGAUUUUAUUAUCCGGAUCCUAGAGACAUUCUAAAUAUCUUAUUUUUGAAGCGGAUAAUAUCCUGAUCUCUGAUAAUAAUUCCCGACUCUAAUAAUAGAGACUAUUAACUAAAGGAAAAGUUGGCCUUGUAAAUGUUUUAUAAGGCCAGUAAAUCAGAAGGAAACCAUCAACGGCAAAGCAAUACGAUUUGUAGAUUUGACUUGUUGAAAAUGACACCCGUUUCAUUACGUAAGGCUGGUCUCUUAAGUCUUAAUCACUCAUGCUGGCGUCAACAGACACGCUUGUUUGAUUGCAUCUCACUUUUUUUUAACAAUAUUAUUAGAUCAUAUCAAGAGAUAUUUUACUCAGUAAACAACAUGAUGUUUCGAGAAGAGUUUUUAAAGUUCGAAGCUUAGGCGAACAUUAUUGAUAGGACAAUUUUAAGUCCUUAAAAUAAAAGAAGCAAAGGACGCAAGAGAUAUCAAAGGACGAAGGACGAGCUGGAACGUUGCUUAUAUAACGACUUUCCCCCUCGAUCUUAAUGUUUUUGUGGGUCCCCUGCCCUUAAAGACCGGCUGGGACGUUGCGAUAAUGUUGCCCUUACAAGUUUUUUCCCAAAGAUGUUUAAGCUACUUAAUAUGUUUAGAUAGGAUGUCAAAUUGAGCUCUAGAUAAGUGUUCUUACAAGGUUUUUCCCAAUACAUGAAUGCAAUCUAAAUGCUUUUAGACACAAUCCUAAAGAUGCAAAUGGAUCAAGUGAAACUACACGAAGAUUUUCAAAAAAAAAUCAAAAUUUUAUGGAUUUUCUAUGCAAAUAAGUAUUCACAAUGCAAUGCAUGAGACUCAUGGAAAGUAAACAAAACAGAAAAUAAUGUGAGAUAGUAGAUUCUCCCCCAAACUUUCUUCACACUGUCCCUUGUGUGUGAGUAAGCUCAAAGAAGAGAUAUAAGGGGAAUAAAUAAACAUGAAAACUAAAUAUUUACAAGGUUGGGGUGACACUUACUUAGAGUUAUUGGCUGAAUUGGGUGGUAGAGGACCCUUGGCCUCAGAUUUAUUUCACUUGUAGACAUGGGCUGAAGCGGAGAAGUGAAAGAAGGUGUCUAGAUUCAACUUGAAAAGCCUGAACCAUACUAAUUAAAUAACCUAAAAAGGAAAGAUAAAGAAAUAUUUACAAUUGAUAACAUGCGAUUUCCUCCCAAGUGAGCUUGUUUUAAGUCUCUAGCUUGACUUUGUGUGCUUGCUAAUCAUAAGUAUCAAAAGGUUGAGCCAAUGCACCUUUGGUCCUUCUCCUACAAAAACAAGGAACCAAGUAUGCAAAGGAGCACACUACUGUCCAUAGAAAAUAGACAAAUUUUUCCUCGAAGAGCUUCACUAAAGAUGUGACAUGAAUUAUGAAAUGCUCAUUGAGGUUCAGAUGAUCAUAAGAAUCAAAAGCAUUUGGUGCAGACACAAAUUCAACUACAGGCUCAAACGAAGUUUUAACAAAGUAGUCAACUUUAUCUCCAUUAAUCAAAUAAAACACAAUGUUCUCAUUCUCAUGAAAGUUUUUGACAAUGGGGUUUUCUAUCUCAAACAAGAGCCUAUCAACAUCAAGUUCAUCCCCUAAAUCAGCUAGUUCAAGAAGAGGUCUAGGUUCAUCAAGCAUCAAAAACUCAGAUUCAAGAUCAAUUGAAGCACAAAGAUAGUUCUUGUCAAAACAAACUUCAAUAUGAUCUCUAACAAGCUUUUCCACUCUCAAGUCAUCUAGUUUUCUAGUUUCAAAUAUUAGAUCAAGACAUUCAUUGAUGAGCACAUGAGAAUUCAAAUCAGAGGCAAUCUCUUCAAUACAUGGCAAGCAAAUAUCCUCAAAAUGAAGUUCUAAAGUCGAAUUGCAUAUACCUUCCAGCUGGGUUGGUGGAACCCAAUAAAAUACCUCUUUGAGCUAUUGAGCCAUUCUUAUCUCAAUGCCGGUGAGCUCUCUUCCUUCUAGUGUUGCCCGAUGUGACAUAAUAUUUAACCUGAGCAUCACUGCCAUGUCCUCCCUUGUCAACAUUGGAUUCUCUUUGCAAAGCUCAUCCACCUUUACACUAUGUUCUGGUGUGAGUAUACUUUCAUCAAAUGGCUCCUCCAUAUAUGGCUCAUCAUCAUCAUUAAUGUGAUCUUCAAGUGUAUCUUCCUAUUCUUGUGGCCAAGCAAAGUGGCUUGCUGCCAUCACUGAAAAUAACAAAAGUUAGAAUAAAAGGUUGGUAGCUAUACAAAAGCAAAACAAAGCAUAAGAAAAUAAAGCUUAAUCUCAAGAAAGUUUGAAACCAUAAUGACAAAUCUACUUAGUUCCCCGGAAACGACGCCAAAUUGAUUAAGCGUUUAAGCACACACCAAUUAACCUACUGUGCCAAUAAUACCACAAUCGAAUGGUAUGUCAUUGUAGCAUUUUAGGAUCCAAUCCACAAGGAACUAAUGAUCUAUAACACCAAGAAUACACAAGCUUGCUUAAUCUAAGCAAAAAAGAAGAUGGAUGAUUUGUAACAAGCUAAUAUCCUAGAAAUAUAAACAAGGUGAUCUCAAAUCCAAUCAAGAAAUAAGUGCAAGAAUUAAAUCAAAUGCUAAGGAUAGAUCCAUGGGCAAUGAUAAUUGAUAUAAGGUGAUCAAGGUUCAAUCUAGGAUGUUCAAACAAAACAAUCAACAAGUCUAUAGGUCUAGAUCUCAUUCAAUAUAGAUUAAUCCACUGUCGUGGUAAUAAUCCAUAUGCUAGUCAUGCAUCAAACAUCAACUCCCAUUGGCUAACACAUUCAAGCAUGCAUAAAUCACAAGUUUACUAACCACUUAAACAUCUCGGACAUCAACUGCCGUUGGCCAAAUAUGUAAAAGACAAUGCUAAGUUCAUUCAAGCAUUUUAACAAACACUUUCCAGGCGUAAAAUAGCUUAAGGUCUAGAUAAAAGUGAUCAAGUCUAAUCUAGCAUUAAGAACACUUAGCAAGCAUAAAACAUUGUUAAUCAAGCAAUAAACAUCCUAAAUAUCCACUUAAUCACCCUAAUCUAUCUAACCCAUGAAUCACAAGGUCACUACUCAUUAAUCUCCAUGAGAAACCUUAAACACAUGUAAUGAUCAAGGCUAAUCAUUUUAAUGAGCAAGAAAACCACAAAUAUAAGAUGAAGUACUUCCUUAGAUUAUCAAAAGAUUCAAGCUUUUACAAGUUUAGACAAAGUCUUGAGAGAAAAUGAGAUAAAAAUAAAGUUUCUAGGUCUAAAUAUAUUUAUAGGAAGGCAAAACUCGAACCGGUUUAAUCCCACAAACCAGGAUUAAACCAGACUAAACCGGAAUUAAAUCAAAAAUCUCGGCUUGUCUCCUCCAGCUCGAGUGAACCGUGGACUGCUCACCUCCGCGACGUCUGGCCGCGGCGAAUCUCCAAGCUCCCUGCCUCGUUUCCGCGGCCUUGUCCAAGCCGCGUCGUGAAUCCGCGGUAUUCUCUGUUAAUUUUCCGUGUCUCUGCCGUGAAAACGCGGCCUCACUUACUCCGCUAUGGCCACCCGCGGUCUUCCUCUUUGUCGCAAUCCACCACAAUCAAUCUCCAAGCCACUGUGAACCACCUUCCAAAUCUUUGUCCGUGUUCUGGUCCUCCGCCGUGCUCGGUCUUCACUGUGGCCUCAAGCUUCGCCGUCGUAGCUUCCAAUCCGGUCAUGGACUUCUUCCCCGAAACCUCCAUUGGCGUGAGUCUUCUGUCUCGUCUCUGUCUUCCUCGUCGAGCUCUCCUCCGUGACGGUCUGAAAUCACAAGUCAUAGUCAGCCCAGCCUUAGCCGUCGUCGGGUCGAAGCUCGUGUUUGAACCGAAAUCGGUGCUGUGCAGGAGAUAGACAGAUUUUGAGUAGUGACCUUGUGAUUCAUGGGAUCGGCUUGGAGGAGAAAGCUCGUGAGCUCCAAUGGUGAGUUCUUGCUUAUUUGCAAAACAGGUCCUCAGAGUCUUGAUUAUUCACACAUUCGCCCCAAACUUCUCAAGUGUGCACUUUAGACCCUAAUGCACAUAAAUAGACAAAUAUAUGCAAUGUAGACACCUAAAUGCAACUCAAAACACUAAUAUGAAUAAUAAAUACACCCUCCAUUUCAUAUUAAGUGUCGUUUUAGAGAAUUUUUUUCGUUACAAAAUAAGUGUUGUUUUCGAUUUUCAAUGCAAAAUUUAUUAAUUUUAUGCAAAAUUUAUUUUUCUAUUGGUUGAAAUAUGGUUAGGUGUAUAUGUAAUAGUGUUUUUUAUAGGAAACUAGGGCCGGCCCGCCCUACGGGCGGGAUGCUAUUUUAAAAAUUAUGUAAAUAAUUAGAGUAAAUAUUCAAUAUAAAUUGUUAUAUUUUAAAAUAUACAUAUUAGUUAAAUUCUGUAUAUGUUAUUGUAUUUGAUGACUAAAUAUACCAUGGCGUAUUGAUAAGUAUUUUUUUUCAUGGUGCCAUCACAUCAUUUUUAGAAAUUUUCUGGAGUUGGAUGAAUCUAAAGAGUAUUAAUAGUGAGGAAAUAGACAAACUUGUAAUUAUAUAUUAAGUAAGCAUUUAUGAGUAAAAUUUAUUAUUAGGUCGGUUAAUUAUUAGUUGUGUAAACCGGAAAUACUAAUAUUAAAGUACCGUAUCUUAACAUGUUGGGCAACUUAAAUUUGAUAUAAACCAGUCAACGAUGCACUGGUGGUGAAAGAUAUGGUUGCAAGGCAAUUCGUUGAAUUCUCUUUGCUUACAAUAUUGUUAAUGCAUACAGUGCAGAGUUCAUCUUCUUCUUAGGUGUGAGUGUGCUAAUAUAUACAUCUGAAUCAAUAAUUACACAAUAUUUCUGGAUAUUAUAUGCAACUCAUAAGUUAUUAUAUAAUAACAACUUCCAUAACCACAUCAUAAGUACCCAAUUAAGAGUAAAAUAUAAGCUAAAAUAAAUAAUAUAUAUAAAAUUAUAUUUUAAACCCAAUAAAGCAUUUGGAUGAAAUAAAUAAUAUAUAAUGAUCAAAUCUUAGUGGUUUUUAUGUUUUUUUUCGUACUCAGUAUAUUAUGUGUUGAACUUGAAAAAUGACUAUAAAUUAAUAAGCUAUUAAAUUCUCACCGAAAUUUUGUGAUUGAUGUUUAGAUAUUUAUAACAUAAUACAAAAUAAUACAAAAGCAUACGGAAUAUAGUUAACAAUAAAAUAUUAUUAUAUUAAACUAAAUAACUAUUCAAAAUUUGAUCUAAAUAGCUGCAUUGUAUUUUUAAUAUGAAUUGUUAAUUAGUAAAACAAACACCCUUUUAAAAAUUAUAUAUAUAUAUAUAUAUAUAUAGAUAUUGUUUCCCAUCGAAAUAUAUGAAUGACUAUUUCUUCUUAACAAUAAAUAUUCAUAAAAAAAAUAUGCAAUCUAUUUUUUUAAUAUUACUAUUAUUUUUGUUAUAAGUAUGCUUGAUUAGUUUUUGUUGUAUGGAUUAUAUUUUAUGAGGUUAUGUUAUGCACCAGUUGUGUCGAUUUAUUUGAAAUAUAAUUAUUUUAUUUGCUGUGUAAAUAAGGUAGUAAAUACAUAUUAGGGACUCUGUAUUUGAAGCCAUUUAUUUAACUAAUAGGGUCAGUUUAAUAGGAUGUUUUUCAUCAUAAUGGAAAAUGUAGAACUGUAAAUAAGUUAGAGUCAUAUGUCGACGGAAAUUUAAAAUAAAAACGGAGUCAAGAGUUUCAAACUAUUAUUAUUUGUAUUUCCGAAAACAAUGGCUUCGUAUAAGCUCAAAAGGGUUGAAUUUCAGAUUGGUUGUUGUUCCUGUGAUGAAAGUGGUUUAGUAAAUAUUUUUUUUUAAAAAAAUCAGAUCAGAGAUCGUCUUGCUACGGCCGGGGUAUUUCCAUAAUAUUUAUUUUUAAUUCUAUCAUUUUAAUUUAUUUCAAUAUUAUGUAUAUAUUAACAUUUAUUAUUAAAAUAUAAAUCAUUAGACAAUUUUUUUUAAAAAAGAUUUUUUUUAUGAAAUUAAAUAUUUUUGGUCUAUUAGAUUUGAAUCUUUUAAUACUCAAAAUAAGUUAUUUUUAUUAAUGUAAAUUAUAUAUCACGUGAUGAAAAACAUAUAAAAUGAUAUAAGCUUAGUUUAAUCUGAAUAUUUUUAUCGUACUUAUUUAAUUUUAAUUAAAAUAAAUUUUAUGCACAAUCCAUUUAAAUUUUAUUUUAGCUUUAAAACCGUUAAAUUUAUAAUGUUUAAGGAUAUUAGAACAUUUAUCUUUUGAUUUUUUCUUCCUCUUCAUCAUCCAUCUCCGUUGAUGUAUUUGCUAUCUAUAUACAAUUUGUUUGAAUAAUGUUCAUAAUCGUAUUUACAUAAUACUGUUAUUAUCUCAGAAUGGGUUGGUGAUCAAAAUAAUUAUUAACAAAGUAUAACAAAUAUUGUAUUGCGGUUAGAAAUCUAUAUUAUAGUUUUCUUUGGAUUUCACAUGCUAAUACAUGAUAUGUAACUAAAUUUUUUUCGAAAUAGGCUUGCAUGAUCAUUGUACAUCAUCCAUCGAUUACAAAUGCUUCUUGUUUUUAUAUUUUACGUGUAUUGUCCUCAACCUAGAAGAGAAAAGCUUUAUCAUACUUUUGAUUUUAUGCUUACUCAAGUGUGCUCAAGUAUGUUAAUUAAGUAUUACCUAGCUAAUAGCUUAUAGUCGCACCUUUUGCCUUUUGUUUUUUUCAUAAACCCUCUACUCACAUCUCGGUUAUCCAACCUCCUACUUUCCAUGAAAUAGGUAUAUAACAUUAACUGUUUACUAUAGUGGGAAUUCAUUCAUGCUAAAAUGGUUUUGAUACGAAGGUCACUUAGUUCGUCUUGUUUCAGUAUAAUUGUUCUUUCUUUCUUCUACCAGUUUAAGACAUGUAAAGAGACGAACUCAUAAAGAUUAUAUUACCAGAAUCUAAAAAAUCCAUGUAUGAAACAAAAAGCAGAAAUAAUAAUAAUAAUAAUAUAAUUUCUAAUACUAUAUUAAGAACUUGAUUUUCAUUAACAAAAGGACAUUUAAUCAUCAUAUAAUAACAAAGUUCAAUAUUCAGAUGUACCGCAUGAAAUCUAUUGCCAUACACCGAUUGGAAAUUUAAAACAGAUGCAUGCAAUCACAUAUCAAGAUCAAACACACAUGUGUCUUUGUUAUUUGCAACAAAAACCAUCUAAUUAAGAAGCCUUAACAGAAUUCAACUUGGAAAGGAACUUACUGGUUUAAAUUUUCAGAGCACUUACUGAUAGUGCUGAUGGCAGUAUCUACUUUGAGAUCCUAAAAAUGUCUCCGGCAACUCCUCCUAUCUCGAUAUCUGCUGUGAUGGCUAUUAUUCAAAUAAAUUUGAAAAUCAUGUUCACAUGACUCAAGCUGGAAAAUUGACGGAUUGUACUCAGCAGAUGGACAAUGCUUUCCUGCAGAGUCCAAUACCAAUCAAAAUGGGGAUUAUAGCAAUGACAUGAUCAGAACUAACGUUUGCUAAAAUGAGAAACUUCAAGGCCUUGUUAAAUUAUGACACUUAGCCAUAGUGCCUUUGAAGAUUCUUCCUCCAAUAGUUUAAUGAUGGAAAGAUUACUUUCGAAGCGUGAGAAACUGCAUCUUUCUUCGUAUUCGUGAAUCUAGACAGUCUAAUUCCAAUUUAAAAAGCAGCUUAGAUUUACACAAACAAACAAAAAUAAUAAAAGGUAUAAACAAUCUGAUGUACAUAUAUUUUCUUACAGACCUUGUAAGGAGAUCAGUGAUUGAAGUACAUGAAACCACUCGAACAAUUCUAGAACUUUCUGGAUUCUGCUUUGAAACAAAUAGAAAAGUCAGAAUAACUGAAACAAAUAGAAAAGUCAGAAUAACUGAAACAAAUACUCAAUCUCACCACAGAGUAAAAGCCAUACACACAUACCUUAAUAUGCGAUAGUAAGCUGUUGAACCAAACAAAGUAUAAACUAAAGAAACGAUCUGAGCUGCACUCUUGGCAAGUUACUCCCAUCAAAUCGAGACCCACCCAGCAUUUAUCUGGGUACAUCAAUAUACCAAAAUCAAAACUCGUUUUAACAACAAAGUCCACACCUUUCUCUUUUAAAUCACUAUUUAAGACAGUGUUUGUACCAUGUCUGAAGAAACCAGAGCCAACAACCUCCCAACCCAAUCAUCAACGGCUGAUUUCAAAGGCUUAGCUUGAAGCUUCUUCUGGUCAACUGAAGACGACGGAGACUCGGAGUCGCAAUUUUGUGGAUUGGUGAGGAUAACGUUUAUAGGAAGAAGACAUACUUUUUAGGUGAAGUUUAACCGCCUGUAAAGGAGAAGAGAAGUAUUGAAUGAUAAAUCAUGAGUGGAGUGGGUCCAAUGAGUAAAGAACGAUGUUAAUAGCGAUGAACACUUAAUUACAUAACGUAACAGAGGCCAUGAAUCGGGAACGAUACGUCAUGAAGGAGACCAAUCUUUAUUUGAGACGUACAAUCUCGUACAACCUCCAUUGGAGUUUGACCUAAUCUUAGUUUUAGGGUACAAAGAAUCCUAGAUCAAGCGGAGAAGACAAUGUUGAGAACGUCAUAUCUAUUAUUUUUGUUUUAUGAGCCCACUUCCAAAGCUAAAGCCCGUAUCAAUUGCAUAUGCAUUUAAAUGAAACGGUAAGUUUCAUCUUCAUAGACACGUGUCACGAUUAUGAAACUCGAAUUUGUGACAUGGCAUCCGAGCUGGACACUCUAGGAGGGAUACAAAGCUUACUUUAUAUAUAAAGAUGUACAAAAUUAAUUGUUUUCUUAAUCCGUGUGCUGAAACCUAAAACAACACUUAUAAUGAAACAGAGGGAGUAUAUGUAAAAACUAUAAAAAUCAUGAGAUAUCAACUCCCCCACACUAGUCAUUUACUUGUCUAUAAGUAAACUUUAAAAAUAAUCAAGAGGGAGAUAUUUAAAAUUGGGAGCUUAUAACCAAAAGAACACUUUCUAACCUUCAACUUAACAUCCCAAAGAAAAACAUAGCAAAUAGCAUGAGCAAAUACUUUUAUUACACUCUAGCUUCUCAAGGCGUAUCAAGUCUCUUUUAUCUCUUCACAAGUUGUAAUGCUAAUCAACCAACAAGUUCUUUCAACCGACUCUCACAUUGAUUCACACACACACAAAAGGUGAAUUCUCACAAAUGGGCACAUGAUCUCAAUCAUUUGGCUUGGUGAGCAAAAUGGUCUAAUGUGAGGCAAGGGUUUUCAAAUGCAUCUUUUAUGGUGACUCACACUCAAGAAUAGGAGCAAGAACAUUAUGCAAAAUUUAUCUAAGAAAAAGAGCAAUUCAUGCAUACAAUGACUUGUUCUCAUCAUUUUACCUAUUUCCUAAAUUAUUUCAAGCUCUACCCUUAUUCUUUUCAUCAUCCCAAAACCCAAAGAUACACUCACUUUCAUCUCUCACCCAUUGAACACAUUCCCAUUUCUUAUUUUAGCCAACUAGGGAUUUUUUUUAUUCACUCAGCUCUUUAAUUUUUCUUUUUCCCACUCGUUUCAUGUUUUUUUUCUUUUAUUCUAAAGGAGAUUCUACUUAUAAACACAAGAGUCCUCUUUUUUUUUUUACUCAAAUCUCAAUCCCAAGAUCAAAAUCAAGCAUACGAACCCAACAAACAUCCUAGAGGCUAGCUCAAAUGAGGUCCUAAUGCUUGCCAAAGAUGAGAACAACUCAUUGUCGCUCCUAAUACUCUCAAGAUUUUGCACAUGACAUGCUGAUGCAGGACUUUUCAAGGGUCCAAGAUCAAAUCAAUGUAGUAUAAAAGAUUGUCGAACCAAUCCUAGGUGAUUCUAAAGCAAAGGGAAUGCAAGUUCAUGCUUAAGCUAAAUGCAAUCCGGUUUUAAAGAUGGUAUGAACUAAGAACUAAUAAGCUAAUGCAAUAAAAUAAUGAUCUUUCUUUCUCAAUAUAAAGCAAGAGGACUCAUGGGGCUAGGCAUUUGAUCUUGGGUGAUGUAGAUCCAAUCUAAGGGUGGCAAGGUAUCAAUCAAACACUUUCCUUAUGCCUAGACACUAAGCUAAACAAGCUCUAUCUCUAGAUGAAUGUUUUGGUAAAGCAACUCAAGCAUCUAAUCUCUUAGGUUGAAUGUUACUAAAGCAAACAUGGAGAACAAGUCCAAUAGCAAUCUUAACUCCUUUACCAACUAAUCUCUUAGGUAAAGCAAGCUAAAAGCAUUGAAGAGUUGCUUCAGGCAUUUCAUCAUACACCUUGUGGACAGGAAAUGCCUAGAGAUCUAUUUUAGUAUGAUCAAGACUAAAAUAGCAUUGAGAAUCCUCAACAACCAAGGAAACAAGUAAAUCUAACACUAAACACCCUAAAUCUUCUCUAAUCACCCUUAAUCACCCUAGCCCAUGAAUCCAAUAUUAGUCUACUCACUAAUAGACAUGAAUAACCCCAAAACCAUGGAUGAUUCAAGGUUAAACAUGAUUAGAGAGCAAGAUAAUCAAGCAAAGAUAAGAAAUUAUGAUCAAGAUUAGAUAUUUUUCCCAAAAGUGACUUUUGAUUAGAUAGAAAACUAGAUAAUCCCAAAUUUUGGUCCAAAAAGUAUUUAUAGAAGACUAAAACUCGAGCUGGGGCAACCCAACAAACCUGGUUUGACCCACAAAAACAUAGAUAUUUUUCUCCGUAGUGACUAGAAAAGGUCGCUACCGGAGGUUGCUACGCCUGUAGCGACUUGUCUUGCUCGCUACGUGUGGCCGCUAGGAUACUUGAAAGCAUAUCGACCUCGUGAAGUCGCUAUGGCUAUGGCUGGCCGCUGUAGAAGGCGCUUCAAUUCUAGCGGUCUAUCCAGCCCGCUACGUGUGGCCGCUAGGAUACUUGGCAGAUUUUAGAAGUCUUGAACGCAUAGCGACCUCGUGAAGUCGCUAUGGCUGGCCGCUGUAGAAAGCACUUCAAUACUAGCGGUCUCUCUAGCCCGCUACACACUCCCGCUACGGUACUUGGGUGCCUCAGGUUUUCAGCUAUACCUUCUGUAGCGACCAGCAUUUGCCGCUACGCCUGGCCGCUAGGAUCCUUCAACGACUCAUCUACAUUAUUUGGGCAUCAAAACACUCCUUGGGGCACAUAGUUCAUCAUGAAACUCUCUCCAACACCUGAUAAGGACUAAUGCAUGGAAAUGCAACCUAAACAUGUGUAAAUGCUAUUCCAAAAGACCAAUGUGCACAAGAAAGGAUAAUUAAAACAAUGUAAAUAUGCAAGAUAUCAACUCCCUCAAACUUGUUCUUUACUUGUCCUCAAGUGACUUUGCAAGAACUCAUAAGGAAAAGAGGUUUGAAGGUGGGAACUCAUAGCCAAAAGUAACACUUCCUAGCACUCAACUUAACAUCCUAAAGAAACAUAGCAAAUAGCAUGAGCAUCUUCCUUAUUAUACUCUAGCUUCUCUAGGCCUAUCCAUACUCUUUUGCCUCUACUCAAGUUGCAAUACUCAUCACCAACAAGUUCCUUCAACCAGCUCUCACAUUGAUUCACACACACACACAAGGUGAAUUUUCACAAAUGGACACAUGAUCUCAAUCAUUUGGCUAUGUAAACAUGGUCUAAUAUGAAUGAAGAGAGGGGUUCAAAUGUUUUCAUUUAAAGGUGGUUAUCACUCAAAACAAGGAGCUUGAUCAUUAUGCAAAAUUUAUUUAAGAUUAGAAGCAACUCAUGCAUACAUAAAUUUAUUCUCAUCAUUAUAUCCUUUUAUAAGUGACAACAAGUUCCACCCUUUUAUCAUCAUCUCAAAAGCAAAGUAAACCCCUCACAUCACUUAUCCAAUGGACAACUCUCUUUUUCUUUGGACUCAACUAACUAGAGACUUUUAUUCACUUUUUACAAGCUCUAACUCUUUUUCAUUUCUUUCCCCAACUUUUCUUUGAUUCUUUUCCUUUUCUUUCUCUUUUUUUUUUAUAAGGGGGAAAGUUCUUUGUUGCAUAAUCUAGAGCUUCAUACUUUCUUUUUGUCCCUAGAGUUUCCUUUACUAUUGAUACCCUUUUGCUCAUCUCUCUCAUCUUUCUCACUCCCCAAACCCAAAAUAUUGACAUUCAGAACACAUAAACCCCUCUCACCAUCCUCAAAUGCUAGUUCAUUAUGCUAGCAAGAGAUGAGAAUAAAUCUAUGUCGCCUCCAAUACUCUCAAUAUUUUGCACAUGACAAGCUAUCAAAAGAGGCCUCAUUCAUGCAAUUCAAUGUUUGGUCUCAAAGAAAUGGCUAGGGUUGUAGGGUAUGGAGUGUCAUUUGGGUUAACAAAGAUUGGUAUAUAAAAGAAUAAGAUAACCCAAAUGUGUAUGAGAUCCAUGAUCAAGUAUGCAAAUGCCCAUAUGCAAGGGAGAUUAAGUUCAUUUAGGCCAAGUUCAGAUUGAAGCUGAUCUUAAGAACAAUGCCAAUAUCAAGCAAGCAAAUAAGUUUCAAGAAAAGUUUUCAAGGCUCGAAGCGUGCAAGGCUUUCAAGAGAUGCUUAAGCUACUUGACAAGAGUUAUUUACAAGGCAUUUUAAAUCAUUGUUCCCAAUGCAAGUGAAUGCAACCUAUAUGCUUUAGACUCAAUCCUAAAAGUGCAAGUGAUGCAACUACAUGUUUCUUUUUGUGUUUUUCAAAUUUUUUUAAUUUUUUUUUUUGGUUUUUCUAUGGGUAUAUGUAUUCACAAUGCAUGAGACUCAAAUUCAUCAAAGCAAACAUGAUCAAAUACUUGAUACCUCCCCCAUACUUAAAUCACGCAGUCUCUGUGUGAGUAAGAGAGAGAUAUCCAAAGGAAAGCAAUAUGCAAAGAUAAACUGGUAUAUACAAUGGAAAAGUUUGAGUGGUACCUCAAGCGGAGAGUGGAGGAGGAGGAUCCUUCCCGCUUUCAAGACUGAUGGUGAGGAUAUGAGAGAGAAGCUCUUGAAGCUUGAUUGGAUCAUUCUGGAGCUGAGGAGUGAUGAUGACCCUUGCACACGAAAAUGGCUUAGACCUUCCCUUGCACUUGAUUUUGUACUCAAUGGCCCCAUCCUUAAGCUUCAUUGGGUGGAGAGUGAGAGUGUGAGGAGUCUUAUCAAGAGGUGGAGGAUGAGGUUCUUUCAUAAUCUUCUUCUUGUCAUGAGCAGCCUUUGUCGCUCUACUCACCUCCUCCCUUUUAGCACUUUCCAAGUGCUCAUCACACAGCUCUUUAGAGGACUUUCCAGCAAGACCUUCUUUCUCAAUACCAAUCCCUUCAGCCUUGGUCUUCUCAAUGGAGGAUGCUCCACAAGUGAUUGUUCCACAAUACUCAGCUUUCAUCUUUGGGGAUUGUAGUGGAUAGGAGACAACUUUGUUCACAUUUAGGAGUGUGACCUUCUUGUUGGCAAAGUCUAUGCAAGCUCCCACUGUUGUGAGGAAUGGAGUGCCAAGGAUCAAUGAGACUCUCUUCUCAGUAGCCAUCUUCAGAACAGUGAGGUCUAUAGGAAUGGUGCAUGCUCCAAUCUUCAAAGGGAAGUCCUUGAUGAGACCAAUAGGGGUUGUAGAAGAGGAAUCUCCAAACUGUAGGGAAGAUGUGUUUAGCUCCAUGCUCUCAAUCCCUAGACUCUUCAUCAUCUCCAUUGAGAUCACAUUCACACUUGCACCAGAAUCAACAAGAGCAUCAUCAAAAGUGAGCUUACCAAGGUAGCAAGGCAAUGUGAACAUCCCUUGAAACUCAAGCUUAGGGAGGGAUUUUGGAGAGAUUGGUGGAUCAAUCUUCAGAAUGGAGAUGUCCAAAAGCUCGACCACUUCAGCUUGGUGGUCUAGAAUGUCCUUGAUGAGCAUCAUCUGGACAUGAGCUUCACGCAUACCCGAGAUUUCUGGAAGCCUGACCCCAACAUCACUAAGAUCUUUCCUGAACUUGGAGAGCACCUUCUUCUGAGCUUUGGUGAAAACUCUUUGGGGGAAAGGGAGCUUAUCAUAGGGGAUAGGUCAACCUCAGUGGCUUCCUCUAGCUUAACCUCUUUCAGCUUGUUGUCAGCUCUCUUCUCAACUUGAUUCUCAGCCUUGUGCUCAGGUCUGUGCAGAUUCGUUGCUUCAACCUUCCUGGCAGCGUCCUUCACAAUUUGUGCUUCAGCUGUGGCCACAACAAAUCUCUCAACUUCCCCAAACUCAGUUCCAAAUACCAAUCUUUCAAUCUCAUCCUCCUCUUUCUCAUGAUCACUCAGCUCAAUCUCUGGAGAAGUAGUGGAGAAGACAACAAUGCAAGACUCCUUGGGGUUCUUUUCUGGUUUCCCUGGUAGAGACCUCAUUGGCUGCUUGGAGGAUGAAGGAAUAUAAUCAACUUGACUCUCCAAAGCCUUGAGAUGAGAGGUAAGUUGCAUGUACUUGUUGUUGAGGUCAGAAUAGUUCUCAUCAAUCUUUGCAUGGAUGUUCUUGAACUCAUAAAUCAUGGUCUUCUCAUUUCUGGCCUGAAAUUCUAAGAGUUGCUUGAACAUAGAAUCCACACUUGAAUCUGGAGCUUGAGCUUUAGAAGAGCUUCCUUGAGUCUGAGGAGACUGGUUGGCUUGAGGAUAGUUCUGCUUUGCUUGGUAACCUCUUUGCUGAUUGUUGUAGUAAGGCCUUUGCUGAUAGUUGUUUUGGUACUGAAAAUUGGGCUCUUUCCUGUACCAUGUGCCAUUAGCAUUGAUGAAACACAACUCCUCUUGGCCUUCUAAACCAUCAACCUCAUUAACCUUAGGAGGAACCUCUUGACUAGGAUCACCCACAAAGUUCAUAUGCUCAUGUUUAGCUUGGUUGGAAAGAAGCAAAUCCAUCUUGUCUUGUAAGGACUUGAUCUCUUUCUUUGUCUGCUGAUCAUCACUUCUGUUGACCCUAUCAUGCUCCUCACUGUAUACUGAGUCACUCUUGGCCAUGUUCUCUACCAGUUCUUCUGCCUUUUCCUCAGUUCUUCCUAAAAAGAAACCAUUGCUGGCAGUAUCAAGCCUGUUUCUGCACUGUGGUAGAGCUCCUCUAUAGAAGGUGCUAAGCAAACUCUCAUUGGUGAAGCCAUGAUGUGGGCAUUGAGACCAAUAGCCCUUGAACCUCUCCCAUGCUUCACUAAAUCCCUCUAGAUUCUUCUGCUGAAAGCUAGAGAUCUCAUUCCUGAUCUUGGCUGUCCUUGAGGUUGAGAAGAACUUCUCUAGGAAUGCCCUCUUGCACUCAUUCCAAAUUGUGAUAGAGUCACUUUGAAGAGCCUUCUCCCAUUGAUGUGCUUUGUCUCCAAAAAAAAAGGGAACAAUUUCAACUUGAAUGCAUCUUCAGAAACACCAUUGGUCUUGGACAAGCCACAAUAUUUAUCAAAUUUGUUCAAGUGAUCAAAAGGAUCUUCAGGAGCAAGGCCAUGAUACUUGUUGUUCUCUAUGGUGUUAAGCAGCCCUGACUUGAUCUCAAAGUUGUUGUUCUCCACAGUUGGUGCUCUGAUUCCUAACCUAUGACCAUUAAUGUGAGGUUGAUCAUAGGCUCCAAUGGCACGAGCUUGGCGCGGUGGAUGUUGUGGCUGGCGCUGUGGUCUAAGAUGAUCAUCUCUUGGAUCAAUGCCCCCUAGGGCAUCACCAUCUUGAGGCAGAUUCUCCAUAUCAAACUCCAACCUUUGCAAGUGAGCCUGAUGCUCUACUUCUCUUCUCCGUCUUGCAAUCUCCCUCUCAAGUGCUCUAAUGUCUUCAACUCUUGGAACUAGGCUUGAUGAACCUCUGCUCCUCAAGUUCAUACACCUGAAAUGCAAAGGGAGAGGAAGAAGGAGAACCAGUAACAAAAUAAAAGAAAAAGUGACUUAGUCUCAAGCAAGUGACUAAAUCCCAAUGUCACAAUCAACCUAGAACUUGGCAACGGCGCCAAUUUGAUGCAGGACUUUUCAAGGGUCCAAGAUCAAAUCAAUGUAGUAUAAAAGAUUGUCGAACCAAUCCUAGGUGAUUCUAAAGCAAGGGGAAUGCAAGUUCAUGCUUAAGCUAAGUGCAAUCCGGUUUUAAAGAUGGUAUGAACUAAGAACUAAUAAGCUAAUGCAAUAAAGUAAUGAUCUUUCUUUCUCAAUAUGAAGCAAGAUGACUCAUGGGGCUAGGCAUUUGAUCUCGGGUGAUGUAGAUCCAAUCUAAGGGUGGCAAUGCAUCAAUCAAACACUUUCCUUAUGCCUAGACACUAAGCUAAACAAGCUCUAACUCUAGAUGAAUGUUCUUUUGGUAAAGCAACUCAAGCAUCUAAUCUCUUAGGUUGAAUGUUACUAAAGCAAACAUGGAGAACAAGUCCAAUAGCAAUCUUAACUUCUUUAGCAACUAAUCUCUUAGGUAAAGCAAGCUAAAAGCAUUGAAGAGUUGGUUCAGGCAUUUCAUCAUACACCUUGUGGGUAGGAAAUGCAUAGAGAUCUAUUUUAGUAUGAUCAAGACUAAAAUAGCAUUGAGAACCCUCAACAAGCAAGGAAACAAGUAAAUCUAACACUAAACACCCUAGAUCUUCUCUAAUCACCCUUAAUCACCCUAGCCCAUGAAUCCAACAUUAGUCUACUCACUAAUAGACAUGAAUAACCUCAAAACCAUGGAUAAUUCAAGGUUAAACAUGAUUAGAUAGCAAGAUAAUCAAGCAAAGAUAAGAAAUUAUGAUCAAGAUUAGAUCUUUUUCCCAAAAGUGGCUUUUGAUUAGAUAGAAAACAAGAUAAUCCCAAAUUUUGGUCUAAAAAGUAUUUAUAGAAGACUAAAACUCGAGCUGGGGCAACCCAACAAACCUGGUUUGACCCACAAAAACAUAGAUAUUUUUCUCCGUAGUGACUAGAAAAGGUCGCUACCGGAGGUUGCUACGCCUGUAGCGACUUGUCUUGCUCGCUACGUGUGGCCGCUAGGAUACUUGAAAGCAUAUCGACCUCGUGAAGUCGCUAUGGCUAUGGCUGGCCGCUGUAGAAGGCGCUUCAAUUCUAGCGGUCUAUCCAGCCCGCUACGUGUGGCCGCUAGGAUACUUGGCAGAUUUUAGAAGUCUUGAACGCAUAGCGACCUCGUGAAGUCGCUAUGGCUGGCCGCUGUAGAAAGCGCUUCAAUACUAGCGGUCUCUCUAGCCCGCUACACACUCCCGCUACGGUACUUGGGUGCCUCAAGUUUUCAGCUAUACCUUCUGUAGCGACCAGCAUUUGCCGCUACGCCUGGCCGCUAGGAUCCUUCAACGACUCAUCUACAUUCUUUGAGCAUCAAAACACUCCUUGGGGCACAGAUUUAUUUCACUUGUAGACAUGGGCUGAAGCGGAAAAGUGAAAGAAGGUGUCUAGCUUCAACCUGAAAAGCCUCAACCAUACUUAUUAAAUAACCUAAAAAGGAAAGAUAAAGAAAUAUAUACAAUGGAUAACAUGGGAUUUCCUCCCAAGUGAGCUUGUUUUAAGUCUCUAGCUUGACAUUGUGUGCUUGCUAAUCAUAAGUAUCAAAAGGUUGAGCCAAUGCACCUUUGGUCCUUCUCCUACAAGAACAAGGAACCAAAUAUGCAAAGGAGCACACUGCUGUCCAUAGAAAAUAGACAGAUUUUUCCUCAAAGAGCUUCACUAAAGAUGUGACAUGAAUUAUGAAAUGCUCCUUGAGGUUCAGAUGAUCAUAAGAAUCAAAAGCAUUUGGUGGAGACACAAAUUCAACUACAGGCUCAAACGAAGUUUUAACAAAGUAGUCAACUCUAUCUCCAUUAAUCAAAUAAAACACAAUGUUCUCAUUCUCAUGAAAGUUUUUGACAGGAAAAUGCUACAAUGACAUACCAUUCGAUUGUGGUAUGCCUAUCAACAUCAAGUUCAUCCCCUAAAUCAGCUAGUUCAAGAAGAGGUCUAGGUUCAUCAAACAUCAAAAACUCAGAUUCAAGAUCAAUUGAAGCACAAAGAUAGUUCUUGUCAAAACAAACUUCAAUAUGAUCUUCUAACAAGAUUUUUUACUCUCAAGUCAUCUAGUUUUCUAGUUUCAAAUAUUAGAUCAAGACAUUCAUUGAUGAGCACAUGAGAUUUCAAAUCAGAGGCAAUCUCUUCAACACAUGGCAAGCAAAUAUCCUCAAAAUGAAGUACUAAAGUCGAAUUGCAUAUACCUUCCAGCUGGGUUGGUGGAACCCAAUAAAAUACCUCUUUGAGCUGUUGAGCCAUUCUUAUCUCAAUGCCGGUGAGCUCUCUUCCUUCUAGUGUUGCCUGAUGUGACAUAAGAUUUAACCUAAGCAUCACUGCCAUGUCCUCCCUUGUCAACAUUGGAUUCUCUUUGCAAAGCUCAUCCACCUUUAUACUAUGUUCUGGUGUGAGUAUACUUUCAUCAAAUGGCUCCUCCAUAUAUGGCUCAUCAUCAUCAUUAAUGUGAUCUUUAAGUGUAUCUUCCUAUUCUUGUGGCCAAGCAAAGUGGCUUGCUGCCAUCACUGAAAAUAGCAAAAGUUAGAAUAAAAGGUUAGUAGCUAUACAAAAGCAAAACAAAGCAUAAGAAAAUAAAGCUUAAUCUCAAGAAAGUUUGAAACCUUAAUGACAAAUCUACUUAGUUCUCCGGAAACGACGCCAAAUUGAUUAAGCGUUUAAGCACACACCAAUUAACCUACUGUGCCAAUAAUACCACAAUCGAAUGGUAUGUCAUUGUAGCAUUUUGGGAUCCAAUCCACAAGGAACUAAUGAUCUAUAACACCAAGAAUACACAAGCUUCCUUAAUCUAAGCAAAAAAGAAGAUGAAUGAUUUGUAACAAGCUAAAAUCCUAGAAAUAUAAACAAGGUGAUCUCAAAUCCAAUCAAGAAAUAAGUGCAAGAAUUCAAUCAAAUGCUAAGGAUAGAUCCAUGGGCAAUGAUAAUUGAUAUAAGGUGAUCAAGGUUCAAUCUAGGAUGUUCAAACAAAACAAUCAACAAGUCUAUAGGUCUAGAUCUCAUUCAAUAUAGAUUAAUCCACUGUCGUGGUAAUAAUCCCUAUGCUAGUCAUGCAUCAAACAUCAACUCCCGUUGGCUAACACAUUCAAGCAUGCAUAAAUCACAAGUCUACUAACCACUUAAACAUCUCGGACAUCAACUGCCGUUGGCCAAAUAUGUAAAAGACAAUGCUAAGUUCAUUCAAGCAUUUCAACAAACACCUUACGGGCGUAAAAUAGUUUAAGGUCUAGAUGAGAGUGAUCAAGUAUAAUCUAACAUUAAGAACACUUAGCAAGCAUAGAACAUUGUUAAUCAAGCAAUAAACAUCCUAAAUAUCCACUUAAUCACCCUAAUCUAUCUAACCCAUGAAUCACAAGGUCACUACUCACUAAUCUCCAUGAGAAACCUUAAACUCAUGUAAGGAUCAAGGCUGAUCAUGUUAAUGAGCAAGAGAAACACAAAUAUAAGAUGAAGUACUUCCUUAGAUUAUCAAAAGAUUCAAGCUUUUACAAGUUUAGACAAAGUCUUGAGAGAAAAUGAGAUAAAAAUAAAGUUUCUAGGUCUAAAUAUAUUUAUAGGAAGGCAAAACUCGAACCGGUUUAAUCCCACAAACCAGGAUUAAACCGGACUUAAAUCAAAAAUCUCGGCUUGUCUCCUCUAGCUCGAGUGAACCGCGGACUGCUCACCUCCGCGACGUCUGGCCGCGGCGAAUCUCCAAGCUCCCGGCCUCGUUUCCGCGGCCUUGUCCAAGCUGCGUCGUGAACCCGCGGUAUUCUCUGUUUAUUUUCCGAGUCUCUGCCGUGAAAACGCGGCCUCUCUUACUCCGCUAUGGCCACCCGCGGUCUUCCUCUUUGUCGCAAUCCACCACAAUCAAUCUCCAAGCCACCGUGAACCACCUUCCAAGUCUCCAUCCGUGUUCUGGUCCUCCGCCGUGCUCGGUCUUCACCGUGGCCUCAAGCUUCGCCGUCGUACCUUCCAAUCCGGUCAUGGUCUUCUUCCCCAAAACCUCCAUUGGCGUGAGUCUUCAGUCUCGUCUUUGUCUUCCUUGUCGAGCUCUCCUCCGUGACGGUCUGAAACCACACGUCAUUGUCAGCCCAGCCUUAGCCGUCGUCGGGUCGAAGUUCACCGUGUCGUCAAGCUCCGGAUCGGCUUGGAGGAGAAAGCUCGUGAGCUCCAAUGGUGAGUUCUUGCUUAUUUGCAAAACAUGUCUUCGAAGUCUUGAUUAUUCACGCAUUCACCCCAAACUUCUCAAGUGUGCACUUUAGAUCCUAAUGCACAUAAAUGGACAAAUAUAUGCAAUGUAGACACCUAAAUGCAAUUCAAAACACUAAUAUGAAUAAUAAAUAUAUGUUAAAAAACUAUUAAAAUCAUGAGAUAUCAACAUUAUAUCAUAGCUACUCAAUGUUUAUCCCUGCGAUUUUCCAUGCUUGAGCGUGAAGGAAGGUGUGAGAAUAUAUGCUCUUACAUCGAAAGAGUUAUGACCAAUCCAAUUAUCACCAUUUAGUUUUAUGUUGAAAACUCAUCUAGCUUAUAUAGUAUCACAGCCAGUCCAAACACUAUAUGAUCUAAUGUUGGUCCAUCGGUCUUUACCUGAACAUUUCAAAAUUGGCAUUCAAAGAACCAUCAUCUAAAAAACGUAUUAAAAACAAAAUCUUUUAUAUCGGAUGUUGAAAGAGAUCCUAAAUAAAAUAUACAAUAGAUGGAUCAAUUCACUUAUUACUAAUUGUUUUUACGUUGGAACUCCGUCUAAUUUAACACAAGCCACUGUAUAGAUCUUAAAAAUCUGUUUGACAAUGCAGAUUUCACACACAGACAAAAAAGACAGUGUUUUAGUAGACAUUCACAAAUGUUACCAAAUUUUUCAAAAAAAUACAACUAUCUAAACAUCCGCUACCCUCUAAUGUUCUAUCAUGUUUUCAUUUUUAUAUCCCAGCUGUAAUAUCGAACAAAUUACAGCAAGACUAUGUUCUAGCAUCUUCAUAUUAGAAAAUGAGUAUCUUUGGGUGUGUAGAAGUGAACAGUUCAGAACUGAGAUGGUGAAUGUUAUUACCGACAUAAGAUCUUUAACAUGUCAGGUGAAGUCAGGCCAGUUGAACAAAGGAUCAAACCAGUUACGUGCGCUCACUACAAGAAAACAACGGCAUACUGAGGGAAAAAAUCGUCGGUAUGUCGUCGGAAUAACGCUAUUCCGACGACAUACCGACGAAAAAAUUCCUCGGAAAUAACUCCUCGGAAAUUCAUAUUUCCUCGGAAAUCCCUCGGAAAUUUCCGACGGAAUUCCGAGGAAACCCUAUUUCCUCGGAAAAUUCCGAGGACCACAAGUUCGUCGGAAAUUCCUCGGAAUAUUCCGAGGAAGAUGUCGUCGGAAUAUUCCGAGGGAUAAACUUCCUCGGAAUAUUUCCAAAAUUAAAAAAAAAAAUUAUAAAUUUAUUUUUUUAAAUUGAAAUUCGAAAAUAUAAAAUUAAAAUUGAAAUAGAAAACAUAUUUAAAAUACAAAAAAUAAUAAAAUAGUUUUUAUAAAUAAAAAAAUGUUUUAUAAAUACAAAAUUAGUUUUAAUAAAUAUGAAAUCAUCUUUUUAUAAAUACAAAAUAGUUUUUAUAAAUACAAAAAAUAAUAAAAGAGUGUUUAUAAAUCAAAAAAUGUUUUAUAAAUACAAAAUUAGUUUUAUAAAUAUAAAUAUUUUUUUAGAUAUGAAAUCAUCUUUUUAUAAAUAAAAAAUAGUUUUAUAAAUACAAAAAAUAAUAAAAUAGUGUUUUUAAAUCAAAAAAAAUAUUUUAUAAAUACAAAAUUAAUUUUAAAAUAUGAAAUCAUCUUUUAUAAAUCCAAAAAUCGAAUUUAUAUACAAAGAACGGUUUGUAUAUUUAAAAAUAGUUUUUAUAAAUACAAAAAUAAAAAAAUAGUGUUUAUAAAUCAAAAAAAUGUUUUAUAAAUACAAAAUUAGUUUUAAUAAAUAUAAAUAUUUUAAUAAAUAUGAAAUCAUCUUUUAUAAAUCCAAAAAUCGAAUUUAUAUACAAAAAACGUUUUGUAAAAUCGAAUUUAUAUAGAAAAAACGUUUUUUAAAUACAAAAAUAAUGAACAAUUUAUAAAAAAAGUUCUAAAUCAAUUCAACACAACCAAAUCACAAUUCUAAACCUAUUACACAACAAAUCACAAUCCUACCCAAUCACCCUAACAAAAAUCUAUCAAAAACCUUCUAAAAUCAUCAAAUCUACUUAAAAACCUAACAAAUAGGACCUAAGAGAGUGGGAUAUGGUCCUUACAUGAUUUGCAAGGGAAUGGAAAGGAUUCGCCGGAGAGAUCGUCGCGAGAGAAGGUGGAGAACGCCGGAAGGAGAGAGAGAUCGCCGGAGAAGAAGAAGAGAGAAAUGGGGAAGAAGAGAGAAAUGGGGAAGAAGAUGCGUUUCAAGUUUAUAAAACCUUGGGUCCAACGGAUAUUUUCCGUCGGAAUUCCCUCAGUAUUUCAAUUUCAAUUUUCGCGAAAUAUUUGGCGGCUUGUUUGCCCGGUUAAAUGAAAAUAUUUCGAGGAAAUUCCGACGGCCACUUAAAUAUCCGUCGGAAUUUCCUCGGAAUAUUUUCAUUAAUUCGAGGAAAAAGAAUAUCCUGUGCAUGUAUUUCUAUUAAUUUAUAUUGUUCCUCGGAAUUUCCUCGGAAUAUUCCGAGGAAAUACCGAGGAACUAGUGUUUGGGGUUUCAAAACAUCAAUUUUUUUGUCGUAUUUCAUUUCUUAUACAAUUGUAAUGCAUACCAUUGAGGAUUCUUUGUAUAGAUGAGCAUAAACCAUGAAAUAACAAAUUUCAAAACGAAUUGUAAGUAUUCCCUUUACCGUUCAUUAAAGUGUAUAAGUGUUUCUCUUAUGUUGUGGGGAUUUCGUUCAUACAAUCGGAAAAGUGUUUAUUAUAGGGUAAGGAACAAAUUUUUGACUUCAUAAUGAACGUAAGACACUUAAUAAUGGUUAUGUAGGUGUUAUUCAAACCGCAAAACGUUGUUUUCGGUUUAAAAACCCUAUUUCCUCGGAAUUUCCUCGGAAUAUUCCGAGGGAAUUCCGAGGAAACCCUCUUCUUCCUCGGAAUUUCCUCGGAAUAUUCCGAGGAAAUUCUGAGGAACUAGUGUUUGGGGUUUCAAAACGUCAAUUUUUUUUUAUAAACGCAUCGAUCGAUGUAUAUAUAUUCAAAAACGCAUCGAUCGAUCACGUAGAUGCACCGGGCCGUAAGAAUGUGAUCGAUCGAUGAGAUUAUCCCAUCGAUCGAUUGAGGAUAUCAAGUGUUCCUCGGAAUUUCCUCGGAAUAUUCCGAGGAAAUUCCGAGGAACUAGUGUUUGGGGUUUCAAAAUCUCGAAUGUUUUUUUAUAAACGGAUCGAUCGAUGGAUUUAUGUCCAAAAACGCAUCGAUCGAUCACUAAGAUGGACCAAAGCGUAACAAUGUGAUCGAUCGAUGGGUAUAUGUCCAAAAACGGAUCGGAAGUUCGUCGGAAUUUCCUCGGAAUAUUCCGACGGAUUGAUGUUUCCUCGGAAUUCCGUCGGUUUUUUCCGAGGAACACAUUUUUCCUCGGAAUUUCCUCGGAAUAUUCCGACGGAUUGAUGUUUCCUCGGAAUUCCGUCGGUUUUUUCCGAGGAACACAUUUUUCCUCGGAAUUUCCUCGGAAUAUUCCGACGGAUUGAUGUUUCCUCGGAAUUCCGUCGGUAUAUUCCGAGGAAAUUCCGAGGAUUUCAUUUUCCGUCAGAAUGUCCGUCAGAAUACCGAUGUUUUCUUGUAGUGGCUGUGACGUUGUAAUAAAAAUGCGUACGAUAGAAUAAAAUCUAUAAAAAAACUUAAAAAUCUUCAGAAUAACUGGAUAUUAGCUCAUGUAUUAAACCAAUACAGUUAGAAUUAUUUACCUUUAAUUACGAAGCUAUAUUUAGAUAACCCAUCAGCUAUUAAGCAAUCGUGUAGUGAAUGAAGAUCUAAAGAGAAAAUGUUUAUGAUGAUAAUUAUUAUUUUAUUUUUUUCCUCAAAAGGAAUUAUAUUGAUUUAAGCAAUUUGAAACUAUGAGAUUAGAGUGCAUAUAAUACCAAAAUACAACCAUUAGGGGUCAAACACAUACCACAUCUUUGCUCUAUACAAACAGCCAAAAAUCAACCAAUAAAACCCCAGUAAUCAUCCAUAAAGAGACAUACAUAGAUGACUAGCUUUUCUCAAGAGAUACAUAAACUCCUAAAUCUGAACUAAACUGAGAUUAGAUAUAUGUACAAUUGACCAUCUGACCACAAUUAAACCGAUUACCCAUAAGUCAUUUUACUAAAGACUAAUAGGAAGAGCCAAUUAGGUCAUGCAUGAAGCCUACAGCUUACGUACACCUGCAUUAGUAAUUUUCUGACCACCAAGAGCGAAUAUUUCACACUUCACAAGAGUAAUAUGUAUAUGCAUGUAUAUGUGAUAUAAAGCGAAUGAUGUGAUCUCAAUACAUCCACGACAAGCUAACCUAAAAGAUAGAGACGUUUUUUCUUUGACUAAUUAAAAGAUACCAUUAACACCUCUUAUUGAAACCUGAGGGCAACCUUCAACCGCAAGCAAUUCCAGCUUGUGAGUCUUAGCAAGUGGUCUUACCCCGUCGUCUGUAACUCCCAAACACUUUGAUAGUUUCUUUUUUUAUAACACUUUGAUAGUUUCAACACAGUGAGGGAAGGAAACUGGCUCACUAGAACCAACCCCUCGUCCCUUAUUUCCUGACACUGGACAAGCUCCAAGAUCUCUAGAUUCUGAGCUGAACACAGAGCCUCUAUGCCCCGUUGCUGAAAGAACACACGUGGUCAAGAAAAUGUACAUUUAGACAUACAUAAGUCUGGACAAUUUAUCUGGAAUCGAAAAACCGAAUUGUACCAACCAAUAUAACCGAAACCAAUCUGAAUUUCAUAAAUAUCUAGACAUGUCAUAUAUUUUUUGGAAUUAACCAAAUAUUCUUUUACCAAAAUAUUUAAAAUUAUUUGAAUUUUAUCCGACAUUUUUAUCUGAACAAGCUGAAUUACUCUAUAUUUAAUUUGAAAAACCCAAAUUAUUUGAUGUUUAUACCCAUAUUAUCUGAAGUUAUCAGGAAAAAAUUGGAAUUGAACUGAAACCAAAUUAGACCCAAAUUUUUGGAUAUUAACUGUUUAUCAACUUUGCUAUCAAACCAUACCGAAAAUCAAAAUAAUUGAACCAAAGCUGUACUGAAUUUUGUAAAUAACCAAACGGUUUCUAAAUCUCUAGAACUGAAAAACAGAAAACCAAAUCCCAAACCGCAACCUAUUUAAUACUUUUAGUUUAGUAAUAGGAUUUUUUGGCAGCUUAAUUAGUUAUGAUUCUGUUUUAAUUUUUGCCAUAGCAUAAGUUUACUUAGGUUAAACAUUAGUGUCUAGAAAAAAUUAUUUGGACAUUCCAUUUGAUAUCCUACCUACAGUAAUCUGAUGGAAGGGACUUCAGUGACUUCAAUCGAACACUAAAAUUUUUUAAUUGUAUUUUCGGGCAGUUUAAUUGGUUAUGAUUCUGUUUAAGUUUGGUCAUAGCAUAAGUUUAAUUAGGUUAAACAUCAGUGUCUAGAAAAGAGUAUUUGGACAUUCCAUUUGAUACCAUACCUACAGUUACCACAAAUCUGAUGGCAGGGACUUCAGUGUCUUCAAUCUAACACUAAUUUUUUUUUUUUUGUAGUUUUUGUAUAGUGCUGGGAAACAGGUCAAAUCCGCCAUGUUUGACCCUCACACCACAUGUUAAGAUUAUUUUUUAUUCAAAAAUCCAAUCUAUAUAAUCCACAAAGAAAAUAGUCGACUUUCCACCUGUCUCGCUGAAAUUUACAAGUAACCUGCAUGAUCCGCAAGUAAUUUUAGUUUUAAAUAUAAUAAUUAUUAUUAAUAUUCAAAAGUAAUAUAAAUUAUAUAUUUAUAUGUUAAAAUAAUAUAAAAUUGUAUUUUUAUUUUUUAAGAUUUUUUGUUUUGAAAAAACAAAUCUGUAUUUACAAUUUUUUUUCGGAUUGGCUGAUAUCCAUAACUCAAAUUAGACCGCCCCGCAAAAAAUAAAUUUAACCGGCAUUUACAAUUCAAUUUUUUUUAUCAGUCAAUCUGCAUCCUCCCUACGACGGGCCAAACGAGGCGAGACUGGCGGAUAUUGACUCAAAUUCCCAACUCUUAUCUUUGUAUUAAAAUAGGUCAUGAGCAUUUCACAGUUCACAACAAGAGUAUAUAUGUAUGAUAUUUUUCAAGCGAAUGAUGUAUGUAAUCUCAAUACAUCCAUGACAAGUCUUGCCUAAAAGAUACAGACGUUGCAGCACCAUUAACACCUUUUCUUGAAACCUGAGGACAAUCUUCAACCACAAGCAACUCCAGCUUGUGAGUCUUAGCAAGGGGUAUCAGUCCAUCGUCCGUGACUCCCAAACACUUAGAUAGUUUCAACACAGUGAGGGAAGGAAACUGGCUCACCAAAACCAACCCCUCGUCGCUCACUUCCUGACAGUGUACAAGCUCCAAGAUCUCUAGAUUCUGAGCUGAACACAGAGCCUCCAUGCCCACGUCGUUGAAAGAGCACACAUGGUCAAGAGAAAGCUCUCGAAUGGGGCAUUUCUUGAUCAGAGUGAUUAUCCCCUGAAGGGUGAAAGAUAAGAGGGAAGGAAACUCACCGUCUGAGAACGAGACCUUGAAUGAUUCGAGCUUUGAGCAGUGUUGAGCUAUGGCACUGAGACUUUCAUCGGUUAAUCUCAUGGUCGCGUUGUUUAAGAGAGGCAGAGUGAAAUCAGAAGGAACACGUAGCGAGAUGCUUCUGAGUUGUUUAGCUUCCUGGACCAAUGCUAUGAUGUCCGAGUCGCUUACACCGAUACACAUAUCCAGAUGAAGUUUCUCCAGGCUAAUGCAUUUUCUCAGCACACAAGCGAGCCCUCUACCUGGAGCUAUGACGCAGUUCACAAGGCUGACCUCCAAAAGAUUCUCGCAGGGAACCAACUGUUUCCGCUGUCGCUCCACCGCUAACUGAUCAUAAACCUUCAUGUUUCUGUAGUUUGCAUCUACCUCAAACUUCAGAACUCGAAGCUUUCUCCAGCUAGUUCCCAGCUUCACUAAAUCACCUUCCCCAACCCCUCUGCAGUUCUUGAUACAGAGCUCUUCAAGAACCUCAAGCUUUCCGAAAUACUCCAACCACUCAACGCUCGCCACGUUUAAGCAUCGAAUGAGAUGCAAUAUCUUGAGUUUCUUGCACCCUACAGCUACCGACAACACGCCACAACCAGUGAUUCUUGGAGCGAAGUUCAACUUCAAGGAAGAAAGCUUUGUACAGGAAGACAAAUGACGAAUGCCAACGUCGGUGAUGAAAGUGCAGUAGCUAAGAGUGAGAUCAGAGAGCGAAUGGCAGUUGGUGGAGAGGAGAAGAAGGCCUUGAUCGUCAAGUUGUUUGCCAAGUUUUGACAUCCAACCAGAGUAUACGAUCUCUACUUUGGAGAGAUUUGGAAACCUCUUGCAGAGAGAAAGCAAGGCAUCGGGUGCAGGAACUAAACCGCAGCCAAUCCGGAGAGACUGUCUUUGCUCGUUGUCUAGAGAGUAGAAACGCUUGCAAGAGACUGAAAGAGAGUUUCUGUCAUCGGUUUUGUGAAGGUUCUUGAAGAUGUCCCAAACUAAAUGGUCUGGCAACUCUUCCAUUGUCUCUUUUUGAUCUAUCUGUGAGAAGAAAAAAAGCAUAGAGAAACUUGUGAAGUGAAACAUUUCAGCAGAAUUAUAUUCUUAUAACAGAUAGAUAUUGCACAAAUGAAGUUAUCAUUUGAACAAUAAUAAGAAGACAGCGCCUCAAGGGAACACAGAGACUAAUAUGCUAACCUCGCCUCGCCCACAUAAGAAUAUACUCAAAAGUUACUGAUUAACACAGAUGAAACUUUCCAAGAAACAAAAAUAAGCGUUGACCUCUAUCUAAGCGUGAUCUCAAAGGGAAAUAUCUUAUAAGAUGGAAGUUGAAAAUACUAGCAAAACGCAUAAAAAAAAUAAUCCAUAGAAUCUAAAAGAUAGAUAGAUCCCCAAGGAUACCCGCUAGAUAUGAGUCCAGGCCUGAAACUAGACUUGCUAUUGAAAACAAACAAAGAAAGGAAAAAAUGAUCUAACCAGAAACAACGUUGAAGAAGGCAAGUGCGAACCUGAAAGAGACGGUUUAUCCACCAACGGAACUCCUUUUUUAUAUUCCCACUACAGGUCGGUCGGUUGGAUAAGGACUACCUCCUAUUAUUUUAAAGAUUAUAAAAAAAUAGUUUGCCUUUUAGUAAAAUAUAUUUUCAGAUGCUCAUGUUUUCAACCUCUGAUUUACUUUGUCACUAUUGUUAACGUUUGUAUUAUUUAUAAGGAUACAGUAGUUUCAACUUCCAACAAUAUAGUAGAGGCUGACACAAGAAUAAUGCCACCGUUCCUCUCAGAUCUUUUCAUUAGCACACAUAACACGAAUAGCUAGAUUGCUUCAACAUCUAAGUCUCUACUACUAGCAGCUUUAGGCAGGUCUUCAACCCUUUCUUCUGUUACUCUUGUUUUUACUCGCAUUUUUAACUUUCUCAGACCCAGAGGAAGUGGUAGUACUAUCGGCUGAUAUGGGCAACACAGUACCGUCCUUGACCUCCUCCUUUAACUCUGAUCCUUCACUCUCACCACCAUCCAUUUGGGCCAUUAGCUUUCCAAGCUGUUAGUCUCAAUUAAACACGUUUAGUAACUGUCUUUUAAUGACACAGUAGGUUGUAUUGUCUAUACUAUACAUGUUUCUUUACCUGUUCCUCCAAGCGCUCAAUCUUUUCAUCCUUCACCUGAACCGCCUUCUUCUCCCUAAAAGUCCAAGCUUAGUUUCAACUAUGACGAAUAAACAAUUAAAAUCCUUAGUUCCUAAUGCACACUACAUGAAACAUACCUUUCUUCCAUUUCUGUAAUCUUGGUGCUCCAUACGUCCUUAUUUUUCAUCAGGUUUUCGUUCAACUACAUAUGAACGAGAACAAAAAUAAGUCACUCCUCUACUGAAAAAAAAACAAUAUGCAAGAAAAACCUAUAUAUGUAUACUCACAUCUUCAAGAAAUUGCUUCUCUUUGAAACAUCUGUCACGCCUGGCUUGCAGCUUCUGCAGUCUCUGGCUUAUUGCCUUGUUCGCAGCUUCUGAGACUUUCUGUUCCGUUUCCUCUUUGACGUUUUGUAGCAAUUUUUCAAAAUACUAACGGGAGACAAACAAGGAAACAAACAAAAAAAGAAGUCUUAAUAUCUUUGCUAGACAUUAUUAAACACUUCAAAUUGUAAGUCAGAUAAUUAAAAAUUAGUAGUAACGGCGACAUGAAAUGUAUGCGUGCUUACUUGCUUUUGGUUCUCUAGUUGUGCCUGGAGGAGUUCGUUGUACUCACUGAUGAUCUGCGGUUUGGAGAUGAAAAAAACGAGUCAGCAAUAAAUUAACUUGAGAGUUCUAAAGGUGAACACGAGCAUUGUGAAAACAUGAAACAAAAACAAUACCAUAUCCACUUUGCUGUUCAAGAGAGCAUCAGUCAUUCCACUGUCAGAAUAUUCACAGCUUCCACAACCAUCCUUGCUCAAACUACCGUGAGAAUUCAAUUCUACUAGCUUGCCAUCAGUUUUGGAUUGAAUAAGCCGGUGAACAUAAUUGUCACCAGCAUAAUCCCAAACACGCUGUGUUUCAAGCUCAAGUGAAUAGCAAUGAUCCGUCUCCUCCCAGUGCGUUCUGGCAUGUGCUCCCUUGUACCUACAAUAAGUAUUUAACAACGAGAAAUGGUUCUCAAGAACAAGAAUAUAAUUAAUUGACACUGGGCUCCAUGCUAAUUGCAGAAAAUGCAAUCCAUACCUUCCGCAGCCAACAACCCCACAGAUAACACACAUCCAGAGAUUCUCCGUUGUUUGGCAAACACAACAUACUGAAUUUUCAGGCUGCUGCUGGCAAUAUCGACAAACCUGAAAACAAAAAACAACACCACAUCAGGAUACAUACGGAAAAUUGACAGAGGAUCCGAAAAUUGGCAUGAAAAUGAAAAAAGAACCGUACUGGGCAAGAAGAAUCUGGCCAAUUAGAAAUACAUGAACAAUGGAAGGAAUGAUUGCACAUAGUUGUUAGAAUACCACCAGUGUCUUGGUCCAAUCUCUCUGAAACAUGAACAUAGAUCACAAAAGGUUCAGAAUAUAACGAAACCAAAUGUAUUCAACAUAUGACACUGACUACACUGUCAAUAUUUAUACCAUCACCGAAGUUUGCACUUCGUAGGGCUAGAUUAAGCCAUAUCAAACUUAAUAACUCCGGUUAAAACCUUACCAAGACAAACUGGGCAAGUAGGUUGCUCAACUGGGCCAGCAGAAGAAGGCUGAGUAUGGUCAAUAGAUCCACUAUAACCAGUAAACUGAACAUCUAGAGUAAAAAGCAGGCGACACACCUCUUCCUGCAAAAAAUUUGGCAACAGUAAAUCAAUCACAAAGACAAGAUGUAAUUAUAGAUCAGCCUUAGGGCGUCUCAAAACAAAACCAUACCUCAAGAGAAUUGAAUCGUUUCCCUCUAAAAUGCUGGUAGUAUGUAUCGGCAGACUCUUGACUAUCAAACCUUAUCAAAAUGUUGUAUCUAUUUUCAAUCCCAUCAUUCCUGUAAACAAACUAACUUUUUUUAUCUCCUCAUCCAAAGCAAACAUUUCAGAACCAAAUACAGUACUUGGUGAUAAGAUUGAAAAUCACAAUCUAGCAAAAGAAGAGAUUGAUCUUCUUACCUCACAGUUCGCAUUUCAAGUAUGUGCUGGAUGAAGGAGCCGCAGAACUGGCAAAAAUCUGCGUACGUCAUAUGGUUCGGCACACCAAGAACGCAAACAAGAGGGUUCCUCCCAAUCUAAACGACAAUAACAUCAUUCCAGAUUCAAAUCGGAGAUAAAUCGAUGCAAUCAUACGAAAGAAUGAAGAAAUCUUACAGGGAGAAUCGAAGAGGAAGAAGAAGACGACGGCGAAACGGCAUCGUCGGGAAAUAGAUGCAUGACGCCGCGAGUCUCUCCGAUCCUAGGGUUUCCAGAGGAAAAAUGAACUGUCUGAGUCAUAUCGGAGAGCGACGAUUCGCCGGAAACACUUGCCAGCGGUGGAACGACCGAAUCCUCCCCGGCGAUUAAGGUUGAAGUUGAGGGCAUCAUCACGCGAGACUACUACAACACUUGCCGCCUAAGAAAAGAGACGAGUUUCGUUUAUUUACUACGGCGAUCUCUCGCUCGCAAGCCUUAGUAUAUUUAUUUUCCCUCUGACACGUCAUCAUCAACUCCAACCAGGAUAUAUUUUGUUUUUCGUCUCAACUCCACCAGGAUGUUUAUUUUACAGAAAAGCACGUCGAAAGUUUCAAUGUGAUCAAAUACGUCCAAUAACAUUAACAUCACACACAUUGUGGCUGAUGAAACUGAGACUCUCACUUAUUGUUGGAAAAUGAUAAAAAAAAAGGUUCUCUUCAAAGUUAUACAGAUGAUUAAACAGAAGCUUGAACGUGGGAAUCCACUGACUUCAGAACUUCCUCUCCCAUCUCCUUGCAGCCCACAAGUUUCUGAUUCCAAAAAGACGAAAAACAUAAGUAUUGAUUACUAUUGCCUGCUUGUAAGCUUUACAAACACCAACUCUGAUGAAUGUUCAAAACAAAAGGAAACAUUGUGAUAAAGAUUAGUUCGAGAAAAUUACAGUUCCUGCGGAGUAGAUGUCUCCUGUUCUGAAUCCUUUGUUCAGAGCACCCAACACAGCGUCUUCGAUUCUCUUAGCUGCCUUCUCCUCUCCGAGUCCGUAUUUCAGAAGCAUUGCAGCGCUGAGGAUGGUUGCCAACGGGUUUGCUUUAUCCUGAAAAAUUCAAAGAAUCUGCAUAAGUUUAGCUCUUCAUUUUUGGCAUAUAUAGUAGUAGUUCUGAUACUGGGGAAGAACAGAAAUAGAGUUAGGAGGACCUGUCCAGCAAUAUCAGGUGCAGAACCAUGUAUAGGUUCAAAGAGUCCAGGUCCCUGUAAUAAGUAGAGCAGAGUUUUUUUGUUCAGAAGUGAUCAUACUGAUGCACGCUCAAAGAUGAGAUCAGUUCAUUUCAUACCGAAUCACUGAGACUAGCAGAGGGAAGCAUGCCGAUGCUUCCUGUGAUCAUCGACGCUUCAUCGGAUAAUAUAUCACCAAAAAUGUUGUUUGUAACAAUGGUGUCAAACUGCAAUUAAGAAAAGACCAAACCAUUGUAAGAAUUUAUAAAGUUCCCACAUCAAGACGCUGACUAAUAUAAGUACCUGUUUAGGGUCACGAACAAGCUGCAUGGCAGCAUUGUCAACAUACAUAUGUGACAGUUCAACAUCCGGAUAUUCAGCAGCUAGUGCUGUUACUCGUCUCCUCCAUAAAAUCGAGGCCUGCAUAACAGAAAAUUGCAUUAAACUAUGUGUUACAUAGGAAACGAGAGGAAUUUCGAGAAAAAAAAAAGUUACUAUAAACCAUACAUCUAAGACAUUAGCUUUGUCAACAGAACACAGCUUGCCACGCCGUUUCCGAGCAGUCUCGAAGGCAACACGAGCAAUUCUAUCAAUCUGAGGAACAUAAAAAGAAAUGCUUUAUUACAUCUGUUCAUACUACUUAGCAAAGAGAUAAGGAGGAUUUUCAAUCGAGUACCUCGUGAGCAGCAUAGACCUCAGUAUUAUACCCAACUUCCUCACCAUUUUCAUUAGUCUUAAUGCCCCUUGGCACUCCAAAGUAAAUACCUGUUCAUCACACACUGUAAAGAUAUUGCACCACUAGUGAACGAGAAAGACAAGAAAUUUAAUAUCAGUCUCAAUCAAGUUACCUCCUGUAAGCUCCCUAACAACCAUCAGAUCAACACCUUCUGCAACCUCUCUCUUCAAGGUCGAAGCAUCCACUAACUGAAAGAUAACUUGAGUUUCACAUAGGAAACGAAACUACAAGCUACCGAGAACUCCUGAGACUAAGAAGAAGAAGAAGGUUACCUGUGGAAGAACAGUAGCAGGUCUCAGAUUAGCAAAGACUUUAAGACCAGCCCGAAGUUGAAGUAACCCAGUCUCAGGCUUCAAAUGUUUUUCAUUCUUAUCCCAUUUGUACCUGAAACCACGCCAACACUGUAAGCACAGAACCAACAAAAGAGUAGAGAGCCAACGUGCAUACCCUCCAAUGGCUCCAAGAAGCACAGCAUCUGAUUCUUUAGCAGCCGAGACGGUCUCCUCAGGCAAAGGCACUCCGACCAAAUCCAAAGCCGCUCCUCCUACAGGCAUUUCCUGGAAGCUAAACUCCAGACCUGAUAAACAUCACAGACUCAAUCGUCUAAAACAUUAUCCAAAUAAACCCGACCCACGAUUCUAUAUCUAAUCCCCAUGAAACCCCCAAUGAGAGAAACCUUCCAAGGAACCAGCUUGCUGAAGCACAUUUUUAGCGAUGGAGAUGACCUCCGGACCGAUUCCAUCGCCGGGAAGGAGAGUGAUAUUGUAUCUCUUUUUCCCGGGGGAAGCAGCGGCGCAUCUCACUCUAAAUGGUGCUGGAGAAGAUUGUUUGGUGAGAGCUCUCAACUUAGCCGGAAACUUAACCGGUCGGAUGUUAGUCUGUAGAGCCGCCGCCAUUUCAGGAUUGCCUUUGUUUCGGAUGUUGAGACUUGAGACUUUUGUAGGUCUUUGCAUUUAUGGGUCCUUUUUGUAUUAUUUAAUUUUCAUUAUCGGUCCCCCAACUUCUUAACUAUUGAUGGAACUGCUUACAUUGUUAAUUAAUAACAUUUACAUCCACCAACUCUUGAGUUUAUACUCAUUCCCNNNNNNNNNNNNNNNNNNNNNNNNNNNNNNNNNNNNNNNNNNNNNNNNNNNNNNNNNNNNNNNNNNCCCCCCCCCCCCCCCCACAAAAAAACACAGACCCUAUCUAUUCCCCCCCCCCCAAACUACUAAGUUCUUUACUAACCCACCCAAACAUAUACUUUCUCUUCAUAAUUCUCCCCAAACUUUUUUAAUCCCCCUCUCUAAUUGACUUUCCAAAUCGUGAUUAAUAGAACACAAAUCGCGUUUAAGAAAUAUAGAUUGCCCAAUUAUAGAACACCCAACCCGAAAUUAAAACAACCCGACCCAGAUUUUAAAAUUGAAUUGGGGCUUUUUUUAGGAUUUCUUCUGUGUUCUUCACUUAGACACACAUACAACAAAGAACAGAGAGAGAGAAAAAGAAAGAGAAAGAGAAAGAGAGAGAGAAGAGAGACGAGAGACGACAACGACCAGGAACCAGAGAGAGAGACGACGACGACCUGAAACAGAGAGAGACAACGACGGAAGACAGAGAAGAAAGAGAGACGAAGAAAAGAGUGAUGAAAAACAGAGAAGAGAGUGAGACGAAGAACAGAGGAGAGAAAUAGCAGAGAGAGACGAAAACCAGAGAGAGAAAUAGCAGAGAGAGUGACAAAGACUUCUCCUUUGACUUGAGCAGCUCAACUUCAUCUUCUACGUGACAGAGAACAAUGGAUGCAAAACAUGAUGAACUUGUGAAUUAUGUUCAUGACGACAGAGUGUGAUGAAGGGCUUUGAGUUUCAAGAAACAAGGCUUGCGAAGAUGGAAGAAAAAGUUAUGAGAACUAAGAUGAAUGAAGAGAUGGUUGAAAGCUAUGAUAGGAUAAGGUCUUUUGGAAAGGAGUCUGCUAACUAAGAUGAUCAUGUUCUCUUAUGUGUUUAAACUUAUGUAAGACUCUUAUAUUAUGUAUCGAAAAAUGUCAUGUUUUUAAUGUGGAUUUGUGCUGUUAAUACAGUGUGUGCUUAUAAUUCUAAAGAAUACAGUGUUUGUUUUUCUUUUCUGUUAUGAGUCUGAAAACUAGCAGUAGACACCAUUAAACAUUGCUUAAAUGAGUCUGCAACAGAAACAAAUCAGACAUAACCAUCCUACUGCUGAUGAACAAACAGAACCAAGUCUUAUAUAAACAGAAACAGAAAACACAGACUCGAUUGAAACCCAGACCGAAACAGAAAACGCCACGAACAGAGUAGCUUUGACUAUGUGUAGGCUGAGUAAGUCUUACUUCAUCCUGCUGCCCAUGAGAAGAAUUUCCCUGACGUUAUCACCAUGCAUUAGCAUUAUAAAUCACUCAUCCAUCAAACACAGAGAAAAUAAACACCUAACAACCACAGCCUCUUCAUCGUUCCUCCAUCUCUCUCUCUCUCCUCUGCGUCUUCGUGUUCCUCACUGUCUCUCUCUUUCUCAGUCAUCUUCUUCCUUUCUCUCUCUCUCUUUCUCUUCUCUGUUCCCCGUCGUUUCUCUCUCUAUCUCUUUUUUUUUACUCUCUCUAGUUGUUUCUGUGUCGGGAAGAAAAUAGAAGAAACCCUAAACUCCAAUUCGAUUUGGGAUAGAUAAUGGUAUAAAAUCUGGGUCGGGUUUUAUUUUAAAUGUCGGGUCGGGUUAUUUUGGAUUGGGCAAUCACAAUUUCUUAAACGUGAUUUUGUUUCAUUAGUCACGAUUUGGGAAUUUAAUUAGAGAGGGGGAUUAAAAAAGUUAAGGGGGAAAUUUAAAGAGAAAGUAUAUGAUCAGGUGGGAUUAUGAAGAGCUUGAUAGUUUGGAGGGGAAUAAGUAGGGUAAGUGUGUUUAGAGGGGGGGAAUAGGCAGCCAACCCAAUUUUAUUUGAAGCUAAACCAAACUUCCGUUUGAAACAGAGACUCUUGCAUCAAGGGAUCUCAGUAUCUCCUCUCCCAUUCUCUUGCAACCUACCAAUGUCUGUCCAAGAAACCAAGUUGCCUUAUUAUCUUCAAUUUUGGUUAGAAAAAGAAAGAAAAAAGAAAGGAUAACUUACAGCUCCAGGAGUGUGAAUGUCACGAGUUCUGAAUCCGCGGUCCAAGACAUCUGAAACUGCCUUCUCGAUCCUCUGUGCAGCGUUUUCCUCUUUCAGUCCGUACCUGAAAAGCAUUGCAGCUGAUAGCACAGCUGCCAAGGGGUUCACUGUGUCCUGCAAUCCGCAAUGUGUUGAAAAUGUUUAUAUACACAGGAGUGGUUUUCACAUUCAGCAUCAUAUAUAUUAUAUAUAGAUAUAUGAAGAUUGUGAGGCAACCUUUCCGUAGUGUUUAGGCGCAGAUCCAUGCACGGGUUCGAAGAUUCCAGGUCCCUGUAACCGAUCAGCUUAUGAGAAAUCCAAUAUUCUUUUAUCAAGAAAAAAACAGGAUUUGAAUCAUACUGAAUCACCAAGGGCAGUGUUUGAACCGAAAUCGGUGCUGUGCAGGAGAUAGACAGAUUUCGAUGGUGGGGUUAGGAGAGGUCUUCAUGCUGAGCUUGAACUGGAUGGAUGGAGAGUAAGAGAAGAUAAAAAGGGGUUAAAUGAUUAUGGCUGGACCCGGUGAAGCGAUGCCUACGUACCCCAAAUGGGGAUCAAGCCAAUCGUAGUUCUACAACGAUGGGAUCACAAGUGCUUAGAUGAAAGCAUGUGGAGAAAUGUUUCUCUCUCUAGAAAUAGAGAAAGGAUGGAAAAGUGGCCAAAGGAAGAGUGAGUCCUUAUUUAUAGAAGGAAGAGGUCUAGGGUUUCCUAGUCACCUCAUUUUAAAUGGACCCAUUAUUUUAUAGGCCUUGUUGGGGGCAAAGCCCAUGUCCAACAGUAAGCCCCCCAGUUCGUUGAGAGAGAUGAAAUUGAUCUCUAUGAAUUCUACGAAGAAGGUUUAUAAGAAAAUGGACUCAGUGCUUUUACAUUUGAUGACCCAAGCGAGUAGUUCAUUUACUAGGCGAGUUGACUGGGAAACUCAUGCCUAGGGCGCGAGUUGUACUCUCGCUAGGGAAGUUUACUAUGAACUCGUCCCUAGAAGCAGUAACUCGUGCUUGAGCGAGGGAGAGUAGAUGUACUCUUACUAGGCGAGUUGAGUGUGAACUCGUGCCUAAAGAAAGGCAAGUUUACUAAACUCGUGCCUAGAUAGAGGCGAGUAGUACUUUUACUAGGCGAGUCGGCUAGUGAACUCAUGCCUACGCGAGUUGUACUCUCGCUAGGGGAGUUUACUAUGAACUCGUCCCUAAAAGCAGUAACUCGGCCAGUAACUCAUGCCCGAAAAGAGAGUUUUCCGACCUAAUGCCUAGGAGCCGUAUCUCGGCGAGUAACUCUUGCCUAGUGAAAGGCGAGUUGAAUGUAAACUUGUGCCCGAUACAAAGCGAAUUAAACAUAAACUCAUGUCUACUAAGAGGUGAGUUGAGUGUAAACCCAUGUCUAGUAAAUGACUGGUUUACUAAACUUAUUCUUAGUGAUAGAUGAGUUUAUGUCGAAUUCAUGCCUAGUAAAAGGCAAGUUUAUUGUAAACUCACGCCGAAAAUAGGACAAUUUGUACUCGUGCCUCGAUGUACAUACCCAGGCAAAAGCGGAGAUGCAAUAAAUAUAUUUUUUUGACGAGUAAAAAUGACAAGCAAAGGACGUACCUUGUCGUUUACUCGCGACGAGUAAAAGUGACAAGCAACGGAUGCAAGUGUCAUUUUUGACGAGCUAUUGAAUUGGAGACGUCGCUUGACGGGUUUGACUUUGAGACGUGAUGUUCUUGGUAUUGGGCUUAUUGGGCUUCAGCUUUUUGUUUCUUCUGCUGUGAGGCCCAAGCUUCAUUUCAUUUCUUUUAUGCCAAGUAAGAAUCUUCUUUUUCUUUGGCACUUAUGAGCAAGAAUCUAACUUGUCGUUUUCUUGAAACAGAAUUUGAACGUGCGUACGUCAUCCCUCUGCUCGAGCUUGUGACUGACAAAGAGUUGCGAGGGGACGCGAGAUGAAUCUUCUUCUCCACGUCCGAGUAACCGCAUGAGCUCUCAACUUUGUGGUCGUGUAAACGCGUGAGCUGGAGCCGAGUAACCACAAGAGCUCGAGCAAAGUAACCGAAUGAGCUAGGGCCGGGUAGCAGCUUAAGCUUAAGCCGAGUAACCGCAUGAGCUCGAGCCGACUAACCGCAUGAGCUCGAGCUUAAAUAGUCGUUCAGCACAUGUUGGGGCAGAGUUCAUACUCGCUUGGUGGAGAACUUGAUCGAGGUGUAUCGAUCAUGAGUUGACCCCGAGGAGACUCUAGAUGACGAGGUGUCUUUGUAGCCCCUUGGAAGCGUGUGCUCGUGACGUGUUGCGAGAGCCAUGAAAAAUCACGGAUUCGCGACCUCAAAUCAAACCUCUGAGUCGUCGGAGCGAGAGUUGUGACGACGAGUGACGGAGCUGGGAGUUAGCGGCAGUUUCGUAUGAGCUGUGACAAGUGAUGAAGCUAGAGGUCAAGCUUGUUGCUGAGCAUCGACUGUUCCAAGUAAAAGCACAUGAUGGAGGUGACGUUGUCUUGUGCCGAGUAAAGCGUAUGACUGUUGCUCGGCGAUGAACCGCUGCAUUUCGGUUCCGUGAAUCAAGAACCCGUUGGAGAGCUUUAAGUUGGAAAGACCAUGGCGAGUAACAGAGCUUGAAGUCGGCACGAAGCUUCCGUUCAUGGAGCUUUUGAAGACAUCGUCGUUGAGCUUCUGCGUUUAGUCGGUGAGAGCUUUUAGUCGUCGAGAGCUUUUAGUCGUUGACAAAUGUUCUGAGUAAAACAACCCGGACUGGUCAAAAAUGAGGUGCCGAGUAACCGCACGGGCUCGGGCUUAAACUGUUGUUCGGAGUAGCCAUUGAUGGAGCUGUUUGAAGAUGGCGAUUGUCUUCUUUAGCCAAUGACGUAUAUGACGAAGUGAUACAAUCCCUAUGAGAAUUAGCCGAUGAGCUGUUAGUCUGAAAUUGCAUCACGGGCUGCGACGCAAAGUGAUUUUCCUCGCUAUAGUGAACUCGCUGCCGAGGAAAAGCGAUGAAGUGUAACCACGGCCUAGCAAGAAAGUGUGCAUAGGAAGUGCUCGUGGUACAUAUUUUGAGCUGAUCACGUUCUUGUUGGUGAUGACAAGUCAUUACAAAUUUUUGGAGCUUUGAUCGUCAACUGAAACGGGUAAAAGCAUCGCUUGGAAGAUUCUUUUACUCGGUGUGAUAAAAAGAAAGCUUCUUUUACUCGUCACAUUCAUGCAACGGGUUGCUGAGACAUCGCAAACUCUGUUUCAAACUCUUCGCUUCAGUACGACGAGAAAUGCUUGAGUUUACAGCUUUCACCUUUGACUUUUGGGUUUAGUCGCAACCUAGCCGUCUUCUUUGACCGAGUUGAAUUGUAAUUGGGCGAGCGGAUAAAAUAUGGUAGGUCCCAGCAUUUUCAUUUUUUUUUUCUUGAAAGGCAAAAUGCAAUUCGUCAUCUACUCUUUUUUCAAAGAGUAAAAGUGACGAGUAAAGGAUUCAGCUUGUCGUUUACUCGUAGCCCUCUUUUUGUGAUGAGUAAAAGUGACAUAAAAGUGCAUUUACUCGUUGUUUUUUUUUUGACGACUAAACGGUCGAACUACGACCAAACAGUUGAACGAUGACAGAAUGGUCAAAAGACGACAGAACGGUCUAGCGACGACAUAAAUGUCAAAGUGACGAGCAAACGGUCGAGUGAUGACCAAACGGUCGAGUGACGACCAAACGGUCGAGUGACGACCAAACGGACUCGGAGUUCAAUCAUUUUUCAAAGAUACUUCUCCAUGCCCCACGGUGGGCGCCAAUUGUUUGAACCGAAAUCGGUGCUGUGCAGGAGAUAGACAGAUUUCGAUGGUGGGGUUAGGAGAGGUCUUCAUGCUGAGCUUGAACUGGAUGGAUGGAGAGUAAGAGAGGAUAAAAAGGGGUUAAAUGAUUAUGGCUGGACCCGGUGAAGGGAUGCCUACGUACCCCAAAUGGGGAUCAAGCCAAUCGUAGUUCUACAACGAUGGGAUCACAAGUGCUUAGAUGAAAGCAUGUGGAGAAAUGUUUCUCUCUCUAGAAAUAGAGAAAGGAUGGAAAAGUGGCCAAAAGGAUCCUUCUCAAAGGAAUAGUGAGUCCUUAUUUAUAGAAGGAAGAGGUCUAGGGUUUCCUAGUCACCUCAUUUUAAAUGGACUGAGCCCAUUAUCUUAUAGGCCUUGUUGGGGGCAAAGCCCAUGUCCAACAGGCAGCAGAUGGAAGCAAUCCUACACUUCCAGGGAUCAUGGCGGCGAGAUCAGAGAGGAUAUCACCAAACAUGACUCCAGUCAAAAUGGUAUCGAACUGAAAACAUCACAAGAUUGAACGCAAUUUUUUAAGAAUCAUUGUAGUCAAGAGACGAUAUCUCCAAACAUAAAAACUGUUGCUAAAAGAACACCUGUCUUGGGUACCGAACAAGAUCCAUCGCAGCGGUGUCAAUAAGUAAAUGACUCACUUCAACCUCGGGAUACUCUAAGGCCAUUGCUGUGACUCUUUUCCUCCACAGCAUUGAUCCCUGCCUUAGAGAAGGUUUAAGAGAAAGCAUGAAUUAUGAAUCUAUCUCAUUGUUUUUAUUAUUCAGCUAGUAGAAGCUUUAUGCAAAUAACAAGAGUUUUACCUCAAGGAUAGUAGCCUUGUCAACAGAGCAAAGUUUACUGCGCCGUUGCUUGGCAAUAUCAAACGCAACACGAGCAAUGUGAUUAACCUUAAGCAGAACCAGAAUGAUAUUUAUUGACCAGCUCCUCAGUUAACAAGACAACAUGUAAACUUUUUGCAACAAGACAAAAAAAAUCAACAAAAACAGUAUACCUCACUUGCAGAGUAGGACUCAGUGCAAAAGCCAACUUCGUCACCUUGUUCAUUAGUGGUAAACCCCCGAGGGUGCGCAUUGUAAAUACCUAUUUUCAGCAAAAGAAGACACCAUCUUUCAUAAGGAAAAGCAAAUCUCUGUCUCUAUGAGAAGAACAAUGGUGACUGACCUCCAGUAAGCUCCCGGAUGAUCAUAAUGUCAACCCCUUCAGCCGUGUCUUUUCUCAGAUACGUCGAAUCAACCAGCUGAGACACGUCCCAAAGUUCAAAGAAGAUCAAAUUACCGACAGUGAUGAACAAUGAUGUGUCUGUGAGAUACCUGAGGGAACACAGUGAUGGGCCUUAAAUUGGAAAACACUUCAAGACCCGCACGAAGCUGCAACAGCGCCGUUAUAGGCUUCAAAUGCUUCGGACUGUUAUCCCAUUUCGGCCUUCAAUCCCAAUAAAAAAAAACAUAACUAUUACUGUUUAUCAAAAAAAAAAAAAAAAAAUCAACUAUGAUGAGCACGUGCCAUCCAACAGCCCCGAGAAGAACAGCAUCCGACUGCUUUGCCUUUCUCAAUGUUUCCUCCGGUAGUGGAACUCCGACGAGUUCCAAAGCAACACCUCCUAUGAGCAACUCCUCGAACCUCAAAUCUAGCCCUGAUACAUGUAUUGAUGAUGCAAAGAGACAUCAAAGUUUGAAUCUUUCCUCUUUGCAGUUCGAAAGUCAAGCAAUUUUGGCGUCAUGAGAGAGAGAAGGAACCUUCGAGCGAUCCAGCUAGACGAAGAGCGUCCAGCGUCCACGGCGACGGGGAUGACUUCGUUGCCGACGCCAUCGCCGGGAAGCACCGCUAUGGUGUACCGUUUAUUCGGUGUGUUGGCGGCGCAUCUGAUCACAGAAGCUCUCCUAAAGGUCUGUUUGGUAGCGGAGAUAAACGCAACCGGAAGCUGUGUAGUGAUGACGUGUAAUCCUAGAGCUCCCGCCAUUUAGUUCGGACUAGAGAAAGCUUUUAGAUUAUGAAUGAAUGGGAGAGUCAAAGAAAGGCAGAUCAUCUGCUUAUGCAGGAGAAUUGCAUUUGAAAUGCCAUUCAGCCUUCAGUUCAGAUUUUUCUUGUUUUUUUCUUUCUACAAAAGAAAAAGCAGAUUUGCCACAUGCAGUAAUAUCCGUUUACACAUUGGUGAUUGAUAUUCACCCAUUUUUUCUUUUAUGACUAAUAAAUAAUUUUGCUACAAAUUAUUAAUAUAUUUAAUAUCCUAUAAAUAACACCAUUUUCAUUAUAUUUCCUUACAACUUUUACACUAUUUUACCAAAAAAAAUUUACAAUACAAAAAAAUCUCAUUUUCUUUUUAUCUCUCUAUUUUAUUUUUGUCAUAUAAAUUACAUUUAUCUAAAUUAUUUAUAUGAUGUCUGUGUUUUUAACUAUUUAUGUAAAUAAAUAGUAUUGUAGUUUAUAGGGUAAUUCUAUCAAAUAGUCAUUUUUAUAUUUUUGUCAUAAAAUAGUCCUAAAAAAAUGACCAAAAUAGUUUUUUUUUAUUUUGAAAUUUUUAAUAUUUUAUUUUAUCUUUUAAAAUUUGAAACUCUAUCCCCAAAACUCCACCCCUUAACUCUAAACUCUAAGUCUAGAUUAAUUAACCCUAAGGUAAAAAUGUACUUUACCUUUUAAUAAAAAAAUUUUUGGUCAUUCUUCUCAUUGAAUAUUAUUUUUGUGACAAAAACUUAAAAAAAAUUAUCCUAGAAAAUUUCUCUAGUUUAUAUAUAUAUAUAUAUAUUAAUGGAAGAUAGAUGUAUUUGGUUAAUUACUAAUGUUUUCAUAUUUUGAUUUUAAAAUUACCGUAAUAUGAUUUCAGUGCAAUAUUUAUUGUUAUUUGUGAAAAGUAUUUAUAUUUAUAUACAUUAUAUUUUGGUUUUUGUUGUAAUUUUUAUUAUUUGAAUAUAUUCCUUUAUAUAUUAAACUAGUUUUCGGCCCCGUACUGUGUACGAGAAAAAAAUCUUUAUUUUUAUAAAUUUAACAUAUAAUAUGAACACAUAUUAAUAUUACACUUUGGGUUUAAAGUAUACUAACAGUACAUAUGUUGUCUCUACUAUUCUUGGGUGUUAAGAGUACAGAAGUGUUAAUGUGUAUAUGCAUAAUAAAACCAUAAAAUAUGUAUAAUAUAUAUCGAGAAAAUCAUAACAAUUUACAGGGGUAAUAAACUAAAAUACUUUUAUUUACAAUAUUACCUCAAUAUCGUCCCAACAACAACACCAAUAUGUCAUCUUCACGUUCUUUGAUUGCAACAUGAGCUGUCUUUCUUUUGCCUUGUAUAAAUCUAUGAUAAACAAAAAAACUUAAUAACAAUAAAACAACUGAAAGAAAAGUGGUAAAUAUUUACAUUAGUAUGCAUGGUCUGAUUUCUUAAAUCUAUUUGUCCAACCUUGUUGUCCCUUCGUAUUCCUAUGAUUAACCCAUAAAACAAUUUCAAGCUGGAUCAUACAAAAAGAAUAAGAUAGUAUUAAUUUUAGAAGAAGAGAAAAAGGAAUUUGAUACAUUUUCCAGUAGUUAAGAAUUAAGUAGAUGAUAUACGUACCAUAUAGUGGGACCUGAUUGCAUCAAAAUCAGAUGAGUGAACAUGAUCAGUGGAAAUAACAAAUUGAGUCUGAUCAUUCGGGUAAAAACAGUAACCUCUUCGUUUGAUCCAAGCUACGUUACUGCCACUAUAUUCCACAAGAGGUAUGCUAUCAACCCUGCAAAGUUCAAUAGUUUAUUCUGUUAACAUUUGACUGGUCUCUUCACAGAUCCAAUAUUUGUUGCAGAGGUAUAAAUAAACCUAAAUUACUUAUUUCUCAUACUUGUCUACAGCAAACUGAAUUAAUUUUAAGACUGAACAAUACAAAUGUUUAUUUUAUAUUUCUUACUCUGCUUUUGCCAAAAAAAAAAUCUCAUAUGAACUCAUUACACACCACCACCAUUAAUACCUGCAAAUUAUGCAUACCUGUAACAAAUUUUUAAAGUUCUCUGAAUCUCUUCAAAAUCACCUUACCAGUAUCAAUCUCUUCUCGACUUGAUUUUAAAUUCGACCGCCACAAUCCAUAUCAUUCUAAGAACUUGUUUGCGAUGAACUUAGGAGGGAUAAAAUUUUACAUUUGGUGCAGAAAAAAGAAAGUAGAUAUGAAGGCACUGGUCGAGAUCAAACUGAAAUUUAGGAGAUAUGAAAGGAUCCGUUGUCUUGCUCAUUUGAUAAUGGAGAAGAUAGAGAAAACUGAAAAACUAAAGGAAAAAAGAGAGAGUAAAUUUGUAGAUGAAAAACUAAUAUAAGAAAGAAAACUGUUUAAGAUCAUGGUCAGUUAACCAACUCGAGUUGGCCUAGUGGUACUUGAGGGAGCUUCGGCCCCGAUACGGUCCCGGGUUCGAUUCGCGUUGGCCACGAGGGGAUUUACAUGGGCUCCUCUCGCCCUCCAGACCACUUCGCGUAACCAGGGGCCCUUAAGUGGACGCUUAAAAAUCCUGUAAUGGCAUGGGCUUAGGCCCGGUGGGCUAGUCGAUCACGCAAAAAGUGGUCGGAUACUGGAUUAUCAAAAAAAAAAAAAAAGAUCAUGGUCAGUUAACCUAGAAAGUGGAUGAAAUAUUAUGAGAAUAAUAAAUGAAGUUGUUUAAAAAAAAUAAAAAGAUGUCGCUGAAAUAUUGGGAUAGAUUUUUUUUGAAUAAUUUUUUUUAAACUUAUUUUCCAUGUGUCAUAAUCUGAUUGGUGAAGUGACUUGUGCUUUAAUAUAUAAAAGAUUGUAAGUUAUUUGGCCAACAAAAUUCUAACACAUGGCACUGGUUUUUAAAAAUUAAAAUAAAAAGUAAUCGAUUGUUUUUUUUUUUCAUCCCCUAUUUUUCAGCAACUAAAACUACCUAAAUUCCUAUUUUUUCUCAGAAUUUUGAUCCCACUUUUCGAUCUGUUUUUCCAUUAUCAAACUGCUUUCUUCUCCAUAUAAUGCUAUCGUCUUCGAGCUCACCAUAUUACUCUUCAUUUUCUCUAUAUCAUCAUUGUUUCAAAUUUUAGAUUAUCAAUAUAGUAAAGAACUCAAAAAAAUUAAUGCAUUUCCUUUGUGUCCUUAUUCUUACAGUUUCAAACUGAAAAUAGCACUUGAGUAUACUCUAGUAGUCUGGUGUCCAAGUUUAUAAAAGAACUGGAAACAAAUUUUAUCGGCAAAGAAUGCAACAAAAUAUAUGUACUUCUUUUCUCUAUAUACUGUUUUUUCAUAUCUGUUUUGUGAUUUAUUUUAAGAAAAUUAUGUUACCUAUUUGUAACAGAUGUAGAAAACGUAGUUGAAACAAAAUAUUGUCUAUUAAUAAGAAACAAAAAAGAAAGGAAAGAUGAAGAAAAAUAUGUACCCAUUAAGAGUGUUUUGAAUUUAGAAGAUAAUGAACAUGUUUGGAAAAAUUGUGAAGAAAAAGAUCAAAUGUGUUUUUCUGAACCAAAAUAUGUGGAUAUUGAUUGGUAAUGGUUGUAACUUUAAAAAUUUUGUUGUAAAAAAAAAUCUGUAGACUUUUUGAUGUGACUUUAGAUUUUAUUGUUUUAAAAUUUUAUGGAAAGCUCCAAAAAAUUGCUCUGGAUUGUUGGCUCUACAGAGCACUUGUACAGCUGUAGGUUAUUUCAAAAGUUGUAAUUUUGAAAUUUUUAUUAAAACUUGAUUGCUAUGAAUUUAGUGCUGUAAAAAUAAAUGGGGCCGUCAAUCACAUCAUUUCUAUUGGGUUUCUACUAGGUCUCAAAAUAUCAAAAUAGGUAUAAAUUUUUAAUAAUAUUAUAAUUUAUAAUUAUUUUAUUUUUUGUAAUCAUAAAUACAAAUUUAUGUUUAUUUACAAUAGAAAUACAAAGAAACUGAAUGAAUCGAAUACAAUACUUUAAACUAUAUUUAUAUGUGUUGGUAAUAUAUCUUAAUUUAUAAACAUAAAAUGCUUGCAAACAUAUAUCUUUUUUAAAAAAAAUAUAAGAAAUAUUGUUUUACCAUUUCCAAAUUUUUAGUUUGAAUGCAACCACAUAUCUGUAUUUAUAUAUUAUUAAAUUAAAAUAAAAAUUUCUUCUAAUUAUAAUUAUAAAUAAAGAUGUAUUAGUAAAUCAUUUAAAAUAUAAUUAUUUUACCCAGCUAUGCAUGAGAAUAUCACUAGUUUAUAUACUAAAGCACAAGUCACUUCACCAAUCAAAUUAUGCGACAUGUUUAUUGCUAAAAAAAAUUUAGACAAAUAUUAAAAUAAAAAAGUUCUAAAACAAACACUUUAUUCUACAGCUAAAUUAAAAAAGUGAAGAUAAAAACGAAAAAAAAUCGUUAUAGUAGUCUCAACCGUUCCAGCCAAGAUCUCCACCUUCUUCUCAUAUACAUUACAUCAACUCCAUACAUCAACUUCUACAAACAAUUAAAAAAGUGAAGAUAAAAACGAAAAAAAAAUCGUUAUAGUAGUCUCAACCGUUCCAGCCAUGAUCUCCACCUUCUUCUCAUAUACAUUACAUCAACUCCAUACAUCAACUUCUACAAACAAUUUAAUUUAUUCCACAAAAAUAAAAUAGAUGCUUUCAUAUUUUUUUCUCUGAAGAAAGAUGAACUUCAAUCUGAUGGGCUGUAAAGGUUUUGAAGUCGAACAGAGUUCAUGAAGAAUAGAAGAGAAGAUGGACUCCAAAUUUACCAAGAUAUCCUCAACCCACGUGCUUAGCUAAUUCGCCCUUUAGUUAAUAGGUCCGAUGCAAAACUUUGACUAAUAUUUUUUUUGUUUUCUUUUUUUCCCUUUAACCAUCAAAUAAUGCUGAACAAAUUUUAAGAUUGACAACUUUUCAGUAGUAUUUUAUAUGAUAAUAAAUAUCAUGGGUAGUAUAUCGAUAUGUUUGAGGCCAUUUUUAAUCUGCUAAAACAAAAUGAAAGUAAAAUAAGUAAUUUGUUAAAUAUGUUUACACUGUAAUAUUAUCAUACAGAUUGGUCAACCAAUUAUAAUACCUAAAUUAUGCAACAUUUCUCUUAGUAUUUGUUUUAAAGUAUAAAUAUACUAAAAUGACAUAACUUUUUGAGAUAUUUCCAUCAAAACAAUCCUUCUCAUUGUUUAAAUUUAAUUUCAUGUAAAAUAAACAUUGGUUUUUAUGGUUACACAGUUAAGUUGAACUAGAAAAAAUGUUUGUUAUUAAGUUAUAGAUAAACAAAAAAUAGCAUUUAUAUUUUAUUGAAAAGUAAUUAAUACCCAUACGUAGCAUGGAUGAAACACACUAGUAUAAUCUAUUUUGUUUGAAUUGUUUUUAUCAUUAUAAACUGUUUGAUCUGUCUUUCUCUCACAUGAUCUGCACUUUAUCCACUUAAUCAACAUAAUUUUUUUGAUAUGCACCGCUUGAACUGUUUUUACCAUUCGAAGCUUACUUUCUUCUUAAAAGGCUAAAACGAAUACUAUGUAGUAUUUGAAUUUUGUCUUCUUCUUUUUCCAUCUAAGGCUUUUUUAUUCAAUAUUGUAUAUCAAAAACAAUAGCGUAACAGUUGAUAUGGUACAUCGCAUCAAGAGAGCCAAAACAAGCUCUUGAGAAAAUAAUGUAACCAACAGAAAUAUGAUCUGACAAUUACGAUUACAAUAAAAGUCAAUGGUGUAAUUCGAUUGUUUGGAUGAUGACAAUACAUUGAUAUCAAGCUGAUCUUGUUUCGCGCUUGCUAACAAUCGAAGUGUUUUCCACAUCACAACUGUAUAUUUCAAUUUUGUCUUCAAACUGUAUAUUUUACUUUAUUUGUCUAAUUAAUAUAUUCUCUUGUAAAUUAAAUAAAUUAUUUUAACACUAGUCAAAUCUCAAAUGCAUCAUCAUAUAAUAUGUAAUAUAUUAUAUAUGAUGAUUAACUACAUGCAACAUAUGCGAUAUAAUUAACAACUUCUCGAACAACGCUUCCACGAUGCAGCUCUCCUCGUAAAACACGGAUCACAGACGGUUCUGCAUGUAUGACAUCUUCGAUGGACAUGCUCUCUUCAUAGCACACGACCACAACGGCUCUGCAUGCAGCACUAUGGAAGGUCCGAUUAGCUUUGCAUCCUAAAUCUGCAAUAAAUUGCAUCUUUUGAGAAUAAUUAGUAUAUUAUUUUGUGCAAAUAAUUACUUGUGUCUUGUGAGCAUAUAUGUUAUGUACACAAAUUUUUGCUUCACAAAUUAUAUCAUGUUAUUAUAUUAUAUAUUUGCCUUGCCGAUUUCAAUUAUAUGAGUUAUUAUCAUUUUUUUGUCAACGAGCUAUUAUCAUAUUUGUUUUCAUAAAACCUUACCUCAGAAUCUUUUAUUUUUUCUCUAGCAGCCGUCAACUUUUCAUCUCAGUUUCCAUCUCUCCGGUUGUCAGUGUUCCUUGCCGUCACCGGAGAUGGCAUCUCAUCUCUCUUUUUCUUCUUUGGGCUUAACUGCGUGUUUCUGGCAGAUUUUGUGGUUGUUCGGUAUGUGGAGUGGUUUCUCGAGUCUCCUCCGUCCUUUUCAUUGCAAGCCUCGUCACUACAAGAAACAGACCCCAACACCGACACUCUAAUUUAUUGGAACGUUGUCGGAAUAAGUCAUUACCGAGGGUUUUCCGGGAAAUGCCAAUUCCUCGGAGUUUGACGGUCGGAAACAAUACGAGGUCGGUACAUUGUCGGGAAAUACCGAGUAAACCCAUUCUCGAAAAAUUUGUAGGUAAUGGUUAUCGGUAAUUAGCGAGGCCGUUCCGACGAAGUUUAAAAAAAUUAAUAAAAAAAAUAAAUGCAAAAUAACAAAAGAUAUUAAUAAAAUAGAAAUAAUAUGAAUUAAUAUUGAAAUCAUUAAAGAUUUACAACUGAAAAAUGAAAAAUAAACAUAAAAAUUAUAAAACUAUGGAAAGAUCUAUGGUUGAGGUGGUGAUGGAAGAAACUGCGACGGCGGUGGUCCUGAAAGAAACUGCAACGGCGGUGGUCAUGAAAGAAACUGCAACGGCGGUGGUCGUGGAAGAAACUGCGACGGCGGUGGUCCUGAAAGAAACUGCGACGACGACGGUGGUUGUGAGAGAAACUGCAAGGGCGGGGAUGGUCGAGAAUAAACGGUGAUGUUAAUGGAAGUGGAGGAUUGUCACCAAAGAUGGUCGUGUAAAAGAGUUGUCUUUUCCAGAAAAAAAAACAGAUCUGAAAGAAAGAUUUAAAUAAAGAGACAGAGCGAGACGAAGGGGAAAAAGAAAAGAGAGAGAAAAUUAGAAUAAAUUGAGGAGAAAAGAGAAAUUAAGGAAGAAGAGAAGAAAGGUAAACAUAAACAAUGGAAAUGAAUGGCUAGAAAUAGUUUUAAUAAUCGAUUAAUUGGUAAAGUUAUAAAAAUUGAUAGAAGUUAAUAAGAAAUAAAAUUACUGGUUCCGACAAAUUUUCAUCUACUUUUGCGACGUGUUACCGAGAAAACAAUGCUUUUGUCGGUAAAUACAAUUUUCCGAGAAAAUUCCAAAAAUACUUUUCCGAUGAAAUUCUCAUAAAAUCCGUAUAUCGGAACUUUCCGAUAAUUUUUCAACAAAUUACAUAACUUCUCGGUAAAUUAUCAGAAACUCAUCGUGAUUUUGCCGAUGACAAAGUUUCUCGGGAAGUUUUGUCGGAGGUAACAUACUUUUCUUGUAGUGCGUGCCUUGGAUCUUUGUCUACUUCGUUGCAGUGAUCGUAGAUCUGCAAUUAUGGUGUUGUUCGCAAGUUAUGAGGUGAAUUUUUCCGGCUCAAGUCCAACGGUUUGGAAUUUUGGGUCUUGUUUUCUUAAAUUUAGGAAGUCGUAAGGUGGACUUCGAAAGCUUCGUACUCUUAUAAAAAUGGAAGCGAUAGGUUCUUAGUGUUGUUUCUUGGUAUAUAGAUGAUUUCAACUUUGGUUAUGACAAUAAAUGCAAGUCUUCUCAGGUUUCCAUGCUACUUUCUGAGCUCAAAAAGAAAACUCUUCAAACUCAAGCUUAUCAGUGCUAUUUUUUUACAUUUCGCUGGAUCUUGGUUGGGAGCAGUCUUUGUUGUCUUGCUCUUUAUUGUGAAGCUAUCGUAUGGUAUCUACUAGUGUUACUGUUUAGCAUUCAUUCGUUAUGGUUUUCAAUUAUCUUUCAUUGUAUUGGUUUUUUUUUGUUAGAUUUCUCCAUGUGUAUAGAUGACAUCCUUCAUCAUUAACUCUUUCAUUUUGAUAUACAAACCCAUCGUUAUAAAUAAAAACCUUAUGUUGUACAAGUUCUCCUAAAGGAGAGAUGGGGUUAGUGUUAUAUACAUUAACAAUGUAUUUAAAAAAAAGCUGACACACUAGCCAAAAAAGUGCUCACAUUCAAUUCAUAAUGAAUGAUGGACGCAAACUCAAAUUAGAACAGAGUUUCACAAAAUCAAAUCUUGGUUGUAAUGUGUUAUCAUUGGCGUGAGUUCCAGAUGUUGCUUUCAAUUUAAAUCUAGACAGAAUUUGAUUUCUCACUGGACUACUAGUCCCUGAAGUGGAGAAGAAAACACCAUCUUCUAGAGGCAAAAACCUUAACUUCUUUGGAUUUCUUGAAUACAAAACGAAUCUUAGAGAAUUACAUGUUAUAGACGUAACAACAACUUGAUUAAAUGACUGAUUUUCAGAACAUUGCGAAAAUGAAAUUCAUCUAGUUCUAAGAAGAAAAACACAAAAACCCAACAUGAGACAAGACUUGAUUUGAAAUGAGGACUAUGGAGGCGAAGAAUAAGACGUUUUUUCCUACCGAGAUAAACGCAUCACCGGAAUCAGUUGCAGCUCCUUUUGGCACACCAGAUUUCUCAUAGUUUCCAAGAGAUUUCAAAAACCCAACGGCAUCUUUGAGCUCUGAUUCAAGAGAGGGAUUACAAAACCUAAAUAAUCAAAAUUAGUAUUUCAAAACCAAAUCAAAACCCUAACCAGCUCUUUCUCUUGGUCGCCGCCAUGAGAAGCGAGACCAUGAGCCAGUGGUCGAUGUCUUGAUCCUGGAAGUCUGGGGCCAGAAUGGGAGAAUGUUGGCGGUGAUAGGCUCGACAUCUAAGCUUUGAAGAUCCAUCAUCGCGAGAUUUAAUUUUCGUAGGAGAUUGUACGUGAAAAAACAGAUAGGUGAUCUGGUGGUGGAGGUACAAAGAGAACGAUGCUUUUUCGGGAAGCAAUACAAGAAAUUUAUAUUAAAUUGAUUAGUAUAUAGUUAUGAUUUAACUAGAAAAAAUAAAGAGUAGAAUAGAAAAGAGAAGAGCAAAGGACAUGUUGGUAUUUUGAUGCAUUAAAGUGUAUGAAAAAGUUUUCAUGCGUUGUGUAUGAAAAAGGUGAGUGUGUGAAAAAGUGUGCUAAGAGCAAGAAGUGACCUAGAAUGUAAUAAGAAAUUUGAAAUAUGUCUUAGGCUGUAAAUAUCUCAGAGAGUUUUUUACAGUGCAUGUCACUGUUUGAGUUUUUAUUGCAUUGAGAGUCACUUUGUGCUCUUGAGGUAGUUUAUAGAGGCAAAAUGACAAUGUUGUACUCAACUAACAAUUAUGUCUAUAACUAUUUCUAUUUUUUCUUCCUCUCGUGAGAAGAUUAAAAUAGUUUUCAAAUUUCAAAAAAGCAUAAAAUUAUUUUAAUUCAUAUAAUCACAGCCACACAAAAACAUAUAAUGUAUUCUAUAGAAUGUUUUGAUGUAGAUGUAAGUCUGUAACAAAUGUAGCUGUAUAAAUUAAAUGAGAAAAAAUAAAAAAGGAAAUAGAUUCGUACAACAUUUUUUUUUGCUUUAGAAAAUAAGGCUCAUACAGUCUUUUAAUUUUAUUUUGGCUUUAGCUUUAACAACUACAUAAAACACGAUUGGUAAUUUUUAUGGUUGUAGAUAGAAAAUAAAGCUAAAGUCAAUUGAUAUAGCCCAACCAAUCACCCCCGUUAUCUCAAUACUCUUUUCUUUACAUCAUCUCUUUACCUUCCUUAUCUCAACUUCCAAAGUUUAAGUUGACGGCUACGGCGACUUCGACAACCUGCAACCACAAAAUCUUUAUCUCAUUCAUCUUUGCAUGCCUAGUUUGAGAUUUCGACGAACUGACCACAACCCGGUUCGCAGAAUUUCAACCCGAGAGAUACUCAUCCAUGGUCAAUAUCACAAGUUUUUCUUUCUUCUGGUCCCAGUAAGCUCCUCCUUUUCUUCAGUCGUCGUUGUCUCCGCCAGUUUAUGUAUGUAUCAAAACCACAAUUUAAUUUGGAGGGGACACCUGCUGUGGUUAACCACACUGAAAUGAGUUGUGCAUGAUACCCAUUGCAGGAUCUAGUGAUUAUUGCCUUGGAAGAGGGUGUGAAAUAUAAGGGAAGAUUUGGUAGCGUAUUUGAAUGGGAACCGGCUUGUUAUGACAAUAAGAAUGAAGUUUAAAAAUAUGGACAGUUCGUAGAAGAACCGCAGCAGUGUACACGGAUAGUUCUUGAGGAAGCGUAGCAAUGUACACAUGGACAUGGCUAGAUGGUGUAGACAUGGCUAGACGCUGUACAUGUGGACAUGGCCAGAUGGUGUACACAUGGACAUAAUGGUUUAGAUUUUUUGUGGAUUGUUGUAUUGAGCCGUAACCUAACUGAGCAACAUUAUUUGGAAAGGACCCAAUUGUCUAAGACACGGUAUGAUUAUUUCCACAUGAAACAAUUAUAAGGCCAUGAUUAACCCGGGCUAUUAGGGUGGGGUUCUUAGCUUCGGCUAAGAACCAUUUCUUAACUAAGAAAAUCUAAGAUCUGUCUCUUAAAUAAGAGAUAUAAGAGCCGACUCUUAGCUGAAAAGUGUAAAAAAAAGUAUCAAAUCAUAAGUUAAGAACCUCAAAUUAAGAGCCCAGGUUAAUCUUACUCUAAGUGGAUUGCUUUGUUGAAAGCUUCAAGAAAUACUUUUUCUUGCCAAAACCACAUGUACAAUAUAAUAUAAGUGUACAUAUGUGUAUAAAAUAGUCAUGUUUGAAAAAAGUAUGCGAAAGGUGGUUCACAUUGCAUCUUAUAGAUAAAUUGUUUACAUAACAUCUCAUAUAUCUCAUAUAAAGUGUACACAUGGAUAUAACAUAAGGGUAAUAUCACAUUACCAAACCGUCAAUAACUUAUAAUAGAGUUUCACAAAAUCAAAUCAUGGUUUUACUGUGUUAUCAUUGGCGUGAGUUCCAGACGUUUCUUUCAAUUUAAAUCUAGACAGAAUUUAAUUUCUCACUGGACUACUAGUCCCUGAAGUGGAGAAGAAAACACCAUCCUUAGAGGCAAAAACCUUAACUUAUUUGGAUUUCUUGAAUACAAAACGAAUCUUAGAGAAUUACAUGUUAUAAAUGUAACUGCAACUUAAUUAAAUGACUGAUUUUCUAAACAUCGCAAAAAUGAAAUUCAUCUAGUUCUAAGAAGAAAACACACAAAAAUCCAACAUGAGACAAGCCUUGAUUUGAAAUGAGGAUUAUGGAGGCGAAGAAUGAGACAUUUUUCCUACCGAGAUAAACACAUCACCGGAAUCAGUUGCAGCUCCUUUCAGCACACCAGAUUUCUCAUAGUUUCCGAGAGAUUUCAAAAACCCAACGACAUCUCUGAGCUCUGAUUCAAGAGAGGGAUUACAAAACCUAAAUAAUCAAAAUCAGUAUUUCAAACCAAAUCAAAACCCUAACCGCCUCUUUCUCUUAGUCGCCGCCGUGAGAAGCAAGACCAUGAGCUAGUGGUCGACGAUUUCUUGAUCCCGAAAGUCUGGGGCCAGAAUGGGAAAAUCUUGGUGGUGAUAGGCUCGACAUCUAAGCGUUGAAGAUCCAUCAUCGCGAGAUUUAAUUUUCGUGGGAGAUCGUACGUGAAGAAACAUAUAGGUGAUCUCGUGGUGGAGGUACAAAGAGAACUAUGCUUUUCGGGGAGCAAUACAAAUAAUAUAUAUUAAAUUGUUUAUUUAACUAAAAAAAAUAAAGAGUAGAAUAAAUAAGAGAAGAGCAAAAGACAUGUUGGUAUUUUCAUGUGUGAAAAUGUAAGAAAUAAGUGUUAAAGUGUAUGAAAAAGAGUGUUGAGAGCAAGAAGUAACCUAGAAUGUAAUAAGAAACUUGUGUCCAAGGCUGUAAAUGUUUCCUCGGAUUAUUGGUACGUGAAUGUGUUAUGUCACAUUCAUAAUUUAUGUGUGACAAUACGUCCUGUGGACCUAGUCUCAUAGUCCUGCAUGACACCGAUCCUAAUCUCUCACAUGUGAGAUCUCCCUGACUCCUCCUAUGUAGGUUAUUUGUGUGUGACGUUCGUGGAACCCAAAACUUCACCCUUUAACAACAUUUUCACAAGAUAAAUUGUGACCAAUUGAUUUGGAAGACUUUGAGCCUGGAUCCGCAGGACAGGACGGAUUCUCAUAGUAUAUCACAUUUAUAACUUUUUCUUGUCUUUAUCGAUUCUCAUAGUAUAUCACAUUUAUAACCUUUUCUUGUCUUUAUCGUACUCGUUAAUUAUAAAAGAUCAUAUCGUCCUUUUUCUUGUCUUCAUACUCAUUCUUUGGUCCCAGCUCCCAAGCAAUAGACGCCAGUCUACUUGAGAAUCGCACACGUCUCCUUCAGAUUUUAUCCACGUGAUUAAUUAUAAAAAAAAUAUCAUCGUCCUUUUCUUUAGUUUAGCCCUAACAACAGUGAACAGUGUCGCUUUCCUGCAAUUAUUUAUCGUACCCUUUAUUCGCAAACGUCCCAUACUAAAUACAUAUGCAUAUAUAUAACAAAUAAUUUUUGCUUCUAUUUUAAAAAAAUAUAUUUAUAUCAUCAUAUAUAUAAAAAGACAUUCUUACAUUUUUUUAGUUAUGCAACAAUGUAAUCAAUCACAAAAAAAAAACAAUGUAAUCAUAACUAAAAAAAAUGUAGAAACUCAAUAGAAUUCACAAUAUAAAAUUUAAUAAUAAAAAAAUCAAUUCUAUUAGUGUGACAAAUGGCAGAGAGUAUUUCGAAAAUGGGAUUGAAUCUCUUGUUUGAGAAAUGAUAAUGUUAUAUUUCCUCUAUUUUUUUACUUAAAAUAUAUAUAUUUAUCUAUAAAAACUCAUCUAGAAACAACUACCAUUGUGGAUGAUCUAAUGCUAUGUUUCAAUAAAUUUAAUCAGUUCGUAACUUUGGUAACACUCUGAAGAUGUAAAUUUUUGCAAAGCAUUCGAAAGCAUCUAAAAACUGGUGUCGGUCUAAAAAGUGUUUUCUAUUUCGGUCAUGUUUCUAUUUCGGUCAUGUUGCUCCAUGUGAAAUUACUCCAAAAAUGAUUUGUUGUGUUUUUAAGGAGGGGGGGGGAGCACAAACAUACAAUAGUAUUUUGUCCUGUCUCCUGUGUAUCAUAGGAAAAGAGUACCCGACCAAACAAUCAUUAAUCAAUGUGGGGAAAUAAAACUAAACCACGCCAAUAAUAUAUUGAAUGCAUAGUAACAGAUAUUUUUACAAGGACCAAGCAAGUCUCAACAUUGAUACGUGUCGUUUUAUUUCAUGCAACAACACAAUAAUACUAACGACAUUAAAAUUGAAAUCAGUUCAUGGAUAAUUGUCGGCAGGCUAUGAGAUGUUGGUUUUGUGAUGCUAGUUCAAUUGAUACGGCGGAACUCUGACGUAAAGUGACUUCAAUAUUUCUUCACCCAUCUUCUUGCAUCCCACAAUUUUCUGUCACAUUAAUCGUCAAUGAUCGUUAAAAAUCAUAUAAAACGGCGAAAUUUAACCUAAUUAAUCAAUUAAGCAAAAAAGCUUACGGCUCCGGGAGUGGGAAUAUCACGCGUUCUGAAACCUUCGUUUAAGGUAUCAAAAAUAGCAUUUUCUAUGCGUUUUGCGACCGCUUCUUCCUUCAAACCAUACCUCAGAAGCAUCACGGCCGUGAGAACCGCAGCCAGUGGAUUUGCUACGUCCUAUAAUUUACAAAUCAUUUUAAUUUCAAUUUUUACGUACCCUCCACAAAAGUCAUAUAUAACCAUCGAAGUUUAGUGAUUUAAUUAAGUGUUACCUCUCCCUCGAUGUCAGGAGCUGAACCGUGAACAGGUUCGAAGAGUUGCGGUCCCUUUAUCAAAUAUUGCAUGAAUAUUAGGCAUGUAUACAUACAGAUUAAAUAAUAAUAUGUUUUAUUAAGGGGUAAUUUAUGUGUGUGUAUUUUUUUUAUAAAUACCGGGCCUCCGAUGCAGGCGGAGGGAAGCAUUCCAAUGCCGCCGGUGAUCAUAGCUGCAACAUCCGACAAGAUAUCUCCAAAGACAUUCGUUGUCAAGAGUACGUCGAACUGAAAACCGGUUUUACUUAAAUUAAGAUUAUAGUUUUUACACUGUAAAUCGAAUUAAGUUCACUAACUAAAACGUGACGUACUUGUUUGGGGUACCGAAUCAGCUCCAUGCCAGAUGUGUCCACUAGCAUAUGCGACAGAUCAACUUCUGGAUACUCUUCCGACAUAAUCGUCACUCGUUUCCUCCACAACCUCGACGACUAUAUAUUAAUCCAACCCCAAAAAAAAAAAGGAAUUUCUGACGACCUGUUAUUAAAAUAUAUAUUAGUUUGUAUAAAUUGUCGAAAUUACUUCUAAGACGGUAGCUUUGUCGACUGAGCAAACUUUGCCACGUCGUUCCAUUGCCAUGUCAAAUGCAAUUCGAGCGACACGAUCAACCUAAUUAAAGGAACAAUUAACUCUAAGUAAAUAAUUAUUAUUGGCUAAUGCAGAGAAACUUUGAAUUUUAGUGUUAUAUGAUUAGCUAAUUAAGUUCUAUUUUCUUGAGCAACAGCUAAUUAAGUAUACCUCGCUACUGGAAUAAAUCUCGGUGCAGAAACCGGUCUCCUCGCCCUUUUCGUUGAUUCCAAAGCCUCUUGGCUUUCCAUAAUACAAACCUAGCGUUUUAAAUUUCAUAUCAUUCAGUUAAUAUAACUAUUUCUAUUGAGACAAGUAGUAAUUAAAAACAGUUUGUAUUGUCAUAAACAAACCUCCAGCGAGCUCUCUUAUGAUCAUAAAGUCAACCUCUUCCGUCACACUCCUUUUCAAAGAGGAAGCUUCCAAUAACUUUUUAGCACAAUUAACCACAAUAUUAAUUAUAUAUAUAUGAGUUGUUAUAGUAUUUAGUUAAUUACAUUUAUACAUGUGUAUAUCAACUGAUUUACCUGAGGAAAGACGGUGAUGGGUCUGAGAUUAGCAUAUACUCCGAGAGCUCUUCGGAUACGCAUCAGGCCAACUUCAGGCCUUAGAUGUUUCGGUAGAUGAUCCGACGACGGCCUUUAAUUACGCAUACACAUCUUAAUAUAUCUCAUCAUAAAUAUAUAUAUGUGUGUGUGUAACUUGUACUUACAUCUUUUUGGUGAUGCCAACUGCUCCUAGGUAAACAGCGUCGGACUCAAGAAACGCUUUUAGGGUUUCUUCCGGGAACGGAACUCCGGUGGCCUCGUAAGCGGCACCACCGACCAACAUCUCCUUAAACUCGAAAUCAAUUCCUAUAAAAACCAAGGAAAAUCACUUUAAACACAUUACUUCCGAAGCAAGGAAACUCUUGAAUUGAUUAUAUUAACAAAACUUAUUGUAAUAUAAUUAAUUAUAGUAACCUUCGAGAGAGCCAGCGAGGCGGAGAGCUUCGACGGCAACUGGAGUGACUUCAGUGCCGAUGCCAUCACCGGGGAGGACGGCAAUGGUGUACUUUUUAUUUGGUGUGGUGGCGGAGCAUCUGAUCCUACCAACACGUUUACUAGCCCUAGAGAUUUGUUUGGUAGUACUAGGAAUAAGUGAGACCGGUAAUUUGAUUCCGCUUGCGUGGAUCUGAAGUGCUGUCGACAUUUUGAGUUAGAAGAAACUAAGAUAGAGAUGUAUCACUAAAAUUGUGAUUCUUGAUUGGAUGCUUUUGACCGACGUGGGAUUUUGCCUUCCGCCAGAUACUUCAAUUUAUAAGAGAACUUUUUCUUUUAACCCAAUCUUCAUUUUUACCAUUGUAUUUUACGGAUUUAUUUUCACCUGUUCACAUUUUUUAGUUAGUACUUAUUUUCGCCACGUUUUUAAGAGCAUGGGCAUUGGUGAACCCCCUUGGGGUUCACAUGAUUUUUUUAAUAUUUUUUUGUGGAUCCAUGAAUAGUUAUGAACCUGUAUUUGUCUUUUUCUGCAUCGGUGAACCUGGAGAAAGAGUUCUUAAGACUAAAAUAAUAAUAUUUUUUUUUUUAAAUUCAAAUUAUUCAGAAUACAUGAAUAAAAUAUUAAAAAUAUUAUUAAAUUUGUGAAAACUAUUUAUUCAAUACAUUAAAAGAGUAGAUUACAUAAAUUGAGAAAUUGAAAAAUAUACAAACUUAUUCAUCUUCAUCACCAAACUGUUGCCAAAUAUUUUCCAUUAAAUCAGCUUUCAAACGAACAUGCUUUUCUUGAUCUCGAACUUUUCUGCGCAUGCCUAACAUAUCACCAGCUUGAAUACUUUCUCUGCUUGUCACCUUUGAACUUCUGCUUGACUCUCCUGAUUCGAACUCAGAAGUAUUUAUUUGAGCGUAUCCGUGUCGUUCGUUCUCUACUAUCAUAUUGUGCAAUAUGACACAAGUUCUCAUUAUCUUACCUAUCUUUUCCUUGUCCCAUUGUAGAGCUGGGUUUUUAACAAUUGCAAACCUCGACUGUAAUACUCUAAAAGCCCGUUCGACAUCUUUUCUGGCGGAUUCUUGCUUUUGUGCAAAUUUCUCGGCUUUAGGACCUUGAGGAAGUGGGAUGGAUUGGAUAAAUGUUGACCAGUUUGGAUAAAUUCCGUCAGUAAGAUAGUAGGCCAUACGAUAAGUGUGGUUGUUGACCUUGAACUUAACUUUAGGCGCUCGACCAUGUAAGAUGUCAUCAAAAACAGGUGACCGAUCAAGAACAUUGAUAUCGCUGAGUGUACCUGGUAAGCCGAAAAAGCGGCUAUAAUCUCUUUCUAAUUUUCAUAAACCAUAUUUUCUUACCAAUCUUUUUUUUUACUUCUUCCAUAUUUUAUUUUAACUAUAAUCUCUUUCUAAUUUUCAUAAUCCAUUUUUCCUAACAAUAAUUUUUUUUACUUCUUACCUUGAUGACUUUUUCUUGUAUGUUGUUUGUUGUUGAAGGUAGUUGCUCUUGUUUGUUGUUGAAGGUAGUUGCUCUUGUAUGUUGUUUGUUGGUCACGGACUUCACUCUAUCAAGAACAUCCUAGUUGAAUUUAGUUGUUGUAGUUUGUUGUAUGUUGUUGAAUGUUCGUUUUGUAGUGAGAAAAGAAACAAAAACAAGACAAACAAGUGCAAGAGAAACAAGAGCAAGAGAAGAAAUGGAAGAUAACUUUGAUUAAAAAGCAGAGAGUAGAGACUUCAUUUAUAUAGAGAGACAUAGAGUUAUAACAUAGUACACCCGUGAACUGGUUUAGUACAUCCGUGAAUCAAGUUCAGAGUUACAACAAAAGCAUAAUACAUAGAGAGACAUAGUACAUGAGUGACCUGCAGUGUAGAAAGAAACAAAACCUACACUUUCCCGUAGUUUACCUCGUAGUUUCUGCAGGUGAAGAACCGCUUCCCAGGAAGAGUGUCGUAGUCCUCCUUCCCGCGCACCUCGUUAAUGAGUCUCCCACCACAUGGACACCUUUUAGGAAUACCGUACUCAGAAUCCGCCACGAAACUUAACAUGUUGAUGUGUUCGUGUUGCUUCUUUGAAUGUCUUCUAUCUUCUUCCGGAUCCAUCUGUCAAAUAAAUUAUGAUUUUGUCAAAUAAUUACUCGUAAACCACAAUCACGAUCUACAACCCUAAACCCAUCACUCGAUUUAACCCAUAAAACGAAACCCAUCACUCAAUUUAUAAACCCAUCACUCACCCAUAAAACGAAACCCUAAUUGGAUUUCAAAUCUCAGAAAAAAGAACCCUAAAUCAAAAAACAAUCACGAUCUACAACCCUUGAUCGAACCCCAUAUAUCGAUUUAGAUCCCUUACUCGAAACCCCCAAUUUUUUUUCGAAAUCGAAUAAUUGCUUCCCACCCCAAUUUCGACCCAAUAAAGCUAUAAACCUACAAGGUACUCACCUACGCUCGUGGAUAGAAGAGCUCGUCGUCGAUUACGUGGAGAAAAUCGCCUGGGAAUCGUCGUCGCACGAAAAGUCGCCUCUCACGGUGAAACCCUAGUUUUUUCAGAGAAAGGGGAAAAUGAGAAGAAACACGACGUGGCCCGACUUUCCUCCUCCUCAACGCGGAAUGCUUGACCAACCAGCGUACGCCGCGUGGCAAAAUCCGCCCCUUACGGGUUCAUGCGCAAGGCCCGGUUCAUCAAACUAAUCGCAUUUUUCUUUUUUUUUAGAUCCACCGGGCCUAAGAUUUCGAACCCACGAACCUGUUAUAAACCGCUAAUGCGGAUGGUCUAAGUGUUUUUGGUUGUUUUGAUGACGACAAAUAAAGUGAGACAGUUAGUGUUCGUACGUGUAUGGAGACUGAUAACCGUCUAUGUUCCCGUCUCCUUGGGAUUAUGAUUGUCAUGCACAACCAAAAGAGUGAAAUAGUUAUUACACGUGACAAAGCUACUCACAUGAUUUUUAGAUUUUGUAAUAAAUCAAAAUUGGUUAUAGUAUUUGAUAAAAAUUUCUUCUUUCUGUGUGAUCAAGGUUCCCUAAUUGGGACUGUGUAGUAUUCUACACGUCUCUUAUAUAGCGACACUUAUUUUCGCCACGUUUUUAGGUGUUUUUUGGUUGUUUUUUGGUUGAUUAAUUAUACGGAUUUAUUUUCACCUGUUCACAUUGUUGUUGUUGUUUCAUUUUACAUGUGUGACAAAUUUCAUAGCGGGAAUCGACCACAGAUAAUAGUAAAUGAUACAGAGAAAAUGGCUUUUGCUGACCGUCUUUCAGGAAUCAAAUACAGUACAAGGUGAUAUGAAUAUUUUACUUUAUUUAUGUUGCAAGUUAUUUUCACAUGGGUGCUGGAGAAACGACUCGAUGAACUUUCUUUUUUUUCUGUAAAUACCGUUUAUAAAAUAUUCCUCCUCCCUUGAAAGAGACAUCAGUCUUACAGAUAAAAUAAAGAAAACGAAGCUUACAAAAUACACACAUGUAAAAAAAAGAAGAAGAUAGAAAACCUUUACACGCGCCUCACGCGCUCGAAGAAAUUCUCUCAACUUGAGAUCCACUUCCUUUCUCCUCCUCCGUCGCUCUCAGCGGCGACGGCCCCUCCCUGCCGCCAUGGCGAAAAAGAAACCUCCCAAAAAGCGUCCACCAAACCGCAACAGUCCCAGAUCUAACCCUCCAUCGCAGCAAAAGUCCCCUUUCCCUUCGAUUGAGAAAUCGGUGCCUGAGUCAACCCCAACCACUGUCAUCGCGCAUUGUAGCGAUUCUCCAAGGAAAGGUGACCAUGCUACUGUAAUUUCUCCGUCUCCAACUUGUGACUCUGCUUCCAAAGCAAAUCCAACAAAAGACGUGGACUCCCCAAUCCAUGAAACCCUAGCUACAGUGACUCAGAAUGUUCCUGCAGCUACUGCGAAUCCUACGGCCUUGCCUCGUUAGGAAGCCCGGUUACAAAACAGAAGGAAUCGGUCCCCUCUUUGGAGCAGACUCGUUCUUCAGCAGAGUUUUGGAAAGGAUUUGUAAAACCUUCACAAGUUAAGCUCCAGCCCAAAGAAACCCCCUUCCUCUUGGAAUCAGGAGAAGCGUGUGUCACCAUCCCGAAUGCCGUGGUGGAAAAGAACAAGAAGGCUUGGGAAUGUUUCAUUCUGGGUCAGUUCUAUGAAGAACCUCCGGCACGUGGAGCUGUUCAUGCCAUUGCUAAUGGUAUUUGGAGCAGGCAAAGGAGAGAUAUUCCAGUAUUUAAAAUGGAAGGAAAUGCCUACCUAUUUCGAGUACCUUGUCCUAAUGCCAGGCGCAGAAUCCGUAGCCAAAGUAUAUGGCAGUUUGAUGGACAAACUAUGUUUGUUGCAAAGUGGGCUCCAGGUAUCCAGCAAAUGAAACCUGAACUCGAGAUGGUGCCCGUAUGGCUUGAGCUCACUGGUGUUCCUCUACAAUUUUUCAACUCUGACGCUCUCCAAGAGAUUGUGGGAAUCGUGGGCCACCCGGUCUGUUUGCAUCCUUCAACGGAGAACCUUACAAAUAUAGAGGUUGCAAAGGUCUAUACAGUAAUUGACCCGAGGAAAGAGUUGCCUAAAUUUGUAAAUGCAAGAUUUGAAUAUGGAGUGACAAGAAGAAUUGGUGUCUCCAGGCCCUGGCUUCCCUCGCAAUGUUCUUUGUGCAAGAAAUUGGGUCACACCAUAACUCGUUGCAAGUCUGCUCCUCGUACCUGUACUGCGUGCAACUCAGUCAGGCACACAACAGAAAAUUGUCCAAGAGGCCUAAGAAUCCCCUCGAAAGACAAGAUUAAAGAUAAAGGAAAGGCGCCAAUCAAAAGCCUUCUCCCUAUUGUCACUCAGCCAAAGCGAGUUUCACAGCCAAAACGAGGUUUUCAUACGACACCAAUUUAUAGGGAAGUGCGUAAGAUUGCAGCGCCUCCUCUGGCUUCAUCAGCGCUUCAAACAGCUUCUGUUGAGGCUACUCUACUUGCCUCCCCCGUGACCCCUGAUCUGGGCACUGUUACUACAGUUUAUGAUCUAAAUAGAGGGAAGCUUUAUGUAGAUUUCACAGGACUGGCUGAUGCUCAAUUGGCCUCUCCCGCUGCUUCAGGUGAGUCCUCCUCAGAUAUGGAGAUUACUUCUGAGGAUGAAGACGAUCCGGAUGAUCAUCAUGAUCAGUUCAUUGAUGUUAUUUCUAAGUUCUCCAAGAAGCAGGCUAAAGAAAAAGAAAAAUCGAAGGCUAGGGUUAGAGGCCCUUUAAUCCUCUAAUUUUUCUCCUCUUAUAUGGAUAUUUUUUUGUUGGAACAUAAGAGGUUUUAAUGAUUAUGUAAAGCGGUGUGGUUUUAGAAAAUGGUUCAAAAAACAUAAACCUAUAUUCGGAGGUCUCAUUGAGACACAUGUACAGCCGGUUAAAGCUGCGACUAUAGUAUCUCGUACGCUUCCGGGUUGGUCUUUUGAAAAUAACUACGGGUUCUAUGAUCUUGGGAAAAUCUGGCUUCUUUGGCACCCUUCUGUUCAAGUUACUGUCCUCUUUAAAUCCCUUCAGAUGAUCACUUCCCGUGUCAAGUUACCGAUUGUUUCCUCGGAGUUUAUUCUCUCGAUCGUAUAUGGCUCCAACUGUUGCUAUGAAGACGUUCACUCUGGUCUGAGAUAGAGAUGGUGGCUUCUAGUUCUCAUACGAUUUCUACUCCUUGGCUGAUCCUUGGAGAUUUUAAUAAAACUAUUGCAGUGUCCGAGCACUCUAAUGGUGACUGUAUUGGCUCGUCUUGAGGCAUGCAUGAAUUUAAAGAUUGUCUGGAUCGUUGUGAGUUGUCGGAUCUCCAGUAUAGAGGUAAUACCUUCACUUGGACAAUUAGGCGAGUAUCUAAGAAGCUAGACAUGAUCUUGGUUAAUGACGUCUGGUUGCAAUCAUUCCCUGAGUCACUAGGUAUAUUUGGGGUGCUUGGUAUAUCUGAUCAUGCUCCAGCCUGUUUGUUUAUGGAUCAACAUAGGCCUAAGCAGAAGUUGACUUUCAAAUUCUUUGCGCACUUAAACUGCCAUCCUGAGUUCAUGGAAAUUAUCAGAGGCUGUUGGCAUGGUUUUUCCUUUGAAGGCUCCCGUCAAUUAUCAAUUUCCAGGAAGCUAAAAGAACUCAAACCGAUCAUCAGAUCCUUCAGUAAGGAGAAUUUUUCUAACCUGGAGAAAAGAGUUGAAGAGGCCUUUGCUGCCCUCACACAAUGCCAGGAAGUCUCUCUCACAAAUCCCUCAAGCUCUGCUGCUGUGCCUGAGGAGGAAGCUCAUCAUAAAUGGCUAGUUCUAGCGUCUGCUGAGGACUCUUUUCUAAGGCAGCGCUCGAGGAUUCAGUGGACCUCUUUAGGUGAUGCUAACACAGCUUUCUACCACAGGUCUAUCAAAUCCAGAAGGGACAUUAACCAGAUCGAUUUCUUCAUUGGUGAUGAUGACUCCAUUAUUGACUCUCUGGAUGAGAUUAAGGCUCACGCUGUCUCUUACUACAGCAAUGUCUUGGGUGGUCCAGUGACCCCAACUACCUCUUCGCCCCAACUGAUCCCAGACCUUGUAGAAUUCAGGUGUUCUCAUGAAUCUAUUGCAGUUCUAGAGUCUCCCUUUUCUGGGUUGGACAUUCAGAAAGCUUUCUUCUCCUUGCCGUCGAGUAAGGCCCCAGGGCCUGACGGAUACCCCGGAUAAUUUUUUAAAGCUCAUUGGUCUACUCUGGGUAAAGAUAUGAUUGAUGGGGUCCAAGAGUUCUUCUCCUCGGGUCGUAUUUUACAGCAAUUGAACUCCACUAUUAUAUCUCUUGUGCCCAAGAAAACAAACGCCUCCCAUAUCUCCGAUUUCAGACCAAUAUCCUGCUGCAACUCUGUCUACAAGGUCAUCUCAAAGCUUUUAGCGAACAGACUUAAGACAGUUUUGCCUCAAAUUGUUUCAAACGCCCAAUCUGCGUUUAUUCCCAGAAGGUUGCUUGUUGAGAAUGUGCUUUCUUGCAACUGAGCUGGUACAAGGUUACAAUUGGAAAUCAAUCUCCAAACGAUGUAUGCAAAAGGUUGAUCUGAAGAAAGCUUUUGAUACAGUGAAUUGGGGAUUUAUUUUGAACACUCUUGAGGCUUUGGGCUUCCCUCCUGCCUUUAGAAACCUGAUUGAGCAGUGCAUCACUACAACAAGGUUCUCUGUCGCAAUCAAUGGGGAGCUGUGUGCUUAUUUCAAAGGUUUGAAAGGGUUAAGGUAAGGUGACCCUCUUUCUCCUUAUCUCUUCGUGUUGUGCAUUGAAGUCUUCUCUCAGCUGUUGAAUUCAAAGUACAUGGAUGGUUCAAUUGGACAUCACCCGAAUGCAUUGAACCCGAGCAUCACUCACCUAGAUUUUGCUGACGACAUUAUGAUUUCUUUGAUGGUGAAAGAUCCUCCUUAGACUGUAUUUCAGACACUUUCGACUUUUUCUCUGGAUGGUCGGGUCUCACUCUGAACAUGAUGAAGACUGAAUUAUACACAGCAGGUGUGACCCAGGCUGAAACGACUGAUCUUGCAAGCCUUGGCUUCACCCUUGGGUCACUCCCUGUCCGCUAUCUUGGCCUCCCUCUAAUGCACCGUAAACUUCGCCUCUCUGAUUAUAGGCCACUCAUUGAUAAGCUGACUGGUUGUUUCACAAACUGGGCAAACAGAACACUAUCCUAUGCAGGGAGGAAGUAGUUGAUCUCAUCAGUCAUAUAUGGAACAGUCAACUUUUGGACUUCAGCUUUUAUACUUCCUAAAGGAUGUCUUAAGCGUAUACAAAGUCUUUGUUCAAGGUUUCUCUGGAGUGGUAACAUUACAGGACCUGUUCAGUACAAAGUUGCCUGGAACACUUUUUGUCUUCCAAAGAAAGAGGGAGGGCUGGGGCUGAGAGAUUUCGACAGAUGGAACAAGACUUUAUGCCUAAAAUUGAUCUAGUUAUUGUUUGCUGAUAGCACCUCUUUAUGGGCUGCUUGGAUAAAAUCUAAUAGGAUCAAGGAGGAAAGUCUUUGGAGCUGUGACGUAGAGAAAGCAAAAUUAUGGACUUGGCGUUCACUUCUUCACUUGCGGCCACUGGCUUCUCGGUUCUUGCGGGCUAAGUUGGGUGAUGGGAAAAGAAUCAGUUUCUGGUGGGAUAUAUGGACUCCUCUGGGCAGGUUAAUUGAGAUCUUUGGUGAUGAAGGACUGAGAGAGUUAUCUAUCCCUUCUUAUGCUUCUGUUUCAGACGCCUGCAACUCCAAUGGUUGGCGACUGAGAGGAGCUAGAUCACCUUCAGCUGAAGCACUUCAAAUCUACUUAACGACAAUACCGUUGCCCAAUUCUAAUACCACACCGGACACUUUCUAUUGGCUGGUUGAUGACAAGCCUCUAAACAAAUUCUCCACUAAGCUUACAUGGGAAGUACUUAGGCAAAGGUUCACACACCAACCUUGGUCUUCUCAUGUCUGGUUCAGAGGUGCUAUACUGAAGCACUCGUUCCUUAUGUGGCUGGCUCAACUGGACAGGUUGCCCACAAGAUCUCGCCUCUUUAGUUGGGGUCUCAAUAUCCCAACUUCAUGUUUUCUUUGUGAUGCCUUCAUUAAAAUCGUGAUCAUCUGUUUUUGCGAUGCAAAUGGAGCAGUGAACUUUGGAACAUCUGUCUUCGAAGAUUGGGAUAUCUCCACUCGGGAUUUCACACUUGGACGUCUUUCUCUGAAUAGCUAAAUCUGGAAGACUUCACAGCCCCAAUUCUUCUCAAGCGUCUCGUCUCUCUGGCAACCAUCUACGCUAUUUGGUCUGAAAGAAACAAGCGCUUACAUGACAACAUCUCUACACCUUCGGUUAUAGUUUUCAAGCAGCUAGACCGUUACAUCAGAGACACAAUUAUGUCUAAGCGAAAUCAGAAGCAGAGUCGUGGCCUCAUGCAGCAUUGGCUCCUUAAGGAUUAGCGUCCUUGGAUCCAUCUAUUAAUCUUAAUGCUUUACCUUGUUUUUAUUCUUUUUGGCAAGGUAGAUCAUUCUCUGUUUUAACUUUUUGUAAAAUUACAAACUCUUUCCACUUAUAAUGGUAUUCACAUAUUUGGCAAAAAAAAAAUACACACAUGUGAAAGAUGCAUAAGUGAGAUAAAUCUAGCUAAGGCUGGAAAUACUUAAACCAAGUAGUAAGAUAGUAUUCUUGAGUGAUGAUGGAUUGGGGUCUAUGAGCUGGAAGACUCGAUGAAUUUUCACUUGAAUAUAUCAUUUUCAUUUUUUUACUAAAUCAUUUUCAUUUCGUGGCCAAUAUUUUUUCACAAAGAUCGUUAACAUUAGUAUUGGAGGUUUGUGCAACAGUUUUCCAACAUUAAAAAGGUUUUUUUUUCGGUGCACAAAUUCAUUAAACUUAGACGAGGCCUCAGUCCAAGGUCUGGCCCAAACGUUGGGUCCAUUACACUAGAAUUUCCUAAAGUGGGUUUUGCCAAACGAUCGGUAUCAACAUUAUAACAACGAAAAAAAUGAAGAAAUGAGAUAUCGAGAAAACCAUAAGAGAACUGUUGGAUAUCUUUCACAAUACCAUAGAUCUCUUUGUUCUAGAUGUUGUUGUUAAUAGCUCUAACGAGAGUUGAGUUGUAAGAGAGCAUCUUGAGUGUUGAUAACUCAAGGUUCACUGCGGUGAGAAGAGCGGAUCGAAGCGCUAGAGCAGUGUCCUGCGUGGUCGAUCCUCCCUCGGGUGUUGCUUGAUCCGGAUUGUCUUGUGAAGAUCCAAGCUUUGGCUAUGCUCAUUGAAAAGCUUGAUUUGGCCAUGCAGUCCAUUAAAUAACCCUGAUCAACUUCAAUACUGACGAUGAUACUCCGGGAGACUAGGUGAAUCUCAAAUGUGCCGGAGAACAUAUUGUUCAACUAGAAAGACGGUUGCAUACUUGUGACUGAGGCUAUAAGAUGAUGAGCUAUUUAUGCUGGCUUGGUUUGAGAGCGGGGAUGGAAACUCCACUAAGGUGUCUUGGAAAAAGAGAGAUGUGCCAUGAACUCCGGUUCUAGAGAACUCGUUGGUAAGAACAAAUGCUACAAUUACCAAACAAAUAAAGAGUCUCAUUGUGACAGUUGUUGGCGUGAACAUGAAGUGUGGGGUCAAACCAUAAAGGAGACGAUUAGGUGAGUCGGAGAUAGACAGAGGAUUAAGGGUGAGUGUGCAGCACCGGUUACAGCUCACAGAUAAUACAGACUUCAAGAAUCCAAUUUCACUUCUCGGAGCUACCAAAAGAAACUGCCUUCUGUUUAGAUAUGUAGGGUCAGCAUCAAGGUCUUCAUAGCAGUCGUAUCGGAGCCAAGAAGCUUUAACGGGACCGAGGCUGAGCCGCUGGUCAUCAAGAUCGGUUAUGCUAUAUAUGAAGCACACAACGACUGUAUGGAGUACAAUAAUGCACUUGUGAGGCAAAGGAUCCAAGAAUCACAAAGGAGGAGCUGGUGAGACAUAGAUGGUGUAAGUCUGAUGGAGUCCGUACGUAGAGGUACAAAGGGUAAACAGACGGAUACGACGAAGACGAAAUCAGCCUUACAGGUGCCAUAACCUGUGACAGGGGCGGAAACAAGGCGGAGAGAGCACUAGCCGGGGGAGACAAAGGCGGGGAUACAGAUUAUGUCAGAGUCUUUGGAGACCAGACCAGAUAUUUGAAGAACAAUGAGCACUUUCGAAGAAAAACGGUUGGAGAACUUAGCGUAUACAGCUCUGUGCUUUCGGUGCAAGGCGAAGGAGGAUGUGGAGUUGCAGGGGUCGAUCCAGUGAUGCUUCUGUAGAGAAGAUACGUCGUAGCAAAGUGUUGGAACUCAAUUUUAAUACAUGUGUUAAAAUUAGAGUUUGUUUGAAUGAGAAAUGUUUGUCCUAAGAUUGUUGCUUUAAUAGCACAAAAUGGAUAAUGUGGAGAAGUCUAACAAGGUUGCUAACCUUAGGCAAUUAUAGAGAAAUGUGAAUCAAUACCAAACCAAGCGCCCACACCAAGUUGAGUUAAUGUAACCUCGGACUUGAGUUCGGUUUAGAUAACGGUUCGGGUAUAUAGAUCAUGAUCCAACAACCGAUAUUUUUAUGUCAAAGUUUUAUUUUAUGUAAUUGAUCACUACAUAAACAAAAUUUUGAGUAUAAAAAUAAACAAAUCUUUUUGAGAAUAACCUUGGUCAAAAGUCAUUAAUUUUUGUUAAGAAUGAGACUUGGUCACCAAGCUAAAAAAUCUCUUUAAUUUCUGAUUAAUUUUGUGGUUAAUGCCAAAAAUUAAUUCAAUAUUUAUCUCCACUAAGACCAAAAACGUUUUUGGCAUCUUUCCUAAGCCAUAUAAUGCUUCCUCUCAUUCUACUAACAUAAACGGUGAAAAAAGUGAACAACAAGAAUCUCUUCCACUCUUCUCUUUAUUUAUUUUUCAUUUUUUGAUGAGAGUACACAUAGAAUAAAGAUUUGCUAGACUUUUUAUUCAAGUGAUGUGAAUAGAUGAUGCAGUUUUAUCAUGGGACUCUAAUCGCCAUACAACUGUCACACUACGGGGCCUUUUUUGAGUUAAGGAAAGAGAUUCCUAAGUCUCGACUCUGCAAAAACUCAUUGUCCAUUAAUCCAUGAUAUUUUUGUAUUUAUUCAAUGUUCUUUAUAAUCUAUCUCACAAUUAUUCAGAUUGUGCCCCCUUGUAAAUUAAGGUCCUACACAAAGCUGUGUUCCGAAACUUUGGGCACAUGUCGGAGCCUUGGAGAGACUCCGGAGUUCUUCAGAUCUAAACGAAGUUUACGACAGGAACCGGCACCGAUUGAGAGAAACUGAACACCACACUGAGGAUGGCUGGGCUCACUUCUUCCCAGAGUUGGAGAGCACGAGUUCAUCAAGUGAGGAGAACCGGUCGAGGAAGCAGAUUGAUGAUAACCAAAGGCGGAUCAGUUUUAUAUUACUCAUGUGCAUUAAUAUUUAAAAUUUUGAAAAUAGUAAUUAUUAUGAUAUAAACGGACUACUUGUUUUUCAUAGGAAAAAAAUGAUUUGUUUUAAUAUUUACGAAAUGGUAAAAAUGAUUUUAUACUGUUUUAUAUCAUAUUAUUUGUAUUAAUUUAUAUAUAUACAAUAAAUUAUGGAUAAAAUUAAUUAAGUGUUUAGUUUAAGAAAUAAUUUAUUAAGAUAUAUUGUCAUUUGAAACAAUCAUUAAUGUUGACAAUAAAAAAAUUAAUUGAUUGUAUUUUUAAGGAAGUUUUUGUUAAAAAUAAUUAAUGCUAAAAAUUAGGAUUAGUUAGUUUCUAACGGCAUUAGGUGUAAUUAAAAAGUUAUUUCAAGGAUUAGUUCAUAUUGGCACGUAAACUUUAAUAAGAUUGAAGAGUUAUUAAUAUUUAAUUUGAACUUACCAUUUUAAUAGAUUAAUAUAUGGGUUGAUUGGAAAUUGUUUUAGGUGUUUUGGAUAAUUAUUUUGUUCUUGUUAAUCAAUCACGCUUUAUCUUUAAAAAUAAGUUAGAGUUUGACCCGCGCAACCGCACAUGUAUUUGUUUUCAGUUUAAAUUUUUGUGAUGUUACUAUAUGUUAUAAGAUAAACAUGUAAAUUUAGACGUAUUGCAUAAUUGUUAAUAAGUCCAAAUAUUAAUUACAUUGGGUAAUUUUACUUUGUGUGAUUUAACCAAUAUUGAGUAUCAUAUAAACAAACCUAACAUAUAUAUAUAUAGAAAAUCACAUAAACAAAAUAACAUAUAUACAUAUAUAUAUAUAUAUAUAUAUAUAUAUAUAUGUAUAAAUACCCGUGACCGUGAGGAUGUGAUUUUAUAUAUGAACACCAAGUACUUGGUGCUUGCAGGAUAUAUUUUUUUCAAAAGGAUUAACUAACAUAUGUAUAUGUUUUGUAUACAUGUGUUUUAUAUAACUGGAAUCAAAAAUAUUGUAAAGAUACUUUACUCACCUUCCACCACUCAUUUGUUUGUGUUGACGUAAACAUUUUUAACUAUAUUUUCAAUGUUUAUUUUCUUGGCAUGAUAUCGCACAUCAUCAAGAAACAAUAUACUCCUAAUGGACUAAAAAGUCUGACAUUAUUCAAGGUGAACAUCAAAAACAAAAAGAAGGUCAGUAAUAUACUUAUUGAAUACUUUAAAGAAUAUCUAAUUGACUAGAUGAUUAUCCGCGCACAUGCGCCGUGACUUUUUUAUGUUAAUGUUUGUUCAUUAAAUAGUUUUAACAUUUUGCAACUACAAUUUUAUCGAUUGUAAUAUGACGAAUACAAAUGUUGGUCUCUUAAAUGUAUAAUCGUUGUUAAAGAGUUAACGUAUUACAACUCAUUUUAAUUAUUUUUAACACUUCAUAUGCACAAAAAGAAAACAGAUUGUGGAGCAUGUGGUCAGAAUGGUUUUGCGGUUGACACAAAUCACAAAAACCAGAUAGGAAAUAUCGGUUGUAAAAUGACAAAAGUGGAUUAGGUUUUCUGCUCUCGUUUUGUUUACUAUUGACUCUCCAUAAGUGAUUUAAUUUUCUACCUCUAGAAAAUUGUGCUUUCACUUUUUUUUUGUUUCACUGAUAUAAGUUUUGUUUCUUUUUUAACUUCUUCUGUGAAUUUGGUGAAUUACAUAAGUGUCAAUUUAAAAACAUGGACAUCUAUAAAAAUUAGUUUCACUUCAGAUACAUAUCUAAUAAUCAAUUUUUUGAAGAAAAUCACCAGAAAACUCUAUUCACAAGUUAGUGUUCAAAUCUAAUAUAUCAAGCUGUUAUAGAUUUUAUAAAUACAUACUCAAAAUAUAAAUGUUUGUCAAGUAUAUAUUCACCAAUUCUGUCUAAAAUUCAUCUAAUUUUAGAACAACAAAACAAGUUACUUACUUGGUUAACCUACUCUUUUGAGGUUUAGUUACUUAAGAGUAUACCGAUAAAAAUAAUAAUUUACCAUUCUAGUAUAUGUAAACUAUGUAUAAACUACGAAUUUUUUUACUUAAACCAGAAAACUUAUAAUAAAUAGCCAAAUAGAUAUUACGGAGAAACAAACAUUAGACGAAUGAUCAAAUCUUUCAUUCUUCGAAAAAAACUCAAAAGGAGGUGACUGAAAUCUUAUCAUGAUAUUUCAUUAAAAUCUUUUUAAGAAUAAAAAUUAAGACUAAAUUAUUUAAUCUGAAUGAAAUAAUAUAUAUAUAUAUAUAUAUAUAUAUAUAGUGCUUCUAAUAUUAAAAAAUCACUUCGACUUGAAGAAGUGUAUUUUUAGAUUGUCAAGAUCAAACAACAUAUUAGAAACCACCUUUUUUUGUCAUCAACUUAAAAACAGACUCAUACUGACUCUGUGAACCAUAUCGGUAACUCCGCAUCCAUGUGAAUGACGAAAGACGGUUGCGUCCGGACACUUCGUGCUAGACUAUCCGCCUUCAAAUUCUUCGUUCGUGAUACAUGAAUGAUCUAUGAGCUGAGGAAACUUUUUUACAGGGUCUUGAUAUCUUCCAAAUAACUUGCAAAAGCGGGUCAUUCUUCUGGUUCUGAAACUAUCUUCACCAAUUGAGAACAAUCCGUUGCAAACAUAACUCGGAAUUGACGCAAAUUCCUCAUACACUCCAUUGCCCAAAGUAGCGCUUCCACCUCCGCGUGAAGAGGGGAAAAACUAGCUCUGAUAUUCCUUGCCCCCAUCAAACCAUCAAAACCUUCCAUGAUACUAAACCAACCUUGUCCUGAGAACCAAUCAUUAUCUUUCCAAGAACCAUUUGUAAAACACCAACGCCCUGGAAUCGACGGUAAAUUUGAUACCUCUACAUGUUGUGCUGCUCUCUGUGUGUUUAAUACUUGUGCAUUAGCCCAAAGUAUUGCUUCUGUUUCCGCAUAUUUGAGCGUUUCUCUCGGGUCAACGUCUAUAUUACUAAAAACCUUGUUGUUCCUUCCUUUCCAAAUGUACCAUAGAAUCCAUGCAAACUGAUGAUCGUCCAUGUUCGGUCGAACUCUCCAAAAUAGAUGAUCCAUAUUUGUGAAGAGAGCACUAGUGGAAAAAUAGCUGGAUUUGAAGGUAUUUGUGACAUGUCCCAAACCUUACGAGCUGGAGGACAUUCGAAAAACACAUGGUUUAUCGAUUCCUCUGAAGCUUCACAUCUGGCACAACAUACAUCCCCUUGUAGUCCUCUCGCUUGCAGAUUCUUCUUAACUGUUAUACAUCUCGACACCAAUUGCCAUAAAAAAAUGCUUAAUCUUUGGAGGGCACCGUACUUUCCAGCAGAACGCUUUCAGUAUAUCAAAUAUGGGUCCAUACACUGCUGUUGGUUUUUCCCUAUCUGGGUAAACCCGUUCUACUUGGUAGCCUGAUUUGACCGUAUAUUUGUCGUUCUUAGUGAAAUGUCAUCCAUAUCUAUCCACCAUAUGAGUCAUGCUUAAAGGUAUGCUUUCCAUUAUUUUUGCAUCCUUAGGAUCCACUAAAGCCUGAAUUACCUGCGAGUUCCAAGUUCGCGAGGCUGAAUCAAUGAGAGAGCCAACUAAUACCUUUUGUAUACAUAAAAGUAUAUACAUUAGAGUAAACACAUAAAUCAAAACCAAAACAGUUUGUUUAUUUACAAUCAUGUUUUUGUUAAAUAAAUAAAAAUAAUCAUUUUAUUUAUUUUGUAUGGUAUAUAAUUAAACUUUAGUGAUAUUGACACCGAUAUAUAUACACACUACAAAAAAAGAUCAAUUUAAACCAUUUAAUUUUAAUAUUUGCAUUAGUUAUAAAUGAUGUAAAAGAAUUUUGCAUUAUUUAAAAUAGUGACUCUGAAAGUGGUGAUGCAAAUAAUUUAUAUCAUUUUAUUAAUAAUUGAUGUAAAAAAUAAUAAUAUUUUCAUCAUUUAGUUUUUUUUUUGUUUUUUUGGUAGCAAACACCUAUUAUAUUACUCAAACUUGUGGUGGUCUGGGUAACCAGACCGGAAUAGAACAACCAACAUAACAUAAAUGUCUAUGAAAAGAACGUGCAUUCCGAGCUAACGAAUCAGCAAUCGCAUUUUGUGUCCUUGGGAGGUAACUGAUCUUGAAGUCCGAAAAACACAACCGAAGAGUUUGAAUGACUUCCAGCUCAGUUGAGAAGUUAGGCCAAGCUUGUGGCUGCUCUAUCAUUGCAAUCAGGUCCUCGCAGUCUGUCCUAAAUCUCUGACAGUCGAGUGUUGUAUCAUGCUCUCCAUUGCCCAACGUAGCGCUUCCAGUUCCGAGUGUAAAGGUGUCUCACGCCUCCUUAGAUUCCUUGUUCCCAUGAGCUGAACCUUUCCCAAGCUAUCCUUUCAAACCCAUCCCAUUCCACUAAACUGAGCUGUGGAGGUCCAUGGACCUUCCACCAUACAAAUAUUACCCAAUCUUAAGGCAUGUAUAUCUUCAGCAAUCUGUAAUUGUGGAGUGACAUGUGUAGUUUUCCUUGCAUUGUACCAAGCUUGGCACUCACUCUCAGCAUACUUGACUAGCUCCAAAGGGUCUCUUCAAUGCCUCUAAACAACUUGUCAUUUCUAGCUUUCCAGAUAUACCAAAUUAUCCAAGAAUAAGGAUCUCUAUCAUCCUCUGGCUUCAUAAUAUUAUUCUUCCUCCAAAAAAGGUAAUCCAUAUUAGCAUAGAUACUUAAUACCGGGAAGAUUUGAGAACUCGAUGGUGUUGAUGAUAAUGCCUAAACUUGUACAGCCGGUGGGCAUUCAAAGAUCGCAUGAGUAACAGUUUCUUCUGGCUCUCCACAUCUCGGGCAAUAAUUAUCACAUCGCAUAUUGCGGCGUACCAGGUUCCUUGUACCGCUACCUGUCCUGAUAUUAAUUGCCAUAUAAGAUGACAGAUCUUCUGUGGCGCGUUCACUAACCAAGCAAAGGCUUGGAGUUUGGUUAUGCUAGGUUGAAGAACUUCAGUAUCCUCAUUUUCCCUCAUCAAAUUUGUAGCAACCCAAUAUCCAGACUUGACAGUAUAUUGUCCAUUUUUAGUGUAGCUCCAGCAAAAUGUAUCUCGUCUAUGAGUAGGGCUUAUGGCCAAACUCUGAAUCAUCUGUAUAUCCUCUUGAUCUAAAUACUGUUCCAAUAAUCGGGCAUCCCACUCCUUUGAUUCAAAAUUAAUGAGACUGUCCUGACAGACAUCUUUGGGUUAACUACUGGAACCCGAGAACGAGCCGGUCUUGCUGGCGUCAAAGGAAUCCAAGGAUCCUCCCUGACAUUAAUUUCAUAUCCUGAAUGCACUUUGCUUCUGAUACCCAAGAGCAAUAACUUCCUCGCAGCUAUAAUGCUCGUCCAUACAUACGAUGGAGAAUCCACUGUGCCUGCUCGCAAAGGCGAACUCAGACGAUAGUACUUCCCCCGAAGAACUCUCGCUACUAAAGAUUCUGGAAACUGAACAAGACGCCAAAGCUGCUUAGCUAAGAGAGCUAGAUUGAAUUCAUGGAUCAUGCGGAACCCAAUUCUUCCCUCCUCUCGAGGAGCACACAUCUUUUCCCACUUUGCCGAGUGAAUACCUCUUUUUGGCGGAUUCGAGCUCCACCAGAAUUGUGCAAUGGCACUUGCUAGAUUCUCACAUAUCUCCAAAGAGAGCAGGAAACUGGACAUGACAUAAGUCGGAAGAGCUAAUAGGAUAGAUUUAAUUAAGACUUCCUUUCCUCCCUUAGACAACCAUCUACCAGUCCAACCAUUCACUCUGUGUAAUAAUUUCUCCUUUAAGAAAGCAAAAAGUUUACGUUUUGAUCUACUAAUUUCUUCUGGGAUUCCUAAGUAGGAUCCCAUUCCACCUUCAUUUUGGAUACCAAGUGUAUCUUUAAUAUGUUGCCGAUCAUUCGCUGGAAUCCUUUUACCAAAGAGCAAUGAGGAUUUAUCAAAUUUGAUACAUUGACCUGAUAUUUUCCCAUAUUUCCUGACUAGUUUCAUAACUUCUUCACAUUCACGGGGCUCCGCCUUACAUCAUUUAGUUUAAGUGAUGUUAAAAUGUAACGGUUAUAAAAAUGAUGUUAAUUAACUACAUAAAAUAUGAGUAGUAAUAGCGGACGAAAAACGCUAUGAAUUCGAUAUAAUAGCGCUCCCUAAAACGCUCUGACAGCGCCCGUUAUAAUAGGUCCGACACUUUUGAUAGCAGAUAUGUCGUAUGCUAUAGUUAAAUAAACAACAAUAGCAUUAAUUUCUAUGCAAUUGUUAAUAUUUAUAAUAAUGAAUUGAUUUUAUUUUUUAAAAUGUAAUAUUUAUUUCGAAUUUUUGUAAUAAAAACAAUUAAUCAUAUUAUAAAAACUAAAAAAUAUUUAAAUGAUUAAAAACAAUAAUUAAAAAUUAAAUUUUAUUUAUUAAUUAAAUUUUGUUUACAAAUAAAAUCAGUUUAUACAUUAACCAAAAAAUUAAACCAAAACCUAAUUAACCAAACCUAAAUAAACCAAAACAAAAAUUGAACCAAGCCUAAUAAACCAAAACUUAAAGCUCUAAGCUGCGGUCUCCCUCCCAUCGCAGUUCCGUAGUCUCCUUCUUCCUGUCUCUUUCUUCUCUUCUUCUUCUUCUUCUUGUUUGGAUGAGAUUUAAGCCGAUGGACAGAGAUAGUGACGUGGUUAAGUGCAUAGCCAUUGGCAAGUGUCCAUGCCGCGUAUUCACUUUCCCUGUAAGAUUAAUUUAAACCCAACACACCAACAUUCAUGAGUCAAUACUCUGAAAAUUCAAUAGCAAACAAGGAGAAAGUAAACCAUGUACCUAGCCAAUUGCUCAAAUUCAGAAGAUUGAGGCUUUUCCCAAGGUAAAGUACCCAAAGCACUGGAGAGAGCAGCAUACUUUCUUCCAUUAGGCCUACACCACCACCGCUAGCUUUCUCUGCCAUCUCCGACUUAAGCCUCUGUUCUCAUACAUCAUCUGAGAUGUCAUAGAGGAGGUCCACACUUGCUGGCAUUGCUUUCCUAGAAACAAGGUCUGAAGAAGGUGUUCAAAGUAAAUUAGCUUAGAUAAAGAAACACCCAAAGGUCAAAAGAGUUCAUAGCUUAGAUAAGUAUGAUGCAUCCUACACUGAAUUUUAGAAUGAAGAAGGAGAGUUCACCUUGUCAUAUCUGGCACAUAUCACAUUCCCACAAUCAAAACCAGAGUCGAUCAUUUCAAUCAUCUUCUCCACAAUCUGGGAAAAAAAGAAUUGUAUUGAAAUCAACAACACCAUUCAAAAAUAUAGAGCCAUCAACGUUCUCACAAGUAGCUAUGUCUUAUAAUUCCUCAAAUCAAGAACUCAAAGCAAUACAUAGUACAAUACAACUGCAGAACCCUACCUCUCUCUGUGACCACCAAGACGUCGGCGAGAAACUCAGCAGGUUUACUCUCUCCGAGAGAAAGAGGGAAGAGACGAGCGUGAAGGUUGUGGUGACGACUCCGGUGAAGACGGAUCUUAGAAGCCAUGGUGGUGGUGACGAGCGAUUGGGGCUGGGAAAGAUGGCGAUGGUGGUGAUAGUAACGAACGAUGGUAGUUGUGGUGGUGUUGACGUCGCGUCUUCUCCUUUGUCGCGUCUUCUCGUUUCUCUACCAUCUACGAACUCCAUCUCUUCUCUCUCUUUCUUAUCUGAAUCGUAGAUCUCAGAAACAAUAAUUAAAACAGAAAAAAUACAGUUAAUCUCAAGCGUUAGAUUCAAUAUCAUCCAACGGUGCAGAUGGUGAUCCUUGUCAUAAUUAAAAACAAGUAAACCAAUAGGAAGAAAGGGUGAGGAUAGACACAAGAGUGAUUUUGGGUCUUUGAUCAAAAUCAAUCAAUGGUUCAAAACAAAACAAUACAUAUUGUCUUUUUAUUUAUCUUGAACUAUUAUAAAAAUUAUCUUAGCUUUAAAUACUUUGAUAUCAUAAUUUAAAAUUUGAAAUAUAAAUUUUGUAUUUGAAAUUUAAAUUUUUUUACGGAAUUAUAAUUUAUUUAAAAGUUAAGAUUUAAUGUUUUAAUGAUACAUGCUAAAAUAAGAUAUGUAGUUUAGGGGUUAGGGUUAAUAUUUAGGAUUAAGUAUAUGAUUUGAGUUUUAGAAUAUACUCGUAGUUUAAAUUAAAGUUUCUAUUAUAAGUUUGUAAAGAUUAGAAUUAUGAUUUUGUAUGUAGAAUUUAAGUUUGGGGUAUACGGUAUUAGAUAUAGGGUGUAUACUUAAGAUUUAAUGUUUGAGUUUUAGAAUUUAAAUUUAAAAUUAGAUUUUUAAAAUGAUUAAAUUUUGAGUUUUGAUUAAGAAUUAAGUUUCUAAUUUAAAUUUUGUAUUCAAAGUUUAGGGUUUGAAGUAUGAUAUAAGGUUUGGGAUUAAGUUUUAGGGUUUAAGGUUUGAAAUACUCUUUUGCAGGGUUUAUGUCAUCGAAUGGAAGCUCAUGUAGUUUUCUUGAUAUAUCGUGUCAUUACAUAUUUUAUUGAUCAAUAAUUUUUUGUCUAAGAAUUAUUCAAGAUUUCUUUUCAAGAAAAACACUUACCAUAAACAUAUUUGAAAACUCAAACCACAUCGAUUCAAUCAUCAAAUCAAAACAUUAAAAGUGGAAAAAGCAAAUAAGCUAAGAAUGCUUCAAGUCGCAGCUCUCACAUACGUAUAUAUAAGCUACAUUCUCUCAAACCUAAAGUUCUCUUGAUGAUCUUUUAAGUACUUCAGGAACUCAUCAUCAUGGAGAAUGAUAUUCGUAUUGGCAACACCUGUUAGAUAUUCAUAAUACAGGAAACAAUAGCGGCUCACCCAUGAAAACCUCCGCACCACGAUGUCGCAUCUCCACCCCACGACCACGCCUUGCCUCCUUUGUCGUCAAGAUUCAUAUUUUCUGAUUGUGGAAAAGGGAAAACCCUGCAUCUGGCUGACCUCUCAGAAUAUACCUAAAAUUUUAAAAGCAUAUUCUUUUGCUCGCCAUAGCCAUGAAAGAAUGAAAUUUUUGUUGAGAGGAAGAAAGGACUUGCAAAGAGAGAAAAAAAAUACCAAAAACUAAAAAACGCGGCAAAAAAAAUUUAUUUUCCCGCGAUAACAAAUAUAGCGUUUUAAAUCGACAAACGCUAUUAAAAAAAAUAAGUAUUGAUAUACAAUAGCAGAAUUGUCAUAAACGCUAUAAUCUGAUGCUAUUAAUACCCACAUUUCUUGUAGUGAUAACUUUUAUAUCAAUUGCAUUAAGUGAUGUUAAUAUUAGUAUAAAUUAAAAUAAUCGACUUAAAAUAUUUAAAUCACUAGUAUAUCUCCCGUGCUAUGCACGGCUUUUAUUUAUUUGUAUGUAUAUAUAAACUAAAUAUAGUAAAUAUAAAUUUAACAAUGUUAAUUUGCAUUUUUUAAAGUGAUAUUUAUAACUUACAAUUGCAUAAUAUAAAGAGCCCUAAUAUAAAUCAUGAAGUAAAAUAUUGAUCUUCUUUCAAAACCAAAUAAAAAUUUAUUACAUAUGAAACACAAAUUGAAGAAAAACAUGUGUUUUCCAUAAGUACUAUUAACAUAUCAACCUUAUUUUGUAGAUAAACUCCAUUAGUGUCUUUUGUCGUGUUUAUCCAUUUUUUUUCCUAUGGAUGCUUUUGUUAUCUUUCACUGUAACUUUUACAUUUCUUCGUUUUCAAUGCUAUACAUGCUUUGACAUUUUGUUUCCAAAAAAAUCAGACAAAUUUGGUUAAGCUUAGAAGAAAAGUAAAGGUGAAAAAGUAUAUAUAGACCAAAAGUAAACAAAAUAAACACAUAAAUAAAAAAAAUAAGGAAGACCAACCUGAUCACUGAUCAGAUUAGUAGGUGAUAUAUGAGUCUUUUUCAUUUCUCCUAUCACCUGAAUUUCUCCAGCUCCAUUUGUUGUCUUCUAAUGAUCAUCAUUUUUUCUCUUGUGGCACUUCUCAAAUUUCUGAAAGAUUUUGUACCUGUGCUUUACGGCGAGUCUCUAUUAUUCUCCUUCUCUUUUUUUGUGUGCACAUUAUUCUCCUUCUCUAAAUUACCACCACCACCACACAAAAUAAGAACUUCCAACAAAUCCAGAAUUGAUUUAAUCUUUGAAAAUGAUAUUGACUUCGUUUACUUGCAUUUUCACUUUCACCAAGCAUGUAGCAAAAAAGCUAUCAGUAGAUUAGAAAAGAAAAGGUCGAUGAAAAAAAAAUUUCAACAUGGCGCAAUUUAGGAUUUGAGCAGGAAGAGUUUGAGUGUUUUUAGAGUUAAUAACCUGGACACUACUAAUUUUGGAGUACGAUUGGCCUACCCGUUUGAAGCCUAUUGUUGUACCACCGUGGGUUUGCCAGAGAUUUCGUUGAUAUUGAUCCACCAUUCGAUACUAUGGAUACGGUUGAUAAAAUUUUCAAUCUAUCUGUUUAAAAUUGCAAUUUCACACUUUAGACAGAGAGUUAGAAGCUGUUACAAAGAAUUUAGGAAUUUAAGCAAGUAGAGAUGAAUUUGAGUUAAAGCUCUGUGAGUUAAAUUUUUAUCUAAAAAAAGAUUACCGUUUCCAAAGAUCGUGAGAUGAUGGUGCAGUGUGAGGAAUAUUAGGAACUUUUAAUUUUUUAUAGAAAAGAUUAGUUGAGAUAAGCACACGAAACUGUUUUGUAUUUUUUUUUGCAUUUAUGUUAUUAAAAUUUGUAAAACAUAUGCCAUGUGUCAGAUUUCUAAAUGAUGUUAAUAUUAGUAUAAAUUAAAAUAAUCGACUUAAACUAUUUAAAUCACUAGUAUAUCUCCCGUGCUAUGCACGGCUUUUAUUUAUUUGUAUGUAUAUAUACACUAAAUAUAGUAAAUAUAAAUUUAACAAUUUUAAUUUGCAUUUUUUUUAAAUUGAUAUAUAUAACUUACAAUUGCAUAAAAUAAAGAGCCCUAAUAUAAAUCCUGAAAGUAAAAUAUUGAUCUUCUUUCAAAACCAAAUAAAAAUUUAUUACAUAUGAAACACAAAUUGAAGAAAAACAUGUGUUUUCCAUAAGUACUAUUAACAUAUCAAUCUUAUUUUGUAGAUAAACUCCAUUAGUGUCUUUUGUCGUGUUUAUCUCUCUUUUUUUCCUAUGGAUGCUUUUGUUAUCUUUCACUGUAACUUUUACAUUUCUUCAUUUUCAAUGCUAUACAUGCUUUGACAUUUUGUUUCCAAAAAAAUCAGACAAAUUUGGUUAAGCUUAGAAGAAAAGUAAAAGUGAAAAAGUAUAUAUAGAUCAAAAGUAAACAAAAUAAACACAUAAAUAAAAAAAAUAAGGAAGACCAACCUGAUCACUGAUCAGAUUAGUAGGUGAUAUAUGAGUCUUUUUCAUUUCUCCUAUCACCUGAAUUUCUCCAGCUCCAUUUGUUGUCUUCUAAUGAUCAUCAUUUUUUCUCUUGUGGCACUUCUCAAAUUUCUGAAAGAUUUUGUAUGUGUGCUUUACGGCGAGUCUCUAUUAUUCUCCUUCUCUUUUUUUUUGUGCACAUUAUUCUCCUUCUCUAAAUUACCACCACCACCACACAAAAUAAGAACUUCCAACAAAUCCAGAAUUGAUUUAAUCUAUUUUGAAAAUGAUAUUGACUUCGUUUACUUGCGUUAUCACUUUCACCCAGCAUGUAGCAAAAAAGCUAUCAGUAUAUUAGAAAAGAAAAGGUCGAUGAAAAAAAAAUUUCAACAUGGCGCAAUUUAGAAUUUGAGCAGGAAGAGUUUGAGUGUUUUUAGAGUUAAUAACCUGGACACUACUAAUUUUGGAGUACGAUUGGCCUACCUGUUUGAAGCCUAUUGUUGUGCCACCAUGGGUUUGCCAGAGAUUUCGUUGAUAUUGAUCCACCAUUCGAUACUAUGGAUACGGUUAGUAAAAUUUUCAAUCUAUCUGUUUAAAAUUGCAAUUUCACACUUUAGACAGAGAGUUAGAAGCUGUUACAAAGAAUUUAGGAAUUUAUGCAAGUAGAGAUGAAUUUGAGUUAAAGCUCUGUGAGUUAAAUUUUUAUCUUAAAAAAGAUUACCGUUUCCAAAGAUCAUGAGAUGAUGGUGCAGUGUGAGGAAUAUUAGGAAAUUUUAAUUUUUUAUAGAAAAGAUUAGUUGAGAUAAGCAAACGAAACUGUUUUGUAUUUUUUUUUUGCAUUUAUGUUAUUAAAAUUUGUAAAACAUAUGCCAUGUGUCAGAUUUCUAUUUGUUAGCGACUUGCGCUUUAGUAUAUAAGGGAUUAUUAACAACUGAUGUGACAAAUUUUCAACGGUUAAAAUAAUUUAUUACAAUUAUUAUAUUAUUUAUUAAUAAUAAAAUAAUGAUAUUAAAAAAUUAAAUGGAUUAGCUGUUAUCCCAUUUAUAAUUAUCUAUUUAAAAUACUGCCAUCGUUUGUACAAUGUUUAAAUUUAUGUCAAUAAAAAAAAUAUUUUAAUCAAGCAUUUCUUAUUUUUUGUUCCUGUGAAAAUUGAAGGAAGAAGAAAAGGAGAAGCCUCACAAAUAAGACUGGAAAAUGAAUUCAAAGAAAGAAAACAACUUGUUAAUAUAGUUAAAAGAAUUGGCCAUAGCAGUUUCUUCAAUAAAUUCUUCUUCUUCUUCUUCAUUUUGUCUUCAAUUGGCCAUGGAAAAUGAUGAAAUGGCGUGGAGCUUGUUACUCCUAAGUAGCAGACAACAAAGAAACAUGAUCAAAUCCAAUUGCUGCUGAAACCUGACAGAACAACAGUGCCAAUCUUUAGGACAUAGAGUUAAGUGAUUCAUUCCAAAGUUAAAAUCUUUAUAUAAUACCUUCAAUAUACCAAGAACCCUAGAAAUUUCCUGUCUCAUCAUCAUUUCCUUCAGAUCCCUGCAGUACAUUAGCAUCAGCGUGUCUGUCUAUAUAUAUACACUUAGACGUCGUCACAAUCUGAGAUCCUGACAAUGUAUGGAGAAAAAGGAAAUAAUACCUCUCAAGAAUUUUUCAUCAGAUUUUUAUGAAAAGCAAAAUCUUCCUUUCAAAUCUUCUAUAAACAGAAACACAAACAUAAUCAUCAUGAUUCAUAUAAGAAUACUUGAUUCAUGUUGAGAAAAUGCUUUUAAUCAAAUAACAGAGAACAAAAAAAAACUGAUGAAAGAGAUUUGAGAGAGUGUGACGAAUAAGAAGAUCUUCACAGAAAAGAAUAAUAACUACUUCUCGUAAUCACAUUGGGUUUAAGUGGUUUACUGUAUUUGAACUUGUAAUGGUGGUUCCUAUUUUUGAGGGACUGUAACAAAUCACAUUUGCUACUUUUUAAUAAUUAUGUGUUUAAUCUAUGAUAAUAUUGUAAUUUUACAAAUUUUGUUCUGGAUAUAAAUUAAUUUUUUUACUAGCUCAAAUAUUUUAAACAAAUUAAAAUAAAAUAACAUCAUUUAUUAAAUUGAUGUUAAAGAAAAGGAUUAUUAUAAAUUUUUGUUAGCAUCAUUUUUCUAAUUGAUGUAAAUUAUGUAUCAUGUUAAUAACUGAUGUUAACUAAAAUAAUAAAUGCAUCAGUUAUUUAAUCGAUAUAAAUUUAUAUUAUAGCAUCACUUUCGUUUAAGUGAUACACAUUAACAAAAAAAUAUAUCAUUUUACUGAAAUGAUGUUAAAUUAAUUAAUAAAAAAUCAGUUAUUAUAAUUGAUUUAAAAAUAGAUAUACUCACAUCAUUUGUAAAUAAGUAAUUUAAAAUAGCAUCAUUUAUUUUUGUGAUGUAAUUCACACUUUUUUGUAGUGAUAUAUAUAGUAUAUUUUAAUAUAAAGAUUUAUUAUUGACACUUCCUACUCAUAUGAUUUUAUUAACAUUUAUAUAUUUGUUGUAACAAAAAUUAAACUGUUAAUCACAAAACUUUUAAUGUGAGAUUUUUCAACAUAAAUUUCGAAAUUAAAAUAUUAAGAUCUCAAUAAUUCUUCAAUGCAAAUUUUGAAAUUAACAUAUUUAUAUAUUUUAUAUAGUAUAUAAUUUAAUUCAAAUGAUAUUAAUAUAUAUAUAUAUAUAAUAUGAGACUUCAUUAUCAUAUGAUUUAUAAUCAUUUGUAUCUUGGUUGAACAAAAUAAGUUAAACCAUUGAUCAAUAAAUUUUCAAUGUGAGAUUUUUACCAUUUUUAGUAAUUUAUAGUCGAUUUACAAAAUUCAAAAUAUAAAAUAUAUGAAAAGAUCUAAUUUUUUUAUUAUAUGCUUAAUGUGAUUGUUUAAUUUCUUUUAAUAAUAUAAAAUUAAACAAAAAGAGAGACAGUAUACAAUUUUUUUAUCAAAUAUGUAUUAUUCAUAAUCAUUAAUUGUCAUAUAUAUGUUAAUCAUAUUAGCUAAUUCCGUAACUUUUAUUUAAAGAAAAAAUCGAGAAUAUUUUUUUGUACACUACUAAUCAAUUUGAUAAUUAGUUUAAUAAAAAGUAUGAUAUAUAUUUAUAUGGACCAACUUACUUUUCUAAUGAUUCUUAGAAUCAUGAUAGUGAUGACAUGUGGCUAAGAAAAACAUUUUGUAAUGCUCUAAGAUUAAUAUAUACUAGAUUUUGACCCGCGCUUUCAAAGCGCGGGUUUAUUUUCCUUUUUUUUUUCAAUUGACAAAUAUUUAGUAAAUGUCAUAUUUCAUAUAUUUGUGUUUUAUUUUAUAAAAGACUUAAACUUUUUAUCUUUCUUUAUCGUGUUUCAUUUUAAAUGACUAUUUAUGUUUAAAAAUUAAACUUUAUUUUUAAUGAAUUAAGUUGGUAUAACUCUGAUAAAUUAAUUUUAUUAUGUGGUUAAUAUUUUUAAUAAAAAUAAUUAUAUACUUUUAAUAAAUAUUUAUACUUUUCAAUGAAAAAAUCAAUUUUUUUAUGAAUGCUUAAAUUAUAUUAAGAAAAGAAAAAAAAAUAAUUAUUAAGAAUGGUUGAAAAAAAAUUAUUUGAACUUGGACUCAAUGGCCCAAAGGAAAAAAAAAUGUGAGAAUUGUAUCUGAUUUCUUAAUCGGCCCAAAUGGCCCAGAGAGAUCUGAUGUGGAAAGUGGGCUGGAUCCGGAAAAAAAUGCCUCAAUAUAGAUGUGUUAUUAAUAUUACUUAAUUGUCCUUAAUGAAACAUGCAAUGUUAGUAAAGAAAGGGUAUGCUAAGGUAAAAAAGACAAUAGGAUCCUGCUUUAAUAGUAUAGAUUUUCAUAUAUUUGUGUUUUAUUUUAUAAAAGACUUAAAUUUUAUCUUUAUUUAUCGUAUUUCAUUUUAAAUGACUAUUUAUGUUAAAAAAAUUAAACUUUAUUUUUUAAUGAAUUAAGUUGGUAUAACUCUGAUAAAUUAAUUUUAUUAUGGGGUUAAUAUUUUAAUAAAAAAAUUAUAUACUUUUAAUAAAGAUUUAUACUUUUCAAUAAAAAAAUUCAAUUAUUUUUAUGAAUGCUUAAAUUAUAUUAAGAAAAGAAAAAAAUAAUAAUUAAGAAUAGUUGAAAAAAAAUUAUUUGAACUUGGACUCAAUGGUCCAAAGGAAAAAAAAAGGUGAGAAUUGAAUCUGAUUUUUUAAUAGUCCCAAAUGGCCCAAGAGAGAUUUGAUUUGGGCUGGAUCCAAAAAUAAUGACCCAAUAUUGAUUUGUUAUUAAUAUUACUUAAUUGCCCUUAAUGAAACAUGCAAUGUUAGUGAAGGAAACAUGCCCCUAAGGUAAUUAUGACAAUAGGAUCCUGCUUUAAUAGUAUAGAUGAGAUUGAAAUACGAUUAUCUGAUCAAAAUGAAGCAAUUUAUAAUCAUAUAAGAAUAGAUGUGAAGAGUCAUGUAGGAAGAUGUGUACGCAAUAUCUAGUUGAUUGAAAUAUGAAAUAUGAUUGAAAUAUGUUCUGUGUAGAUUUUCUAACGAUGAAGUAGGAAAUCAACACGAUUUUAGGCAAUACUUUGGACCCUAAUUAAAAAAAUAAUAUUUGAUAUAGAUUUUCUUAAAUUAUUGUUGCCGUGUUUUUAGUUAAAAAUCGAUUUAGGAAAAAUCAUUAGAAAACUGAAAAAGACAAAGACUAUUUAUUUUUAAGUUUAUUAAAUACUUUAGUGACAUUUUAUUGUAAAUAAGUGGUAAUUUUUAAGGUGAUUUACUUUUUGUAAUUCUAUUUUAAUAGAUUAGAUAUACCACCGAAAAGUUAGAAAAAUAAAUAUGUUAUUUUUCAAAAUCAAUUUUCACUGUUUUAUAGUGAUCUGAAAAUAAAAUUACAGCAAGAAUAAAAAUAAAACCAAAGUAAGCAAACUCACCUCUUAAUUUCUAAAGUAAAACUAUAGCAUCAACAAGGGCCGUCUAACAUCACGUGCAAAUGGAACGGUCGAACAAGACUCCCAAAUAUAAAAAUAUAAAAAUAUAAAAAUAAGAAUUUUUAAAAAUAUAUAGAUAAAUUAUGGUAAGAAACUUUAAAAUUUUAGAUAUAAUGCUAAAUUUAGAGUUUAUAAUUUAAAAAAAAAAAGAUCAAACAAAGUUAUUAAUUUUUAAAAUUACUUCAUAAAAUCAUCAAAUUUACAAUUAAUAAUUUUCUAAACAGUGUCUAAAAUUAAUUUGAGACGGCCCAACUUUCACGCACAAAAGCCUAAUUAAUAUCGACUAGGGAUCGUUCCACGUGCCAAGGCGCGAUUUUUUUUGCAUUUUAAUCUAUUUUUGCCUUUUGCUUACUAAUCUAGCAUUCAGUUUUUCAAUGUAUUUUAUCUUCACCCUCUCUUCUUAUCUUGUUUACAUUUGUUUUCACGUUAUGUCGUUUGAUUUGUCGUAGUUUUGGCUUGUGUAAUAACUUAACCUUGCUCAUUCUUCUUUCAUUCUUUAUUGAUAGAUAUUUUUAUCUCGCUUAGCUCUGUGUUGCCACUAAUUUGCUUGAAUCAUUCUGCUUUGUAUUCUUUUCAUAUUCAUUAACUAUUGUCUCCAAUCUCUUUAAAUACUAAAAAUCCUACGUGUUCUUUUGUUUAUUAGAUCACAUAUUAAAUAUUGUUCAAACUGUUUAUUUACUCUAAUAAAUCCUUACGUUUAUAACUAAGAUGAUAUGGAUAAAAGACUAAUUAUAAUUUAGUUGAAAUUAAAGUCUAAAGUAGAAAUUAUUAAACUUUCAAUCCUUCUUUUUGUCAUCUAAGAUAGCUUUAGUCAAAUCAAUUAUAUUGAUUUAGAAAACCCAUAAGCUAUUUCAAUCCCAAACAACCAAAAAACAGGCGCAUUUGUUAUUGACGCUGCGAUGGAUUUCCUUUACUAUAAACAUAAUUGCUUGUCACAACUGUUAAUAAACCCAAAUGUGUUUACAAAAGCUACCCAUAUAAGAGAUUCAUACGCAUUUCUCUUUCUCUAGUCAUCUCCUAUGUUAGUAGCUAUCAUAAUACAAUCAUCAUACAAAGGAUAUAUCUUUUGGUUCCAUAUAGAACAUGCAAAAUGACUGUUUUCUGUAGACUCCAUGAUCACUGAGUAUUAUAAAUAUCAAACUCUGUCAAUGGUCUAUUUAUAUGUUGAGGAAAUUCCUCGAAAUGUAGCUUCCAAUUAAUGAUUUCCAGGUCAACACAUUGCAUGUUAACCUCCACAAUGGGAUCAGCGGAUCUGCAGAUACCGCUACAUGUCGAGUCGAACGCAGCUACACAUAUGUUACCUGCUUGUGCUUUUCAUUCACAAUCUGCAAUUCUCCCAAGAACCAUAAUCAAUGUUAAAUGAGGUAAAAGUUUUAGAGUCACAACAGACUUUGUAUAGCCAAGCCCAAUAAAAAGCACCCAACGUAACAUCCCCACUUGCCUAUUUGUGCAGAAAAUGACUUGAUCAUUAUAUAGUAGCACCGAGAAGUUAGAUGGAGAAUAAGGUAUGAAUGCAAAGUAGACAAAAUAGUUAAAAUCUUACUGAUUAUGGGAAAUAUAAGAAAUCAAUUCUCUUGAAAUGGCGUAUAACUGUCCAAUAGCGUGACAGAAGUACUUGUUCAUGUUCUCACCAAACUUCCAAUUCUAAAUGUAUAUAUAAAUCUAUUAGAGUUAUUGCCAGCACUCUGUUGCGAUAUAUGGUAGCUAAAAUAAUACAUCCAACAUAAUAGGAAAAAGAAACCAACGAAAUUGUAAAGCUAACCAUCAACUGAGAUGCUUUUUCUGUCCUGACACAUUGCAAGCUUAGUGAUUUCACUGUCAAAAUCAACAAACUCAGCUGUCAUAUACAUCCUAGACAUUUAUUUACAAACGGUUCCUAGCACAGAAAAAACAUAUUAUUAUGUUACGGAUGAUAAGUUUGAUGCAUAAAUACAGUUUAGAAUUUUUUUCAACUGAACAUUUGUGCCUACUGAAUUACCUUACAACACCCACUGCAUUGUGAUUUUGGCAUGUUAAAGCUGAGAAUCAACAUUGGAGCUUGCGUUAGCAUUUGGAACAUGAAAUAUAGCACCAUCAAUUUCAAGUGUUAAUUCUAUUGACAAUAGCUGUGCAAAAGAACUCUGCUAGUAAGGUAAUCGUGAUUAGUAAUUCUUUAGAUCUUAGUGCCGUGUAACUUCAAAACGAUAGACACUUACAAUCGACGGCUCUCAAAGAUGGACCGCAAACCAUCUAAUGAUAUGCUUACCUCGUCGUAUAACUAAUCCAUGUCACUUCCAUCCCACGGGUAACGUUGCUGGUGCAGAUCAAUUCCCUCCACCUCUUCCUCGUCAUUACGAUGCUCUCCUCUGUAAGGUUCAAAUUUAUGUCGUUAGAAUUAUCAGAGAAAGAAAUAUAAAGUACCCUCCAAAUCUUCUGGAGAAUCGACAUUUUCUUUAUUCAAUGAUCUUCAUUCAACGUAACAACCAUCAAAAUAAAAAGAAUGUGAGACACAUAAUCUUCAAAAUCCAAGUUUAAUGAAUGGAAAAAAAACUCAGGAAGACAGAACAUGUCAAACACUCACUGGCUUCUUCUUCUUUUACUUCUUGGCUCCCGUAAAUGAACUGUCAAAGUCAUCAUUAUUUGCAGGAAAAAAGAUUAAACAAAGCAUCCUUUAGAUUAGUGUUAUAAAUGUUGGUGUUUACGACUUAAUAACUCGAGUUCGAGCCACAGACUUGACACUUUUUCCACAUUUUUUAAAAGUGGAACCCACUUACUUGCUGACGUGUCGGCUCAGAUAUCAUAGAUUGUUUGUUUUGAAUGUACUUGGAUACUGCGAGGUUCCAUCUCUAUUGUGGUCGGUAUGGAAAAAUACUAAAAUAUAAAAUAUUCAAUUAACUUGAAAACGAAAAAAAUGAAUUUAGAUAGUAAAACGUACAUUACGCUAAAUCUUUGUGGUCCGAACAAGAUAGUCCUUGACAUGAUUCUGAUUAGUACUGAAGUCUGUAAUUGAUAAUAUGUUAUAAUAAGUUAAUUCUAAACUUGAAUUACAAUAAAAGUUAUGAUUUGAUGUAAUUUACAAUCAGUUUCGUCCCAAAUUUUUAUUGGGCCAUGUGCAGUUUAUAAAAAUACACAUGUAAUCUGUAAAAAUAGGUUUUAAUACAUACAAGUGUACUCCAACACAACUCUAUUUUUUCCUGUAAAAUAGAAAUUGUUAUUUUUUCUUCUAUAAAUAGGAGAAGAAAUAUUACUUUUCUAUUUUUAAUUUAUAAUUAGAAAUUACUACUUCAAAUGAAUAUAUUGGAGUAAACUUCACCACUAUUAUAUAGUUCUUUCUUUUAGAAGCAAAAAAUACCAAAACACAUUGAAAACGGUCUUCCAAUAUACAAAGUCUAGGCCAAGAUUCAACAUGGUCUUCUUGUUCAGCCAGUGACUUGAAACAAAUAAAUGCAAAUGUAGUCAAUGCUGGUUGAUUACUUUUGGGUGAUUUCUUCAGCCAAAGGAGACUUCUUGAUAUCAAUCAAGACAGGACGCAGAGAAAGAACCUUCUUGCAUAGCUUCACUAAAUUGGUUGUCCGUUUUUAACAGAUAAGGCAAAACAUUUUCUUCCAUUAGACUUUGGAUUUCUAAGAUUCUGAUGGUUGGAUUGAUUUUACAUCCUUUAGAGCUUCUCCAUAGGGAGUAUGAGACAGAUAUCGAAUAAAAAAAAUAAAAAUAAAAAUAAAUAAGAAAUAAGAGAGAGAAAUGCAAAAAGUUCUUAAGAUGAUGUUCUUUAAAACCGGUUGUGAACUUAUGGAACCACCUAUCUUUAGUUCAAUGCUAGACUUUUAUGUAAUAUAAACUAAUAUAAAUUAAUAAUUAAUAUGCAGUAAAAUAACAAUUUUUCAGUGUUAAGAACUCUAAUGAACAUACCCAAAAAAAAAAAAAAUGAACAUACCCACUGUUGGUGAUGUUCUAAGAGCACAUAGUUAUCACAGUUUAGUAGUUUACAGUAUAAAAAAAUAGAUAAAAGAUUCACCAAUGAGUUCGCCCUAGCCGUCAUCCUCCCAGACACAACUCCCGAGACAGCUCAGAUCUAUGGCUUCCGACGCCGGCGGCGUGUUUUCUCGCCGGCGUCGGGACUCCUCGUCGGCUUUCCUUCUCUACAUCAUCUAUUUUCUCUGUUCACAACCUGUUUCUGAGUUUGCUUUUAUCUUUUCUGCAACCGCUACCUCGUCCCUUCCGGUGACGCGGACGUCUCCGCCUCUGCUUGAGGAGGUUCUCUUUGAGCCCAACGAACCUACUUGCUUCUCUGGGACUUAUCAGAAUCUUGACUCAAGUAACCUUUCCUCUCUCCGUGAUACAUACUCCCUCCAGCGAUGGCUCCGCCUUGGAUUCCCGAGCGCUCCUUACUCCAUAUCUGCUAGCCACGGCCAUCUUGUAUCCAUUAAGAUGAAGCUCUCCGUCAGAAACCCCCACCCGCUGCAAGCAACUCUCCCUUCGUUAAAGCUCGUAGACAGAGCUUUGAGUGGGAUCGACGAGAUCCGUUCUUCAAACGCCAAACCCGACUCAUCUUCGAACUACUGCACCGGAGUCUAUGACCACUCCGAAGAGACUCGCACCUCACCAUCGCCAACUCGUGAUACCCUCUGUCUCUCAGUCGUCGACAUCUACUCCGGUGAGAAUGGGGUCCGUGAUACUUGUCUCCCUCCGCGUGCCAUAGCUCCUAGACCCGCUCUCACACAAAUGAUUGGCCUAGAACAGAGUUGGACUUCUAAAGGCCCAUCUUCUAAAUCUUCCAAGCCUGCUCACACAUCAUGGCCUAGGUGCAAAUGUCGACCAGUUCGGGAAGCAGUACAAACGUAUAUCCAAGGUCCUCUUACCGGCUCUCACUUGAUGGUCAAACCUUCUCCGACGCCGCAAGCCACCACCACAUCCCUCCUUGCAGUUGUGAUGUUCUUCACUCUUCAGCAGNNNNNNNNNNNNNNNNNNNNNNNNNNNNNNNNNNUCAGCAGGAGAUGGUUUCCACUAUCUCUGGGGAAUCUUUUGCGUCCGCUCCGCGACUGUUUUUCGUCACACUUCGUCAACUCAGCAAUGCCGAUACCACUAUGAUCUAUGUCACCUCCUCCCAGUCAUGCCCCGCUGAGACUCUACAGGGCUCCGACCAUUCUUUGAGCUUUGGUUUGUUUGCAGAAUCUUCCAUUGUGAUGUUUUCGAUUAAAGCGACGACCCCUCCAAAGAUUUGGUUCAGAUUUGACAUUGUUCUAUUCAACUGCCGCAGCGUCUCUAUGAUUUACUGUGCAAGAGUGUGGACUCGCCAGAUUUGCUCGCUACUAUGUCACUGCUGCGCCUCCAUCACAUUACGCCGUCUCAAGCAUCAACGGUUCUUCACAGAGUCAGCUUUCCGAUCCCCCACCUAUUUCCUCGUCGCAGGAACUACGGUGCAAGAGUAUGGACUCACCAGAUUUACUCGCUACUACGUUACCGUUGCGUCUCCAUUACACUAUGUCGUCUCAAGCAUCGACGUUUCUUCACAGAGUCGACACUGCGACCCUGUCACUGGAUCUGUUAUACUCUACGGAGGUUCACAGACUUAUUGCUCUCAAAACUCAUUGGUUGGGUUCCUCAACGUCGAUUUCGACUUCUUUGCGUUUCUUCGAACGCGGGCUUUAGGACUACAAGUGAAGCUUCUCUAUGGGUCUCUUCUCUCCUUAGCCACAUCUAUCUUUCGUCAUGUCUUAGUUUUUUUUGCGUUUAUCAGUUUACCAUCGAAGAUCUCUGCGGUUGUAACCGACUUAGCCUAUUAGGCUUUUAAUUUUAAUAUAAGCAUUGUGUGUUCAAAAAAAAGUAGUUUACAGUCUAAACGUGUUCUGUGUUCAGACGGGAACUGAUCAGUUUUUCAAAUUUAUGUAGACUGGUGCAGUACCGUCCAAAACCAACAUUUAAUCUAUAAAGAUUUACUAAUGUGUUACGGUCUCGAAUAGGAUUUUAGUACAACAUGUGUGUAUGAUAUGCUUUUAAAUUUCAGGAUUAUUAUAUAGUAAAGAGUUAUUAUAUUAAAUUGGAAUACUAAUGUUAUUAAACUGGUACUUGUUAAUGUAAAUUGAACCGGAAUAGAUUGAAAUAUAAAUAUCUUAGAUGUAUAUUUGACUGAAUGAAUUUUUCAAUCUUCAUCGGGCUCAAGCUUCGAAUAUAUAGAUGUAAUAAUAUACCGAUAUAACUUUUACAUAUCCUGCCUAAUAGUAAGCUAACUUUCUCGUCUUAUUUACAACAUUGAAAUUCAUAAUCAACUAAUUAACAAGGACGUCCAAAUCAAAUACAUUAUUGUCUUUGUGACCAAAAUACAACACAAAAUAGAAUGUGUUUCAUGAACAGACAAUAUAUGUUUCUGAUUUUUCAAAUAAAAUUAGUAUUGGGAUAUGGGCUUUGAUUGGUAACAUGCAUUACAUUUGAUUUAGUUUGAAUUAGGCAUAUAACUCACAAAUAUUACCAAUGAUGAAUAAAUUUUAACAUUUUGAAGUUUUGAAGUUUUGUUUGAGUUAUUAAGUAUUACUAGGGGCAUUGCCCCUGUGCAAGCACGAAGUUAUAAACAUAGUUCUUGUUUCAUCUCAAUAUUUGUUAGAUUUAUUGUACCUCUGAAUUUUGCGUUUUGGGUUGAUCAUUGUUUUUCAAAUUUUUUUAUUGUUAUAGGGUUAGAGUUGAGAUGAUGAACUAUGUAUGCACUGUUCUCCACUUAUGAAAGACUAAAUUGUGUUAGUAAUGUGUCACUAAGACUUAUUGUUUGUUUGUCUUUUUAAUUUGUUACUUGUACAGUUGAGACUACAUAAAUUAUAUUAAGGUUGUUGAGAGUACCUUUUGUUUCUGGAUAUUUUUUCUCCAGUUUAGUUGUAUAAGUUGUGUGUAUUAAGUAAUAAUUUUUUUAUUCUUAUUAUGUUGGUUAUAUGUUUUUUUUUUAAUUUUUAAACUUGUUGCUUUUACAGGACUUUUAAAACAAAUACAUGAAGACUUGUAGAAAUAACUACAAAAUGAGUGACAAUUAGUAUUUUGGCCUUAAUGGAUUUUAGACGAAUAUAUGUAUUUCUCAUAAGAAGACAAUAGCAUUGGCCUGUUGACAUUGAACAUGUAAGCUAUUUUCAUAAGACAAGAGGAGUGAGCAGGUGGAGAUGUUGUUGCCGCAUUUGUGUCUGUUGAGAUUGUCUCUUGUAUCACCUGGUGUGGCUGUGUCUGUUUCUCUUUUAUUUGAUGGGUAAUAUGUAAACAAAAAUCAUUGUUAGUUGUAUUUAUCAGAGUUUGUAACUUACUCUGCUUUUUUGUUUAGAUAAUUUCACUGAUCUUGGUUGUCGUCUUCGUUUUCUUCGUAAGCAUUUGUGAAAGUAAGUUUGUAAAUUGUUAAAUAGCUGGUCGUGUAGUUUGUACUUGUUUAGUUGGCUCAAUGUAUGUGUCGUUGAGUUUUAGUUGAGUUGAUUGGUUUGAUAUAUUUGUUUUGAAAUUUAUUUGUAAGAUUAGACAAAAAGAGAGUUAAUCAUUAAUGAUUCGUCUUUUUUGGGAUUCUAGUUUUUGGUGUUUUGAUUGUUUGAGUUAUUGUAGUUUCUUUUAAGCUGUAAAAUAAAGUUUAUGUAAAAUUAGAUUGAUAAGUAAGGGAGAUAAAUAGACGACCACAAAUCUUGGGAAGAAAAUAUUUUUGAUUAUUGAUGUUAACACAAUAUAGACAGUAAUAUAAAUGGAAUUAUGUGUUGAUUGUUUCUUAAGGAUCAAAGAGAAGACGGAUAACGACUGGAGUUGUUUAUUUGGUGAGGUCAGAGCCCUGGACAAAACGGAUUUGCCCAACCACAUCUGCGAGUUUAAAUAUCAGUUAUGAUAUCGAAACAUAAUAUAAACCCAGAUGCAAUAUGAUAAUAUACCUGGGAGUUCUAGGUUUGUGUUCGCAAUCACUUGGAGAUUGUCGAACAGUCUAAUUUUGACUGGAGAUUGAUCUCAGGAGCAACUGUGAUGUCUUCAUCAAUAAUAGUUAGUGAGAUGAAACGAAUGAGAAAUGGAUGAUCAAUUAUCUUGUACAUGCUUGAUCACCUAGCAACCUCAAAACGAUCGACUUUCACAAUGGAACCUGCUUUCAAAGAUGGCAUGUAAUGAUUAGCCCGUCCGACGGGAGUAAACCUAUGAAUCACGAAAUCUGCAAAUAAUAUUAUUCAACAAAUAAUCAGGAAAUCAAUUAAAACAAUUAUGUUAAAUAAGUGUAAUAGAUCGAAGAUUAACUUACCUUUUCAUCAAGGAAGAGAAUUGUGAUUUUCCUCAAACUCCUUGUCUUUCUUGAAGUUCAGGGAAUCCCAGAAGCGAGGAAGCCAGAGGCUAUGCUUUGACUACUACGACCAAGACGGAGAGACUUGAAGGUUGAGUGACGGACGCCGGGACGCCGGUAUGACGAACUGGAGAGGCAGAGAGAAACAUUUUCUAUGAGAUGGUUAAAUCUAAGAGGAAUCAAUGGGUUUUGUGGAGAUGCAGAUUAGGUUCAUGAAAGAUGAAAAUCAUAAAUAUAAGGUUUACAUAGGAGCUACAAAUCAGGAACAUUUAUGAUCAAUCUAUUUAAGAUGUGGACAUGAAGAGUUCACCGGUGAAAAAAUAGAUUAUGAACAGACACACGGCACAACUCUGUAACUCACACUUGUUUGAGAUUAUGAUGAAAAGAACUCAAACUCAUGUUACACGACAACAGUUUACAAUAUGGGAAAACUAUAAUUGUUGCAGAUUUGAGCUUUUUUUUCCAUAUAACGUGAUGAAUCCCAUUUAAAAAUGAAACCCAUAACACACUUGUAGGCCCCACCAUCAGAGGAAGGCGAAGAAGUAAGGGCUUUCGACCUUCAUGAAUAUAUAUUAGGUUCGGCCAUCAAUGUACAAAGUAUCAUUUAGCUUAGUGGUAUAAAUGUUGGUGUUUAUAUCUCAAUAACCUGGGUUCGAGCCAUGGACUUGACGCUUUUUCACACUUUUUAAAAGUGGAGUCCACAGACGUGGCGCGCUGAAGAGUGAGCAAAAACUCAACUAUUAUAAUAUAGAUUGUUGAGUUACAAUUUUGAGUUAUACCUUUUGUAAAAGUGAUAACUCAAAUCAAAAAUCUACAUCAACAAAAAUCUCAUGUAUUAAGACUUGACUCGGAAAACAAUUUUGAGUUAUCUAUUAGCUGCCAUGUUCACUUUUUGAAUUUCAAUAAAUUUUGCAAUUUACAACCAACGUAAACCACUAGUCGACUAGGUCUAAUACAAUCAAUAUAUAUACAAUACUAAAAGGCAUAUAUAAGUCAUGGAGAGAGUAUCCACGUAGGAUAGAAAAAUCAACCAAUCAGAGAACCCGAAGUUAACAAGUCAUCUCAUUUAUUUUUUCGUAAAAAAUGAAAAAAGAAUGCAAAGGAAAUGAUCGAACCCGGGUUAGUAUGACAUAAAUAUAUGGCAUUUACCACUAAGCCAUUAAAACUUUCUUGGACACAUAUACAAGAAUCACUAAGUAUUUAAUCACAAACUCUUAUGUACAAUUACAAUAAUAUGAAUUCAACUUUCAAGACUCUCAUACUUUGUUUUGUAAGAAAAAAAAGUAAGUGACUAAGCUAAUAUAUUCUUUGAAAGUGUGAGAACAUUGACAAAUAUGAAAAAUCAUAGAUUUUUGUUUUCGUGACAAAGUUAAGAAUUUUGUAAAAAUAAGUUUAAAAUAUAAAUUUUCGUGACAAAUAUGAAAAAUCUUAGAUUUUUGUACAAUUUUGACAAAACAACUCAAAACAUAGUUCGAUAAUGUCUUAAUAAAAUAUUAUUUAAGGAUGCAAUAAUUAAAUAUAUCAAUUCAAUAAAUUUUGUAAUUUAUAGAUAAAACAAUAACACAACAAAUUUUGAAACAGUUGUUUAACCUAUCGAUUUCUUUUCAUGAGAAUCCAACUAAACAAGAUAAAAAGCCAAUUAAAUUUACAAAUAUUUAAUUACCAUUUUAUUAAAUUUUGAUUAAUUUUAAAUUGUAAUAAUGUAUCUUUUUGAAGUUACAAAAAAAUAUUGUUCUUUCUUUAUUACACUAGCAUUAUAUAUAGAUUCUAUAUACACAAACAAAUAUAAUAUAACAACAUAAGCUUGCUUUCCCCGAUUCAUAUGAAAACUUUUUAAGUUAUCCACCAAAGCAAAUUAAUUAAAUCAAUCAAAUUGUUAGAAUACAGCAAAUUAAUAUAUAAUUUUAUUUUAAAUUAAAUUAUUUAAAAAGUGUAUUUUCAUUAAAAACAAAAUAAUGAAUAAGUAAAACUGAUUUGAUGGUAAUUUUUAUGACAUAUAUAUAUAUAUAUCAAUUCUGUGAAAGAAAUAGAAGCUUAAUAUGGAAAAAAAAUCUUAAAUACAAAAAACUCUAAAAAUUAACAAAAAAAAAACUAAUAAAAAUUAAACUAUGAUAUCACUUGAAAGCUAGACUAUAUUAAUAAAAUAUUUAAGCGAUAAUUAGACAAAUUUGAUUUUUUUUUGCCAGCCAACAGUUUAUUAUUAAUUAGCAUCAGUUAUUUCAAGAUGUUUAAGAAAAGGAUGGACAAAAAAAAUAGGAUGGACAUAAUGAUAUAUGAACUAUGAAUAGUACUUUGUAAAGCUGACUUAGAUAACAUAUUUGCACAUCCAUUUCCAGUCAUUUUUGAUGCAUAAAUUCAAUUUCUUCAGAGCAAUUAUUCCACAAAGAGAUCGUAUGAGAUAUUGUUUUGAUAUUCAGAUUUGUUUCUUGAUUGUUAAGAAGAUUGAUAACUGUAAAAAUGUCUCCUUCGAAUAUGAUAUGUCUAUAACCGAGUCCCCAACAUGAGACAAGUUUGUUUAAAAAAUAAAUAAUUUCAUUUUUCUUAUAUUAUAUAAUAAAUAUAUAUUAUUUACUGAUAAUAAAAAUAUAGUUAUUCAUCUAUCACAAAUAUCUAUGCACUACAAGAAAACAUAUUUUUUACGAGGGCGGUAUUCGUUGUAAAUUCGUCGUAAUAGGGGCUUUACGACGAAUUAACAUCGAUACACGUUUCGUUGUUAAACGCUCGUCGUAACGGAGGUUUCGUCGUAAAGUCCUAGUUACGUUUACGAGGAAGUCAAUUCCUCGUAAAGCAGAAGGAAACUAUUCGUCGUAAUGCCCUCGUAAAUGACGAUGUAAAUACCUCGUAAUAGUUCGUUGUAAAAGCCACGUAAGGCUUCCACGUAAAGUCGAUGUAAAUUUUACGAGGACUUUACAACGACUUCAUGUAAAUUCCUCGUAAACGUUACGAGGACUUAACGUGGAAUUUUACAACGAAUUUACAUCUCCAUAUUUAAAAUAUUAAUUAAUUAUAAUAGUUAUAUAAAUUUUAUAAAACAAUAAUUUUAAAAUUUAAAAUAUUUGAAAUAAAAUUAAAUAUGAAACCAAAUAAUUUUCUUAAAAAAACUAUAAAUUCAUUAAUUAAAUAGAAUUUAAAUUUUUUAUACAAAACAAAAGAAAUUAAAAAAGGAAACUAAAGGCCAACAUCAUGGUCAUCGAAGUAGUUGGCUGAGGGGUUCGGUCUGUAGACGUUCCUGCUUCGGGAUCCGGCUGGCUCAUCCCGAGAGCUGCUCGUCUCUCCGCCAAAGCUCUCUGCAAAGUUGGAUUUCCCACUGCCAUCACAUCCAGCAAACCCUCGAGAGAGUCCAAACGCUGCUGCUGGGUAUCCAUGCGAGCCUGCAUCCGGUCGUUGUCCUGGUCCCGUCUCGAAUAGUAUGACGAAGUCGCCCUUGCAACUUCGUUAACGGAACCUAUUCCAACCGUCCUUCCCUUCUUUCUAGGAGCCACCUAUAUGUAUAUAUAAUACCGUAUUUAGAGUUAAUAAUAAAAUAAAGAAAAAAAAUUAAAAUUAUUAAAUUUUACCUCCUCGAAGAUCCGGUCGACCUCUACGGUUGACAACUUGACGGGUAAUCCAUCUGUAGACUGUUGGGUAAGUUGCGUCUCUUGCUCUUCAACCCGAGACACCACAGCGUUGAAGAGUUUCUCGGAUGCAGGAUCCACAAAAACCCCAUCUGGUGAGGCGUGAGUCAUCUUGAAUAAGUCCGAGAGAGAUGGCAAAACUCCCGUCUUCUCCAACUAAUAAACAACAAUAAUAAAUAAAUUAAAUAUAAUUAAUAAAUACAAGUUUAAAAUAAUGAAAAUUAUAAAUUUAAAUAAAACUUACAGCUUCGAGACGAAUUCCGGCAUGGGGUUUUUGGCCGGAUCUAUGAACCAUGGGCAAAUGGCCAUCUUUAUCCCUCGUUCUUCGGGAAGCGGAGCAGGAGUUGGCUUUGCGGAUGGAGCUGGGUUCGUUCCAAUAGGUGAUGAGGCCAUCCCAUGCUUCCUUUGUGACCCCGCUCGGCUUCCCCUCAUAGCCGUAAAUCUCCCACUUGUCCUUCCAAUCGGAGACGGUGUUGCAAAGACGAGUUUUUGCCUUUGCAAUAAAUUCGCUCUUCACCCUCUCGGUGAUUCCUACGGACCAGUUCCACCUUUGCUGAAAAAUCAAACAUUUUAAAAGAUUAGAAAAAAAAAAUAAUAAUUAUUUAAUUAACAAUAUAAAUAUUAAUAAUAUGUAAAUAUAAUUACCGCAAAACAUUUAAACCACGUCGUCUUGACGUGAUCGGGAGUCAUGGUCCAGUUGGGAUAAGGGCCGUCAUAAUAUCCCUUCAUCGUCUCUGAAACGCUCCGGCUAACACGGUUGUUAGCCCCAAACCUGCAAAUAUAACAAAUUUGUUAAAAAAAUUGAUCAGAGAUUUUAAAUUUAAAAUUAAUAAUUUUAUGUACUUACCAAUAAGUACCCGGGGGUCUAUCGGGGUCCAGAACGUGUAAACCCUCUCGUCCGGGCUGGGCAAGCAAAUCCUCGACGGUGUAUCUUGCGAAUGGUGCAUGAGCUGGCACCCGCAAAUCGGGAUGAACUGCAGCCGGUGGGGCUGGCUGAUCCGGGGCGACAGGUGGAGCUCGUGGGGGAGGCAUCUGAGAUGGAAGAGGAGGAGGGGUCGAAGGAACUCUCCGAGAUGUGUGAGAGUCUGGAACUGUCCCGGAAGAAGACGAUGGACCGCUAGAGGAAGAUCCAUCGCCAAACAAAUCCGCAUACGUAGGUGCAGGAGCUGCUGGUCUCGGUCUAGGAGCCAUCUAGAAAAUUUAAAAAAAUUAAAUUAAUAUAUAUCCUAAACGAAUUGUUUAAAAUAAUUUUCUAAACUAAUCAUCUAAACUAAUUCCGUUAACUAAUCACCUAAACUAAUUCCCUAAACUAAUCACCUAAACUAACAACCUAAACUAUAAAAAAAAAAAAAAAGAUAGAGAGAGAAAGUUACCUUAGAGGGGGAGAGGAGUUAGGGAGGAAGAUACGAGCACUGCUCGUCUGAAAGACUUCUCCCAUAUAUAUAAAAACGGUUUCCUCGUAACUUCCUCGUAACAUUACGACGAAGUUACCAGGCCCGUGUUUUUUAAUUUACGACGAAGUUACCAGGCCCGUGUUUUUCGAUUUACGACGAAAUUACGUCGAAACAUUGGUUUACGACGAAUUUACAAGGCCCACGUUUACGACGAAGUUACCAGGCCCGCGUUUUUCCAUUUACGACGAAAUUACGUCGAAAAAUCGGUUUACGACGAUUUUACAACGCUUAACCCUAAACACCGAGAAUGAAAUCCCUAAACCCCAAAGUCACAUAUCAUCUAACAUCAUAUCUCUUCUUCUCUACUACUUUGUGCUCUUUCUCCAACUUAAACUCUAAAACCCUAAAACUCCAAAUAAUUUUUUUAAAAUUAACACAAAUACAUAUUAUAUAAAACAACAUUUGUUACACAUACAUUAGGAUGGUAAAAAAACAAUAUUUCUUUAAACAUACGUUACAAUAGAGAAAUACAACAUCAGAGACAUAUAUUACAUCACUCUAAAUCGUUUUCGUUCUCAUCAAUAUUACAUCACUCUAAAUCGUUUUCGUUCUCAUCACUAUCAUUACAAUCAUCAUCGUCGCUUCUCUCGAACUCGUCUUCACGUGCUUCAUCUGUCGCAUCUUCGGGAAUAUCUUCAUAUUGAAAGUUUUGCGGGUCGAUCAAAAGGAUUUCAUCAGUUGGUUGUUCUGGUACCUCAACUUCAUUGAUAGCGUCUUCUUCUUGCAAGGGCGGUUCUUCUCCAGCGACAAUGCGUCCACGAGGUGUGAUUUUGAUAGCAGCUAACCAAUUUAUCCCGGAAGUUCGAAGCCGAGGAUAAGGAAGGAAGCUUACUUGCUCGGCUUGUGAAGCUAAAAUGAAAGGCUCAAAUUUGUUGUAUCUUCUCCCAAAAUUGACAUCCACAACACCAAAUUUGUUAUACCGAAUCCCUCGGUUCACAACAGGAUCGAACCAUUCACAUUUGAAGAGGACGCAUUUUAGCUUCAAUAACCCCGGAAAUUCCACUUCAAUAAUCUCCUGCAAGAUCCCGUAAAAGUCCGUUUCACCUUUCACACAUAUUCCGUAGUUACUCAUUGCCCGAUGUCUCCCAUACUCGUAUGUGUGAAAGGUAAAUCCUCGUGUGAAAUACAUAGGUGAUGUGGUGACCUUUGCAACUGGACCUUGAACCAAUUCGUGAAACCAUACGGGAUAAUAAGGAUCGUCGUAAUCAACCUGCAAAAAGCAGUUAUUCUUAAUUAAUAUUGAAGUAUCAAAACACUUACUUAAUUAAUCAAUGUAUGAGAUAUAUUACGUACCUGUGAUUUUAACCACUUGACAAAGUGCUUAUCUUUACGUGUCUCCACAUCAGUUGCAGAUAUUCCUGGUAUUGCUUCUUCAACUUGAGAUACAAACAUGCUGCAAAUUAAACAAAUAAUCAAGUCAUACAUAAUUAACUGCAAUUCAUAUAAUUAACAUUCACAAAAAUAUUUACCUUUCAAAGUAACGGGUCAUUGCAUCCUCGCAGUUGAGCAGAAUAUAAGUGUGGGCACUAUGUUUAUCCUCUUCACAUGACCACCAUACUUCUUUCGUUUUACCACCAAACCUUGCAAUUUCGCAGAAAAUGUCAGGAACACCAUCAAUUGGAUAUGAUGUCGGUACUCCACCAUCAUCAUAUCUUCUAGGAACUCUUUUCCUCGUACGAACAGUUGGAGCAAAGUAGUAUGAUGUGAAGUUAGAUGUUUCGGCUGUCAAACUUCCCGCAACUAUUGAACCUUCCACCUUUGCAAGAUUUCUUGCUUUCCCCUUCAAAUGUUUCAUCUGUCGCUCAUACGGAUACAUCCAUCCGUUGUGAACAGGUCCACGAAGCAAUGCUUCAUAUGGUAGGUGGACAACUAGAUGCUCCAUGACGUCAAAAAAUGAAGGAGGAAAUAUCUUCUCCAGGUUGCACAAUAUGAUCGGAAUGUUAUGAUGAAGUUGUUCGAUGACUUCUUCCUUGAACGUACGUGUGCUGAGAUCUCUGAAAAAAGCGCCGAUGGCUGUAUAUUGCAAAAGUAAUCAAAUUAAUAACAUUUCAUAACAUAUGUAUAUAUAUUAACGUUUUAUAAUUACCUGCAAGUGCUUCAUGGACAUUUGCUGGAAGGAGCUCGGCAAAAGCAAAUGGAAGAAGUCGUUGCAUAAACACAUGACAAUCAUGACUCUUCAUUCCGGAGAACUUUUGACCUCGUUCAACACAUUUUGACAGAUUUGAAACAUAACCAUCAGGAAACUUAACUUCUGAUGCAACCCAGUCAAACAAGGUUGUUUUGGCUUCUGAUGACAACCGGAAGAUGGGAACAGGAACGUUUCCAUUGCUCUUGAUAUGUAACUCACUUCUUGAGCAAAUAUCAGGUAAGUCCAUCCUUGACUUUUUGUUAUCUUUUGUCUUCCCAGGGACGUUAAGUAAUGUAUUCAUGAAUCAUGAUGUUCUCAAAAAAGUUCUUCUCAAUAUGCAUGACAUCCAGAUUGUGGCGUAAGAGAAGAUCCUUCCAAUAGGGUAGCUCCCAAAAUAUACUCUUCUUAUGCCAAUUGUGAGACACACCAUAUCCAUCAGGCAUAUUUCCAGGAACAUGCCAAUUUCCUCCAACUUUAACUGUUUCCUGAGCUCCGUAAUAAUCAAUGUCUGCUUCGAUCUGCUGGCCGGUGAGAUAUGGAGGAGGACCGUCUCUGACAAUUUUUUUGUGCCGAAACAAUGUCUUAUUUCUUCUGUACGGAUGGGCAAGUGGAAGAAAGCGACGAUGACAGUCAAACCAACAACUCUUCCUACCAUUCUUCAGUUGAAAAGCAUCCGUCGAUCCAAGACAAUAUGGACAAGAUAAUCUUCCAUGUGUUGUCCAGCCAGACAACAUCCCAUAAGCAGGGAAAUCACUUAUCAUCCACAGCAGAACUGCUCGCAUCGUAAAAUUGUUUUUCAAGGAACAAUCGUACGUCCACACCCCUUCUGACCACAAUUGCUUUAGCUCUUCUAUCAACGGUUGAAGAAAAACAUCAAGAGACCGUUUUGGAUGCUUCGGCCCAGGGAUUAAUAUGGUCAAAAAUAGAAAUUCUUGUUCCAUGCACAUAUCCGGCGGUAAAUUGUACGGCGUAAGAAUGACUGGCCACAAAGAAUAUUGUCUACCAGACAUUCCAAAUGGAGAAAAUCCAUCGAUGCAUAACCCAAGAUAGACAUUCCGAAUAUUUGUAGCAAAAUCUGCGUGUACCUUGUUGAAAUGUUUCCACGCUCUUGCGUCUGAUGGAUGUGCAACCUCACCAUCUCUCUGGACAUGUUCCGCAUGCCACCUCAUCGAUGCAGCAGUCCUCUCAGAUUGAUAUAAUCUUUUCAAUCUGUCUGUAAUUGGUAGGUACCACAUCCUUUGGUACGGUACCCUAUUCCUCCCACGGCCUUGCGGUUUGAAUCGUGGUUUUUUGCAGAAUCGACACUCUUCUAACUUGUCAUCUUCUUUCCAGUAGAUCAUGCAGUUGUCGAUGCAAACAUCAAUCAUCUCCGAAGGCAACCCAAGACUAUAAACCAAUUUCUGAAUCUCAAAAUAAGAUUCAGCAGACACGUUGUCUUCUGGCAAAUACUCUUUAAACAACUCCGCCCAUGCAUCCAUGCAAUUCUCAGGUAAAUUAUGAUCCGUUUUAAUAUUCAUCAUCCUAGCUGCUAGAGGCAAUUUAGAGAGACCUUCUCUACAACCAGUGUAGAUUGGUUGAUUUGCAGCAUCUAGCAUUUCAUAAAACCUUUUUGCAUCCAAAUUAGGUUCUUCUACAUUUCCAGUUCCAUCAGCUAUUGUUGUAGUUGUUUCUAAAAAUGCAUCACUAAUCAUAUCUUGAACCCUAUCAUGAUCUACCAUCUGCUCAUGAUCUUGAUGAUAAUUAUAUUCAUUAUGCAAAUGAUUCGGUUCUUCACUAUGAUGACCAUCCUCAAAAUUAUUAUUACUACUACUAGCUUCAUUUCCCCCAUAACCCUCUCCAUGUUGAUACCAAAUGUAGUACUGUGGUGUAAAUCCUCUGUUUACUAAAUGCUUCCAUACAGUUUCACUACGUGCAAAUUUUGAAUUCUUGCAUUUCCGACAGGGGCAGAACAUCUUACCGCUUUCCUGUGUGAUCGGUGUACAGCCCGCCUGGUGUAUGAAUGUCUCUAGCCCGAUCAGAAAUGCGUUUGUCACCCUCCCGUCGGAAUCUUUGUGCAAAUACAUCCAACUCCGUAACUCGUAAAUACUACCGCCACCGGCCAUUUUUUCUUAGAUUUUUUUUUCAAAUCUUUUUUUUUCUGAUUUUUUCGGAUUUUUUUUCUCCCGUUUGUGUGUUGUGAGGAAGAGAGUUAUGGGAAAUGACAUAUAUAUAGAGAAAUUUUCGAGUUGGGUAGUUGAAAAAUAACAACGAUUUUACAAGGAAUAUUUUACAUGGAUUUUACAUGGUUUUAACAUAUUAUUUACAACGAAUUUAAUACGAAAUUAGGUAAGUUAAAGCACAUUGAAUACACGUUUUCACCUAAAUAUAACGGUAACAUGAUUCGUUGUAAUGUCGAUGUAAAGUUUACUUUUCGACGUACUUGCGUCGUAAUAUUACAUGGCGUUUACGACGAAAUUUGGUUUCGUUGGUUUCGUCGUAAUUGCGUUGUUAAGCCACCAGAUAUUUCUAAGACGACGAUAAGGAACCUGUGUCGUUCGUCUGUCUGCCAAUUCAGUGUAAUGACAAGGAGAAAGUGGACGGAAGUGCAGCUGGUUUGUACUUGAGAGGAACCUUUGACGAUGGUUGGAGGUUCCUUUCAAGUAUAAACCAACUGCACUUCCGUCCACUUCUCCUUGUCGCUCCACUGAAUUGGCAGACAGACGAAUGACUCAUGUUCCUUAUCGUCAUCUUCGAAAUAGUAAUUGGUGGCUGAAUGAGAAACAUAGUCUAAACGCCAUCAGGUUCGAGAGGAAGAGAGUUGUGUGUUGUGAAGAAGAGAGUUGUGGGAAAUGACAUAUAUAUAUAGAGAAAUAUAACAAUGAUUUUACAAGAAAAGUUUUACAUGGAUUUUACAUGGAACAUUUACAACGACUUUACAACGAAUUUAGGUAAGUUAAAGCACAUUGAAUGCACGUUUUCACCUUUAUAUAAGGGUAACAUGAUUCGUUGUAAUGUCGAUGUAACGUUUACAACUAUUUCGCAUUCCACGUACUUUCGUCGUAAACUUACAUUGACUUUACGACGAAAUCCUUUCGUCGUAAAUUACCAUGGAGUUUACGACGAAAUAAUGUCUCGUCGUAAUUGCGUUGUAAAGCCCAUGUAAAGUUACGAGGAAAUAAUUUCGUCGUAAACCGCCGUUGUUACUGCUACGUUUUUAUAUUCUUUAAAUAAUGUAAUACAACAUUAUACAUUAUUUUUUUAGAAUUGAGAAAUACAUAUAUCAGUUAGACAAAUUAAGCGAUAAUUAGACAAAUUUGAUUUUUUUUUGCCAGCCAAAAGUUUAUUAUUAAUUAGCAUCAGUUAUUUCAAGAUGUUUAAGAAAGGAUGGACAAAAAGUAGGAUGAACAUAAAUGAUAUAUGAAUUAUGAAUAGUACUUUGUAAAGCUGACUUAGAUAACAUAUAUGCACAUCAAUUUCCAGUCCUUUUUGAUGCCUACAUUCAAUUUCUUCAGAGCAGUUAUUCCAUAAAGAGAUCGUAUGAGAUAUUAUUUUGAUAUUCAGAUUUGUUUCUUGACUGUUAAGAAGAUUGAUAUCGAAUAUGAUAUGUCUAUAACCGAAUCCCCAACAUGAGACAAGUUUGUUUAAAAAGUAAAUAAUUUCAUUUUUCUUAUAUUAUAUAAUAAAUAUAUAUUAUUUACGGAUAAGAAAAAUAUAGUUAUUCAUCUAUCACAAAUAUCUAUACAAAUAUGUGAAUCAAGUACAACAAUCAAACAACAUAAUGAUUUCCACAAAGAAAAUUUUAAAAAUAUAUUUAUGUUAUGUAGUCUUAUUUUAUAUUUUUUAAAUAAUGUAAUACAAUAUUAUACAUUAUUUUAUUAGAAUUGAGAAAUACAUAUAAUAUCUUAUCCGCGGUUAAAAAAUCUAGUAUAUUUAAUAAUUGAAUAUCUACUAUAAUUUAAUUACUAUGCGCGGGUGUUUUUUAAUUUUGUGAAUUCAAUUUAUAAUUGAUCAUGUUUUUAAUUGUUUGUAUGUUAUGUCGGUCUUGGAUUUUGAAACAACAAAUUGAUAUGUUAGAUAAGUCUAAAGACCAACAUUGUUUUUGGGGUGCUAUAGAAAAGGCAUAUUGGAAUGUAGAGUAAUUGAGAUGAACCGGAUGCUGGGUGCUUAUAUAGAGAAGGUCACAAUAUUUUUUGGUUAAUUAUAAUGAAAAAAAUCUCACUUAAUAGUGGAAAUGAAAAAAAAUCAACUAAUAGUGAAAAUUUAACAUUGAUAGCAAGUUGAUGGUGAUGGAAUAUCUCUACCCGAUUUGGUAUAUUAUUAACCUAGCAUUAGAAUUUGCUUGUUAUCUGUUUAAACAUUAUAAAAAUUUUGAAAUAAAUUGCUUCAGUUUGUUUGGACGCUAUACUUAUGGAAUCUUAAAGAUACAUAUAUAUUAGUUUGAAUCCGUUUAUAUGUAAUAGUGUAUUUAUUAAUAAGAACAAUGUUAUGAAUUUUAAGUUAUGGUCCAUUGUAAAAUAUAACACACGAAAAAAUCAUGAUUUCUAUUUUAAAAGAUAAGAUUUAAUACAAUACUAGAUUUUGAUCCGCGCUUAGAAAGCGCAGAUUUAUUUUUGAAAUUAAAUUAAAUAUUUCUAUAUAAGAUAAUGUAUAUGUUUGGACACAUUUACCGUGGUGAACUGAACAAUAUCAAACUGAAAAAAAUAAAACCAAAAUUAUGUUGAAUUUCAUAACUAACUGAGCAUAUUCUAUAUUUUUGAAACCGAAAAACAAAAAACAAACCGAGAAUCAAAUGAGUACUUAAAAUUUUAAAGUACAAAUUAUAUACCUACAAAUAUUAAUUAUAUUUAAUUUCUAAAUAACCAAAUAUCUUAAAAUAUUAUUUAUAAACCAAAUUACGUAAUAAAUGAAUUAUCUGAAUAUUUUUAUUCAAAAUAUUAAAAAUUAUUCGAAUUAUUUUAUAUUUUUUUCAAAUUACCCAAGUUAAUCAUUGGGCUAAGACUUUUAGGACUCCCAAGCAUCUAGUUGAUCUCUAUCAAGAGAGCUUGAAAGGGAAGAAUCCUGAACCCCAUAUGACUUACCAAGAUGAUGAAAACGACUUCAAUCAUGAGAAGGACGAUCUUAUGGAUUAUGAAACUUCAGAUUGUCUUAAGAAAAAAACUGAAGAUUGAUUUCGAUAUUUGUAAUCUAAAUUCUAUGUUCUUUGUUUUGAUAUUUUUCAUUUCUAUGUUUUUUAAAUCUCAAACCCAUUUAGACCCAUUUUAUAUUUUUAUGAUAAGAUUAAUCAUUUAUAGUUUAUAUAAAAGAAUGUAAUAUUAGAUCUUAAUAAUUGAUUGCAUGUAAUUAAUUAAAUCAAUGUUUAAUAGUUGAAUAGUUAACAUUAAGGCUUUUAGCUUUCAGUUCACGUAAAUAUGUAAAAAUUGUUAUACACCAGAGGAUUCUCCAUUAGAACUUAUAUUAAACAUAACUAAACCAUUGAAACUUUUAUAGUAUUAAUAGAACUAUAUAUAUGGUAAGGAUCACGUCAUGUUAAACACGUUUGAGUCAUAUGUCCUAUAUUUAUGGGGUUAUUGUUAUUUUGGAAUAAUAAAUGAGUUCAUUUGAAUUAUCUAGGAUAUUUCUAUAGUUAGAGAAAUAAAACGUAAGACCAAAUAAUAAUUUAUUAGCUAAUGAAAAGGUACUACAAACUUUUUUAAGUAUAUUUUUUUAAGAAUCAUUUUCUUUUAUUAGUAUAGAUAUUUUAAUAAUUUAAUAAUUUUAAUAAUGGCUAUCUACUUGUUAUCCCAAAAAUUUCUCAAAAUUCAACAAUAAAAAGGUUCUCAAAUAAAUCACUAUAACUAGUUAAGAAAAAAAUGCUUCUAUAAUUUAUUUUGGUAAUUAAAAAUGUUAUGUAAAUAUUAUUUGUAUAUUUUCACUUUAAUUAGUCAAUCAAAACUGUUCAUGUUAUAAAAGUAAUGGAAAAGUCUAUCUUUAUUCAUAACAUAUAUGUUAUUUAUAUAUGAGAUUACACCAUCAUAGAUAAAUGGAAAGAUUACAAAUUAUAAUCUCUUGGUUAUGAGCCAUCUACAAUCUGGUUCAUAACACUCCCCCUUGGAUGCCAUAACCAUUUAGAGCUUGUAAUGUGCUUUAAUGUUGCCUCAUUAAAACCUUACGGGAAAACCCAAUUGGGACAAAACCAUAGUGAAGGAAAAAGAGUACAACACACAUUACUCCCCCUGAUUUGGACAUUACUGAAGGUCCCUUGGACCUCUCCAAUUUUCUGCAAUCCGUGGGUGAUGAAGAUCUUGGGCAGAAUAUGUUUCGUCCUCGAACAUGAUAGUUGGUUCUUCUUUACCAUUGACCAUGCCACAAUCUGAUCGAACAUAUUGAGUCAUCGACCUCAAAUACACACACACGAAAUCUUGGAUGAUGUUGUUGUGAUAUGCGUGUACCACCAUGUGUAAAACAUAACAUGUCUGAAAACAAAUCAACAAAACCAAAUAACCCCUCUUUGGGCUGGUUAGUAUAUGAUAAACCAAAAUCAAAGACUUCUUCAUCGUCCUUCUUAUGGACCAAUCAGAUCAGUGUCUAAAACAAGACUUCUGCAUCGUCCAUCUCAGGAGUAAAUGGACUUCUUUAUCGUCCACCUUUGGACUGAAUGGAUCAGUGUCCAAAACAAGUGAUCUCACGCCCAUGUACUAGAUAAUGGGUGAGACUGGUCCAUAUUAAAUCUCUUGAGUACCCUUUUCUGUAUAUACUAUUUGAUGCACAAGGAUUUCAUUGUUAAUGUACUCAAGAUGUAAUCCCAAACAAAACUUUAUUUUCCAAGAUCUUUCAUCUCAAACUCUUUCUUGAGAUAUUCAACUGUUUGGGAAAUUGUAUCCAGAGGUUCCUAGGAUAUUCAGAUCAUAUACUUUGAUGAUUAUCAAUAUUGUUCUUGAGAACUUGCUGUACUUUCAGCUCAAUACCCUCUAGUACUUUCAUUAUCCAGUGGACCAUAUAAAAUAUGCAGUCACUACAUCAACUUGCUGCAAGUCUAAUUUUCUGCAAGUCUAAUUUUCUCUCUUAUAUAGCCAGACUUAUGAGAAAUCUAAAAUUAGUUGCAUCCACCACAUGGGAGUAUGUCUCCUCGUAAUCUAUUACUGGUCUUUGUGAGAAUCCUUAUGCAACACCAGCUUUAUAUCUCACGAUUUCUAUUCCUCACAAGACCCAUUUAUAUCCACUGGUUUUAACAUCAUAUGGCGUCUUAAUCAUAUGGCCAAAUACGCAUUUCUUCCUUAAACUAUUUAACCCCACGUUUCCAUUCAAUCUGUUCUACGAGUGCGCAUUCUUAUAUUGACGUGGUUUCAUGAUCCUCGCUUAUAUUCAUAAAUUCAAGUGCUACCUUGUAUCAUUUUAUGUCGCCAUUCCUUAUUGUGUUCCAUUAUGUUCCAGACAUGAUAUAAUCGAUUGAGAUUCAUUAUUAUCAGGACCUUUAAUACUUCGCAGCUUGGCGUACUAAGCUACAUUGUUUGGUACCUGUAUCUUAGAGCCGGCCGGCCUUAUCUCUAUGUCUGGGAUGGUUUCCUUGACUUCGGAUUUGUUUUAUCAUUCUAUGCACCUUUCUCUUUUGUUUCCGAGGAUUCUUAUCUUUUGGAAAUUAUUGGUCUUAUAUUGUAUAGACUCUGUAACAACUUGACUGUGUCUCUCUUGGACAUCAAUUUAGUUGGUGCUUUACAAGCUGGUUUAUAUAUGACUUAGUCAUUCUUUUUCGGGUCAGCAAAUGUGUCUGGCAUUUGAUUAGCUAGCUUUGUAAAUGUAUAAUCUUUGGACGUCUAUUUCACAUUAUUUAGUCCGAGGAUCUUGCCAAGACAAUGAUGGUCGAUGCCAUUCUAUUUCUCUUACCAGCUUAUUAUUUUCUCCCCCUAAUGUUGGAUAGUCGGAUCCAUUAAACUUUGCAAUCCGUGUUCUUGGCCACUAAAUAGAUCACUCAUAUUUGGCUCAAGGUACUUCAUUAUUUGUGGGAGAUUCAUAUCCAACAUAUAUCCCCAUUCUCAUCCUCUUCUAAGGAUCCAUCUUAGACGGCACAUAUAUUUGUGGUGGCUUAUCCAAAUAUCUUAAGAUGUUAUAUGUCUGGCUCAUGACCCGUAAUAAAUUUGAGAUGAGAAUAUCUAUGCUCAUUUAAUGGUCUGAUGCUUAUUAGUUAAGAUGCAUGUAAAUUCGUGUGUCCCUAAGCCUUGGACUGAGAGUUUGGACCUAUGGGUAGUGGCCAAUACAGAUUUAUAAAAGGAUUCAGCCAAGCUAUAUAUAGUAUGGACAUGUGCGGAUUUGUCCUCACUGCCCCCUCAUGGACAUACUAUAAUCUUUAAGUGCUUUGGGACAUCAUGGCCUAGCGAGUUUCCCUUACACACGUGAGAUUCUAUGAGAUAACUCUUUGUGCCCUUUCUAAUAUCAAUUUCGCAUCAUGUUUUGGACCAGGAUGGCCAAUCCGGUCAUACCAUAAAGUGUAUAAUUUCGUGGGUGAACCAUUCUGGUUACCAUGACUAUUGCCUAUAUCAUACUGAUCUUGGCAUAGUCUAGAUCAAUAGAGAAUGUAGGUAUAGUUUUUUAGGACUCAUUAUGGCCUUGGGCGAUUUUUUACAUAUAUCUGAAGGAACUCUUUGUUUCCUUCGCCCAUUGUUUCAAUAUGGAAACCAUUCAUUUUAUAUCUCUAUAUAAUCUCAAUGGGUUUUUCUGGGUGAAUAUAAAGCAUCUAAAUGCAUGCCCUUAUACAUAUAUGGCCAUAGCCCUUAAUGUGUACCAUACCCGCAAAUCAUAUUGGCGUUUUCAAAAAUCAUUCAUUCCUUUUAUUAAGUUUUAAUAAAACAAGUUCAUAGAAAUAAAAAACAUAGAAAUGAAAAACAUCAAAACAAAAAACAUAGAAUUUAGAUUAAAAAUGUCGAAAUCAAUCUUCAGUUUUUUUUCUUAAGACAAUCUGAAGUUUCAUAAUCCAUAAGAUCGUCCUUCUCAUGAUUGAAGUCGUUUUCAUCAUCUUGGUAAGUCAUAUGGGCUUCAGGAUUCUUCCCUUUCAAGCUCUCUUGAUAGAGGUCAACUAGAUGCUUGGGAGUCCUACAAGUCUUAGCCCAAUGAUUGCUUGUUCCACAUCUAUGGCACACGUAUUUCUCUGAUUUAGUCGAGUGUUGGGGUUUGAAAGAAGAUCCACGGCCACGACCAUGUCCUCGUCCAAAUGAGCCACGGUCCCGUCCAUGGUCUCGACUAUUUCCUCGCCCGCAGCCAAAGGAUCUUCGACCGCGGCCACGUCCGUUCGAUUUGUCUCGACCACGGCCAUGCUGGCCGUUUCCUUGGACGUGGUUGGACUCUUUAUUGUCCUCUGUAGCGUGUGCAUCAGGUCGUGGAGCUGAUCCAAGUGGUCUCAUCUGACUGUUUCUCAUUAGUAAUUCAUUGUUCUGCUCAACGAGCAAGAGACAAGAAAUAAGAUUAGCAUAGGUUUUGAAACCUUUCUCUCGGUAUUGUUGUUGUAGCAACACAUUGCUUGCAUGGAAAGUGGAAAAGGUUUUCUCAAGCAUAUCCUGUUCCGUAAUACUUUCACCACACAGUUUCAUUUUAGAAACAAUCUUAAAUAGUGCAGAGUUAUAUUCGUCCACAGAAUUAUAGUCUUGGAUCCUCAGAUUCGUCCAAUCAAACCGAUCUUUUGGUAAGAUCACCGUUCUCUGGUGAUCAUAUCUCGAUUUCAAUUCAUUCCAAAUAUCUAGUGGAUUCUCAAUGGUUAGGUAUUGAUCCUUGAGACUCUCAGCUAGAUGAUGACAAAUGAUCAAGAUGGCUCUGUAACGAUCCUUUUCAUUAGCAUUAUUGUUCUCGGUGAUACACUCACCGAGUCCCUUGGAUUUCAGGAUGAUCUUAGCAUCGAGCGCCCACUGAAGGUAAUUGUCUCCAGAUAGAUUUAGGGCAACAAAAUCAAGGUUGUUGAUUUUCGACAUCUGAAGUUAUAGAUUAAUAUUUUUAGAUCUUUUAGGAAUAGUUUUUAAUGUUUAAACGAUUAUGGUUUUAUGUUCAAACAAUCAAACAAGCCUUCACAGCCAAGAUCUAUGCCUCACAGCUAAUGAGCAAGCCGCACGGCCAUGGAUGCAAACUAGUUCCUUUUUAUGCAUUUAGUUUGUCGUGUAAUUGCAAUCCUAACAUGGUUUGUUUCUAUCAGUUCAUGAUGCAAUCAAAACAAUCAAACCUAUCGGCCAAGCAAAGAUCAAGCCACACGGCUAUUUGAUUCAAUUCAACACCAUUCCUAGAAUAAGUUCUAAGUGUAAUUGCAAUCAAUCAAUGUGAUUAAGUUAUGGUAUGAAUGCAACAAGGCCACACGACCAAUGAUCAAGUCUAGAACAGUUUAACCUAAUAUGUAGUUUCAGAUUUCGAUUUUAAAAUAAUAUAAACUAGGUCAUUAGGGUUUUAGUUUAAACAAGCCAAACAAUCAGAUUCGAGUUUGAACAAUCCUAACAAUAGUUCUAGGUGAUCAAAUCAACCAAUCAAUGUUCAAUUUCAAACAAUCAAAAUCGAUUUUCAGAAUUAGGGUUUUAGAGUUUCGAUUUUAUUAACAACCAAUUUCAAUUUCAGGAUGAUCAAAUUCAAUAUCAAUCAAUCAAUCAAUCAGUUUAAUUAAUCAAUAGUUUUCGAAUUAGGGUUUAGGGAUUUCGAAAAUUUGAUCAUAGAUCAAAGGGAUUUGAUUUGAGAUUCAAAACCUUUAAGGUUCUGAUUUUAAUUGAUCAAUGGAUCAAUCUCGAUUUUUAGGGUUUGGGGAUCGAACUUAUAGAGCUUCGAUUUACUCGCUUAGGGAUUGAUCUAUUAUCCUAUGGCUUUCAUCUUAGAGAUUAUAUUUUAGGGUUUCAUUCUUUACAAUCAACCAAAUUCGAUUCAUUAUGUUCUUAGAAUUCGAAAUACCUUUAGUUUAGUUGUUUGUAGAAAUCGGACCACCAAGAAUGAACCUCGAGCUUAGACACGAUUGGGACGCGAGCUGGCUGGGACGCGAGCUGGCCUGGAACGCGAAUGGAUUGAGGUUGGAGACGCGAGCUGCUUCUAUCGGAUCGCGAGCUGUCCUUGAUGUAGGAUGGAGCUGAGUUCGUCUAGGAUCAGGAACACCUUGGGGCUGGAUCUGAUCAGGUGGACACGAGCUGGAACGGAGUCUCGAACGGAUUAGGGUUCGUCGGUAUCGUCAGGUUCGGAUUAGAGUUUCAAAGCAAAUCGGUGCGCACUGUAUAUGUGCGUGAGGGCGCGUCGGUAGUCAGAUCGACAAGCGGUUUGCACUGACUGAUUCGUCUCUGCUAGGGCUUCGAUUUGAUAUCUUGAUCAUUUUCUGGGUCCUCACGGUUUGGGAGAACAGCCUCUUCGAAGUUCCGAGGCANNNNNNNNNNNNNNNNNNNNNNNNNNNNNNNNNNNNNNNNNNNNNNNNNNNNNNNNNNNNNNNNNNNNNNNNNNNNNNNNNNNNNNNNNNNNNNNNNNNNAUGUAUGUAUGUAUAUGAAUUGAAGAAUUGAAGAUGCUCUUAGUUUCUAAAUGAAUCAUCCUUCCAUCUAUUUUUGAAUUUUACAUAUAAGCAGAAGUGAGAUCUUUUAUUUGUUAAUCACUCAUUAAUAUUUGUAUUAAGUUGAUCAUUUUCUAUAGUAUAUUUCUAGUUGUUUUCUUUUCUUUUUGAGAAACUACUUUAAAGCAUCCAGGGGAAGGAAAAAAGUGUAGAGCCGCAUAAUUUAAUCACAGAAACUAGUUAUUUUGUUUAAUAUGAAUGACAAUUAGUAUUGGUUUGAGAUGCUUUUUCCGUAUAUUUUGAUGAGUAACUCAUGUUUGAGUUAAGAAUGUUCGCUGGAAUAUUUAGGAGCGUAGGUUAGAAGUUUUUUUUCUUUUCUAGAGAAUAUGAUUAGAAGUUUUGAUGAGUAACUCAUGUUUGAGUUAAGAAUGUUCGCUGGAAUAUUUAGGAGCGUAGGUUAGAAGUUUUUUUUCUUUUCUAGAGAAUAUGAUUAGAAGUUUAUUGUAGAUGUAUUGAUUUUCUUGUAUUGAUUCAGAAAAUCAAUUUUGUUCAGAAAAAAAAGCAAAACAAUUCAUAUAUGCAAUGGAUUGGAUCUUGAGGUAACUUGAAGACAACGAGUAUUACGUGGAAACGUCAACAACUUUACCUUAUCUUUACAUAUAUAAGAUAUGACCAUCUCUUAUGGAACCUUUGGAAGUCUCGGAAUAAGUUGUGCUUCGAAAACAUAACUUUCUCGGAGUGGGAAGUGGUGAACAAAAGCGUUAGACCAUGUACAUCAAGAGAUUAAAAGAGGUUCAUGGGCUGGGUUUCACAGGGUUUUAAUCAAAAAAGAAAAUGAAAAAUAGGUUAUUUUAAGUGAACCGGGCCGCUGGAGUGAUCUCGUGUGAAGCGAGUUCAGUACACGUGUCGGCACGGGAUAAACUUGACGUUUUAGGGUUGUCGACGCGGAAAAGACACGCCUCGCGUGUUUCUCCUCAUUUCCUCUUCUCUUCCAAAAGCUAGGGUUUUCGAGUUCUGAGGCGAUUUUUGUAGCGACGACGAUCGAGAGGUCGUUUUUCCAUCAAAUCGACGAGGGAGAGUUUUCUGAUCGACUUCACCGUCCUUUGUAAUCCUCUCUCUUCUCAGUCUCUUUUUUUGUUAGGGUUGAAAAGCGUCGAUACGAAUUCGAAUUGGGGGUUUCUCCUCCAAUAGAGUCUGGAGGAGAAAUCGAUUAGGGGGUUUGUUUGUUACGGUUCUAAAUCGAUCUGUAGGGGAAAUAAAUUAGGAGAUUUCUUCGUUAGGGUUCUAAAUCGAGUCUGAGAGAUUUCUAUUAGCUGAAAUCGAUUAGAGGGUUUCUUUUUUAGGGUUUAAUAGAGUCGAUAUGAAUUUGAAAAGGGGGUUUCUUUGUUAGGAUUCGUUUGUUCUAAUAGAGUCGAGAUUUGUGUUUGGGUAAUCAAAAUUUUUCAUUAGUUUGUUCUAAUCAAUUCGUUUUCUGGUGCAGAUGGAUCCCUCAGAAGAACGAAGACAUUCAAAGAAACAAAAGGAGUACUGCGACAUGUUAGGCUUAGUGGAGGAUUCACAGUACGGUAUUCCAAGACGGUGUGCUUGCGGUGGGAGAAUCAUUGACGAGGUACGGGGGAAGGAAGACUACGACAGUCAUCCUGGAAAGCGCUACUUCACGUGCAUAAACUAUGAAGUUAGUAUAUUUUCCUUAAUCUAUGUCAUAAAAAUUUAUGAAACUCGAACUGUCUCUAAUAUUUUGUUUUCUGUUGUCAACAAGGAUAAUGGGUUGCAUUAUAGUCAUCCUUGGGUGGUUGGUGUCCAGGAGGAGAUGGAAAGGCUGAGGAAGCGUCUGGAAGAGGCUGAGGAGGUUAUCAAGGGGGUGUGGAGUCUCAAUUACCAGAUUGAGAGCCUGGAGGUAAAUACCAGAUUGAGAGCCUGGAGCUUGCUUUAUUUAUGUUACCAGAUUGAGAGCCUGGAGCUUGCUUUAUUUCUGUCUUAAUAUGUAUGUCCUCUAUUAAUAUUAAUGAGUAACACUGUAUUCUUGUUGUUUCCAUGUCCAGGAACAGGUUCGAAGCCUCACAGUCCAGGUCGGUACCCUAGAGAAGGUGUGCUUCGACUGAAAUAGAGAGGUAAAUGUUCUAACCCAUCUCUAGCUGUGAUGUAGACUGGAAUGUGUUUGCGUGAAUUGAUAACUAGAACUAUAAAUAUUUUUUUGGAAGCAAACUAAACUGAACUAGAAGUAUUUAUUAGUAAGACUAGCCUUGCUCAGCAAAGUACAGUGGAAUUAAAUCUGUGUUUAAGUAGUUGAUAGUAUUAAGUUGUUGAUUUGAUGUGUAUUAACUUCUCUGUGUGGAGUAGUUGUUAUCUAUUAGGUUUUAUAUUCAAUGCUUGGCUGGUUGAAUUUAAUUUAACUCAACUACCUGCGUGAAAACUAGUUUAAAUAGAGAACCAAAACCCCAUUAUCUUAAAAAAUAAACCAACGUCUGAAGCAGCUGCGCAGGAGGUGGGUAAUCACUCACAGACGGCCCAGAUCGGCGGUUGGGAAGAGGCGGAGGCGCUGUAGACCUCGGAAAGGGGUGAUGGUGUCUUCGCCGCUGACUUCCCGGUUUUCUUUCGUCGCUUCGUUCCAGCCAUCAUCGAUACUGGCGGUGGUUUCAGAGAGAUGAAAUUGAGAGGUCUAGGGUACUUGAUGAUUUUUUUUUAUCCAGUCCCGACACUUGACGAUAUUUAGUAAAUAAGAGAAGAUUUUCGGCUUUUGCGGGUUAGUUUUGGUUGGGGGGUAAUAAUUG
rnacentral:lncRNA from 1 species